UUCAAGAAUUGAAGAAGCUGGAUCUAAGUCAGACUAAAAUUGAGGAAGUCCCUGAAGGAAUGGAUAUGCUGGUAAAGCUAAGAUAUCUUGAUCUUCAAGUGUUCAGUCUGAAAGAGAUACCCGCUGGACUUUUACCAAAACUCGUUCACCUUCAGCACUUGAGUUUUGAAGUGGACAAUGAAAAAACAAGUCUAAAAGCAGAGGAGAUGGAACCAUUGAAGAAGUUGGAGUGCUUUACCGGACGUUUCGAAGACAUCGGUGAAUUGAAUAAGUUCAUCUCCUCAAUGCAACAAAGUAAGAAAAAUCUCAUCAAUUACCAUUUACAGGUGUGCUCAUCUCUUCCGAUGGCUUCAGGAGAUAAAACAGUAACAAUUGGAGGAGUCCAGAAUUGGGAAGGUGAGUUAAUUAUGCACCCAAUUGAAAUUCAAGAGUUGAAUAUUUUUGGGUGCGACUAUUUGAGAAGCUUAGUCGAUGACAAUUCUUCCUUCAAAAAUGCGAUUGACUUGAGGGUUUGUUGGAUUUGGAUGUGUGAAGGGAUAGAGUGUGUUGUUUCCCUGUCCUCUUUUGCCUCUUCUUCCGCUCAUCCAUUUCAGAGCCUCGAGGUGUUGAAUCUUUUUAAUCUGCCAAAGUUGAGUGCCCUUAUUAUGAAAGAUGCAGGAAUUGGUUCAGCAACAACAUCAACAGUGGCUCCGUCUGCCUGCUUUUCCCAUCUUAAGGAAAUUAUGAUAUACAACUGCUCAAGUAUGAAGACGUUGCUUCCACAUUGGUUGCUUCCAAACCUCCAAAACCUGGAAGAAAUACAUGUGUCACUCUGUGAUGAGGUAGUAGAAAUAUUGGGAGUAGCAACAUCAGAAGUUGAAGAAAAAGGGAGUGAUGCAUUAAUCAAAUUCCAUCUUCCCAAAUUGAGAGAGUUGUUAUUCAGUGGAUUACCAAAUUUGAAGAGCAUCUGCAGCAAAAGUGGAGUGAUGGUUUGUGAUUCUCUCGAAUUUAUCAAAGUUGAUGAAGGGUGUGAUAAACUGAAGAGAAUUCCUCCAUUUGUUCCCCUUGUUGGGAAUGGGCAGCCAUUUGCAUAUGCUCCACCUUCUCUUACCAUCAGGUCAAGCACAGAAUGGUGGGAAUCGUUGGAGUGGGAUGACCAUCCAAACUUUGAAAAUGUUCUCAAGCAUGAAAGGUAUGAACCAUUUAUAGUUAGUUUUUUUUUUUUUUUAUAAAUCUAAUUUCUCCAUUUUAAUAAAAUUUCAGGAGUUCUUGGUGAUGUUGUUGUAGAGAAAGAUGAAAGUGUAGGUGGGAAAGAAGGAUAGUGCAAAAGAGAGGAGAAAAGGAAUGAUGGAAGGAAGAGGUUAAGAGGCUCCACAUUGUAAACAUAUAAAUUUGCUUAAUAUUUUUUCUAUGUUUGUUUUGAAAGAAUGAGUAUUGAAUAUAGAUAAUAUAGAGAAAUUUUGUAGGGUUUAAAAAUAAUUAUCCCUAAUUUUCUCAUUUUUUUAUUUUUUAAAUUUUAGAAUGUUCUAAAAUUUUAAAAAUAUUUUUUAACCUUUUACCAUUUUAUAUAUUAUUAAAAUUAAAUUGACUGAAUAAUUAUAUCACUUAUUAUCAUUGAAUAAAACAAAACAUAGCUAAUAACCAUUGUUAAGUACCAGUUCAGCUUUUAUUAAUUCUCAAUUCUUUUUUUGUUGAAGAUAACCGAAUUCAUAAUUUCAACAUUAGAAAUCUUGUAUUUCAAAUUAAAAAAUUUUCAAAAAGGCUAAAUUACAACUAUAUGCUGAAAAAAAAUUGAAAAUUUAUGUUGUUUUCUUGAAAAUUUAUCAAUUUAUAUUAUUUUUUACAAAUAGAAAAGAAAAUGUGUCUUAUAGGAUGUGUUUUCUCUGAUCUUUCGGAGAAAACAUGAGACGCGUUUUAUUCUCUUUCCUAAAAAGUGCUCUGUAGGAUGCAUUUUCAGAUAGUCUAAAAUUGUUUUUUUUUUCUUACAGUUUGAAACUAGAAGUUUGUAGGUUUUGCUUUUCUCGUGUUCAAGAUAAAUAUUGUUAUAGUUUUAAGGUAUGUUUGAAUUUACGGUAGUGUCGUGGAGUUGGGUGACUUACGAAUUUCACCUAGCAUGUGAGCAUGGAGCCAUCCGAGAAUCUGGAUUGCAUUGCAACUCAAGGUCCCAGUUGACAGUGGUUCUAUAGUCUCCGAUUGAAGUGUAACUAGGUCUUUAAUUUUACAAAGGUUAGUUAUCAAUGAAUGGAGCAUAAAUGGGGCCCCAGUUGAUGGUGGUUAUGUGAGCACGACAACGAGUUUCUCAUCAUCAAGGGAGGAUGCUAUUUGCCAAAGAAACAGAAGUAUGAGGAAAAAAAUGCAAUGGCGUUUUAGUAUAAUCAAGUAAUUCGGUAGAAAUGGAUAAAAUGCUACUACAAUUUUCUUCCUUAUACUUUUGUUUAUGUGGUGUAUAGCUUCCUCCAUUGAUGAUGAAAAAAAAUCCUUAUUGUGCCUACAAAACCACCGCCAACUAGGGCCAAAUUUAUGUUUUGUCCCUUGGCAAUAUAACCUUUGUAAACUUGAAACCUUAAUUACAUUUCAACCCGAGACAGUAUAAUCACCAUCAAGUUGGAUCUCGAGUUGCAAUGCGAUCUCGACUGCUCAGGUGAUAACUCAAUGCUCACAUGGCAGGUGAAGUUUGUUGGAACAAAAAACCGAAAACUUUGAAAUUAAUAAACUAACCUCCUCUUUUGUUUGUUGGUCUAAAGUUAGUCAAAUGUCCUCAAGCUCAGUCAAUAUAUUGUUGGCGGGGUUAUUCCACCUAUACCAAAAACAUAUUAUUUCAACAGUACAAUGAAAAUUUUGAUAUAGUAACACUACACCAAAACAGGCUUUUAGCGGCGCUAAAAAGCGCUGCUAAAAGUAUUUGCGGCGCUUUUACAAGCGCCGGAAAAAACGCCACUAAAGACUACGCCGCUAAAGACCACGACCUUUAGCGGCGCUUUUGCCACGAACGCCGCUAAAGAUCAUGACCUUUAGCGGCGCUUCUCGCAAAAAACGCCACUAAAAACAUAACCUUUAAAAAAAUUAUUUUAAUCAAAUAAUAUCUUUAGCAGCGCUUUUCAUUCAAACGCCGCUAAAGAACAAACCUUUAGCGGCACUUCUCACAAAAACGCCACUAAAAACAUAACCUUUAACAAAAUUAUUUUAAUCAAAUAUUAUAUUAUAUUAUAUUUUUUAAUUUUGAACUUUAAAUAUACUUUUUAAGGAUAAAUAAAAAAUAUUAUUUAAAUUAAAUUUUCUAUGAAAAUUUUAACUUUAAAACUAAAUAUAAAAAUGAAUGAAUUUAGUUUUAAAAUUUAAAAUAAUAAAUUAAUAACACAAUUAAAAUCCAAAAGUUAGAACUCAAGUUGUCGUAAAUAUUAAAGUAAAAAUAAAAAUUUAGAAUCAAAACUAAAAUAAAUAAUACAUUUGAAAAACAAACUGACUAGUUGAACCUCCUAUGACUAUUCACAUUGCAAGCUAAUAAAAAAUACAAUGCAUUAAAUUGUUGAACCUGCCCAGGUACUAACUGACAGCAGAAUAACACAUUAAAUUGUUGGAUUAAACAUGUAGAUUACAUACUAAUGUAGACCUAAAUAUUUUCCUUUUCCUUCUACCCUUAAAUCUAGAGAUAGCAAAAACCAGGGACCUAACACCAGCAAGUUCAAAUAUAUUGCUAAAAGAAACACAACUUUAGCUCCAUCCAAAUGUACUUUCAAUUCUCAUUUCAAAUUCUGCUUCAAUAUAUUGGAUGAGUUUCCCCACUGCAUGAUGUUAGGUGAUCAAACAGAGUACUUUAAAACUGCAAAAGUAAGAAGCAAGCAUCCUCACUUGAUAAUCUGAAGGGUUGUCUUCCUCACCACUUGGUCCUCUAAAAGGAAGCAGCUGAGCUUUAGGUUUCUCUAAAGAGAAAACAACAGGAAUUCCACCCUCAAUCCCAUGAUCUUUCCUUAAACGGUGUCUCACCUAGAAGCAAAAAUUUGAGAAAGAGUAAAGUGAAUGAUAUCAGGAAAUAAACUCCUAAACAAUGUUUUCUUAAUGCAAUAGAUAAACAAGAGUAAAAUUGGAUAUCCAAAAUAACAAAUACAAGCAUAAGAUAUUAAAGUUUUUCCAAACCAAAUAAAAUCUAAUUGGACAAGGCCCCAAAGUAAACACCAAUCAUAAGAUCAGCAACCACCAGAAAACUGCAGUAGCAAGUGUAGAUUCAAAAGCCACAGACGCAAAGAGCCCCCAUUUUAGAAUGAUUGACAACUCCAAAACAACUUCACCGUAUUCAGAAUCAAUAAUAUAAAAUGCCAGAAGCUCAAAUCACAAUAAAUAAUAAAAAUACAAAAACAUAAAUAUUUCAUAACCUAAAGCUACUGAUACUAAAAUAAAAUACGUAUCUAGAAGCAAAACCUAACCUUCGUACACACUAAGUAGCAAAGUUGAUCCUAAUCCUUCAGCUGAAUAACUUAUGUUGCUUGCUUACUCGUGCUUUAGAUGGGUGCAAUAUCAAACAAGCAUAUAGAAGGAUUAGCCAUGCACUAUCAUAAUAAUGAAAAAUAAAACAUAAAUUAGAGCAUAACAUGAACCACAUAAAGAAAUUAGGAGUUCUAUAUAUGGUGAAAAGCCAAUAUUUGACUGCAACGUUAUAUAGAAUUCUUAUAGCCAAUAGGUAAAACUGAAAGUUCAUAAGUCAUGAUGAUACCUUUGUGUCAAUGUUAUCAAUGUAGUCCAAAACAAAAUCAGGGUUUAACUAUUUGAUUAAAAAAAUUAAAAAUUAUUUUAUAAAUUAUUUUUUUAAUCAGGGUUUAAAUUUGACAAAUUUAAAGACUAAAUGUUAUUUUAUCUAUAGAUGAAUUGAAAAAUUGAAAUGCCAACUAAGCUUCUUAUAUAGCAGCUCUGUCAAGGUUCUGAACUCCAGCAGAAUUAAUCAAACAUAAUCAUUGACAAUAUAUAUAUAUAAUUUUAUAUAUAAAACCUUGUUUGCUCUAAAGAAAUUUGGAUGGAAAAGGGUUAAUUUCAUAUUCUUUAAAUUAUUUAAAAUAAAUGCCUGCAUGGAUGGAGUCAAGUACCUUCUGAGAGUUCAGGUUGUUCGAAUGGGGUACAAAGAGACUUAGCUGCUCCCAUCUCACCCCUUGUUCGAGCUUUCACAUCUUUCUCCACCUCCUAUAUAUACAAAACAUAAAACAUCAUUUAAGAAAAAUGAGCGACAUAUGCCUCGAGAGAUUAGAAUAUGAUCCAGCUCAUGUUGUUGCCUAACAAAAUACAGGUUUUACAAACUCAUCCUACGUUUUUACAACUUCAAUGCAGGCAUCUCUUUUUUGUUUUGCCACAUCGAAUAGGUUCUGUUGAAUCUUAUCCAACAUUCCUUUUACUUGUUCAACCAAAAAGACUCUAGAGAUAUCAGUCUUUUCUCCAUUGUCACAGCGAACUGCACGCACCUGUCCAAUAAAACACAUUCUGGUUUCAAUAAUAAGAAAAUAAUACAUAAAAGAAUAGAAGGAAAGCGGAAAUAAGAAAAAAGGCUCAAUUGCCUGACCUUAAAGAGCUAAGAAAAUAAGUAAUUUUGUUUUGGACUUAAAGAGCAUAAUUUUGAGUAUUAUUGAGGUUAUGAAUUCCGAGGACAUGUAAGAGAAGUGCACAAGGCUACUAAUACGAACAUGGACAGCAAAUAAUCAUCUUUUAUGUAAUAAUUAAACAAAUAAGCUAUCCGAUUUUUCUUUUGGUUUGAGUUGGUAAAACGUUAGGCAUGUUCGUAUUCAACAUAAGUUUUCUGACCUUUAAAUUUUUCAUUAUUGUUGCAAAUAGAAGCACAGUCACUGAAAUGAGAAUCUCGACAUGCUCCUUGUCUUUCUAGUUGCAGGCUUCUGUUAGCAGUAUAUUACUAUCAAAAUUUGCAAUUGCAUUUGAAGAACCUGCAAGAAUCUCAUAACAGCUAACCAGAACAGGGUCAAAAAAUCUCUUCUGUUCUUUUUUCUUUCUGUUUUUUAAGGCUGGAGUUGGUUGGAUCUCAGCUACCUUAAAUAAAUUUGUUUGACUUCGAGCACCCAUUAAAUACAUUAAAUCAGGCCCUUCCACUUAUAGCCAAUUGGUUUUAGGUUGGAUGCUUAACACAAGUCAUGUAAACUUCUUGUUACUUUUAAUUUGAGUUAAAUUUUAGAACUUUUCAUAUAGACUAGCAACUUCCCACUCAAUUUUCCACCUCUUUCUCGCAACCAGAAGAAGGAAACACUGAUAACAGAAAAAAUAAAUUAUCUCAAAUUCAAUUCGUGCAAUUAUCAUAUCAUUUUUAUUUUCUUUCUCAUUUUACAUUUUUUUUUCUUGGCAACCAAGCAGGAGUUAGACUACUAACAAACUAACUAAAAGCUUACUUUCUACAUCUAACUAUGAAAAAAAAAAGUAAUCGAAAAUAUAAAUUUGAGAUAAUUUCAUCAAUCUGCAAUUUUCUUUCUCGGUUUCCAGUGCUUUCUCAGUAACCAAAAGGAAACCGUUAAAAUUACAACAAAGAGGAGAAAAAAAAAGAAAGCUAUUCGAGUUGAAGUCAUGCAAUUUUUAAUUUCCUUCUCAGUUCUUCAUUUUUUCCUUCUCAAUUUCCAAGUUGAGUCCGCGAAAUUAUUACAUAAAUUUUGCAAUUUUCCUUCUCAAUUUCCAAACUUUACUAGAAACCAAAUAAAAACUAUAAAAAUUAAACGAUAAAAGAAAAUAUAACCUUGUGAAAGGGACCGACGCGCUGCUCACUGGCAUAAGACUUGAAGUUCCUCAUCACCAUCUCGUUAAUUACUAACCUCGGUCCUCGAGAUCCCACUUGGGCCUGCUCUGGCUCGCGAGUCGUGAACUCAUCCUUCGUUUCCAUCUCCAUACGGAAAUAAGCGGCUGCUAAGNNNNNNNNNNNNNNNNNNNNNNNNNNNNNNNNNNNNNNNNNNNNNNNNNNNNNNNNNNNNNNNNNNNNNNNNNNNNNNNNNNNNNNNNNNNNNNNNNNNNNNNNNNNNNNNNNNNNNNNNNNNNNNNNNNNNNNNNNNNNNNNNNNNNNNNNNNNNNNNNNNNNNNNNNNNNNNNNNNNNNNNNNNNNNNNNNNNNNNNNNNNNNNNNNNNNNNNNNNNNNNNNNNNNNNNNNNNNNNNNNNNNNNNNNNNNNNNNNNNNNNNNNNNNNNNNNNNNNNNNNNNNNNNNNNNNNNNNNNNNNNNNNNNNNNNNNNNNNNNNNNNNNNNNNNNNNNNNNNNNNNNNNNNNNNNNNNNNNNNNNNNNNNNNNNNNNNNNNNNNNNNNNNNNNNNNNNNNNNNNNNNNNNNNNNNNNAAAAAUUAAGUAAUAUUUAAAAGAAUUAGAUAAAUUUUAAAUCUUUUAUAUUAAUUUUAUUUUAUUUGUUAUAAUUUGAUCCUAUGCAAAAUAGAUAGUUACCCAUCCAUACCAAUCUGUUACUUUUUAUUUAUUUAUUUAUCAGUGUUUUUUUUAAUCUAAUAUUUAAAUAUAUCAAAUGGUUUAGAUUAAAUAUUUUGAAAUAUAAAAGCAUUAAUUGAUUGUAUAAAAUUUCAUCAUUUAACAAAUCUCAAGUAAACCAUAUAAUAAAUCUCUUAAAUAAUUUAAACUAUAAUCAUAAUUUUAAUAUAUUCAAAUUAAUAUUAUCUCCUUUACAAUUAUAUAAGAAAUUAUUUAAUAUAUAAAUUAAAAAAUACUAAUUACUCUAAACCCUAAACUCUUAACCCCUAUCCCCUGAACAUUGAAUCAUAAAACAUAAACCUUAAACCCCUAACCCCUAACCCCUAAACAUUAAACCCCAACCCUUAAACCAUAAACCAUAAACCAUAACCCUUAACUCUUAACCCUCAACUCCUAACCCUUAACCCCUAAACCUUAAUCUAUAAAUCUUAAACCAUAAACCGUAACCCUUAAGCCUUAAACGCAUAAACUAUAAACCAUAAUCUAUAAACCUUAAAAUAGUAACUCCUAAACUUUAACCCUAAACCAUAUACCCUUAACCCUAAACCCUAAACAAUAAUAAUAAUUAAUUCAAUAUUUUAAAAUUAAUACUAUCUUUUUUAUGAUUAUAUAAGAAAUUAUAUAAUAUAUAAAUUAAAAAAAAUCAGUCAUAUACCUAAAAAACUUUAAAAUUAUUUUAAAUAAUAGUAUUUUAAUUUUUGAAUAUUCAAUUAAAAAUAAUUUGAAUUUUAAUUAAUAUAAAUAAACCAAUUAAAUAAUAAUAAAUAGAUAAAAUAUUUUUGCGGCGCUUUUGACCCCGAGCAUUAGCGGCGCUUUUCCAAAAACGCCGCUAAAGCCCAUACUUUAGCGACGCUUUUUAAAAAACGCCACUAAAGCCCCUAAAACUCAAAAAAAGACGUAGUUGGGCUUAGGUUUUUUGCGGCACUUUUUCAAAAACGCCGCUAAAGCCCCAUGCAUUAGCGACGCUUUUUAUAAAACGCCACUAAAGCCCCAAAAACUCAGAAAACGACGUCGUUGUGCUUAGGUUUUUUGUGGCGCUUUUUGAAAAACGCCGCUAAUGCUCAUUUUUAGCAGCGUUUUCCAAAGUGCGCCACUAAUGCUCAAUCUUUAGUGGCGUUUUUUCAGAAGCGCCGCUAAUGUUUGAUUUUUAGCGGCGUUUUUUAUCCAAACGCCACUAAAAGUGCCGCUAAAAGCCUGUUUUGCUGUAGUGUAACAAUAUUAUGAAAUGAAUUUUAUCAUGUUAUGAAUGAGAAUUCAUAAGGGGAAUUUCUAUUGCAUUCUAUAUUUUUCAUAAUCUUUACAGGUAGUAUACUCUAUUAUAUAUAGAGAGAUUAGACUCUUCAUAUUCUAAUACACAAAUAAAAAAAAGGGGUUAUAAGGAGAUGAAAGGUUAAAAAUUAAAGAAAAUGAAAGAUUAAAGGUCAAAGGAGAUAAAAAGUGAACGGUGAAAGGUUAAACAUCCACUUGAUAGCAUUAAUAAUAAAUAUUCUAAAUGUAGUAAAAAUCAUAAAAAUAAUUAAAACACUGCUCCAAAUGAACCAAAUCCACUCAAGCAAUUACUGAAACUUCAAGGAAAAUGUGAGAGCAUAGAUUAAUUAUUUUUAAAUAAGUUAAUUGCACCAAAUAUUUUUAAAUUAUUGCCUGCAUUCUAAAUUAAUUCAUUAAAUUUUAAAUCAUUUUAGUUACAUUUCUAAACUAAAGAGAAUAUAUCAAUCAAGUUUUUUUGUUUUUAAAACCAUUAAUUUAAUAAUAAAAAGACAUCUUCAGUCACUCUCAAUUUUAAAAUUGAGUAAAUUAGUCACUUUCAAAAAUUUUGGAAUAAUUUAAUCUCUGUCAAUUUUGAAAGUGAGCAACAAAGGACAAUUAAUCACGACGUUCAUGUCUUUCGUCAAUUGUGCAUGAUUUUGAUUGGUAUAAUAACACAUUUAGCCCUUGAUGUUUACAUAUUUUGUUAGUUUGGUCUUGAUUCUAAAAAAAAAAACAAAUUCAGUCUCAAAAUUUACACAUUUACAAAAAUAUUACAGGCUAAAUUUAUUAUCAUAUCAAUUAAAUUUAUGUAAAAUUGACGAAAAACAUUAAUAUUAUGAUUAAUUGCUCACUUUUGAAAUUGGUAGGCAUUAAAUUGUUUCGAUUUUUUUAGAGGAACCAAUUUGCUCAAUAUCAAAAUUGAGAGGGACUAGAGGGUUGUUUUACCUAGUUUAAUAAUUAAAUGACAUGUUAAAUCUUAUGUGGUAUAAUUUAAAUAAAAAUUAAAAAAAUUGUAGAAAUAUUUGUUUUAAAAAUCUUGGUUUUGAAGUUUUUACGAAAUUUUUAUUGUUCAUUUUUUUUUAAAUUUCAGUUUUAUUUAAUUUUAGUUUCUUUAAAAUUUUCAUUUUAAAAUUAGCUAUAUAAAAUUUAACGUGUCAUUUAAUGAUUUUAAUAAUAAGAUGACCUGAUUAAUAUAACAUCAAUAGUUUAAAAAUGUAAUUAGAUCAGUUUGAAGUUUGAAAAUAGAUUUAAAAUAAUGGUCAUAAUUUAGGGGUGGCAUUUUGCAGUUUAGACUUUAGACCAUAAAUUACUGAGAUGAAAACUGUAGCGUCGUUCUGCAGCCUUUUUUGGUCCAGGCAGGGCAGGCUGAGCUCAAAAAUUUGGGUAGACCUUGAAUAAAACAUAUAGACCCAUAUUUCAUAUUAGGCAGAGCUUGAGCAAAAAUAACAGUUAGCAAUACCUUGUCUAAGCGUGAGUCAAAUCCGGUCUAUGAGAUAAAGCAUUCAGAUUGAACUACCGGUAACAUUAUGAGUUUCUGGUCCAUCCUUAAUGGGGAUGCAAAGAACAAAAUUAACUAACUUUUGCCACUAUAGAAUGUUUGUUCAACUAAAUAAAAUAAAGAUUGUCCUAUAACUCUAGUUCCAUUCAAGUUAAAACUUCUUCAGGCAAGAUAAUAGUAACAUAAAUGCUAAAAGAACCAGCACAACCACCACGGCAGGAGCUGCCCAUAUCCAAUAGUUCAUCGACUUCUUACGUUUCAGGAUGGCUUUUGGGAGGGACUCGGUUCUUUUGGUUUGAUUCCUGUACCUACUAGUAUUCUCCUUUGGUACUUUACCCUUCAUUGAAAUUGUAGCAGGAACAGGUGCAUCAGUAUUAACAUCGACCUUCUCGGGUUCUGAAUCUUGUGCCACAGCUUCAAUCAGUUCCUCGGGAUUCACAGCAUUUGUCGAUCCUGCCACCUUCUUCUUAGCUCUCUUUUCACGCUCCUGAAAAAAAGAUCGAAAGAGUUUCAGUUUCAACCCACAAACUAAUAACCGAUAAAGUGAAACCAGAUAAGGAAGCAAAUGAUUUCCUUGAGCUUCUUUUCAGCUUCCAUUUGAGCUCUUCUAGCUGCUUUGGCUGCUGCUUUUUCAGCCAACUUCAAAUGAUUUCCUUGAGCUUCUUUUCAGCUUCCAUUUGAGCUCUUCUAGCUGCUUUGGCUGCUGCUUUUUUAGCCAACUUCUUUUUUCUUUCCAUGGCUUGCUUUGCUUUCGCUAUUUCCUCUUCUCUCUUCAAUUCUUUCAGUUUUGCUGCAUCGACUUCCUUGUUCUUUUGCAAUUUUCCGGANNNNNNNNNNNNNNNNNNNNNNNNNNNNNNNNNNNNNNNNNNNNNNNNNNNNNNNNNNNNNNNNNNNNNNNNNNNNNNNNNNNNNNNNNNNNNNNNNNNNUCUCGGCAUCUUUUGGGGCCUUUUUGGCUGGUUUAGUAUCUGUUUGGGGACCUGAUUUGGCCUCUUUCCCUUUGGGUUUUCUUACACUAGGUCUCAGAAUUGUUUCGGUUUCAGAAAUCCCCUGGUUUCUCGGGUGCAACCCAGUGGUUUCUCAUCAGGAUUCCUUAUCCGACCAUCCCGACUCAAUAGCCGACUGUCCAGAGAUGGCAGAGUUCUUUUCUCAUAAUCAUCCCUGAAGGCUUUAUUGCCUUCCAGAGAGCCAUAAACUUCUCAACCUAAAAGGAAUAUAAAAGAUAAGUGAGCGGCUAAUUAUAAAGCAAAUGAGAUACAUUGGAAGUAACAUUAACAAGCAGUCUCAACAAACCUCCACAAUUGAUAACUCCUCAAGAGCCUUUAUAUCUUUCUGUGCAGCGAGCAGUUUGGCGUUGUGUACAAUGGUACGGCUCUGGUAAAAGUGAGAAUUCUGAAAUUUUGAGAAAGAGUAAUUAAAAUGAUUCAUUAGUAACAUCGUGCACAGGAAUAUUGGAAGUAGACAUAAUAUGUAUCAUUUAAUAUCUUAAGUGACACUAGUUAUUCAUGCAUAAAUGAAAAUGUUCCGACAUGGUCAAGUAUUACACGAAACAGAUAUCUUAAGAGUUGAAGCAAAGAAAAGGCGAUACCCCCUGAUCACUUUGUUUCCUCAGCUCCUGAAUGUUUUCAAAAGCUUUGUCCCUCUUCAGGGUCACAGCUUUCAGCUCAUUUUGUAAAGACACGAUUUUAGUCUCAGUUUCGUCCAAUUUAUCUUUAAUUUGCUUUUUUUUGGACCAGACUGCAUGCUGCUCCUUCCUUACUCCAUUCAAAUCGACACCCAUAAGCUACAAUAAACAAAUAUAGCUUUUUUUUUUAGUGUAACACAAUGGUGCUCUAUAUUCACAUAUAAAAAGAGGAGCAAACUCCGAUGGAUAAAGGCAGAAAAUAGAAUUAUCUUACUUUAACUUGAUCUUGAAUGUCUUCUUUCUGGCCUAAUGAAUCUUGAAUCUUUGAUCUCAUUGCAGCAUUAGCAAUAACUUUCUCGCGGGUUCCCUCCAGGUGUUUGAUUUCUUUAAGGAUUCGCUUCUCCUCACUCAACGAGAUGCCUUCAUGCUGAAUGCGGUAUUGCAAGCUAUGGAUCUGCAAUUCAUAAAUUCCAUUGAAGUGACUAAAGGAGAAAAAGAAAAGCAUUAACUGCGGCAGAAAACAAUGAAUAAAUCUAAAUGCAGUCAAAGUUCAUAGAAGUAUCAUACAAUAAAAUCGAGCUCUUCCUCAGAUGCACAUAAACUAAGUCGAUUAUCAACAUCUUUAUUUUGCGAAGCUUGCCUAAAGCCUGCUGCAGUGGUUCUAUUUCCAUCUUUUUCUCAUCUAAAAUCGUCUUAAAUUGCUCAAAAUCAACAUUCAGCGCUCUCACUUGCGAAAGCAUAUCUGACCGUUCUGCCUGCAUUAGCAUAAAGAUAAUCACAAUUUAGCCAACUGACGGCGCCAUUAUUUUUUACUUCUUUCACAUUUUUUCUCAAAUUCUGAAGGCAAACACAACAAUAACGAAUCAUUAUACCAAUAGCAUAUCUGUAAGUGUCAUUACGUUUCAAGGACAUAAAUUUCAAACAUUCAAAUAAAUGCUUCCGGGUUUAAUUCCCCUACAUUCAUCAUAUUACAAUAAGCACACCGUAAUGACAUAAUGAUAGGGCUAAUAAUUAUCUUAAAAGUAUGACAAUUAAUGGCUACCAUGCUAUACAUCUAAUUGAAAUUAUUAACUUUUCACUCACCCUUUUUGCUUUUAAUUCGUCGGUAAGCUUAAACCGGCUUUAUUCCACUUUUAUAUCUCUUUAUCAGCCUGAUCAAGUUUGGCUUUUAUAGCCGGAUCUUCGUAGAAGCGAUACCUAAUAAAAUGAAAAGAGUGGAUCUGCUUAGGUGCAGGCCACUCGACGACCGCAUCCUUCGGAAAGUCGGGAUCGGAUGCACCAUUCUCUUCUCCUUAUCAGGUUCCUCACUAUGUGAAUCAACUUCAAUGGGGUUAUUAUAAACUGGAUCCUUAUCCAGUUUCCCAUUUUCAUGAAGAAAUGAUUUGUCUACUUCAGUCACUUUGUCAAUAGACAAUUGUGCCAGGUCUGAAUCAACAACCUCAACACCCAUUAAACACAAAAUUGAGCUACCUGAAAACAUCCAAAGACAAAGAUUAUGACACCAUAUAACAACAAAUAUAAAUAUAAAAUAUUAUUUCAUUCAUAAAAUAAAAAUUUUAAAACAGACACCUGAUAGACAUGUAUAAAACAAUAUAUAUUAAAUAAAUUAUUGACAACCUACAAUCUUUGACUUUUCAAAGAUAUUUUGUCAAAAAAAUUGGGCACCGAAAAUCUAAGCAUUUAAGUCAUAGAUUUUUGGGUUGAAUUUUAGCUUGGGAUAAUUGCAAUUUUGGUCCCUAAUUGUAUAGUAACUUUGCAAGUUGAUCCUUAAGCUUAAACUAUAAAUAGGCCUAGUUAUUUCUCAUUUUCUCCAUCCCACAAAUGCCAUUCUCUACUUAAGGCAUUAUUCUCUCUCCUUAUUUGUAAAAUUUCACUUGUAUUUUGGAGUGAAAUAUAUUUGGUAGUGCCCGAGGACGUAGGCAAAAUUUGCUGAACCUCGUUAAAAUUCUAGUGUUCUUUAUUGUUUAUUUUGCAUAUUUUGCGAGUGUGAUUGUAGUGAUUUAUUGUGCUAUUAAAUUACGAUAGAGGGAUAUUCUGGCUAGGAAAGACCUGGUACUUAAGCGAUCCUUGUGAUCCACCUCUCUUUCCUGGGAAUUGAACUUUGUGUGAUUUUUUAGUACAAUAAUUUUACUCUUUUACACGCUUCCGCGCAACAAUUGGUAUCAGAGCUAGAUUCGUACUUGGGGAAUACGACCGUUUACGAUACNNNNNNNNNNNNNNNNNNNNNNNNNNNNNNNNNNNNNNNNNNNNNNNNNNNNNNNNNNNNNNNNNNNNNNNNNNNNNNNNNNNNNNNNNNNNNNNNNNNNNNNNNNNNNNNNNNNNNNNNNNNNNNNNNNNNNNNNNNNNNNNNNNNNNNNNNNNNNNNNNNNNNNNNNNNNNNNNNNNNNNNNNNNNNNNNNNNNNNNNNNNNNNNNNNNNNNNNNNNNNNNNNNNNNNNNNNNNNNNNNNNNNNNNNNNNNNNNNNNNNNNNNNNNNNNNNNNNNNNNNNNNNNNNNNNNNNNNNNNNNNNNNNNNNNNNNNNNNNNNNNNNNNNNNNNNNNNNNNNNNNNNNNNNNNNNNNNNNNNNNNNNNNNNNNNNNNNNNNNNNNNNNNNNNNNNNNNNNNNNNNNNNNNNNNNNNNNNNNNNNNNNNNNNNNNNNNNNNNNUUCACGUAUGCACCCGGUAUGUCGAUGAAUGACCAUGUGAACUCAUUCAAUAAAAUUUUAGCAGACUUGCUAAAUUUGGAUGAGAAGUUUGAAGAUGAAGACAAGGCAUUAUUGUUGUUGAAUUCUCUUCCCGAUGAAUAUGAUCAUCUUACCACCACAUUGCUUCAUGGGAAGGAUACGAUCACAUUUGAUGCAGUCUGCAGUGCGUUGUACAGAUCUGAGACUCGAAAGAAAGAUAAAAGAGAUCACAGAGAUACAACUGCAGAAGUCUUAGCAGUAAGAGGUCGUUCACACAACAACAAACCUGGUAGAAGGGGCAAGUCCAAAGGGAGACCCGCCAAAGAUGAAUGUGCUUUUUGUCGUGAGAAAGGGCACUGGAAAAAGAAUUGUCCUAAGUUACAAAAGGGCAAGGCUAUUUCUAAUGCAUGUGUAGCGGAGCAUGAUGAGGAGUCAGACUUUAGCUUGGUUGGUAUGGCAAUGACAUGUCAUACGGAUGAGUGGAUCUUGGAUUCGGGAUGUACUUACCAUAUGUGUCCUAAUAAGGACUGGUUUUCUAGUCUUGAAGAACUAGAAGGUGGAGUUGUUUUUAUGGGCAAUGACAGUGCUUGUAAGACAAUGGGAAUAGGUACAAUCAAAUUAAAGAAUCACGACGGCUCAAUCCAAGUCUUGACAGAUGUUCGCUAUGUACCUAGCUUGAAGAAAAAUCUCAUCUCAUUAGGGGCCCUAGAAUCUAAAGGGCUCACAGUCACUUUGAGAGAUGGAUUACUAAAGGUAGUAGCUGGGGUAUUGACGGUGAUGAAAGGCACUAGAAGAAAUAACUUGUACUAUUUAAAUGGAAGUACAGUUAUUGGAUCAACAGCUUCUGCGAAAGAUGCAGAUUCAGAGUCUACCAGGUUAUGGCAUAGGCGAUUAGGACAUGCUGGUGAAAAAGCUUUGCAGACUUUGGCGAAGCAAGGCUUGUUGAAAGGUGCAAAUUCUUGCAAAUUGGAAUUCUGUGAACAUUGUGUUCUGGGCAAGCAGACGAGGGUAAAAUUUGGUUCAGCAAUUCACAAUACGGAAGGAAUUCUGGACUAUGUCACAGUGACNNNNNNNNNNNNNNNNNNNNNNNNNNNNNNNNNNNNNNNNNNNNNNNNNNNNNNNNNNNNNNNNNNNNNNNNNNNNNNNNNNNNNNNNNNNNNNNNNNNNNNNNNNNNNNNNNNNNNNNNNNNNNNNNNNNNNNNNNNNNNNNNNNNNNNNNNNNNNNNNNNNNNNNNNNNNNNNNNNNNNNNNNNNNNNNNNNNNNNNNNNNNNNNNNNNNNNNNNNNNNNNNNNNNNNNNNNNNNNNNNNNNNNNNNNNNNNNNNNNNNNNNNNNNNNNNNNNNNNNNNNNNNNNNNNNNNNNNNNNNNNNNNNNNNNNNNNNNNNNNNNNNNNNNNAUGUAUGUUGUCCAAUACUGGAUUGGGCAAGGAAUUUUGGGCUGAGGCAGUUACAUAUGCGUGCCAUCUGAUUAACCGGUUGCCAUCAGCUGCAAUAAAGAGAAAAACUCCUAUGGAGAUGUGGACUGGUAAACCUGCUACUGAUUAUGAUUCUUUACAUGUUUUUGGUUCCACUGCAUAUUAUCAUGUAAAAGAAUCUAAGUUAGACCCAAGAGCAAAGAAAGCAUUAUUCAUGGGUAUAACUGGUGGAGUAAAAGGAUACUGUCUCUGGUGUCCUGAUACAAGGAAGAUUUUUUUCAGUAGAGAUGUGACUUUUGAUGAAUCAACCAUGAUGAAGAACAAAGAUUCACAAAAGGAUGACAAAACCAGUUGCGCUUUGCAGCAGGUGGAGCUUGAAAAGGUUAAUGAUAAUCUAGCUAAUACUGAAGGAACAAAUGAUGAAGAAGUUUCAACCCAAGAACUUCCACAGCAACAAGAUUCAAUUGCAUAUAGGAGGCCAAGAAGAGAGAUUCGUAAGCCUGCUCGCUUUGAUGAUAUGUGGCCUAUGCACUUCCAAUUGCAGAUGAUAAUGUUCCUUCUACUUACACAGAAGCAAUAAGUAACCCUGAUUGUGUAAAGUGGAAGCAAGCUAUGAAUGAAGAAAUGCAGUCUCUUCAUAAAAAUAGGACUUGGGAGUUGGUGACACUGCCCAAGGGAAAGAAGGCAAUUGGAUGCAAAUGGGUAUAUGCAAAGAAGGAAGGAUUUUCUGGUAAAAAUGAAAUUCGAUACAAGGCUAGAUUGGUAGCAAAGGGUUACGCUCAGAAAGAAGGAAUAGACUACAAUGAAGUGUUUUCUCCAGUUGUGAAGCAUUCGUCUAUUCGGAUUUUGCUAGCCUUGGUUGCGCAAUAUGACCUUGAACUAGUUCAGCUUGAUGUGAAGACGGCUUUUUUACACGGUGAUUUGGAAGAGGAAAUCUAUAUGACUCAGCCUGAUGGAUUCAAGGUUGCUUAUAAAGAAAAUUGGGUUUGCAAACUGACGAAGUCGCUUUAUGGAUUAAAACAAUCUCCGAGGCAGUGGUACAAGCGAUUUGAUCAGUUCAUGAAAAGGCAAAGGUACACAAGAAGUAAAUUUGAUCAUUGCGUGUAUUUUCAGAAGCUACAAGUAGGAACUUUCAUAUACUUGCUCUUAUAUGUUGAUGAUAUGCUGAUAGCAUCUAAGAGCAAAGUUGAGAUUGAGAGAUUGAAGACUCAACUCAAUCUUGAAUUUGAGAUGAAAGAUCUAGGUGAAGCUAAGAAGAUUCUUGGCAUGGAAAUAUGUAGAGAUAGAGCUUAAGGCAGAGUUAGCUUGUCUCAGAAGCAGUAUUUGAAGAAAGUAUUAUAGCAGUUUGGCAUGAACGAGCAGACCAAACCUGUAAGUACCCCGUUGGCUUCUCAUUUCAAGCUUUCUGCACAACUAUCUCCUUCGACGAAUACGGAACAAGAAUACAUGUUACAAGUUCCGUAUUCUAAUGCAGUGGGUAGCUUGAUGUAUGCAAUGGUGUGUACAAGACCCGACAUUUCACAAUCAGUUAGUAUAGUGAGCAGGUAUAUGCAUAAUCCUGGAAAAGGACAUUGGCAAGCUGUGAAAUGGAUUCUACGGUAUAUUCUAAAGACCGUGGAUGUUGGAUUACUGUUCAAGCAGGAUACUACACUUGGUAAAGGUGUUAUUGGGUACGUUGAUUCUGACUAUGCCGGUGAUUUGGACAAACGAAGAUCAACCACCGGUUAUGUGUUUACACUUGCUGGAGGACCAAUAAGUUGGAAGUCUACACUGCAGUCUACAGUUGCGUUGUCAACCACAGAAGCCGAAUACAUGGCUGUAACAGAGGCUGUAAAGGAAGCUAUUUGGUUACAAGGUAUGGUUAAAACCUUGGGAUUGGUUCAGGAGCAUAUUGACGUGUAUUGUGAUAGUCAAAGUGCUAUUCAUUUAGCAAAGAAUCAAGUCUAUCAUGCACGUACAAAGCAUAUCGACGUACGAUUCCAUUUUGUGCGGAAAAUUAUUGAUGAAGGGAAAAUUCGUCUUCAGAAGAUCAAGACUGCAGAUAAUCCCGCAGAUAUGAUGACCAAGGUGGUAACAACAAUCAAGUUCGAACAUUGUUUGAACUUGAUCAAUAUCCUGCAAGUUUAACAGUUGAAGAAGGCACUAUCAAGUAUUGUUGUCGAAGGCAGAAAGAAUUGUGUGAAGAUAAGAUUAUCCUAAUCAAAUCUUCAAGGUGGAGAUUAUUGACAACCUACAAUCUUUGACUUUUCAAAGAUAUUUUGUCAAAAAAAUUGGGCACCGAAAAUCUAAGCAUUUAAGUCAUAUAUUUUUGGGUUGAAUUUUAGCUUGGGAUAAUUGCAAUUUUGGUCCCUAAUUGUAUAGUGACUUUGCAAGUUGAUCCUUAAGCUUCAACUAUAAAUAGGCCUAGUUAUUUCUCAUUUUCUCCAUCCCACAAAUGCCAUUCUCUACUUAAGGCAUUAUUCUCUCUCCUUAUUUGUAAAAUUUCACUUGUAUUUUGGAGUGAAAUAUAUUUGGUAGUGCCCGAGGACGUAGGCAAAAUUUGCUGAACCUCGUUAAAAUUCUAGUGUUCUUUAUUGUUUAUUUUGCAUAUUUUGCGAGUGUGAUUGUAGUGAUUUAUUGUGCUAUUAAAUUACGAUAGAGGGAUAUUCUGGCUAGGAAAGACCUGGUACUUAAGCGAUCCUUGUGAUCCACCUCUCUUUCCUGGGAAUUGAACUUUGUGUGAUUUUUUAGUACAAUAAUUUUACUCUUUUACACGCUUCCACGCAACAUAAAUAAAUUUUAAAGAACAGUGUAGCCAAUACAAUUUGAAAUGGUGCAAUCUAAAGUCAUUCCUUUAGCUAGUUUUCUCAUUAAUCAGAUCAAAAGAGUGAACAAACAGUAGAAUUGCAAAAAUAUAUGUAUAUAUUCUAAAUAAAUGAUAAACUAUAAUGGAGAAAAACAAUAAUCAGAUAAAAUCUAGAUCAAAAACUAAAUUAUAAGUACAUUAGCUCAUGCUAUAACAAAAGAUCAAGCCUUUAUCCGUCAAGAAAAUUAACAUGCAAAAUCAUAUGACACUAAUGGAAAAGACCCAGAAAUUUACAAACAUGAGAUAAAUGAAAAACAAAAAAAAAAAAACCCCAGAAAUAAAAACAUGAGAAAUAAUUAUGUAGUUUGCAAGGCAGAAAGUUUACAUUUUUAAAAAGAAAAAGUCAAAAUAAGAUGUUUUUGUUGUCGAGAGAGGCAUAGAUACAGAGGUUCUGAAUUAAAAAAAACUUUCAACUUUUUUAUUUUACAUUCGCGUAAUGCCUCAAAUUUUAUAAAGUUUAGGUGUUAAAAGUAAUUUGAUUUGGUGUAGUAGUUAAGUGCCUUGAAUGUUUGCUUUGGGUUUUGGGUUCAAUUUUUUUUGUUAAAUUUUUCCUAUUUAUUAUGGUAUUUGUUAAAUUUUUCCUCUUUAUUAUGGUAUUAUGUUCAACUUGAGCCUUAGGUCUUAUCUCUUAUUUUCAAUGAUGAAUCCACUGAUUCAAUGGUAAGAUUUUAGCUUAUUACCAAUUAAAUUUUAUAAAAUCUGGUAAGUGGAAUUUAGAUUAACAUAAAUCUUUUUAUUUAUUUAUUUUAAUUUAAAUUUACUAAAUCUCUAUUUUCACUCAUUGUAUCAACCGUUCACACUCUCACCCCACUUUGUACGCUACUUUCUUUUGUUUCCCUAUUCUGCGGUUUUAUCUUCUUUUCUCUUCCUUCUUUCUCCUCUUUGAUUAUUCCUGAAUACUACCGUUUAUUUUGUGAGUUCUGUCACUUGGAUCGUAUUCUGUUUGCAGUGUAAGUUUCAUUUGGUUACUUUUGUUCUCUUCCCAUUAAUAGUUUAGUUUUAUUUCGUUUCUUGAACAAAUUGAGCUUAUGUUGGUAUUUUCUGUUCAUUAUCAUGAUUAGUAUUUUUGUGGUUCUCGAUUAGGCAAAAGGUGUGAGAAUCCUAACCCUCUAGCAAUGUAAUCACAAUUUUCGACGUUGUUUUGGAGAACUAAGUAUUCGAAUUCUAUUUUAGGGGCUGAAAUUUUGAUUCAACAAUAUUAUUUUGGAUAAGUAUUGUUAGUUCAUCCAUGUGGUUUGAUGAACGUUUAUAGGAUUCGUGAGUUCCAAUUGAGCGGUUGAUCAAAUAAGCAAUAGGUGUAUGAAAUUAACCUGAAAACUCAAUCGAAACUCGAGAAAAUUAAGGACCACACGACUAUGUGGGUAUUUUGGCCAAUUUUAAGCCCCAAUUAGGGGCCGAUUAAAGGACUCAAAUAUUGGGUCCAUAGCCAUCAUAUAAGCCCAAAAAAAUGUAAGUUUUAGUACGUAUAUAUACAUGGCUAAGCUUAGGAGGUAUGUUAAGUAGGUUGUAUAUAAAUCAUAUGCUAUGUUAUGUUCCUUAUAAAAAUAUGUGUAUGCAUGUCAUACGACUUAUGAUAUAAGUAUUUAUGAUAUUAUAAUUAUGAUUAUGCCUAAGUUUUGGAAUGGCUUAUGAUAUGAUGGAGGAAGUGUUAUAUGAUAGUUUUUACCGCAACUAUGGCGGCUAGACUAUAAAAUUUCCGUUUGACAGCUCAGUUGCAUAUUUAUGAGUGACAUACCGCCACAUAUUGGUGUGAUUGGAUGGAUGGACUCUUGUAGUCCUAAUUGGUGAUAUUGCUUGAACGAAGAUGGUAUGAAGCAAUUGGGGGUAUGAUGUCUUAUGAUAUGGGAUAUGAUAUAAUAAGAUAAGAUAUGAAACAUGCUAUAACAUGAUAUGAAAACCGAUAUGAUAUAAGAUAUGCUCCGAUAUGCUAUGAUACAUUCUGAUUUAUAUAUAUACUACAAUGUGUGGGUCAAAUCACACACUGGAUGUUAAGCUCACACGUUUGUUAUUUCUGUUUCAGGUGAUCUUCAGAGUAAGGAUUGGAUGAUGACUAUAGAGCUCGUAUUUCACUCUUUCGGUUUAAGUAUGCAUUGGACUCUCUUUUGUUUAUAUGGACUUUUUGGACUUUUGGAUAUUUAAAAUUUAUUUGGGAUGCUAAAAAUUAUUUUGCAUUUAUUUUUCAAAAGUUUUAACUUUUAUCGAUACUUAAAUCAAGACAACUAAAAAUAAACCAUAGUUAUAAGGAAAAUUUGCUAUAAUGCUUUUUGCUGCAAGUUUUAAGGUCAAUUUGCUAUAAUGCUAUCCGCUAUAAUUAAGUUUUAUUGAAAUCUGCUAUGAUGUUUUAUCUCACAAACAAAGUAAGUAAAUUAAAUACAUUUUUGUAAAAUUAACAAAUAUGGUUUUCUUCAAUGUACUCACGGGUUUUAAAAAAUGGUACAUCUUCACCAGGUUAAUCAAACUUGUUUUCUUUUGAGUUAAAUAGUUUUUGCCAAAAUGAAGUAAUAUUGUUUUCACAUACAACGUAAUCUCCACAAUCUGACUGUAACAUCCAAGCAAUGUUUGGGGUGUUAGAAUUAGAGUUUUAAAAAAUAAUUAUUUUUUCUUUUACAAGUUAAUGUCAUUGUAGGGUUUGAUUGGUUAUCUUCAACUUUAACAGUUAAGCUUCUAAAGUCGAUGAUCCUAUUUAAAUAUAUAAAAAUUCUUUAUAUUUAAAAGAUGUUCUUAUAAGAAAACAAAGAUGUCAUAUAUGAUUGUUGCAUGUAAUUAUAUUAUUUUAUGAUUUAGGUCAUAUAUGAUUGUUGUCAUGAUAUAUAAGCAUUUAAUUAAUAUUUUAAAGUUUUAAAAAAUAAUAAAUAAUUUUAAAUAAUUUAAAAAUUUUAAAAAUAAGUUAUAUAUAUUUUUAAAACCUUAAAAAUUAUUUAAAAACUAAUGUAUCAUCCAUAAUAAAUCAUACAUCAUUAACACAUAUUGGGGCAUGCGAAAGCUUUUAAAAAAUUGAACUCAAAUAGUGGUCUACAUGGUUCAUCAAGGCAUGGCAAGUAAGUGAGUUGAAGCAAUUUGUGUCAUGAUUGCCUGUAUUUCUCUCAUAAUUUCUUUGUCACUCUGCCCCCGUGACACAUUGCAAAAUCUCCUACAUUUCAAAUAAACUGAUGUCAAGUAAAACAUUAAAGCAGAAGAGGAUCAACUAUUACCCUCACUAUCUAUUUCAAUUCUAAAAUUCCACCUCUCCUCUCCAACACCUCAUUGGUAGCCUUACUCAUCAUAACCAUCACAACCCUUUCUUUUUCCAAUACAUUUCCAGAAUGUACACUUUUAUUAUAAGAAAAUAUCCAAAAACAUUUUACCAGAAAGCUGGGCUGUGGGGUUGGGAAUGAAGGAUUUCACGCCUUCAUCUUGGGGAAGCCCAUAUUUCUUCACUUUGGCAAAACUCUCUUCUGGGUCGAUUCUACAAAAUAUUUAUUAGCUCAUUUUGUGAAAGAGGUAAUUGUGAGAUGAUUGAUCAUUUUGUUUCUACAUUAUAAGUAAAAAUUGUAAUAUAUAUCCUAAACUUGAGUUGUCAUAUUCUAAUAUUUCUUUGCUCAAUAUUUACUUGAUUGUAUACAUUAGAUUUGCACCCGAAGCAAUAGUUUUAGAACACUUACAGUAAUAGUUUUAGUCUUUCAACUUCAUCAACUAAUCUUUUAUAGUUAUGUGUAUCGAUUGUGGUCAUAAACCAACUAAAAAUCUGAUUAAGGUAUAUGUACUUAUCAAUUAAUAGUAUAGUUACGAUGAAUAAAGAUAUCAUUCCCACGAUGGCUAAAAAUACUAGUAAUUAUUGUCUUUCUAUUAUUUAACCGACAAAUUGGAGUGAUUGAUUAAAACUAAAAUUAAAUUAACUAAUUAACUAAAGAACAUGACAAAGAACAAAUCAGAAAAAUAAACGAUUAACAACCAAAAAGCGAGACAAUACCCAGGAAAUAAUCCACCUAGACUUCAUCUGUCAUUAUCAAUCUAAAUCACGUAAUUUCUUCACUUACUAUCUUGAUCCGUAGAAAUCCCUAAAUUAUGGUAAUAUCACUCUUCAAGACUCUAGAUUGAUUAAUUGAAAUUUCUUUCUAAUUAAAACUCCUAUUAUCGCAUUAACUCGAUUUAUGGAUUAUUCUAUUAGAUUUGACUCUAAUCCGGUAGAUUUAUGUAAUCCUAUUUUUAGGAUUGUAUGCAACUCCACUCAAUUACGCUAGAUCUACUCUUAAAUAUGGUCUAUUCCUCCUUUGGUUUAAGCACAUAAAACAUGAAUCAAUAGUCUAAAAAUAUUAAACUAUGAAUUAAACACACAUAAUUGAGAACAAGAUCUAAGUAUUUAUUCCAUAAAAAUAGAAAUCAAAUAAUAGAAUCCAUCCUAAGUUUUAUCUCCCUAGGUAUUUGGAAAAUUAGUACAUAUAGUAAAUAAAAACAUCCCAAAAAUAGUAUAACCAUAAGAAAUAAAGAAACUCAUAAUAAACUUCAAAAAAAUCAAAAGGAGAACUUCAAUAUUGAUGGAAAUCUACUUCAAAGUCGGCUUUAAUAGUAUUUUCCGAGUUGCUUUCUUCAAUGUUAUAUGACAACUCACUGAUCCCCUCCUCUUAUCUUUGUCAUAUAUAUCUUAGAAUGCUCGAAAAACCUAAAAAUUAUGAUUUUUUGCGUGUUUAGAGUGCAAUUUACGAUUUUCACAUGGUCUAGCACAUGGUCGUUUUGUAAUGACCCAAAAUUCACGGGCAUCGGAAAAGUAUAAUAUCGGGCCUCCGUCUUAGUAAAUUGAGUUUAAAAAUAAUUAUUAGAAAUAUUUACUAGACUAGUUGUGUGUUUAAUUAGGUUUUAGAUAGGUGAAUUUAGCUUAAUUAAGAGUAAUUAGCAAAAAGGAUUAAAUUACAAUAGAAGUGAAAGUUUAAUUAUAAAUUAAAAUAAAAUAAAGGAGAUUAAAGAGGCAAUUAUGCCAAUUGCCAAAUUUGAGGCCGCAUAAGCAUAAAAAUCUAAUAUUUUUAUGUGUUAAAAUAUGUUAUUAAAUUAUUAUUAUUAUUAUUAUUAUUAUUAUUAUUAUUAUUAUUAUGAAAUAAAUAAGAUGGUGACAAAUGUAUGGCAAUAAAAUUAGUACAUGUGUAAAACAUGUAUUUAAACACUUGUAUUAUAAUGAUAUAUUUUCUUAAAUUUUAAGUGAAGGUAUUUAUAUAUUAUAUGUGAAAUUAUUAUAUUAUUAUAUUAUAUUAAUAAAAAUAUCUAUAUUAGUUAAAUGUUAAAAUAAUAUAAAGUAAAUAAUAAAAAGAAAAGAAAAGAAAAAGAGAGAAGGAAGAAACAGAGGCAUUCGAAACAGAGCAGGAAAAAGAAAGAAAGAAAAGAAAAAGGAAAAACUAAAGGUUUAAUGUUUAAAGCUUUGAUUGGUAAGUCAAUUGAGCCCUUUUUAUUUAGUUUUGAUGAUUUAGAAGCUUUAAAACAAAGUUUUGAUGAAAUUAAGUUGAUAUUUUGUAAGUUCAUAGGUUUUUAAGCAUGGUUCAUGUUGAAUAAAUUGUUGAAUUAGGGAUUUAAUUGAAUAAAUUUUAAGUUAGAAUUGAUAAAAGGAUUAAAUUGUAAAAGAAACUAUAACUUUUAUGUUUUAGGGACUAAAUUGAGGGAAAUUAGAAAUUAGGAAAAUAUGCUGAAAUUUUAAUAGUUACAUUUGAGUUUGGAUGAAAUUUGAAUAGAAAUAGAGUGUGAAUUGAAUUAGGAAAGUAAGUGAACUUAGUUAGGAUUAAAUUGAGAAUAAGGGUUGAAAUUGAAUAGAAAUUCAAUUAUUUAUCAUAAUUAGUGCUGAAUUUAAUAGUAUAAAUUAUUAUUAUUUUCGUAGCUAACAAAGAACCAUAAGCACCGGCACGGAAGGGAAAAGAGAAGAUUUUCGAGGAGUAAACUCGAGAAAAGCACGGUUUGUAUUACUAUAAUUCAAGUUAUUUAUUAUUAAAUGUUAAAUUUCAAUUUAUGUGUUUGGUAAAUGAAAUGUGAGGUAAGUAUUAUUAUUAUUAUUAUUAUUAUUAUUAUUAUUAUUAUUAUUAUUAUUAUUAUGAGUGAGAAUUAAAUUGAAUAGUUGAUAUGAAUUAAUAUUUGAAUUGUUUGUUGAUUGAAAGUGGGAAGUGAAUUUGAAUCGAAUUGUGACUGAUAUUAAAUUGAAUGGAAAUGUAUUGAGUUGUGAAAAUGUGUGAAUUUGUGGAUUAAUUAUUGAUUGAAAGGUGGAAAAUGAUUGAAUUGGGGUUAUAUGUGAUUUAAAUGCCCUAUUAACUAGUCGGGCUGAGUCGGAUAUAGUUGGCAUGCCAUAGGAUUGGAAGAGUUCAGGGAUGCUUCUACCUCGAGUCGAUGAGACACUGGGUGUCACUAUAUUUCUUCGGAUAGAUUUGAUGAGGUACUGGGUACUAACUUUCUUCGGCUUUGUCGAUGAGACACUGGGUGUCAACUAUUGCUUCGAACUAUCCGAUGAGGCACUGGGUGCCAAUCUGGUGUGUUUGGUUGGAUCCGUGUAUCUGCCAAAGUCCGAGUUUUGUUAACAAGGGUAAAUAAUGAAAUGAUAAAUCGAAUGAGUUUGGUAAAUCGAGCUACUGAAAUGAGAUGAAAAAGUUGAAUUGUGAAUUGAAAUGUGAUACGAGAUUGAAGAAUAAACCUAAGGUUCAUGAUGUGUUCAAAGCUCAGAUUGUGGAUACAUGAUAUUAAUUGAUAAAUUGUUAUUGUUGUAUUAUGAAAUUUGAGUUUAAACUUGUAUGUAUGAUUUGUGCAUGAUAUGUUUGAUGAUUAUGUUUUAUUGUUAUUAUUAUAAUUUGAAUUAUGGUAAUACCACUGAGUUCGAAUACUCAGCGUAUGGUUGUUUUCGUGCGCAGGUCGAUAGAAGUCAAAGGUUCCAAUUCAGCAUCCAGAUCAAUCCCGAUUCCAGCAUAAAGAUUUUGGUGAUGUUUUCUUCCUUCAGUGAAAGUGGCAUGUACAUAAGGAUUAUAAUGGUUAUUUUGGUAUGUUAUAUAAUUUUGUUGUAAAGUAAGAUAUUAGGUGAUUUGAUGAUUUAAGUGGUGAAAUGAUAGAAAUUGUUUAUGGCAUUAAUAGUGAACUAAAAUGGUUUGAAUAGUUUUACGAGCUAAUUAGAAAUGAUAAUAGGGUUUUUAUUAAUUAAGUUAUUAAGACAUUAUGUCAAGUAAGAUUUAAGUAUAUUUAAGUAUAUAAAUUCCUUAGUUGAAAUACUGGAAUUAGGUUGGUUGUGUUUUGAAAUUUGCAGGGGGUUUUAUAUAAAAAUAAGCAGAAAUAUUGUCGAAAUUAAAAAAAAAUUGAAAUACUUGAACAAGUUCCGUUCUACUUUUAAUAUAUGUUUUGGGCUUCGAGAGUCCAUUAUAGGAAUAUAAUUAUUAGAUUAUACUAUGAACAUUAUUUUAAUUAUGAAUUAUUAGUAAAUUGUCUGACAGGUCCGGUAAUGCCUCGUAACCCUAUUUUGCUCAUUUUUUACUCAUUUUGCUUCCAAAUGCUCUUCUAAGUAUAGAAACAUGAAUUUAAAGUAUUAGGAGCAUAAAAUUCACCGUUAACACAUUUUCUCUGUAUAUUUAGCAUAUAUUUGAACUUCGAGUUUCUGCUUUGCAGUUUAGGUUCAAAAAUAUGAACCCAUGUUUUCAAAGGUCUAAUUUUUCCAUGAACAGCCGGAAAUGAAAAGAAAAAAAAUAUUUUAAAAAAAUGAAAGAAAAGAAAAAUGAAAAUAUAGUUUAAUGAGACUUACAUAAAUGUCGGGAUUGAGAAAAUGAUUGUCUAAAAAGAAGCAGAAAUUUGGCCGUCCAAGCCAUCUUAUUCAGUUCACCGAUACAAGUUUCUCCGCUUAGCCGCCGCUACUCUGAAAAUGACGAAGGACUAACUAGUUUAACAACAGUACCAGUACGACGUCAUAAGAAUGUAUUCUACAUGGCAUUCGUGUCAUCUAGCUAAGUCAAACUACGAAGCUACAGUUAGACUUCGAUUUUAGUUGGGUUUGGUUUCUUAGCUGGAGUUCUAUUUAAACUUGGGUUUUGUUUUCGGUUAAAUUACCCUAUUAGUUACUAAAUUAUAGGUUGCUUUUGUGUUGUUCACUUAACUAAAAAAAAAGUUAAAAUUUUGUUACUGAAGUAUUCGAAUAUUUUCAUUUAAGUCACUAAAACAAGAUCUUUUUAAAUAAGAAAUAAAUAUUUUUUAUAGAGAAAUUUUAUAUAUAAAAAAUAAAAUACUUUAAUUUAAAAGUACAUUUUGUUUAAUCACUUUAAUAGCUUUUGGAGUGAUGAAAAGUCUAAUUUCACUUUCCACCUAAAAUGAUUUUUUUGGUAAUUUUCUUACCGAGCUGGGACUCAAUUGAUAGUUGACGUCAACUCAGUAAAAAGCUUUAACACAGUAUAGAUAAAAAAAAGUUUUAAAUUAAAAUUUUUAAAAUAAUUUAGGGUAAACUACACCAGUCAUUCAACUAUAGGUAAGUUUUCGUUUUAAUCACUUAAAAAAAAUUACAAUUUGAUUACUAAUGCUUUCAUAAUUGUUUUUCUUUUUUGUCAUCCAAUUGUUAAGUCAUACUUGUUUUAGUUAGUAUAAUAAUAAUUUUAGUCCUCAAUUUUUAUAUUUUUUGUCAAUUUGACUCUGAUUUUGUAUAUAAUUACAAAAAAAAACUCACAAUUAUUUAUAAAAUAGAAAAAUGCAUAGAAAAAUUCUAGAAAAAUAAAAUCUUAAAUAUAUUGUUUCAUAACUAAAUUGUAUGAGAAAUAAAGAAAAUUGUCAUUCAAUAACAUCAGAUAAUAAAUUAAAAUAAAAAAAAAGCUAGAUUAUUAUAUGUUUCCUAAAUAUUUCUCAAAACUAAAUUAGUAGUAUUAUCAAACACAUUAAGAAUGAGAUUAAAAUAUGUUAAUUUUGUAGCUUAUCAUACCCCUAAACCACAACUAAAAAGUUUAAUCUGAUAUGGUGGCAUCCACCAUUAAUAAUUGACUCCCAAUUUAGGUUCUUUUUGUCUUGUUUCUCUUUGCACUCGUAGUUUUAGAUCAUCAGAGUCUUCAUGGUGGACCCUAGAGCUUAAAGGAGGCUAAAGAUGGUGGAAUCCAAGGUAGUGUGAAAUAACAUGGUCUUGACCUAUAACACUAAAAUUGCUCUAGCUUAAAUGAAAAUGAAAAUAUUUUGCAUGCAUGAUAUCUCUAGUUUAAAUCUUAUUAUCGAUAAAGUUUUAUUGAUUUAUGAAAAGAUGAAUAUACCUUUGUAAUUAUAUAUCUUACUUUACAAAUAAAAUGUUUUUUUUUAGCAAUUUUCUUAAUGUGUUCAGACUAAUUGAUGGUUGACACUAUGUCAGUAAAAGGCCUAAUACAUAAUAUAGAUUAAAAAAAUUUAAACUAAAAUUUUUAAAACAAUUUAAGGUAAAUUACACCAUUAGUCAUUCAACCAUGAGUAAAUUUUCGCUUUGAUCAUUUAACUAAAAAAAAUUACAAUUUAGUCAUUAAUAUUUUUGACAUUAUUUUUUUAAUCACUUGAGUGUUAAGUGGCACUUGUUUUAAUUGGUAUAAUAAUAAUUUUAGUAUCUUUUUUUUUAUAUUUUCUAUCAAUUUGACUCUGAUUUUGUAUAAAAUUAUAAAAAAAAAACUCAAAAUUUUAAAAAUAGAAAAUGUUUAUAAAAAUUCUAGAAAAAUAAAAUCUUGAAUAUGUUGUUGAGUAACUACAUUGUAUGAGAAAUAAAGCAAAUUAUCAUUCAAUAAAAUUCGAUAACAAAUUAAAAACAGAACAAAACCAAAAAAAGCUUCCUCAAUGUUUCUCGAAACCAAGUUAAUAAUAUUAUCAAGUUAAGUUUCAUGCCCUUGAAGAACAUCUAGAACUGAUAUUACCAAGGCUUAUGAAAUUGACCCUAAUGCCAUUUUUUAGUCAAAAGAAUACAAGAUAUAUAACAAACUUUCCUUUUUCAAACUUAAUUCAAUUUUUCAUUACAUUCAAAUUAUUUUUCAAAACUCAAAUUAUAAAAAUAAAUUAUAUUUAGAAAAAAAAUUUAUAACGUAAAAGUUAUGUCAAGAAACAGAGAAUAAAUAAUUUUGCUUAAUGUUUUUUCUACCUUUUUUACUAAGGAUUGUGUAUUGGAUAUUUCGAUACAGAUAAUAUAGAGAAAUUUUGUACGGCUUAAAAACAAUUAUCUCUCAUUUUCUCUCACUUUAUUUAUUUUUGAAAUUUUUAUCUACUUUUAUUUAAUUUUUUAUUUUAUAAUGUUCUAAAAUUUUAAAAAUAAUUUUAAUUUUUUACCAUUUUAUACAUUAUCAAGAUCAAAUUGACUGAAAGUAUAAAAUUUGAGGAUUAAAAUUGUUAUUAUAUCAAUUAAAAAAGUGUCACUUAACAUUUGAGAGAUAAAAAAAAUUUCAAAAACAUUAGUGAUGAAAUUGUAACUUUUUUAAUUAAGUGACCAAAACAAAAAUGCCCAUAGUUUAGUGGCUAAUACUGUAGCCUUUUUUUGGUAAAAUGAAAAUUUGACCCUGAUUUUGUAUUAAAAAAAACUCAAAAUUAUUUAUAAGAUAGAAAAAUAUAGAUUAUUUAACAUAGGGAUUUUUUACCCAAAUCAUAUAAAAAAUAAUUACUUAUGAAAAUGGUAUGGAAUAUAGCUUAAUUACAAAAAUAAGGCAUUUGGUACAAUGUUCUGCUAGUGUCGCCUGGCAUAUUGGUAGUACUAGAUUAAAAUGUGAUGACCUAAAAUACUCAAGGACUUGAUAUGUAAAUAUCUCAUUUUGGUUGGCUGUUGAAAAUAAGCUAUAAGAGUGUUGUGUGACAGUGUAGCGGCACAAAAUCUUAAAUAGGGUUAAUUUCUUUGUAAACCGUCAUUAUUUAUUAUUUUGUUUUUAUUCUUCUUCAACACCAAAAUCAGAAAGGCUUCUUACCAAUUAAUUCAGGUCAAAUUAUGUCUGGCAUAACAGUUAUCACUAUUGAUAGUAAUUUUCUUUGGCUCAUAUAUAUCUAAUAAAGUGUAAAUUUAACUAAUAAUUAUAAUUUAUAUAUAGUAAAUAUUUUUUUUAAAAUUUUAUAUGGUGCCCGUAAAUAAAAUUGAUAAAAAGAAUAUCUGUAAUGGCAGACAGCAAAGAAAAAGCUAAAAGAAACUUCAUAAUUUGCCUGUUUUUAUCUUCAGUUUCUUCUUAUCUCUUCUUCACUGCUUUUAAUUUGUUUCGAUGUCCAAGGUCUAUCACAAAUUUUCAAGCAUCCAGUCAACGUAAUUUUCUUUCAUUUCCUUAAUUCAUGACAUGCUUUUCUUUGCUUUUGAUUAUCUGCUACUGUUAUAGCAGCUAGCUUUGUAAGCCAAGGAAGAAGUGAACUUCACUGCUUCAUUUUCAGUUCUAUUCUCUCAACACUUUCAGCCACUAAGUCAGGUAAUAAGAUCUGAAGCAAUGAUUUCCUCUACUGAUUAUCAACAGUUUUAGAUUUUAAGAUAAGAUGAUCAGCAGACAUAAUCUACUCUAGAUUGAAAUUAAUACAGAAAGAGCUACCCAGAAGCAAUAUAAUGUUGAAAUCUCAAACUGUCAACAUCUUAACUCUUAAUAUUCUGUAAUGAACUGUUGCACACUUGAAUCUAGCAUUUUUUAUACAUCGAGAGCUUAAUUCUAGUGACCAGAAUUUCAUCAUGUUUCUGUCUGCCACCCAUCCAUAGCUCCAUCUCAUAAACGCCAUUGCUUGAAACUUUGUUGGAGCAAAGAGACAAUAACAGGCUGUUUUGUAUCUUGCUUGAAUAAUAAGCCUCGAGCCUUGGUGAAGAAACAAACUCAGAAGCAAAAACAGAAAAUGAAAUUAGCAAGCGAAUAACAGAAAAGAGAGAAGAAGAAUGAAUGAAAAAAAUGAGCUGAUGUUUUUCAUUAACACACAACAAGGCAUUUAAGCCAUUACAUAUUUCAGUCAACAAGUAAAACAAACAAGUAAUCACCUAAUCAACUACCUAACUCCACUAAUUUGCAUUGAAACUUUCAAGAUUAGCUUGUACAACUUGCAUUGCUGACUUUUCAGUCAAUCAAUAUCAAAACAUUUACCUACCUAGUUCAACAUGAACUAGAUUACAAAACAAUCAAAAUGGAACCAAAACAGCAAGUGGAUUGGCAGCUUCAAACUUCAGUUGCUGCACACAAUGGCACCACUGCUUGCUGCUAUUUCUUCGAGCAUGACCACCUUUGCAUGUCGUGCAUGGCCACCUUUGCAUGGGAACUAAACUUAACAAACUUGCAUUCAUGCUUACACUGACAAUACUUCAUGAUAUAUCCAAUUCAUUCGCAGAUUUUCAUUCUCUGCUACUGUUAUAUAUGAUUGCAUUGCAGGGACAUAGCAAUGGAAUACGUAGAGCCUGUUGCCGGCAUUGCAACUUGUGUCGGAACUCCUGUUUGUAAAUAUUUGCAAUAUCACAGAAAGCUGAACGAUUAUGUGAGAAGCUUCAAGAGGAUCAGAGAUGAAUUGAAUUGCAAAAUGGAAGAUAUAGAGCUGCAAUUGAAAGCAGAGCUUCUUUCUCCUGGGAGGAAGAUACCAAAGCAGGGAGUUGAAAAUUGGUUGAAAGAUGCGAAUGAGAUGAUUGCGGAAGCACAGGAUGUGGAAAAUAAAGUCAGAAACGGGAGAUAUCUCUGUCGUGCUUGCAACGGGAAGCUGGUUGAUGAGAAGACUGGAGAAAUGAAGGGAUUUCUUGAUAAAGCUCCUAAUGCCUCUGAAGGUCUUGCCAUAGAUGGUCCAAGUGCUGGGUUGCCGCUGCCAACAUCAGAACUAGUUGGAGAGGAAGCUGUCAGAAAUGAGAUUUGGGCAUGUUUGAUGCAGGAGAAGGUGAGCAAGAUUGGGGUUUGGGGGAGUGUAGGUAAAACCACUAUCAUGAAGCACAUCCACAAUGAUCUUUUAAAGCAACAAAGAUUCGAAAGGGUAAUCUGGGUUACCAUAUCAAAGGAGUUCAAUGUAAUGAAGGUGCAAGAUGAUAUUGCAGCUGCUUUGAAGUUGAAGGAAGAUUGGCCUAGAGAAGGAGACAAGCUAAGACGAGCAGCAAUCUUGUCAGAAAUGCUGAAGAACGCAGGAAAGCAUGUUCUAAUCCUAGAUGAUGUGUGGGAUGAAUUCUCUCGAGAAGAAGUUGGGAUCCCCGAGCCGAGUGACAGCAAUGGCUGCAAGUUGGUGUUGACAACCCGUUCGGAGCAUGUCUGUAAGUUUAUGGGUUGUAAGGUGAUAAAAGUGAAGCCCCUUUCAGCACAACAGGCAUUGACACUAUUCUUGAGUAAAGUUGGCCCGAACAUAGUGCAAAAUCAAACUUUAAUGCCAAUUUUGAGGCUCGUUGUUGAAGAAUGUGCGGGUCUACCUCUUACAAUUGUCGUCAUAGCUGGUACAUUGAGAGGAGAAGAUGACCCUCUUAUUUGGAAAAAUACACUAAGGGAAUUGAAAGAGAGAAUAGGGAAAGUGCAAGAAGGGGAAGAUAAAGUGAUCGAGAGUUUGAAAGUUAGCUUCAAUCACUUAAAUGACGAGAAAAUGAAGCAUUGUUUCUUACAUUGUGCAUUAUAUCCCGAAGAUUUUGGAAUUGAAAAGCAUGGGCUAAUUGAUAGCUGGAUUGAAGAGGGAUUCAUAGAUGACAUGAGUACAAGACAAGAAACGAAAGAUAAGGGCCAUGUUAUUUUGAAGAAAUUAGAAGAUAAUUGCUUGUUGGAAAAGGUCUCGAGUGUAACAGUGAAAAUGCAUGAUGCAGUGAGAGACAUGGCAUUGUCGAUCACAAGAAUGAAUCCUCGAUAUAUGAUACAAGCAGGUUCGCAAUUAGAAGAGUUACCAGAAAAGGAGCAAUGGAGUCCGGAUAUUGAGAAAGUGUCACUUAUGUAUAACUCCAUAUCAGAAAUUUCCAUCGAUGUGCUGCCCACAAAAUGUCAACUGCUCACAACCUUGUUAUUGCAGGAGAACCCUAUAAAGAAGAUCUCAAGUUCUUUCUUCACAAACAUGCCUUGUCUUAGUGUUCUCAAUUUGUCCUCUACGAAGAUCAAAAGUUUACCAAAUUCCAUCUCUGAACUAAAGAACCUCACAACAUUGUUGCUUUGUGGUUGUGAAGAAUUAAGAGAUCUGCCAUGUCUUUCGAUGCUUCAAGAAUUGAAGAAGUUGGAUCUUUCUGGGACUAAAAUUGAGGAAGUNNNNNNNNNNNNNNNNNNNNNNNNNNNNNNNNNNNNNNNNNNNNNNNNNNNNNNNNNNNNNNNNNNNNNNNNNNNNNNNNNNNNNNNNNNNNNNNNNNNNAUAUGCUGAUAAAGCUAAGAUAUCUUGAUCUUAGAGUGCGCACUCUGAAAGAGAUACCCGCGGGACUUUUACCAAAACUCGUUCACCUUCAGCACUUGGGUUUUCAUGAGAACAAUGAAAAAACAAGUCUAAAAGCAGAGGAGAUGGAACCAUUGAAGAAGUUGGAGUACUUAACCGGACAUUUCGAAGACAUCAGUGAAUUCAAUAAGUUCAUCUCCUCAAUGCAACAAAGUAAGAAAAAUCUCAUCAAGUACUUUUUACAGGUGGGCUCAUAUAAUGUGUGUAUUGGAAGGGAGAAAACAGUAACAAUUGGAGGAGUCCAGAAUUGGGAAGGUGAGUUAAUUAUGCACCCAAUUGAAAUUCGAGAUUUGACUAUUAUAAGGUGCGACUAUUUCAGAAACUUAGUCGAUGAUGAUUCUUCCUUCAAAAAUGCGAUUGACUUGAGGGUUUGUAGGAUUUGGGGGUGUGAAGGGAUAGAGUGUGUUGUUUCCCUGUCCUCUUUUGCCUCUUCUUCCGCUCAUCUAUUUCAGAGCCUCGAGGUGUUGUAUCUUCGUGAUCUGCCAAAGCUGAGUGCCCUUAUUAUGAAUGAUGCAGGAAUUGGUUCAGCAACAACAUCAACAUUGGCUCCGUCUGCCACCUUUUCCCAUCUCAAGGAAAUUAUGAUAGUGAACUGCUCAAGUAUGAAGACGCUGCUUCCACAUUGGUUGCUUCCAAACCUCCAAAACCUGGAAGAAAUAGAUGUGGAUGCUUGUAGUCAGCUAGUAGAAAUAUUGGGAGCAGCAACAUCAGAAGUUGAAGAAAAAGGGAGUGAUGCAUUAAUCAAAUUCCAUCUUCCCAAAUUGAGAGAGUUGUCAUUCUCGGAAUUACCAAAUUUGAAGAGCAUAUGCAGCAAAAGUGGAGUGAUAGUUUGUGAUUCUCUCCAACUUAUCCAAGUUGCUGGAGACUGUUAUAAACUGAAGAGAAUUCCUCCAUUUGUUCCUCUUGUUGGCAAUGGGCAGCCAUUUGCAUAUGCUCCACCUUCUCUUACCAUCAGGUCAUGGAAAGAAUGGUGGGAAUUGUUGGAGUGGGAUGACCAUCCAAACUUUAAAAAUGUUCUUCGCUUCAACCCCGUUGAGGAUAAGAGGUAUGAACCAUUUAUGGUUUAGUUUAUUUUUUUUAUUUUGAUAAAUCUAAUUUCUCCAUAUUAAUUAAAUUUGAAGUAUAUUUGUGAAGAUGUUGAAGAGAAAGAUAAAAGGGUUGGUGGGAAAGAAGUAGGGGGGAGGAUAGUGCAAAAGAGAGGAGAAAAGGAAUGAUGGAAGAACAUGGAGACUGAGGGGCAAAGGUAAAUAAGAAAUCAAACUGUCUCCCCUUUUUAAACAUUUUCCCUCUCUUGCCAUUCCUUCUAUUCUCUUAUAUAUUCUUCUCUAGUAUAUAUAUAUAUAUACACUUCCCAAAAUAACCUUCUAAAUAUUUAUUAUUAAAAUAUUUAUAUUAAUCAAAAUGAUUUAAGGUGAGACAAAACUAUGAUCAUAGUUUUAUUUCCAAUAACAGUUAGGAAAGUAUUGUAAAAAGACAUAAUAUUUUUUAAUUUCCAUGUAAAAUUUCUGGAAACAUUAAGAUUUAAAAAAUAAUAAUAUAGUUAGAAAUUAAUACCAAGAGAGCUACCCAGAAGCAAUAUAAUGUUGAAAUCCCAAACUGUUGAACAUUUUACCUCUUAAUAUUCUGUUGCACACUUGAAUCCAGCAUUUUCUAUACAUUGAGAGGUUAAUUCUGGAUAUACAAAUUUCAUCAUGUUUCUGUCUGCCACCCAUCCAUGGCUCCAUCUAAUAAACGCCAUUGCUUCAAACUUGCACUCAUGCUUACACUGACAUAUCAAAAAGCCAAUACAUUCACAGAUUUUCAUUCUCUGCUACUGUUAUAUUUGCAUGGACAUAGCAAUGGAGUACGUAGAGCCUGUUCUUGGCAUUGCAAAUUGUCUCGGAACUCCGGCUUAUAAAUACUUGCUGUAUCACAGAAAGCUCAAUGAUUGUGUGAGAAACUUCAAGAGGAUGAGAGAUGAGUUGAAUUGCAAAACGGAAUAUAUAGAGUUGCAAUUGAAAGCAGAGCUUCUUCGUCCUCUGGGGAAGAUACCGAAGAAGGGAGUUGAAAAUUGGUUGAAAGCUGUGAAAGAGAUGAUUAGGGAAGCACAAGUUGUUGAAAACAAAGUCAGUAACGGGAGAUAUCUCUGUCGUACUUGCAACGGGAAGCUGGUUGAUGAAACGACUCGAGAAAUGAAGGAAUUUCUUGAUAACGCUCCUAAUGCCUCUGAAGGUCUUGCAAUGGAUGGUCCAAGUGCUGGGUUGCUACUGCCAACAUCAGAACUAGUUGGAGAAGAAGCUGUCAGAAAUGAGAUUUGGGCAUGUUUGAUGCAGGAGGAGGUGAGCAAGAGUGGGGUUUGGGCAUAAAAAAGUAUUAAAAUAGAUCAUUGCUAAUUCUCUGUUUUCUUAAUCGGUAAGUUUCUCUCUUCAAAUCCUUUUAUUUCUUUAUUGAAUCCAUGGCAUAUCAUUUGCAAACCGAUUUCUGUACAGUUUGUUUGUUCAAUUUUCACUUUCCAGUUUUUUUCUUGAUUUAGAUGGAAGAUUCUUUUGCUGCAUUUGAAGAGUUUCUAAAAAUUUUAGUGUUUUCCUAAAUCUAACUUUCUCGACACCACGUGCACGUAUAAAUUCCUUUCGUGGAGAUUAUUUAUCAUGUUUGUGUGUUUCGUCUUUUGAGGUUGAGCUGUUUUAAAAAUAAAUAUUUAUUUUCUUUUGCAUUUAUUUCUAAGAUCACCAUAAAUUGUUUAGGGUUGUCGAUUUUGGGAUUUUGGGUUUUGGGUGGUUUAAUUUGGGGAUUUUGGGUAAGGGUUUUGAUUUUGGGAAUUUUUGUUUAGGGUUUUUAAUUUUGGAGAUUUUGGGGAUUUCUCACACCGCCCUCCUCAUCACCUUCAAAGCCAAGAAAUCUACAUCUAGGUUCAUGCAAAAAGUCGCCAGAACGCAUGUUUAAAACCUCGGGUCACUUCUGCCAUGCGGAUUGCAUCGAACUAAUUGAAGACUCUAUCAAAUAGCUCCAAAAAUCUAUACGUAAAAUUUUUUUCAUAUCAGAUGCUCCAACUUUGUGCUUAUGAGUGAUCUUCAAACCUAGGUUAAUGCUGCUCUGACGAAUGAAGAUACUUGCAUGGAUGGAUUCUUAAGCAGGGCUAUGAAUGGGUAUGCAAAGAUGAUGGUGAGGAAACGAAUUAUUAAGAUUACACAAUUGACGAGCAAUGUUUUGGCUCUCAUCAAUAACUACGCUUCAUCUCAGAUCCUUCAUUGAUUUUCUUGAGAAAAUUUUGAUGGCAAGGAAAGCAUUGUGUUUCAUGGAUUUAUGUUCAAUAUGGGAUUUUAUGGUUUUCGAACAAGACUUAAGUUUUUAAGGUACUGUAGAUUGUGUUCUCAAUUCUAUGUUUGUGGUUAUUGAUUUUUGCAAUUGUAUCGGUUUGAAUAUGAAAUUUGUGUUCGUGUAUAUUUAGAGGUUAAUGUUGACCGUUAAAUAGCUAACGGCCACAUCAGCCUCUAUGUUAAAAACAAACCAAUUUGUUAGAAAUUUAAAUUUUACACUAUAAAAUUAAUUUUUAAAAUUAACUAUUCAAUUUGUAAUUGAUUUUAUUAAAUUAAAAUAUUCACUAAUUUUUAAAAAUAUUCUCCAUGUUAAUUAAAAAAUAUUUAAGAAUUCAGUUAAAUGAUAAUCAAUUUAUAUUAAAAUUAACUAUUCAAUUGGUUGUAUUAUUUCAUUAAUGUUCUUAUAAUAUUAUUUCAUUUUUAUUUAUAGACACCAACUUCAAAAUCAGAAGAGAAUUAAUUUACGAGAAGAUAUGAUUUAUACUGUAAACGAUAAAUAAGAUAUUAUCAAUUGAUAUGAUAAAAACUUAAAUAAUAUAAAAAGAGUAGCAAAAUAAAUUGAAAACAUUUGAUAUGGUCUAAAUGAACUAUAAUAAAAGGAUUAUAUAUUUUGAAAUGGUGAUUUGAGAGACAACUAAUCAAUCCUACUAUCUUGUCUUUUUUAAAUAAUUUGGGAUCAAAGAUCCAUCAAAGAUGACUCACAUAUGUUUCCCAAAGAUACGAUAAAUAUAUAUAUAUAUAUAUUCCUAUCAAGCAAGUUGACAGCUAAAGGGUGCAAUUUUGACUUUGCUAAAUUCUCUAGCAUCAAAGAGGCAAGAUAUGUUGCAAACAAGACAUAAAUUACCAAUAUCAACCCCUACUUUUGUAUGAUAGAGAAAAUAUGAUGUACAAGUUUACAGUCAUGGAAUGUAUUAGGUGCAUUGAAGAUAAUUCGGUGUUAGAAUCAAAGAUAUUUAUCGGUAUUUUUGUUAAUUGUAAAAUUGUGCAUAAACUGGAAAAAAUGUUUGAUUGCCAUUACAAGAAUUUCUUUAAAGUUAAUAGUUUGAAAGAUAAUUUUAAGUAGGAGUUGGAAGGCAUUGCUAUAAAGAGAAUCUAAAGAAAGUAAUUUCAUUUUGAGUUUCAAGUGAAAGGAAUGAAAGAAAGGUUGCUUAAAUAAAUACGGAAUUGGAUAUUGAGCUGUUUUGAAUAGUUGGAGCGAAUGACACAUGGACCAUAUGAAAUUCUAGUCUACCAAAGUAAUGCUAAUCAGAUUCCUCUUUGGAAAUGAUCAACUUUUCAAAACAUUGUCAAUCUACCUUGAAAGGUGGCAUCGGUGAAAGAAUCAAUCAUGAAAUAUUAAAAUUAUACUAAAAUGACUAUAAAGAUUUAUUUCCCCCAUAAAUAAACAUAUUCUUAUUCUUCCUUAAAAAUUAACAUGAUUUUAUCUUAAUAUACAUGUAUAUAUAUUUAUGUGUCAAAAUAGCCUUCUAAAAUAUUUAUUUUAGAAAAUAAUUUAUAUAAUACAUAUAAAAUUAAUUAUAAACUUAUUUUGAUAAGAUGUCGAAAUUAAAUAUUAUAAUGGUCCUUUACCACAUUCAACACUAACUUUUAUUUUAUUAUUUUUUAAAAAUAAACUUUAAAUUUUAUAAUAAACAGCAUACAUAGGCUUCAAAUUUUAAGUUUAAAAUAUGGGAUAAUAGUUUACUAUAGACCCAUCCAUGGGCCCUUGACCAGAGUCGGGUGUAUAUAGAUAAAGGUUUUUAUAAUUUGGGUCGGUCCAACUCAAAUUUAAUUUAAAUAAAUUUUUUUUUUAAAAUUUAAAUUUAAUUAUAAAAAUAUGCUUCUUUUUUUUUUUUGAACAUUGAAACGAACUGUUUAGGUAGAUCGAGUUGGGUUGAAAAUGGGUUUGGACUUGAAAAUUUUAGAUUUUUUUAAGAGAAUAAUAAUAUCAAGGAGUCUAGUAAUUAAAAAUUUUAUAUUAAAUUUUUACUGUUUGAAAUCUUCUAAUAACAUAAAAAAAAAUUUAAACCAAAGUUUUUAAAAGAAUUUAGGGUAAACUACACCAUUAGUCACUCAAAAAAGGGUCAAUUUUCAUUUUGAUCACUUAACUAAAAUAAGAUACAAUUUAGUCACUAAUGUUUCUAGAAAAAAAUUUUGGUCACCCGACUGUUAAGUGGCGCUUACUUUAGCUGGUAUGAUAACAAUUUUUGUCACAUCCCAAAAACCAAGUUCGUAGAAAUUGGGUUUGUCAAACCAAGAGUGGUGACGUCCUAUUUUUGAGUUAAGAUUGUGAAAAUUAUGUUAAGUAAAUUGAUUUGGUUCAGUGGUUAAGUGCUUUGGAUGUGUUUAAGGUCUUGUGUUCAAAUCUUUUCCCUUAAAUUUUCAUUAUUUUUGUCCUAACUUUCAUCUCUGAACAUCUAGCUUAUAUAUUAUUUUUGCUCAAUUGAUAAUUAGAAUGAGUUUACUAGUUUAGUGGUAAGGCUUUAGUUUACUUAGAGGUCUUGUGUUUGAAUCUUAUGUGUGUAAAGUGAAAUUAUUUUUGUUUUUAAACUCUAAGAAAUUUUUUUUAUAAGGAUAGCUAAUCAAAUUGAGUGUGGAAGUUUUCCAUUUUCCUACAAACUUUCCCCAAAAUUCGCCUCAUUCUGUCGUCCACUUCUUGCCACAUUGUUCACGUUUUCUUUUCCCUUUUCUUCUUCCAUCUACUGAUUUCUAUUUUCUUUUUGCUUUAGUAGUUUUGGAGCCUUCCUUUCUCAUCUUUGCUCUACUAUUUUCUUUUGUGUUAUUAUAUUGGUACGUUGUUGAAUCUCUGUAAUUCCUUCGGGUAAGUGUUGGUUAUUUGUUUUAUAUAAAUGUGGUGUUGGUUUAAUCUUUCAAGUGAUUGAUGGAUUCAAGUUUGAUCUUUGUAAUGUGUUGUUAGGAGAAGAUCGACAGACUCGUGAAUUGUCUCCAGCGGUUUAAGUGCGGGAAAGGGCUGUUGUUCUUGCAAGGGUAAGUGAUUAAAGUUUUCAACUUGAGGUUGAUUCGGUUGUUUAGGCUAAGUGUUUAGCAUUUGUGAUCGAAUUAGUAACUUGGAUUUAGCAUAUUACUAAUAAUUCUUACAUUCUAAAAUGUCGAUUUAGGUACUGGAAUCCUCGUAUUGGUGUUAACAUCGAAAAUUGAGCAGGUGUGUAACGGAAAAAUAAAAAAAUAGCGAACGGCAAGAUGUCAAAAAACCCACUAUCAACGUCACACAGCCAUGUGCCAGGUUAUGUGGGUCAUACGGGCUGGGUUAUUUGGGCCAUGUGUGUCAGGCUGUGUGCCAGGCCGUGUGGGGCCAUUUUUCGUAAAAUUCUGUCAGGGUCAUUUUUGAAGUGCAAUUUAAAAUUAGUCACUUCUUAGGUUCUGAAAUGUGUUAUGUAUGCAUUCUGGAUACGAAAUUUGAUAUUUUGUUUCUGUUAAUGUGGUUUUUGAAAGCAUAUUAUUCAAUAUUGACAUUGUACGUGUAACAUUUGAGAGUAUGUCUAUGGUAUAAUUUAUGCUUCUGAUCUGUAAUUUGAGAAUCUAUUUAAGCAUGAUUCAUUUAUGUGCAUCUAAGUAUGUAAAAUGUUUUGAUAUGUGCAUUGGGGUGGUAUGAUGAUGUGAUGGAGGAGGUAUUUGGCAGUUUAACUGCAUACUAAUAUUUAUAAGCCAUCGUUGUCGAGCAACUCGAGAUAACUUAAUUUGUGGUUUAAUAUAACUUAAUUUGUGGUUUAACCUCAUAUCUAAUAUGGUGGAUUGACCUCAUUUAUUGAUUUUGGCAGAAUAUCGCAUUAUUUAUGGCAGCUUGACUAUGACUACGCUAUUCUAAAAAGUGAUAUACGCUCACUUAUUGGUGUGACGGAUGGAUGGGCUCUUAUAGUCCUAUUUGGUGUGUAUUGGUGGGAUGGAGAUGGUGUGUAGUGGAUAGGUGUAGGAUCUAUUUCUGUGUCUGUAUUUGCAUCUGUAUUUGUAUCGGCAUCUGAUUUUAUAUAUGAGAUUGCAUCUAUAUCUGAAAUUGAAAUUAUAUAUGUAAUUGAAUUGUCUCUAUUUAUGUAACUGUUACUGUAUUUGAGUCUAUUCUGCCUGUUUGGGUUGAGUUACACACUAAGCCUAUAAGCUCACCCAAGUUCUUUGGCUUUUCAGAUAAUCGGCAUACUAAGGACCAAACGACGUGCAGAAGCUCAUAUUGGGUUCUCAGUUAUUUAAGUAUGAUGGUUCAUGUUUUUAAAUUAUUCUGGACUUUCUAGAUUUUUUGGGGGGUUGUAAAUCUGUUUCUGUAUUUUGCUUUUACGUUUGGGUUUGCUUAGUUGAAUUUAGUAAUUAUUACUUAAAACUACAAAGUUUUGUGUUUUGCAAAUUAAGUCACGAUUUUCGAAAUUUAAUACUUUGAAAUUUCUGCUGCAAAAUAAAGUAAUCAUUUAAGUGUUUUUCUAUAAUAAAAUAAAUAGUUUUAACGAAUGUUUUCUUAAAAACUAGAAAGUGAUUUGCCAGAAUUAAUAUUGCCAAAACACACGAUUUCAAAUUCAAUUUCUAGGUUUUUAAAUAAGUUAAUGUAAUUCCUCCAAAUUUGGUCAUAACGUCUAGGCCGGGUUUGGGAUGUUACAAUUUUAGUCCUUAAUUUUUAUAUUUUUACCAAAUUGACCCUAAUUUUAUAUAAAAAUUAUAAAAAAACUCAAAAUCAUUUAUAAAAUAGAAAAAUGUACGUAAAAUUUUAGAAAAAGAAAAUCUUGAAUAUGUUGCUGAAGAACUAAAUUGUAUGAGAAAUAAAGAAAAGUAUCAUUCAAUAGAAUCCAAUAACAAACUAGGCACAUAAUACAAUAAAAAAGUUAGACCAUUACAUACUUCCUCAACGUUUCUCGAAACCAAAUUAGUAAUAUUAUCUAGUUGAGUUUCAUGCUCUUGAAGAACAUUUAGAACCGGCAUUACAAAGGUUUAUGAAAUCGACCCGGAUGUCAUUUUUUUUAGUCAAAAGAUUACAAAAUAUACCACAAAUUUUUUUUCAAAUUCAAUUCAAAAUUUAAUUAUAUUUAAAAUAUUUUUCAUAACCCAAUUUGUAAAAACAAAUUAUGUUUCUUCUUCCAUGGUCGAGUUGGGCUUGGAAAAGGUUUUUAUGUCUUGACCCGUUACAACUUGAAUUCAAUUUAAAUAAUAAAAGAUAUUUUUAAAAUUUAAAUUUAAUUAAAAAUAUAAAAAUGUUUUUAAUAUUUUUUGAACUCUCAAAUAAACAUUUCUGGGUUGACUGAGCUGGGCUAAAAAUGGAUUAGGCUUGAAAAAAUUUUAGAUUAUUUUUAAGAGUAUAUCAAGAAGUCUAAUAAUUACAAUUUUUUAAAAAGGUUUUAAUAACACUAGAAAUCUUAUCACACACAUAUGAGUGUGAAAAUCACGUAUUUAUAACACAGACUGUGUUUAAAAAUAACAUACAAUGAAUACUGAAAAGUAUAAUUUGGAACUAAUUAAUAAUAACACAUGAAAUAUGUAUGAUAUUAAAAUAAAAAUUAGAUUAAAUUGAGAGUGAAACAAAAUUUAAACACAAAAACACAUGAAUACUAAAUGAAUACAAAUGUUUAUCAUUGUUUUGUCUUCAAUCCCGAGUUGGUGAUGCUAAAUCAAUAACAUUAUUUACAUACACAAAUAUAUAAAAACUUAGAACACAAAUGUUAUGACAUGUACAUUUCUGACAUUUGUUAAUUCUGCAUGUGCAUUAGGAUGAGAUUUGUGUUUACGGAGGAAGUGUGGGAGUUUAAUUCAUUUGCCUUAUUUGGUGGCUUAGCCACACAUAUUUCUGCAUUUGGCGAUGAAUCACCUAAUGAUCUGGCAGUUAGGCUGCGAAUACUUUGAAAAGUUUUAUAUCGACACUAAGUGGUGUGUAGGGUUUGAUGGUUAUUUAAUACCCUAUAUGGUGUGUAGGGAUGGUCGGAGAUGGUGCGUAACGGAUCGGAGUAGGAUUGUAAUCUACACCUGAUAUGUUCUGAUUCUGUUUCUGUAUAUGAUAUAUGUCUAAUUGACUUCCAAAAGCAUGUUUGAAAAUUAAAUCUAAUAUUUUAACUCUUAUAAGUUACACAUUGAGCUUGUAAGCUCACUCUUAGUUUCUCUUAUUCUUAGGCAAUCCUUAGAUUUAGGUGGGUAGGUGUGACUGGAGCUCGGUUAAUUAUCUUCUUGGUAUAUUUGUUAUUUUAAUUUGGUUUAUUCUAUGUUGGUUUUGAAUUGUUUUUGGACUGUUUUUAAGUUUAGGUUUAUUUUCAUUUUAUUUAUUUAUUUAAACGUUUUUGGUUGGUUUAAAUUUGAUCUACAAAAUGUUAAAUUACAUAGCAACAAACCGUGUUUUCAAAAUCGAACUCAACUAAAAAUUUUCGCUGCAAACGUAAGUGUUUUACGAGUAAAUAAUCGACAAAUUUAUCGAAAUGGUUAAGAAGGAUAUUUUCCCCAAAUAAACUCGGAUUUUACUUAAUAAGAGCUAGCAUUGUUUUAUAAGUCGAACGGAUUUUGGAUUUUCAAAUAAAUUGUAGUAACAUCUCCAGAUUUGGCCAUAACGUCUAGGUCGGGUUUGGGGUGUUACAGAGCCUGUAAGCUCACCCAAUGUUUCUAACUUCUCAAUUAAUCAACAUAUUUAGGACCAGAUGACGUGCAAGAGAUCAGAUUGAGUUCUCAAUUAUUUAAGUAUGAUGGUUCAUGUUUUUAAAUUAUUCUGGACAUUCUGAUUUUUUUGGGGGUUGUAAAUCUUUUUCUGGAUUUUGCUUUGCUUAGUUGGAUUUAGUAAUUAUUACUUAUAACUACAAGAUUUUGUGUUUUACAAAUUAAGUCAUGGUUUUCAAAUUUUAGUACUCUAAAAUUUUCACUGCAAAAUAAAGUAAUCACUUAAGUGUUUUUCUAUAACAAAAUAAAUAGUUUUAAUGAUUAUUUUCUUAAAAAUUGAAAAGUGAUUCACUAGAAUUAAUAUGGUCAAAGUUAAUGUAAUUCCUCCAGAUUUGACCAUAACGUAUAAACCAGGUUUGUGGCAUUACAAUUUUUGUCCUCAAUUUAUAUAUAUAUAUAUUUCUAUCAAUUUGACCCUGAUUUUAUAUAAAAAAAUUUAAAAUCAUUUAUAAAAUAGAAAAAUGUAUAUAAAAUUCUAGAAAAAUAAAAUCUUGAAUAUGUUGUUGAAGAACUAAAAUGUAUGAGAAAUAAAGAAAAUAUCAUUCAAUAGAAUCCAAUAACAAUAAAGAAACAAAACGAAAUAAAAAAGUUCAGUUUCAUGCUCUUGAAGAACAUCUAGGACUGAUAUUACGUAGACUUAUGAAAUCGACCCGGAUGUCAUUUUUUUUGUCAAAAGAUUACAAAAUAUACCACAAUUUUUUUCAAACUCAGUUCAAAUUUUAAUUACAUUUAAAUUAUUUUCAAAAUCCAAAUUGUAAAAACAAAAUGUGUUUCUUCUUCCAUGGUUGAGUUGGGCUUGGACAAGGUUUUUAUGUCACGAGCUGUUCCAACUCGAAUUCAAUUUAAAUAAUAAAAAAUAUUUUUAAAUUUUAAGUUUAAUUAAGAAUAUAAAAAUAUUUUUAAAUUUUAUUAUUUUCUGAUCUCUCAAAUGGACUUUUCUGGGUUGACUGAGCUGGACUAAAAAUGGGUUAGGCUUGAAAAAAUUUUAAAUUAUUUUUAAGAUUAUAUCAAUGAGUCUAAUUUAAAAUGUUUUAAUAACACUAGAAAUCUUAUCACAAGCACAUGCGUGUGAAAAUCACGUAUUUAGAACACAUAUUUGCAUUUUAAUAGAACAUACAAUAAAUAAUGAAGAGUAUGAUUCGAAACUAAUUAAUGCCAACACAUAAAAUAUGUAUGAUAUUAAAAUAAAAAUUAGAUUAAAUUGAGUGUGAAACAAAAUUUAAACACAAAAAUACAUGAAUAUUAAAUGAAUACAAAUGUUUAUCAUUGUUUUGUCUUCAAAACUUUUGAAAGAAAAGAAAUAUUGAAACAAAGGUUGAUGGUGAAGAAAAGCUCAAAAAUAGAGUUAGAAACAUUUUGACAAAAUAAACAAAAGUUAGUGACCAAAUUUAUCAUUAAACCUAAUUAUUAUUUAAUGGCAAUUUUAAUGGCUGACAGCGAAGAAAAAAGUCAGAAAAAGAUGGAUUUCUUACUCGUCUUUUUAUACAUGUAAUUAUGCUUUCCCAUUAAUUAUUAAUUAUUUUCUCUUUCUUCUUCUUCUUCACAUACUUUCCCAUUAAUUCCUGUCACAACUUUGCUUAUUUCUGUUUUCACCUUCUUCUUCACUUUUUUUAAUUUCUUUUCAUCUACAAGGUCUAUCACUAAUUUCAAGCAUCCAGUCAAGGUAAUUUCCUGUCAUUUGCUUCAUUCAUGACUAUACAAUGAUUGUUUUUUAUUAUCAGCUACUGUUAUAGCAGCUAGCUUUGUAAGAUAGUCAAGGUAAUAAGAUCUGAAGCAAUGGUUUCCUCUAGUGAUUAUCAACAGUUUUAGAUUUUAAGACAGGAUGACCAGCAGACAUAAUCUACUAUAGUUACAAAUUAAUACGAAAACAGCUAUGCUUUGUAAGAUAGUCAAGGUAAUAAGAUCUGAAGCAAUGAUUUCCUCUAUUGAUUAUAGAUUUUAAGACAGGAUGAUCAACAGACAUAGUCUACUAUAGGUACAAAUUAAUACGAAAAAAAGCUACCCAGAAGCAAUAUAAUGUUGAAAUCUCAUGCUGUUGAACAUUUUACUUCUUAAUAUUCUGUUGCACACUUGAAUCUAGCAUUUUCUAUACAGUGAGAGGUUAAUUCUGGAUAUACAAAUUUCAUCAUGUUUCUGUCUGUCACCCAUCCAUAGCUCCAUCUAAUAGACGCCAUUGCUUAAUCCAUGACAUGCUUUUCAUUGCUUAGUUCAUGACUAUGCAAUCAUUGUUUUUUAUUACCUGCAACUUCUUUGUAAGAUAGUCAAGGGAGUGAACUUCACUGCUUCAUUUUCGGUUCUAAUGGCUCAACACUUUUCAGCCAGGAGGGGGAGGCAAUUUCUGCUUCCCAUUCUUUGAUCCUUAAAUAUGCAAUUCAGCUCAAUUGAAAAUUUGUUUGCUUAUUAUCAGCUCAUGACAUGAUUUCCUUUGCUUUUACAUAACAAGAAAGAUGAAUAAUUGUAAUAAGAUCUGAAGCUAUGAUUGCCUCUGCUGAUUAUCAACAGUUUUAGAUUUCAAGACUGGAUGAUCAGCAGACAUAAUCUACUAUAGUUAGAAAUUAAUACCAAAAGAGCUACCCAGAAGCAAUAUAAUAUUGAAAUACCAAACUGUUGAACAUUUUUCCUCUUAAUAUUCUGUUGCACACUUGAAUCUAGCAUUUUCUAUACAUUGAGAGGUUAAUUCUGGAUAUACAAAUUUCAUCAUGUUUCUGUCUGCCACCCAUCCAUAGCUCCAUCUAAUAAACGCCAUUGCUUGAAACUUGCAUUCAUGCUUACACUGACAUAUCAAAAGCCAUACAUUCACAGAUUUCAUUAUCUGCUACNNNNNNNNNNNNNNNNNNNNNNNNNNNNNNNNNNNNNNNNNNNNNNNNNNNNNNNNNNNNNNNNNNNNNNNNNNNNNNNNNNNNNNNNNNNNNNNNNNNNNNNNNNNNNNNNNNNNNNNNNNNNNNNNNNNNNNNNNNNNNNNNNNNNNNNNNNNNNNNNNNNNNNNNNNNNNNNNNNNNNNNNNNNNNNNNNNNNNNNNNNNNNNNNNNNNNNNNNNNNNNNNNNNNNNNNNNNNNNNNNNNNNNNNNNNNNNNNNNNNNNNNNNNNNNNNNNNNNNNNNNNNNNNNNNNNNNNNNNNNNNNNNNNNNNNNNNNNNNNNNNNNNNNNNNNNNNNNNNNNNNNNNNNNNNNNNNNNNNNNNNNNNNNNNNNNNAAUUUCUUGAUAACGCUCCUAAUGCCUCUGAAGGUCUUGGCCAUGGAUGGUCCAAGUGCUGGGUUGCCACUGCCCAACAUCAGAACUAGUUGGGGAGGGAAGCUGCAAGAAAAGAGAUUUGGGCAUGUUUGAUGCAAGAGGAGGUAAAAGAGAUUGGGGUUUGGGGGAUGGGCGGUGUGGGUAAAACCACUAUCAUGAAGCACAUCCACAAUGAUCUUUUGAAAGAACAAAGAUUCGAAAGGGUAAUCUGGGUUACCAUAUCAAAGGAGUUCAAUGUCAUGAAGGUACAAGAUGAUAUUGCAGCUGCUUUGAAGUUGAACGAAGAUUGGCCUAGAGAAGGAGACAAGCUAAGACGAGCAGCAAUCUUGUCAGAAAUGCUGAAGAACGCAGGAAAGCAUGUUCUAAUCCUAGAUGAUGUGUGGGAUGAAUUCUCUCGAGAAGAAGUUGGGAUCCCCGAGCCGAGUGACAGCAAUGGCUGCAAGUUGGUGUUGACAACCCGUUCGGAGCAUGUCUGUAAGUUUAUGGGUUGUAAGGUGAUAAAAGUGAAGCCCCUUUCAGGACAACAGGCAUUGACACUAUUCUUGAGUAAAGUUGGCCCGAACAUAGUGCAAAAUCAAACUUUAAUGCCAAUUUUGAGGCCCGUUGUUGAAGAAUGUGCGGGUCUACCUCUUACAAUUGUUGUCGUAGCUGGUACAUUGAAAGGAGAAGAGGACCCUCUUAUUUGGAAAAAUGCACUCAGGGAAUUGAAAGAGAGAAUAGGGAAAGUGAAAGAAGCGGAAGAUAAAGUGAUCGAGAGUUUGAAAGUUAGCUUCAAUCACUUAAAAGACGAGAAAAUGAAGCAUUGUUUCUUACAUUGCGCAUUAUAUCCUGAAGAUUUUCAAAUUUGGAAGUAUGGGCUAAUUGAGUGCUGGAUUGAAGAGGGAUUCAUAGAUGAUAUGGGUACAAGACAAGAAAUGAAAGAAAAGGGCCAUGUUAUUUUGAAGAAGUUAGAAGAGAAUUGCUUGUUGGAAAAUACUACCAAUGUAAAUGGUCAACCUUGCGUAAAGAUGCAUGAUGCAGUGAGAGAGAUGGCAUUGUCGAUCACAAGAAUGAAUCCUCGAUGUAUGAUACAAGCAGGUUUGCAAUUAGAAGAGUUACCAGAAAAGGAGCAAUGGAGUCCGGAUAUUGAGAAAGUGUCACUGAUGUAUAACUCCAUAUCAGAAAUUUCCAUAGAUGUGCUGCCCACAAAAUGUCAACUUCUCACAACCUUGUUAUUGCAGGAGAACCCUAUAAAGAAGAUCUCAAAUUCUUUCUUCAUAAACAUGCCUUGUCUUAGUGUUCUCAAUUUGUCCUCUACGAAGAUCAAAAGUUUACCAAAUUCCAUCUCUGAACUAAAGAACCUCACAACAUUGUUGCUUUCUGGCUGUUAUGAAUUAAGAGCUCUGCCAUGUCUUUCGAUGCUUCAAGAAUUGAAGAAGUUGGAUCUAAGUUGGACUAGAAUUGAGGAAGUACCAGAAGGCAUGGAUAUGCUGAUAAAGCUAAGAUAUCUUGAUGUUCAAGUGUUCACUCUGAAAGAGAUACCCGCUGGACUUUUACCAAAACUCGUUCACCUUCAGCACUUGGGUUUUCAUAAGGACAAUAAAAGAACCAGUCUAAAAGCAGAGGAGAUGGAACCAUUGAAGAAGUUGGAGAACUUAACCGGACAUUUCGAAGACGUCAGUGAAUUCAGUAAGUUCAUCUCCUCAAUGCAACAAAGUAAGAAAAAUCUCAUCAAGUACGAUUUACAGGUGGGCUCAUCUUUUAUGCGUGCUACAAGAGAUAAAACAGUAACAAUUGGAGGAUUCCAUGAUUGGGAAGGUGAGUUAAUUAUGCACCCAAUUGAAAUUCAACAGUUGAAUAUUUUAAAGUGCCACAAUUUAAGAAGCUUAGUCAAUGAUAAUUCUUCCUUCAAAAAUGCGAUUGGCUUGAGGGUUUGGUGGUGUGAAGGGAUAGAGUGUGUUGUUUCCCUGUCCUCUUUUGCCUCUUCUUCCGCUCAUCCAUUUCAGAGCCUCGAGAUGUUGGAUCUUAGUGAGCUACCAAAGUUGAGUGCCCUUAUUAUGAAAGAUGAAGGAAUUGGUCCAGCAACAACAUCAACAUUGGCUCCGUCUGCCGCCUUUUCCCAUCUUAAGGAAAUUACGAUAGACAGCUGCUCAAGUAUGAAGACGUUGCUUCCACAUUGGUUGCUUCCAAACCUCCAAAACCUGGAAGUAAUAUCAGUGUCACACUGUGAUAAGGUAGCAGAAAUAUUGGGAGCACCAACAUCAGAAGUUGAAGAAAAAGGGAGUGAUGCAUUAAUCAAAUUCCAUCUUCCUAAAUUGAGAAAGUUGAAAUUGUGGAGAUUACCAAAUUUGACGAGCAUAUGCAGCAAAAGUGGAGUGAUGGUUUGCGAUUCUCUCCAAGUUAUCCAAGUUGCUGGAGACUGUUAUAAACUGAAGAGAAUUCCUCCAUUUGUUCCCCUUGUUGGCAAUGGGCAGCCAUUUGCAUAUGCUCCACCUUCUCUUACCAUCAGGUCAUGGAAAGAAUGGUGGGAAUGGUUGGAGUGGGAUGACCAUCCAAACUUUAAAAAUGUUCUUCAACCCCUUUGGAAGGAUGGAAGGUAUGAACCAUUUAUAGCUUAGUUUAUUUUAUUUAAUUUAUAAAUCUAAUUUCUGAAUUUUAAAACCAUUUCAUGUUAUAUUUUAUUUUUGUUAUAAGAUGAUGCUGCCUCCAUUGCCGCCAAAGAAGUAGAAGAGAGUAGCAGCGCGGAGGAUGGUGCAAAAAAGGCGGGAAUAAAAGGAAUGAUGGAGCAUUGAGGAAUUGAGCAGCCACCAUAAUAAUUGACUCCUUUUCCAUUUUAAUAACAAAUUAUUUUAUUUGUAUUUUUAUAUAAAACAAUUAAAUUCAAAUAUUAUAUAAAAAAUCUUUAUAUGUUCUUAAUUGAAUUGAUGUAAUUCGUUAAUUGAAUUUUAAUAUUAUUUUCAUAAAAUAACAAAUAUUAUUUUGAGAAUAUUUUUAUUUUUUACAUAAAAUUUUAAAAUAUAUAUGUACAUGUUGAAAUUUAAAUCUAAAACAUCACAUUCUUUAAUACCUCAAUUCUAUUAUUUAAAAUUAUAGUACUCUUUACUUAUAUUGAUCUAUUGGCAUAAUCUUAAUUAGAUAUGUUUGUAUUGAUCGUAAAGUGAAAUUAUUUUUCUUAACAUUUAUAAUUGAUUAAUAUUAAAAUAUUUGAAAUUAAAAAUAAAUUUCUAAAAUUAAUUUUAAAAAAAAUUAGAUUUAAAAUGGAAUUAAAAUAUAAUAUCAAAUUAUUACUACCUUUAUAGUAUAAUUUAUUGGAUAAACUACACCGUAGGUUAUUCUAAAACAACAUUAUUUCUAUUUUGGUCACUUUAUUUUUUUAUCAAUUUAGUCACUUUAAUUAAAAUAAUUGCUUGAAUUAGACAUUGACAUGACAUUUUUUUUUACUUUUGACUAAAGCUAGGGAUUUUUCUAUUAGCCCAAAACAUUUGUUUUUGUUUAUUUGCAGCAUAAGAACCACAUAUCCUUGUCGCCACUCAUCCCCUGCUUUCCAUCUCUAUUGCUCCUCACUGCACCAUAAGAACUACGUUUCAUCACAAUGGUGUACAAAGAGUGUUGGUUGUGUUUUGACUAUCGUACAAAUUAGUGUAGAAAUACAAACGGCAAACUUCCAAGUGGAUACUAUUGGGAAACUAUAGGUGAAGUUGGAGUGAAAGACACAAGCCGUCAUGUAAGGACCUACGGCUAUCGUCGAAUCUUGCAUGGCGACUGGGGAUAUGGCAGAUUUUUUAGUUCUGACGAGGAACUUGGAUCCGAUAUCCAGAGUCCAUUUCCACUUAUCGUUAUUGUAUAGCUCAGAUUUUUCGCCAAGAAUCUUCUUGGUUAGAACAUAGUCAAUAGCUAAGACAAGGUGAAAGAGAAGCAACAAGGAAGCUAAAAUGGUAACAAGCUUGGGAAAGGAUUGAGUAGAAACUGACUUCUUCAUGGACUCAGUAUGGGAUCCAGGAAGGGAAAAACUCAAUCUUUAAGAACAAAUGAAAAAAACCAAAGGAAUCCGCUUUCAAAUAAAUUUACCUUUGAGGCUUUGUUAGUGUUUUGGAUUAAUUAUAGAGAGGUUCCUAAUUUUAGUAAAAAGUAAAAAAAUGAAUGUCAUGUCAACAAUCAGUUAGUGGGUUAAUGCGAUAGUGACCAAUUCAAAUAAUUAGUAUAAUAAAAAAAAUUGCUCUUUAACUUUUAAAUAUUAUAUCAGUUUGGCAUAAUUUUAAAAAAAUAAUCUUCAAAAUUACAAAUGAUCUCUAUUUCAUCAUCAAAUUUUACCUACCUUUUCUGCUUCCCCACGGUCACUACUAUGGUUGCCUCCAUAUCCUCCUCCACCCUUCUUCAAACAAAAAAAAAAAAAAAAAACUUCUCUUUUUUUUUAUUUGAACCUAAUUUAUCGUUAAAUAGUAGUAGAUAUAUUCUGUUUGUAUGAUUUCUGGGUUGACAUAUUCUUUUCAGCUGAAUGCUAAUAAUAACAAUAAUAUGAUGAAACAGUGGAAUAAUUUCUGAUGUGACGGCCUUCAUUUCGCUCACUAGUUGCAUGUUUAUUGUUCAUGCACUGAUUAAACAAGAUUUGAAAAGGCUAAAAGCAUGAGCAUGCAACACUGAAUUGUCAAAUACUCAAUAGUAUAAGAUUGAAAUGGUGUUAUUUUGCAGGAAGAAUGGGUGAUUGCAGAAUAAUACACAAAACAGGCGAGAAGAAAAAUGGGGUAGCUGCUGCGCAAGGACAAGGUUAUCUCUUGGAACUUUCUUCAAUAUCUUCAACAGCAAAGCAACAACUAAUUGCUUUCGUCCACUGCUUGAAAUCCCAAUUCCAUUGUUAGAAUCUCAAGCUCAAACUUCAGAGCAGGCUGCCCCUAACUCUUUUACAGAAAAUGACCUGAAAAAGCCUAAUAAACCCAGUUGUUUAUCCAACUAAUAAUGGGUUCCAACCCUCCUUUUCAGCCACUUCCACCUAGCACACUUGAUUUAUAAAUUUUGAAAUUUAGUUUUUUAAAAUUAUGAUCAAAUUGAUAUAUUAUAUCAAAGUUGAGAGAUAAAUUUAUUGUUAUAUCAAUUUUUUAACUGCCACAUCACCCUCCGAUUAGAGUUUUAAGGCACUUAACGAAAAUGGAUAAAAAAAACAAUCUUAAUUAGUUGAGUGACCAAAUUAAAAAUAAAUUAAUAGUUGGUGACCAAAAAGAAAAGGUACAAUAAUUAGAUGACCUGUGAUGUAGUUUACCCAUAUCUUUUUAAAAGCGUAUAAAUAUUUAUAAAUGUCAUCAUUCGUAUAGAAAUGUCACAAAUAUUAAAUCAUUAAAUUGCAUGUUUCAAAACAAAAUUAUUAAUUCAUUUUUUAAGAUUAGUAAUUAAUAGAAAUAGGAUCAAAAACAUCCAUACUAAACUUAACUAAACAGACUUACAAUUCGGUCACUCAUGUUUUCGGAAUUGUUUGUUUUCUUCACUCGACUGUUAAGUGACGCUUGUUUUAAUUGAUAUAAUAAUAAUAAUUAUAAUAAUAAUAAUGAUAAUUUUAGUCCUCAAUUUUUAUAUUUUUUAUCAAUUUGACCUUAAUUUUAUACAAAAAUUAUAAAAAAAACCUCCAAAUUAUGUAUAAAAUAUAAAUUUUUAUAUAAAAAUUCUAGAAAAAUAAAAUCUUGAAUAUGUUGUUACAUAACUAAAUUGUAUAAGAAAUAAAGAAAAUCAGCAUUUAAUAGAAUCUAAUAAUAAAUUAAAAAUAAAAUAAAAAGUUAGAUCAUUACAUGCUUCAUCAAUGUUUCUCGAAAUCAAAUUAGUAAUAUUAUUAAGUUGAGUUUCAUGUCCUUAAAGAACAUCUAGAAUUGAUAUUGCAGAGGCUUAUGAAAUUGACCUUGAUGUCAUUUUUUUUUUAGCCAAAAGCUAUUAUGUUUCAAACUCAAUUCAAUUUUUCGUUACAUUUAAAUUAUUUUUUGAAACUCAAAUUGUAAAACGAAAUCAUAUUCAAAAGUUUAUCUUCUCUUGUAAGGUAAAAAUUAUAUCAAGAAAUAGAAAAAGUAAAAAACAGAGAACAAAUAAAUCAGCUUAAUAUUUGUUUUUUAUGUUUGUUUUUAAAGAACGAGUAUUGGAUAUUUCGAUAUACAUAAUAUAGAGAAUUUCUGUAGGGUUUAAAAACAAUUAUCCCUCAUUUUCUCACACUUUAUUUAUUUUUGAAAAUUUUAUCAACUUUUAUUUAAUUUUUAAUUUUAUAAUGUACUAAAAUUUUAAAAAUAAUUUAUUUUUUUACCAUUUUAUAUAUUAUCAAGAUUAAAUCGAGUAAAAAUAUAAAACUUAAAAAAGACUAAAAUAACAAUUAUAUUAAUUAAAAGAAUACCACUUAACAAUGGAGUAUGUAAGAAAUUGUUCAAGAGUUAAAUCCAAAAUGUAAUAUCAACAACACAAGUUAUUUACUACAACACCAAUAACUAUAUAUAUAUAUAUUUAUACCUAAUACAUGUCAUUUACUAGUAUAUUAGACAUUCUUAUACCCUGCUUUCCCAUACAUUCCCAUUAUGAUGAUGAUGAUGAUGAUGAUGAUGAUGAUGUUACAAUUGAGCACCAAGAUGACUGCAAAACUUGUUAGUAUUGUCCAGAAUGAAUGGAAAGGACAUUUCCAUGGAUUUUAGACCUCAUAUCUAUCUUUCAAAUUUGAGAGCAGAUUCAAGGUUUUAUCAAGUAGAAAUGUCAGUAUCAAAUACCCAAAAUGCCAACUAAUAAUGGCAGACAGCAAAGCAAAAAGCUAAAAGAAAAUAUGGGAUUUCUUACUAAUAAUCCUGCCUUUGUGGAACCCACCACAGAAGUGAAUGCCUCAUUAUUUUGCCUGUUUUUAUCUUCACUUUGUUCCUUGUUUUGCUAUUGUACCCACAACAUUCUUUCUUCUUCACUGUUUUUAUCAAGCAUCCAGUCAAGGUAAUUUUGUUUCAUUUGCUUAAUCCAUGACAUGCUUUUCAUUGCUUAGUUCAUGACUAUGCAAUGAUUGUUUUUUAUUAUCUGCUUCAGUUAUAGCAGUUUGCUUUGUAAGAUAGUCAAGGGAGUGAACUUCACUGCUUCAUUUUCAGUUCUAAUAACACUUUUCAGCCAGUAGGUCAGGCAAUUUCUGCUUCCCAUUCUUUGAUCCUUAAAUAUGCAAUUCAGCUCAUUUGAAAAUUUGUUUGCUUAUUAUCAACUCAUGACAUGAUUUCCUUUGCUUUUACAUAACAAGAAAGAUGAAUAAUUGUAAUAAGAUCUGAAGCUAUGCUUUCCUCUGCUGAUUAUCAACAGUUUUAGAUUUCCAGACUGGAUGAUCAGCAGACAUAAUCUACUAUAGUUAGAAAUUAAUACCAAAAGAGCUACCCAGAAGCAACAUAAUGCUGAAAUCCCAAACUGUUGAACAUUUUACCUCUUAAUAUUCUGUUGCACACUUGAAUCUAGCAUUUUCUAUACAUUGAGAGGUUAAUUCUGGAUAUACAAAUUUCAUCAUGUUUCUGUCUGCCACCCAUCCAUAGCUCCAUCUAAUAAACGCCAUUGCUUGAAACUUGCAUUCAUGCUUACACUGACAUAUCAAAAAGCCAAUACAUUCACAGAUUUUCAUUAUCUGCUACUGUUAUAUAUGAUUGCGUUGCAGGGACAUAGCAAUGGAGUACGUUGCAAAUUGUCUCGGAACUCCGGCUUGUAAAUACUUGCAAUAUCACAGAAAGCUCAAUGAUUAUGUGAGAAACUUCAAGAGGAUGAGAGAUGAGUUGAAUUGCAAAAUGGAAGAUAUAGAGCUGCAAUUGAGGUUGAGCUGUUUUUAUUUUCAAAAAUAAAUAUUUAUUUUCUUUUGCAUUUAUUUCUAAUAUCACCAUAAAUUGUUUAGGGUUGUGGAUUUUGGGGAUUUUGGGUUUUGAGUUUUGGGUGGUCUAAUAAGAAGAUAGCACGUUUUAAUAUUGUCGAACUCAUAUCCUUCUACAUUGACAACAAUACCCAUGGCAAUUAAAUAAAUACUCAAUCUACAAUAACUAUAUUUAUUUUUUGUUAUACCUAAUACAAGUCAUUUACUAGUAUAUUAGACAUUCUUAUACCCUGCUUUCCCAUACUUUCCCAUUAUUAUGAUGAUGAUGAUGAUGAUGUUACAAUUGAGUGGCAGUUGUUUUAGUUGUCACCUGACUAUUAAGUGGCACUUGUUUUAGUUGGUACAAUAAUAAUUUUAGUCCUCAAGUUUUAUAUUUUUUGUUAAUUUGACCUUGAUUUUGUAUAAAAUCAUAAAAAAAUUAAAAAAUAUUUAUAAAAUAGGAAAAUGUAUAUAAAAACUUUAAAAAAUAAAAUCUUGAAUAUGUUGUUGAGUAACUGGACUGUAUUGAGAAAUAAAGAAAUUAAAUUAUCAUUUAAAACCUAAUAACAAAUGAAAAACAGAACAAAUCAAUGUUUCUUAAAACCAAAUUAGUAAUAUUUUCAAGUUGAAUUGCAUGCCCUAGAAGAAUACCUAAAAAUGAUAUUACAGAGGCUUAUGAAAUUGACCUUGAUGCCAUUUUUUUUAAUCAAAAGAAUGCAAAACAUACCACAAAAAAAUUUAUUUUUUCAAACUCAAUUCAAAUUUUCAUUACAUUUAAAUUAUAUAAAAGCUACGUCAAGAAAUAGAAGAGGUAAAACAUAGAGGCAUAUCAUUUUCUUAAUGUUUUUUAUAUAUAUAUUCUUUUUAAAGAAUGGGUAUUGGAUAUUUUGAUAUAAAUAAUAUGGAGAAAUUUUGAAGGGCUUAAAAAAAAUUACCCUCAUUUUCUCUCACUUUAUUUAAUUUUGAAAAUUUUAUCUAUUUUUAUUUAAUUUUUAAUUUUAUAAUGUUCUAAAAUUUUAAAAAUAAUUUUAUUUUUUUACCAUGUUAUAUAUUAUCAAGAUCAAAUUGAUUGAAAGUAUAAAAAUUAAGGAUUAAAUUUGUUAUUAUUUCAAUUUAAAAAGUACGAUAGGUAAGAAAUUGUCCAGAAUCCAAAAUUGAAUACUGACAACUUCAACAACGCAAAUAAUUUAGUAAUGGGGUGCCAAUAACUAUACCUAAUGCAACUCCUUUACUUGUAUAUUUUAUUUCAAGUUGCAACUUAUAAUUAUGCAUUCUUAUAACUAUUAUUAUUAUUAUUAAAUAUUAUUCAUUGCCAACUUCAAUGAUUUUGUUUUGAUCUCCAACGUCUAUCACCAUAUUUCAAGCUAAUUUUCUUUCAUUUGCUUAAUCCAUCACAUGCUUUUCUUUGCUUGAUUCAUGACUAUUGUUUUCGAAAUUGUUUUCUUUUUGCUCACCCGAUUGUUAAGUGGCACUUGUUUCACUUGAUAUAAUAAUAAUAAUUCUAGUCAUCAGUUUUUAUAUUUUCUGUCAAUUUGACUCUGAUUGUGUAUAAACAAUUAUUGAAAGAAACUCAAAAUAUUUAUAAAAUAGAAAAUGUAGAUAAGAUUUCUAGAAAAAUAAAAUCUUGAAGUUGUUGAAUAACUAAAUUGUAUGAAAAAUAAAGAAAAUUAUGAUUUAAUAAAAUCCAAUAACAAAUUAAAAACAAAACAAAACAAAACAAAACAAAGUUACAUUUUGCACCUUAUACUUGUUCAUAAUAGCUAAUAUUCACAUAAUUUUUCAAUUCAGUCCAUUUUAGUGAUGAAUUCACUAAAUUCUAGUUAUAGCUAAACAUAUAGAUGAAAUCAAGUACAAUUUACACAUAAUAUAAAACCAGAUAGUAAGUUUCAUAUUUAAUGUCACACCCUAAUACAACUCAUUGACUUGUAUAUUUAAUUUCAAGUUGUAUAUUGGCAUGACGGAUGGAUGGGCUCUUAUAGUCCUAUCUGGUGUGUAUUGGCGGGACAGAGAUGGUGUGUAGUGGAUGGGGGUAGGAUUUAUUUCUAUUUCUGUAUUUGCAUCUGCAUUUGUAUCUGCAUCUGAUUCUAUAUAUGAGAUUGCAUCUGUAUCUAUUUCUGUAAUUGUUAUUGUAUUUGAGUCUAUUCUGCCUGUUUGGGUUGAGUUACACACUAAGCCUAUAAGCUCACCUAAGUUCUUUGACUUCUCAAGUAAUCGGCAUACUGAGGACCAAACGACGUACAGAAGCUCAGAUUGGGUUCUAAGUUAUUUAAGUAUGAUGGUUCAUUUUUUUAAAUUAUUCUGGACUUUCUAGAUUUUUUGGGGGGUUGUAAAUUUGUUUCUGCAUUUUGCUUUACGUUUUGGUUUAUUUAGUUGAAUUUAGUAAUUAUUACUUAAAACUACAAAGUUUUGUGUUUUGCAAAUUAAGUCACGAUUUUUGAAAUUUAAUACUCUAAAAUUUCCGCUGCAAAAUAAAGUAACCAUUUAAGUGUUUUUCUAUAAUAAAAUAAAUAGUUUUAAUGAGUGUUUUCUUAAAAACUGAAAAGUGAUUUGCUAGAAUUAAUAAUGCCAAAACACACGAUUUCAAAUUCAAUUUCUAGGUUUUUAAAUAAGCUAAUGUAAUUCCUCCAAAUUUGGCCAUAACAUUUAGGUCGGGUUUGGGAUGUUACAAUUUUAGUCCCUAAUUUUUAUAUUUUUAUCAGAUUGACCCUGAUUUUAUAUAAAAUUAUAAAAAAACUCAAAAUCAUUUAUAAAAUAGAAAAUGUAUAUAAAAUUCUAGAAAAAUAAAAUCUUGAAUAUGUUGUUGAAGAACUAAAUUGUAUGAGAAAUAAAGAAAAGUAUCAUUCAAUAGAAUCCAAUAACAAACUAGGCACAUAACAAAAUAAAAAAGUUAGAUCAUUACAUACUUCCUCAACGUUUCUCGAAACCAAAUUAGUAAUGUUAUCUAGAUGAGUUUCAUGCUCUUGAAGAACAUUUAGAACCGGUAUUACAGAGGCUUAUGAAAUCGACCCGGAUGUCAUUUUUUUUAGUCAAAAGAUUAAAAAAUAUACCACAAUUUUUUUUCAAACUCAAUUCAAAAUUUAAUUAUAUUUAAAUUAUUUUUCAUAACCCAAAUUGUAAAAACAAAUUAUGUUUCUUCUUCCAUGGUCGAGUUGGGCUUGGACAAGGUUUUUAUGUCUUGAGCCAUUACAACUUGAAUUCAAUUUAAAAAAAUAUAUUUUUAAAUUUUAAAUUUAAUUUAAAAUAUAAAAUGUUUUUUAAUAUUUUAUUAUUUUCUGAACUCUCAAAUGGACUUUUCUGGGUUGACUGAGCUGGACUAAAAAUGGAUUAGGCUUGAAAAAGUUUUAGAUUAUUUUUAAGAGUAUAUCAAGGAGUCUAAGAAUUACAAUUUUUUUAAAAGGUCUUAAUAACACUAGAAAUCUUAUCACAUGAUUAUACGUGUGGAAAUCACGUAUUUAGAACACAUAUUUGUGUUUAAAAAGAACAUACAAUAUAUAAUGAAGAGUAUAAUUCGGAACUAAUUAAUAAUAACACAUGAAAUAUGUAUGAUAUAAAAAUAAAAAUUAGAUUAAAUUGAGAGUAAAACAAAAUCUAAACACAAAAACACAUCAUAUUAAGAAUACUAAAUGAAUACAAAUGUUUAUCAUUAUUUUGUCUUCAAUCCCGAGUUGGUGAUGCUAAAUCAAUAACAUUAUUUACAUACACAAGUAUAUAAAAAUUUAGAACACAAAUGUUUAUAUGUUAUAAAAGCAUGUAUGACAUGUACAUUUCUGACAUUUGUUAAUUCUGCAUGUGUAUUAGGAUGAGAUUUGUGUUUUCGGAGGAAGUGUGGGAGUUUAAUUCAUUUGCCAUAUUUGGUCGCUCAACCACACAUAUUUCUGCAUUUGGCAAUGAAUCACGUAAUGAUUUGGCAAUUAGGCUACGAAUAUUUUGAAAAGUUUCAUAUCGACACUAAGCGGUGUAUAGGGUUUGAUGGGUAUUUAAUACCCUAUAUGGUGUGUAGGGAUGGUCGAAGAUGGUGUGUAACGGAUCGGAGUAGGAUUGUAAUCUACAUCUGAUAUGUUCUGAUUAUGAUUUUAUAUAUGAUAUAUGUUUGAUUGACUUCCAAAAGCAUGUUUGAAAAUUAUAUCUGAUAUUUUUACUCUUAUAAGGUACACAUUAAGCUUGUAAGCUCGCUCUCAGUUUCUCUUAUUCUUAGGCAAUCCUUAGACUUAGGUGGGUCGGUGCGACUAGAGCUCGAUUAAUUAUCUUCUUGUUAUAUUUGUUAUUUUAAUUUGGUUUAUUCUAUUUUGGUUUUUAACUGUUUUUAAGUUUAGGUUUAUUUUCUUUUUAUUUAUUUAUUUAAACAUUCACUAUAGCAAAACAGGCUUUUAGCGGCCUUUUUUUAGGCCUAUAAAGUGCCGCUAAAACUAUUUGCGGCACUUGUGUCACUAUAGACAACGCCACUAAAUUUUGUGGCGUUUAUGUGAAAAAAAUGCCUCUAUAAAACAUGACCUUUAGCGGCGCUUUUAUCACAAACGCCGCUAAAGGUCAUGCUCUUUAGCGAUGCUUUACCCACAAACGCCGCUAAAGAACAUGAUUUUUAGCGGCGCUUUUAUCACAAACGCCGCUAAAAAACAUGACCUUUAGUGGCGCUUUACCUGCAAACGCCGCUAAAGAACAUGACCUUUAGUCAUUGCCUUCUUCAAGAAUGUGCUUAAUAUCUUAACUGUAGUGUAUGGCACUAAUGGCAUAGGCAUUAUAAUGAACACAAAGAUUGGGAACAAGGCACUGUUCUCCUCCGAAGCACCCAUAUUGACCUUCUUACUUCAAAAAUAAAAUUUAAGGAGAUCUUUUUGCUUUAUAUAACUCUGUGACAACAAUUUGAGAAACAAUCAACCAAGGAAAAUACAGAUAAAAUCUUCAAUUUGAGAAACAAUCAACCAAUUCUACUUUGGCAAAAAAACAAAAUUGAAUUAUUAUACUAUAAAUUAACUAAUUAAAGUUUGGCACCAAAAUUACAUUUACAUUAAAACUCAUCAAAAAUCAAAAUAAAAUCAUUAUUGAAAUUAUUUCUCAAAUAAUUAACCUAAAACUGGAACCUAUUAAAAUUAAAAUAUGAGGCAGAUUCCCUAAGAAGUUAGAACAAAAGCAAAUAUACCAAAUUAAAAAAAAAAAACCCUAAUAAGAACCUGAAUGAGAUUCACAGCGAGGUCAGAGAUGAAGAAAAGAAGGCCCAAUGGGACAAUAACAGUUGCCGCUGCAAUCGCCAUGGACAAAAUAGCCAAAGAAGCGACCAAGAUUCGCAGAAAAUGGAGGGUUAGCAAUGAAAUUUUCUUGAAGAACAGUUUCGACAACAGACGAAUUUGAGAAGACAACAAAUCCAAAGACACAAGGUCUCCCCGUGACCUUAUCUCUCAUAACAACAGUCUGCAAGAUAAAAUAAAGGGGAAAAAAUAAAGGUAGGGGUAGGGGAGAAAUGGUUUGGGAAAAAUAAAAUGGGCAAAAAAGAAAGAGAUUUCUAGUGGGAUUUCUGGGCGUGGGGGAAAUCAAUUUUGGGAAAAAGAAGGGGAAAAAAAGAAGUGAUUUCAUUUGAAAUUUUGGGAUAAAAAAAUAUAAUUACAAAACGACGCCGUUUUGCAAAAAACAUAUUUGUGGCGUUUGGAAAAGAAAGCCACCAUUGCUCGACUUUUAGCGGCGUUUGGACAAAAAAUGCCACUAUUGUUUACCUUUUGCGACGUUUUUUUCAUAAACGCCGCUAACACUCGACUUUUUUACAAUUUUUAUAUUGAAUUAUUGUAUCUUUCAUAUAAAUUUUAAAUAAAUAAUUUUUUAAAUUUUAAGUAAUAUUUAAAAGAAUUAGAUAAAAUUAUAAUUUUUAGUUUUUGUAUUUCAUUUUUAUUUGUUAUAAUUUUGUCCUAUCCAAAAUAGAUAGUUACCUAUCCAUAUCAAUCUGUUACUUUUUUUUAUCAAUUUUUUUAAAUCUAAUAUUUAAAUAUAUCAAUUGGUUUAGAUUAAAUAUUUUAAAAUAUAAAAGCAUUAAUUGAUUGUAUAAAAUUUCAUCAUUUAACAAAUCUGAAGUAAACAUUAAAUCCUAAAUCAUUUAAUAUAUAUAAAGUUUAUCUAUUAUCUCUUAAAUAAUUUAAACUAUAAUCACAAUUUUAAUAAAUUAAAAUUAAAAUUAUUUAUUUUACAACUAUAUAAGAAAUUAUUUAAUAUAUAAAUUAAAAAUAUUAAUUAAUCUAAACCCUAAAUCCCUAACCCCUAUCCCUUAAACCCUAAAUCAUAAAACAUAAACCCUAAACCCUAAACAUCUAACCCUUAAACCUUAACCCCUAACCCCUAAACCUUAAAUCCCAACCCUUAAACCAUAAACCAUAAACCAUAAUCCCUAAACCCGUAAUCCAUAAACCUUAAAAUAGUAACUCAUAAACCUUAAACCCUAAACCAUAUACCCUAAAUCAUAAACCCUAAACUAUAAUGAUAAUUAAUUCAAUAUUUUAAAAUUAAUACUAUCUCUUUUACGAUAUAUAAGAAAUUAUUUAAUAUAUAAAUUAAAAAACAAUUAGUCAUGUACUCAAAAAACUUUAAAAUUAUUUUAAAUAAUAGUAUUUUAAUUUUUUUCAUUUUUAACAAAUAUUUUUCUAUGUUUUUACUUUCAAAUUUUUUCUAUGUGUCAUUAUUUUUUUCUGAAGAAUUUAAAUAUUCAAUUAAAAAUAAAUUUUAUUUUAAUUAAUAUAAAUAAACUAGUUAAAUAAUAAAUAGAUAGAUAAAAUGUUUUUUGCGGCGUUUUUCAAAAAGCGCCGCUAACUAUAGCUCAACAUAAAACGACGGCGUUGUGCUUAAUUUUUUGCGGCACUUUUUGAAAAAUGCCGCUAAUAGAUUGAGAAUUAGUGGCUUUUUUCAAAAAGCAUCGUUAAUUCCACUAAAGCUCAACAUAAAACGGUGGCGCUGUGCUUAAUUUUUUGCGGCGCUUCUUGGAAAACGCCGUUAAUGGCGACCUAUAGCGGCGUUUUUCAAAAAGCGCCACUAAUGCCACUAAAGCUCAAAAUAAAACGACGACGUUGUGCUUAAUUUUUUGCGGCAAUUUUUGGAAAACACCGCUAUAGAUCGCCAUUAGCGGCGUUUUUCAAAAAGCGCCGCUAAUGCUCGAUCUAUAGCGGCGUUUUUAUUCAAACGCCGCUAAAAACCUAUUUUGCUAUAGUGAUUUUUGGUUGGUUUAGAUUCGAUCUACAAAAUGUUAAAUUAUAUAGCAACAAACCAUGUUUUCAAAAUCGGACUCAACUAAGAAUUUUCACAGCAAACGUAAGUGUUUUACGAGUAAAUAAUCGACAAAUUUAUCGAAAUGGUUAAGAAGGAUAUUUUCCGCAAAUAAAAUCAAAUUUUAAUUAAUAAGAGCUAGUAUUGUUUUAUAAGUUGAACAGAUUCGACCAAAACGUAUAAAGCAGGUUUGUGGUGUUACAAUUUUUAUCCUCAAUUUAUUUAUUUAUAUAUAUAUAUUUAUCAAUUUGACCCUGAUUUUAUAUAAAAAAAAUUUAAAAUCAUUUAUAAAAUAGAAAAAUGUAUAUAAAAUUCUAGAAAAAUAAAAUCUUGAAUAUGUUGUUGAAGAACUAAAAUAUAUGAGAAAUAAAGAAAGGUAUCAUUUAAUAGAAUCCAAUAACAAAUUAGAAACAAAACGACAUAAAAAAGCUCAGUCUCAUGCUCUUGAAGAACAUCUAGGACUGAUAUUAUAGAGACUUAUAAAAUCAACCUGGAUGUCAUUUUUUUGUCAAAAGAUUACAAAAUAUACCACAAAUUUUUUUUUCAAACUCAGUUCAAAUUUUAAUUACAUUUAAAUUAUUUUUCAAAAUCCAAUUUGUAAAAACAAAAUGUGUUUCUUCUUCUAUAGUUGAGUUGGACUUGGACAAGGCUUUUAUGUCACGAGCUGUUCCAACUCGAAUUCAAUUUAAAUAGUAAAAAUAUUUUAAACUUUUAAAUUUAAUUAAGAAUAUAAAAAUAUUUUUAAUAUUUUAUUAUUUUAUGAACUCUCAAAUGGACUUUUCUGGGUUGACUGAGCUAGGCUAAAAAUGGAUUAGGCUUGAAAAAAUUUUAGAUUAUUUUUAAGAGUAUAUCAAGAAGUCUAAUAAUUACAAUUUUUUAAAAAGGUUUUAAUAACACUAGAAAUCUUAUCAUGCAUAUACGAGUGAAAAUCAAGUAUUUAGAACACAUAUUUGUUGGUAAAAAGAACAUACAAUAAAUAAUGAAGAGUAUGAUUCGGAUCUAAUUAAUAAUAACACAUGAAAUAUGUAUGAUAUUAAAACAAAAUUAGAUUAAAGAAAAGCUCAAAAAUAGAAUUUGGGUCAUUUUGACAAAACAAGCAAAAGUUAGUGACAAAAUUUAUCAUUAAACCUAAUUAUUAUUAUUAUUAUUAUUAUUAUUAUUAUUUAAUGCCAAUUAUAAUGGCUGACAGCAAAGAAAAAAUUGAGAAAAAGACGGAUUUUUCACUCAUAUCCACAACAUUCGUCUUUUUAUACAUGUGAUUAUGCUUUCCCGUUAAUUAUUAAUUAUUUUCUCUUUCUUCUUCUUCUUCGCAUGCUUUCCCAUUAAUUCCCAUCACAAUUUUGCUUAUUUCUAUUUUCACCUUCUUCUUCACUCUUUUUAAUUUCUUUUCAUCUCCAAGGUCUAUCACUAAUUUUCAAGCAUCCAGUCAAGGUCAUUUUCUGUCAUUUGCUUCAUUCAUGACUAUACAAUGAUUGUUUUUUAUUAUCAGCUACUGUUAUAGCAGCUAGCUUUGUAAGAUAGUCAAGGUAAUAAGAUCUGAAGCAAUGAUUCCUCUACUGAUUAUCAAUUUUAAGACGUACAGGAUGAUCAGCAGACAUAGUCUACUAUAGAUACAAAUUAAUACGAAAAGAGCUACCCAGAAGCAAUAUAAUGUUGAAAUCUCAUGCUGUUGGAACAUUUUACCUCUUAAUAUUCUGUAAUGCUCUUGCACACUUGAAUCUAGCAUGUUAUAUAGUUUUAGAGGUUGAUUCUGGAUAUACAAUGGUGACCAGAAUUUCAUCAUGUUUCUGCCUGCUACCCAUCCAUAGCUCCAUCUAAUAGACGCCAUUGCUUGAAACUUGCAUUCAUGCUUACACUGACAUAUCAAAAAGCCAAUACAUUCACAGAUUUUCAUUCUCUGCUACUGUUAUAUAUGAUUGCAUUGCAGGGACAUAGCAAUGGAGUACGUAGAGCCUGUUGUCGGCAUUGCAAAUUGUCUCGGAACUCCUGUUUGUAAAUAUUUGCAAUAUCACAGAAAGCUGAACGAUUAUGUGAGAAACUUCAAGAGGAUCAGAGAUGAAUUGAAUUGCAAAAUGGAAGAUAUAGAGCUGCAAUUGAAAGCAGAGCUUCUUCGUCCUCUGGGGAAGAUACCGAAGAAGGGAGUUGAAAAUUGGUUGAAGGAUGUGAAAGAGAUGAUUAGGGAAGCACAAGUUGUUGAAAACAAAGUCAGUAAUGGGAGAUAUCUUUUUCGUGCUUGCAACGGGAAGCUGAUUGAUGAAAAGUCUCGAGAAAUGCAAGAAUAUCUCGAUAAAGCUCCUAAAGCCUCUGAAGGUCUUGCCAUGGAUGGUCCAAGUGCUGGGUUGCCACUGGCCACAUCAGAACUAGUUGGAGAGGAAGCUGUCAGAAAUGAGAUUUGGGCAUGUUUGAUGCAGGAGGAGGUGAGCAAGAUUGGGGUUUGGGGGAUGGGCGGUGUGGGUAAAUCGACCAUCAUGAAGCACAUCCACAAUGAUCUAUUGAAAGAACAACGAUUUGAAAGGGUGGUCUGGGUUACUAUAUCAAAGGAGUUCAAUAUUGUGAAGUUACAAAAUGAUAUUGCAAGUGCAUUGAAUGGAAAGAUGCCCGAAGAAGCAAACAAGGUCAGACGAGCAGCAAUCUUGUCCGAACUUGUCAGAAAUGCUGAAGAACGCAGGAAAGCAUGUUCUAAUCCUAGAUGAUGUGUGGGAUAAAGUUUCUCUAGAGGAAGUUGGGAUCCCCGAGCCGAGUGACAGCAAUGGCUGCAAGUUGGUGUUGACAACCCGUUCGGAGCAUGUCGGUAAGUAUAUGGGUUGCACGGUGAUAAAAGUGAAGCCCCUUUCUGCACAACAGGCACUGACACUAUUCUUGAGUAAAGUUGGGCCUAACAUAGUGCAAAAUCAAACUUUAAUGCCAAUUUUGAGGCUCGUUGUCGAAGAAUGUGCGGGUCUGCCUCUUACAAUUGUCGUCGUAGCUAGUACAUUGAAAGGAGAAGAGGACCUUCUUAUUUGGAAAAACGCAUUCAAGGAAUUGAAAGAGAGAAUAGAAAAAGUGGAAGGAGUGGAAGCUAAAGUGAUAGAGCGUUUGAAAUUUAGCUUCGAUCACUUACAGGACGAGAAAGUGAAAUAUUGUUUCUUACAUUGCGCAUUAUUUCCUGAAGAUUUUGAAAUUUGGAAGGAUGUGUUAAUUGAGUGCUGGAUUGAAGAGGGAUUCAUAGAUGAUAUGGGUACAAGACAAGAAAUGAAAGGCAAGGGCCAUGUUAUUUUGAAGAAGUUGGAAGACAAUUGCUUGCUCGAAAAUGGCUCGAGUGGAAAAAUGAAAAUGCAUGAUGCAGUGAGAGACAUGGCAUUGUCGAUCACAAGAAUGAAUCCUCGAUAUAUGAUACAAGCAGGUUUGCAAUUAGAGGAGUUACCAAAAAAGGAGCAAUGGAGUCCGGAUAUUGAGAAAGUGUCACUUAUGUAUAACUCCAUAUCAGAAGUUUCCAUAGAUGUGCUGCCUACAAAAUGCCAACUGCUCACAACCUUGUUAUUGCAGAACAACCCUAUAAAGAAGAUCUCAAUUUCUUUCUUCACAAACAUGCCUUGUCUGAGUGUUCUCAAUUUGUCUUUUACAAAGAUCGAGAGUUUACCAAAUUCCAUCUCUGAAUUAAAGAACCUCACAACAUUGUUGCUUCGUGGUUGUUAUCAAUUAAGAGAUCUGCCAUGUCUUUCGAUGCUUCAAGAAUUGAAGAAGUUAGAUCUUUGUUGGACAAAAAUUGAGGAAGUCCCUGAAGGCAUGGAUAUGCUGAUAAAGCUAAGAUAUCUUGAUCUUGAAGUGUUCACUCUGAAAGAGAUACCCGCUGGACUUUUACCAAAACUCGUUCACCUUCAGCACUUGAGUUUUGCUGGGAACAAUGAAAAAACAAGUCUAAAAGCAAAGGAGAUGGAACCAUUGAAGAAGUUGGAGUGCUUAACCGGACAUUUCGAAGACAUCAAUGAAUUCAAUAAGUUCAUCUCCUCAAUGCAACAAAGUAAGAAAAAUCUCAUCAAGUACUAUUUACAAGUGGGCUCAUCUUAUAUGCAUGAUACAAGGGAUAAAACAGUAACAAUUGGAGGAGUCCAGAAUUGGGAAGGUGAUUUAAUUAUGCACCCAAUUGAAAUUCAAGAGUUGAAUAUUGUAAAGUGCCACUAUUUGAGAUGCUUAGUCGAUGAUAACUCUUCCUUCAAAAAUGCAAUUGACUUGAGGAUUUAUGAUUGUAAAGGGAUAGAGUGUGUUGUUUCCUUGUCCUCUUUUGCCUCUUCUUCCAUUCAUCCAUUUCAGAGCCUCGAGAUGUUGGAUCUUCAACAUCUGCCAAAGUUGAGUGCCCUUAUUAUGAAUGAUGCAGGAAUUGGUUCAGCAACUACAUCAACAUUGGCUCCGUCUACCACCUUUUCCCAUCUUAAGGAAAUUACGAUAAACAGCUGCUCAAGUAUGAAGAUGUUGCUUCCACAUUGGUUGCUUCCAAACCUCCAAAACUUGGAAAAAAUACACGUGGAGGCUUGUAGUCAGCUAGUAGAAAUAUUGGGAGCAGCAACAUCAGAAGUUAAAGAAAAAGGGAGUGAUGCAUUAAUCAAAUUCCAUCUUCCCAAAUUGAGAGAGUUGGAAUUGUGGAGAUUACCAAAUGUGAAGAGCAUAUGCAGCAAAAGUGGAGUGAUGGUUUGUGAUUCUCUCCAACUUAUCCAAGUGUUUGGAGAUUGUGAUAAACUGAAGAGGAUUCCUCCAUUUGUUCCCCUUGUUGGCAAUGGGCAGCCAUUUGCAUAUGCUCCACCUUCUCUUAUCAUCAGGUCAAGCACAGAAUGGUGGGAAUGGUUAGAGUGGGAUGACGAUCCAAACUUUAAAAAUGUUCUUCAACCCCUUUGGAAGGAUGAAAGGUAUGAACCAUUUAUAGUUUAGUUUAUUUUUUAUUUUUAUAAAUCUAAUUUCUCCAUAUUAAUAAAAUUUGAUGUAUAUUUUGUGAUGUUGAAGAGAAAGAUAAAGGCGUGGGUGGGAAAGAAGUCUUGAGUGGGUACAACUCGAAUUCAAUUUAAAUAAUAUAAAAUAUUUUUUUAAAAUUAAAUUUAAUAAGUAUUUUUAAAAUAUUUUUGCACAGUAAAGUAGAAUUUUGGGAUCAACCAAGUUAUCCCGAAAACGGGCCUGGGCUUGAAAAAGUAUUAAAACUUAAAUAGUAUUAAAAAAUAUUUUACACGAAAUGAUAAUGUGCGUUAAUUAAAAUAUAUUUUAUUUUUAUUAAUAUUUAAAUAAAAUAUAAACAUAUAUUAAUCAAAAUGAUUUAAGGUGAGGCAAAACUAUGAUCUUGGUUUAGGAAAGUAUUGUAAAAAGACAUUAUAUUCUUUAAUUUUCAAUACAUACAAUGUAGAGAAAUUUUGGAGGGUUUAAAAACAAUUAUCCCUCAUUUUCUCUCACUUUAUUUANNNNNNNNNNNNNNNNNNNNNNNNNNNNNNNNNNNNNNNNNNNNNNNNNNNNNNNNNNNNNNNNNNNNNNNNNNNNNNNNNNNNNNNNNNNNNNNNNNNNUUUUCUAAAAUUUUAAAAAUAAUUUCAAAUUUUUACCAUUUUAUAUAUUAUGAAGAUUAAAUUGACUGAAAGUAGAAAAUUUGAGGGCUAAAAUUGUUAUUAUACUAAUUAAAAAACUGUCACUUAAUAGUCUAGUGAUAAAAAAAAAUACAAUUUUGAAGACAUUAAUAUCGAAUUUACGUUACCUUUGUGGAACUUAAAAACGAAAGUUGCCCCAAAGACCAUAAAAAUUGACUCAUAAUAUUGUUUGUUUUAUUUGAUUGUUGUUUCCAUAACUGUUACUGUGCGGAGAUAAAAAUAAAUUUAUGAGAAUUUAAAAAAGGUUCCAAGGUGUGUAUCAAUGUCACUAUUUUAAAGUUUUAUUUGUCCCCACCUUUUUAUUGUUUCUGUGCAAAAGAGUUAUCUGCAAAUUGACCUCGAGGAUAUAAUGAAUCCUAAUGAUUGUCGACAUUUUGCACUGACAGAAACAAUUCACUGAGCAUUGAAUGGACCAUAGCAAGAAUACCCAAUUCUAUAAAGAACUUCUGCAAUAAUUUUUUAUAAAACAAUAUAGGAAUAUUAGAAGAUGGAGAAUAGAAUUCAAUAACAAAUUAAAAAUAGAACAAAACUAAAAAAAAAAAAAAAGAUUAGAUCAUUACACGUUUCCUCAAUAUUUCUUGAAAUCAAAUCAUUACUAUUAUCAAGUUGAGUUUCAUGCUCUUAAACAACAUCUAUAACUGGUAUUAUAGAGUGUUAUAAAAUUGACCCUAAUCCCAUUUUUUUAGUUAGAAGAAUACAAAAUAUACCACAAAAUUUUUUCAAACUCAGCUCAAAAUUUCUUUACCGAUAAAUUAUUUUUCAAAACCCAAAUUGUAAAAAUAUAUUAUAUUCAGAAUUUUAUCUUUUCUUAUAAUGUGAAAGUUAUGUCAAGAAACAAAAGAGGUAAAAAAACGGAGUUCAAAUAAUUUUACUUAAUUUUUUUCUUUUCUAUGUUUUUUUAAAAGAAUGGGUAUUGAAUAUUUUGAUACAGAUAAUAUGGAGAAAUUUUGGAGGGUUUAAAAAUAAUUACCCCUCAUUUUCUCUCACUGUAUUUAUUUUUGAAUUUUUUAUCUACUUUUAAUUUUAUAUUGUUUUAAAAUUUUUAAUAUUAUCAAGAUCAAACUGUUUGAGAGUAUAAAAAUUGAGGACCAAAAUUGUAAUUGUGAACACAACAAAAAAUUUCUAUAAUUUAGUGACUAAUGUAAAAUUUUUUUUUGGUACAAUGAUCAUUCCAACUCCAUCUAUUUCUAAAGAAGGCAAACACUCGACCAAUAAACCACAACUUGUCCAGAUAUGUAGCUUACCCAAGAAUUUAUAUAUAUUUAUUUUAACUUGAAUAGAUUUAUUUAUAUAUAUAAAAAAUUGAAUAGAUUCAUUCACAUCUUACAAAUCCAUAUGUAAAGAAUUGUCCUGAGUUGAAUCCAAAAUUGAAUACCAACAAGAACAACACCAAUAACUAUACCCUGCUUUUCCCAUACUCUCUCAUUAGUUAUUAUUAUCUGUUACAAUUGAGCACCAAGAUCACUGCAAUACUUGUUGGUGUUGUCCAGAAUUAAUGCGAAGGACAUUUCCAUGGAUUUUAGACAAUCAUAUCUAUCUUUGAAAAUUUGAGAGCAGAUCAAAGGUUUUAUAACCAACUGAUAGAUACAACUGUUGAGAAAAUUCAGUAUCAAAAAGCCAACUAAUAAUGGCAGACACCAAAGAGAAAAGCUAAAAGAAAAAAGAUGGGAUUUCUUACUAAUAAUUUUGCCUUUUUUUAUCUUCACUUCUUCUUUUGACUAUUGUACCCACAACGUUCUUUCUUCUUCACUGUUUUUAAUUUCUUUUGAUGUCCAUCACUAAUUUUCAAGCAUCCAAUCAAGUUAAUUUUCUUUCAUUUGCUUAAUCCAUGACAUGCUUUUCAUUGCUUAAUUCAUGAUUAUGCAAUGAUUGUUUUUUAUUAACUGCUUCAGGUAUAGCAGCUUGCUUUGUAAGAUAGUCAAGGGAGUGAACUUCACUGCUUUAUUUUCAGUUCUAAUCUCUCAACACUUUUCAGCCAGUUGGUCAGGUAAUUUUCUGCUUCCCAUUUUUUGAUCCUCAAAUAUGCAAUUCAGCUCAUUUGAAAAUUUGUUUGCUUAUUAUCAACUCAUGACAUGAUUUCCUUUGCUUUUACAUAACAAGAAAGAUGAAUAAUUGUAGUAAGAGCUGAAGCUAUGAUUUCCUCUACUGAUUAUCAACAGUUUUAGAUUUCAAGACUGAAUGAUCAGCAGACAUAAUCUACUUUAGAUACAAACUAAUACCAAAAGAGCUACCCAGAAGCAAUAUAAUUUUGAAAUCUCAAACUGUUGAACAUUUUACCUCUUAAUAUUCUGUUGCACACUUGAAUCUAGCAUUUUCUAUACAUUGAGAAAUUAAUUUUGGAUAUACAAAUUUCAUCAUGUUUCUAUCUGCCACCCAUCCAUAGCUCCAUCUAAUAAAUGCCAUUGCUUGAAACUUGCAUUCAUGUUUCCUUUUCAUGCUUACACUGACAUUCACAGAUUUCCAUUAUCUGCUACUGUUAUAUAUGAUUGCGUUGCAGGAACAUAGCAAUGGAGUACGUAGAGCCUAUUCUUGGCAUUGCAAAGUGUCUUGGACCUCCUGUUUGUAAAUACUUGAAAUAUCACAGUAAGCUGAAUGAUUAUGUGAGAAACUUCAAGAGGAUCAGAGAUGAAUUGAAUUGUAAUAUGGAAGACAUAGAUGUUAAAAUGAGGCAACAUAGCAGCAACAUGCAAGCAACCAAGCAGCACAACAUCAGCAUGCAAGUAACCGAGCAACUCAGCAGCAGCAGGCUAAUGUCCAUGGUGUAAUUCGACUGUAGAGCUUUUGCAUAGUUGACUUUUUGCUAGUUUGGUUGAAAUCAUUUUUUGUUUGAUCAGCUAAGGUUUAAUCAUGUGUUUAGCUGAUUUAGUAGUCAUUUAGGUUGUCAUUAAGUUGAUUUAACAGCUUAGAUACUUGCACAAGCUAGCUUUGUCUUUAACCAAUGUAAUUUGAACUACUUAUGUAUGUGGUUUUGUUACUUAUUCAAGUAAUGAAGUUAAUCUUCAUCAUCCGGUAUUCGUUUUUGCUUCUGUUUUUUAUAUUUCAAACACAAAAACUUUGUUUUUGAUACUUAGUUAUUGAUCUAAAACUCAACAAUAGAGAUGCAAUUGAAAGCAGAGCUUCUUUCUCCUAGGGGGAAGAUACCAAAGCAGGGAGUUGAAAAUUGGUUGAAAGAUGCGAAAGAGAUGAUUGCGGAAGCACAGGAUGUGGAAAAUAAAGUCAGAAAUGGGAGAUAUCUCUGUCGUGCUUGGAACGGAAAGCUGGUUGAUGAAAAGACUCGAGAAAUGAAGGAAUUUCUUGAUAAAGCUCCUAAUGCCUCUGAAGCUCUUGCCAUGGAUGGUCCAAGUGGUGGGUUGCCACUGCCAACAUCAGAACUAGUUGGGGAGGGAGCUGCCAGAAAAGAGAUUUGGGCAUGCUUGAUGCAAGAGGAGGUAAAAAAGAUUGGGGUUUGGGGGAUGGGCGAUGUGGGUAAAACCACUAUCAUGAAGCACAUCCACAAUGAUCUUUUGAAAGAACAAAGAUUCGAAAGAGUAAUCUGGGUUACCAUAUCAAAGGAGUUCAAUGUAAUGAAGGUACAAGAUGAUAUUGCAAGUGCUUUGAAGUUGAAGGAAGAUUUGGCCAUAGAAGGAGUGUUGGUGUUAAGAGGAAACAGCAAGCUGAUUUGAGCUUGCUUGGGCAGCAAGUGUCGAGCCUUGCUGAAGAAACAAUCGAAGAGGAAAGAAAAAUAUGCAAUGGAAAACAGAAAAGAAAGAGAUAAAUUUGAAUGAAAAAUGAGCUGAAACUUUCAUUAACAACAAAAUGAGGUAUUAAACCAUUACAUAUAUUAGUCAACUUGGAAAGUAAAACUUGCAAACAAGUAAACACCUAAUCAGCCACCUAACUCCACUAAUUUACAUUGAAACUUGCAAGAUUAACUUGCUUACAUAGCUUUGUUGAUUUUCAGUCAAUCAACAUCAAAACAUUUACCUACUAAGUUCAAAAUGAACUAGAUUACAAAAGAAUUACAUGAGAACUAAAUGUAGUAAGUAAACUAGAAACUUCUAGCUUCAGUUGCUGCACAGCAAGGCUCGAAUGCCUGCUACGUUUUCUUCUUGCAUGGCCACCUUUGCAUGGGAAGCUGAUUGCAUGGGAACUAACUUUAACACUCCUCCUUAGUUUCUAUGCUGNNNNNNNNNNNNNNNNNNNNNNNNNNNNNNNNNNNNNNNNNNNNNNNNNNNNNNNNNNNNNNNNNNNNNNNNNNNNNNNNNNNNNNNNNNNNNNNNNNNNUAACACCUAGCUUUCCUUUUAAUUUUAUAAACCUUGACACAUUGAGUGCCUUGGUAAAGAUGUCUGCAAUUUGCUCCUCCGAAUUGCAAUGAACCAGCUCGAUUUCAUGAGCUUGUUCCAUCUCCCUUAUAACAUGUAGCUUGAUAUUGAAGUGCUUGGUUCUACCAUGGAAGAUGGGAUUCUUUGCAAUUGCAACAGCAGAUUUGUUGUCACAGUAAAUCUCUGUUGCUUCUUCUUGGUUUUGGUUUAAAUCAGCCAAGAUUUUUCUAAGCCAUAUGGCUUGAUUCACAGCAGAUGCAGCAGCAACAUAUUCAGCUUCUGCUGUUGAUUGUGCCACCAAACUCUGUUUCUUAGAACUCUAGCAAAAUAUGCCUGAGCCAAGGCUAAAUGCAUAUCCAGAUGUGCUCCUCAUGUCAUCACUCGAUCCAGCCCAAUCACUAUCGACAUAGCCUAUUAACUUCAUGUUUUCAGCUCUUUUGAGCAUCACACCAUGGUUAAUGGUGCCUUUGAUGUACCUAAGUACUCGUUUAGCUGCUUGAAAAUGCAGAUUGUUGCAGCAAUUCAUGUAUCUGGAUAGCACACUAACUGCAAACAUAAUGUCGGGCCUUGUUGCAGUCAAAUACAAUAGACUACCAAUGAGACUCUUGUACAUAGUCUCACAAACUGGUUCACCAGUUUCCUGCCUUGAUAGCUUCAUUCCAACAGCCAUUGGUGUGCUUGUUGGCUUGUAGUUCUUCAUUGAGAACUUGUUUAAGACUUUCAUAGCAAAGGAACUCUGGCUGAGAAAGAUUCCAUUUGCUGUUUGCUUUACUUCCAUCCCUAGGAAGUAAUUCAUUCUGCCUAGAUCAGACAUUUCAAACAUCUUCAUCAUUUUCCUCUUAAAAUCAUGCAGCAUGUUCUUGUCUCCUCCAGUUACCAACAAAUCAUCAACAUAAAGUGACAGGAUAAGCUUAGUUUCAGCUUGAUUUUUCUUCACGUACAAUGUUGGUUCACUAGGGCUUCUCUCGAACUCCAAACUGAGCAAGUAAGAAUCAAUUCGAGCGUACCAGGCUCGAGGAGCCUGCUUCAGGCCAUACAAGCCCUUUUUCAGCCUAUACACCAUGUGUUCCUUGCUAGUGACUACAAAUCCUUGAGGCUGUUCGAUGUAGAUCUCUUCUUCUAGGAAACCAUUGAGAAAUGCAGACUUCACAUCAAGUUGAUGAAUGGUCCACUGAUGUUGAGCAGCCAAGGCAACUAUCAUUCUGACUGUGUCAAGCCUGGCUACUGGUGCAAAAGUCUCCAGGUAGUCCAAACCAUACCUUUGGCUAAAUCCUUUGACAACAAGCCUAGCUUUUAGCUUGUUCAAACUGCCAUCUGCAUUCUGUUUUGCUCGAUAGACCCAUUUUACUCUAAUGAUCUUCUUUCCAGCAGGUUUAUCAACUAGCUCCCAUGUCUGGUUCUUCUCAAUCAUGUUGAUUUCAUCAGCCAUAGCCAGUUUCCAACCUUCAUCUGCUUCAGCCUCUUCAAAACUACUAGGUUCAGCUAUAGCAACCUGUGCCAAUUCAUAAAUUUCAUCCAAAGACCUUGUGCCUCUUACAGGCACAUCAUCAACAUCCAUCUCAAGACCAAACUGCUCGAGUUCAGCUUGAUCAGGCACCAGGUCUUCUGAAGCAACUUCUGGUUCACUCUUUUCCCAAUUCCAGCAAGCUUUUUCAUCAAAGAUGACAUCUCUGCUCACCUGGACUUUGCUUGUCAAGGGAUCAAGAACCCUGUAGCCCUUCUUAACUGAGCUAUAGCCUAUUAGGACACCUGGUUGAGCCCUUUCAGAGAGCUUGUCUCUUCUUGCUGCUGGUAUUUGUGCAUAACAUAGACAACCAAACACUUUUAGGUGUGCCAAGGAAGGCUUGAAUCCAAACCAAGCCUCGAAAGGUGUCUUGGAUGUAAGAGCUUUGGUAGGAAGCCUAUUCUGAAGGUAGACAGCAGUGUUUACUGCCUCAGCCCACAUGGUCUUGGGCAGUUUCUUCUCAAACAGGAGACAUCUGGCCAUAUCCAUCAGACUUCUGUUCUUUCUUUCAGAUACUCCAUUUUGCUGAGGUGUGUAGACAUUUGUAAGCUGGUGUUUGAUGCCAGAAUCAUUGCAAAUGGCUUGGAACUGAGCUGAAGUGUACUCAGUGCCAUUGUCUGACCUUAUUGAUUUCAGCUUGCAACCUGUUUCUGUUUCUACAGCAGUUUUAAACUUCACAAACACUUGAGCUACCUCAGACUUGUGUUUCAAGAGGAAAAUCCAGCAAAACCUUGUAAAAUCAUCAAUGAAGAGGAUGAAAUACCUGUUAUUGCUAAGUGAUUCAGUCCUCAUAGGUCCACAUACAUCAGAGUGCACCAGCUACAAUCUUUCAGUGGCUCUCCAUGCUGAGUUUGUUGGGAAUGGUAGUCUUGUCUGUUUUCCUAUCUGGCACACUUCACACACAUCAUCAUGCUCCUCUGAGUUGGUGAAGUUAUCUGCCAAGCCUUCUUUGGCCAAUCGAGCCAUUGACCUGAAGUUGGCAUGCCCAAGCCUUUGAUGCCAGAGCUUGGAAUCAUCUGUGGAGGCUGUGUAUGCUGACUUUGAGUCAUUUGGCCAAUGAACCUCAAAGCAUUUAUCAGUCAUUGUGACUGUCAUAAGGCUUGAUCCACUGGGAUCAGCAAUGUGGCAAUGUUUGUCUUUAAACACAACUGAAUAACCCUUCUCAAGCAGUUGAGCUAUGCUGAGAAGGUUUCUGUCAAUCUCAGGUACCAAUAGGACAUUCGAGAUGACUUUGUUGCCUGUAGAGGUGCAUAUCAGCACUUUUCCUCUUCCUUCAGCUUUUAUAAACUGACCAUUUCCAACCUUAACCUUGGUUUUACAGCUUCUGUCCAAGGUUUUGAACAAAGAUGCAUCUGGUGACAUGUGGUUGGUGCAGCCACUGUCCAAUAGCCACCCUUUUAAGCAUUUCUUCUCAGCAGCUAAGCAUGACACAGCAAAGACCUGCUCUUCUUGGUCACUACUGUCUUCAGCCACUCGAGCUUCAACCUUUGGCUGCUGAAAUUGGUUCUGCCUUGGCUUGGUUCUGUUUUUGCAAACUCUUUCAACAUGGCCUUUCUUCUUGCAGUGUUGACAUAUUGCAUCUGGCCUAAACCAGCAUCUAUCCUCUGGAUGUCCAGGUUUCUUACAAUGUCUGCAGGGCUGAUCAUUGCUCCUUGCAGCAUCAGGCUUAGGCCUGCUUUUCUAAGUUUUUUUGCCUCUUUGAGCAUUGGUGCUCGAGGUCUCUCUUGUCUUGGCUUGAAAUGCACCUUCCUGGUGGUCUUCAGCUCUGCUAGCUCUCCUUUGUUCCUGAGCAUAAAAGGUGUUGAUAAGCUCAGUCAAAGAGGUGCUAGCAAGGUCUCUUGAGUCCUCUAAGGAGGAUAUCUUUGCCUCAUAUCUCUCAGGCAAAGUGGAGAGGACUUUCUCCACUAUUCUUGCCUCAUCAAAGUGCUCACCUAGGAGCCUUAUGCUGUUAACCACUGCCAUGAUUCUAUCUGCAUACUGCUUCACUGUUUCUUCUUCCCUCAUCUUCAGAUUCUCGAAAUCCCUUCUCAAAUUCAACAGCUGCUGUUGCCUUGUCCUCUCUGUACCUUGAAACUCCUCUUUGAGCUUAUCCCAAGCCUGUUUUGGAGUCUCAUAGGCCAUAAUUCUGGUGAAGAUGACAUCUGACACACAAUUCUGAAUGCAUGACAUAGCUUUAUGCCUUUUGGUCCUCUCAUCAGCAUGUUGCCUAAUCUGAGCUACUGUGGGAUUAGCCCUCAGUGGUGCUGGCUCAGCAUUUGUGUUGACAACUUCCCACAGAUCAAAGGCCUGCAGGUAAGUCUUCAUCUUUACCAACCAUAUGUGGAAGCCUUCUCCAUUGAAGACUGGUGGGGCUGCUGGUGAAAAUCCUGAAGAAGCCAUUCAGAUUCCUUGGUUUAAAGCAACAGGUCCACUAAGACAAAAGCUCUAGAUACCAAUUGUUGGUGUUAAGAGGAAACAGCAAGCUGAUUUGAGCUUGCUUGGGCAGCAAGUGUCGAGCCUUGCUGAAGAAACAAUCGAAGAGGAAAGAAAAAUAUGCAAUGGAAAACAGAAAAGAAAGAGAUAAAUUUGAAUGAAAAAUGAGCUGAAACUUUCAUUAACAACAAAAUGAGGUAUUAAACCAUUACAUAUAUUAGUCAACUUGGAAAGUAAAACUUGCAAACAAGUAAACACCUAAUCAGCCACCUAACUCCACUAAUUUACAUUGAAACUUGCAAGAUUAACUUGCUUACAUAGCUUUGUUGAUUUUCAGUCAAUCAACAUCAAAACAUUUACCUACUAAGUUCAAAAUGAACUAGAUUACAAAAGAAUUACAUGAGAACUAAAUGUAGUAAGUAAACUAGAAACUUCUAGCUUCAGUUGCUGCACAGCAAGGCUCGAAUGCCUGCUACGUUUUCUUCUUGCAUGGCCACCUUUGCAUGGGAAGCUGAUUGCAUGGGAACUAACUUUAACAAGGAGACAAGCUCAGACGAGCUGCAAUCUUGUCAGAAAUGCUGAAGAAAGUAGGAAAGCAUGUUCUAAACCUAGAUGAUGUGUGGGAUGAAGCCUCUCUAGAAGAAUUUGGGAUCCCUGACCCGAGUGAUAGCAAUGGCUGCAAGUUGGUGUUGACAACCCGUUCGGAGCAUGUCUGUAAGUAUAAGGGUUGCACGGUGAUAAAAGUGAAGCCCCUUUCAGCACAACAGGCAUUGACACUGUUCUUGAGUAAAGUUGGGCCUAACAUAGUGCAAAAUCAAACUUCAAUGCCAAUUUUGAGGCUCGUUGUCGAAGAAUGUGCGGGUCUGCCUCUCACAAUUAUCGUCGUGGCUAGUACAUUGAAAGGAGAAGAGGACCCUCUUAUUUGGAAAAAUGCACUCAGGGAAUUGAAAGAGAGAAUAGAAAAAGUGGAAGGAGUGGAAACUAAAGUGAUAGAGCGUUUGAAAUUUAGCUUCGAUCACUUAAAGGACGAGAAAGUGAAAUAUUGUUUCUUACAUUGCGCAUUAUUUCCUGAAGAUUUUGAAAUUUGGAAGGAUGUGUUAAUUGAGUGCUGGAUUGAAGAGGGAUUCAUAGAUGAUAUGGUACAAGACAAGAAAUGAAAGGCUAGGGCCAUGUUAUUUUGAAGAAGUUGGAAGAUAAUUGCUUGUUGGAAAAUGUCUCGAGUUGGAAAAUGAAGAUGCAUGAUGCAGUGAGAGAGAUGGCAUUGUCGAUCACAAGAAUGAAUCCUCGAUAUAUGAUACAAGCAGGUUUGCAAUUAGAAGAGUUACCAGAAAAGGAGCAAUGGAGUCCGGAUAUUGAGAAAGUGUCACUUAUGUAUAACUCCAUAUCAAAAGUUUCCAUAGAUGUGCUGCCUACAAAAUACCAACUGUCACAACCUUGUUAUUGCGGGACAACCCUAUAAAGAAGAUCUCAAUUUCUUACUUCACAAACAUGCCUUGUCCUAGUGUUCUCAAUUUGUCUUUUACAAAGGUUGAGAGUUUACCAAAUUCCAACUAAAGAACCUCACAACAUUGUUGCUUUAAAUAUUAUUUAAAAACUAAUGUAUCAUCCAUAACGAAUCAUACAUCAUUAACACAUAUUAGGGCAUGGGAAAGCUUUUAAAAAAAUGAACUCAAAUUAUACUGCUCUACANNNNNNNNNNNNNNNNNNNNNNNNNNNNNNNNNNNNNNNNNNNNNNNNNNNNNNNNNNNNNNNNNNNNNNNNNNNNNNNNNNNNNNNNNNNNNNNNNNNNNNNNNNNNNNNNNNNNNNNNNNNNNNNNNNNNNNNNNNNNNNNNNNNNNNNNNNNNNNNNNNNNNNNNNNNNNNNNNNNNNNNNNNNNNNNNNNNNNNNNNNNNNNNNNNNNNNNNNNNNNNNNNNNNNNNNNNNNNNNNNNNNNNNNNNNNNNNNNNNNNNNNNNNNNNNNNNNNNNNNNNNNNNNNNNNNNNNNNNNNNNNNNNNNNNNNNNNNNNNNNNNNNNNNNNNNNNNNNNNNNNNNNNNNNNNNNNNNNNNNNNNNNNNNNNNNNNNNNNNNNNNNNNNNNNNNNNNNNNNNNNNNNNNNNNNNNNNNNNNNNNNNNNNNNNNNNNNNNNNNNNNNNNNNNNNNNNNNNNNNNNNNNNNNNNNNNNNNNNNNNNNNNNNNNNNNNNNNNNNNNNNNNNNNNNNNNNNNNNNNNNNNNNNNNNNNNNNNNNNNNNNNNNNNNNNNNNNNNNNNNNNNNNNNNNNNNNNNNNNNNNNNNNNNNNNNNNNNNNNNNNNNNNNNNNNNNNNNNNNNNNNNNNNNNNNNNNNNNNNNNNNNNNNNNNNNNNNNNNNNNNNNNNNNNNNNNNNNNNNNNNNNNNNNNNNNNNNNNNNNNNNNNNNNNNNNNNNNNNNNNNNNNNNNNNNNAGCAUUCGCGGAGGUUUUUGAAAAACGCCGCUAAAGCCCCGAAGACUAAAAGUACUAAUAAUUACCGUCUGUCUAUUAUUUAAACGACAAAUUGGAGUGAUUGAUUAAAGCUAAAAUUAACUAAAUUAAUUAACUAAAGAACACAACAAAGAACAUAUUAGAAAAAUAAAUCCAAAUCACACAAUUUCUUCACUUUGUAUCUUAAUACGGAGAAAUCCCUAAAUUAUGCUAAUAUCUCUCUUCAAGACUAAGAGCAACUGAUUCUAGAUUGAUUAAUUGAAAUUUCUUUCUAAUUAAAACCCCUAUUAUCACAUUAACUCAAUCUAUAGAUCCUUCUAUUAGAUUUGACUCUAAUCCGGUAGAUNNNNNNNNNNNNNNNNNNNNNNNNNNNNNNNNNNNNNNNNNNNNNNNNNNNNNNNNNNNNNNNNNNNNNNNNNNNNNNNNNNNNNNNNNNNNNNNNNNNNAUACUAUAUAUAUAUAUAUAUAUAUAUAUAUAUAUAUAUAUAUAUAUAUAUAUAUUUAUUUAUUUAUACCUAAUACAUGCCAUUUACUAGUAUAUUAGACAUUCUUAUACCCUGCUUUCCCAUACAUUCCCAUUAUUAUGAUGAUGAUGACGAUGUUACAAUUAAGCACCAAGAUGACUGCAAAACUUGUUAGUAUUGUCCAGGAUGCAUGGAAAGGACAUUUCCAUGGAUUUUAGACCUCAUAUCUAUCUUUCAAAUUUUGAGAGCAGAUUCAAGGUUUUAUCAAGUAGAAAUGUCGGUAUCAAAUACCCAAAAUGCCAACUAAUAAUGGCAGACAGCAAAGCAAAAAGCUAAAAGAAAAUGUGGGAUUUCUUACUAAUAAUCCCGCCUUUGUGGAACCCACCACAGAAGUGAAGGCCUCAUUAUUUUGCCUGCUUUUAUCUUCACUUUCUUCCCUUUUUUGCUAUUCUAUCCACAACAUUCUUUCUUCUUCACUGUUUUUAUCAAGCAUCCAGUCAAGGUAAUUUUCUUUCAUUUGCUUAAUCCAUGACAUGCUUUUCAUUGCUUAGUUCAUGACUAUGCAAUGAUUGUUUUUUAUUAUCUCUGCUUCAGUUAUAGCAGUUUGCUUUGUAAGAUAGUCAAGGGAGUGAACUUCACUGCUUCAUUUUCAGUUCUAACCUCUCAACACCUUUCAGCCAGUAGGUCAGGCAAUUUCUGCUUCCCAUUCUUUGAUCCUUAAAUAUGCAAUUCAGCUCAUUUGAAAAUUGGUUUGCUUAUUAUCAANNNNNNNNNNNNNNNNNNNNNNNNNNNNNNNNNNNNNNNNNNNNNNNNNNNNNNNNNNNNNNNNNNNNNNNNNNNNNNNNNNNNNNNNNNNNNNNNNNNNCCUCUAAUUUAAGCACAUAAAACAUGGAUCAAUAGUCUAGAAAUAUUAAACCAUGAAUUAAGAACACAUAAUUGAGAACAAGAUUUAAGUAUUUAUUGCAUAAAAAUAGAAAUCAAAUAAUAGAAUUCAUCCUAAGGUUCAUCUCCCUAGGUAUUUGGAAAAAAUUAGUUCAUAUAGUAAAUAAAAGCAUCUCAAAGAUAGUAUAACUAUAAGAAAUAAAGAAACUCAUAACAAACUUCAAAGAAAUCAAAAGGAGAACUUCAGUUUUGAUGGAAAUAUGCUUCAAAGUCGGCUUCAAUGGUAUUUUUCGAGUUGUUUUCUUCAAUAUUAUAUGACGACUCACUCCCCUCUUCUUAUCUUUUUCAUAUAUGUCUUAGAAUGCUCGAAAAAUUUAAAAAUUACGAUUUUCUGUGUGUUUAGAGUGCAAUUUGUGCUUUCCACACGGUUUGGCACAUUGUUGUGUGGCAACUCGUAUGGCUCACUUGGCUGUGGAAUGGCUCAGCCCGUGUGGCUCAUGAAACUUAAAAAUUAAAAAUUAAAAAUAAAAAAGUUAGAUCAUUACAUGCUUCAUCAAUGGUUCUCGAAACCAAAUUAGUAAUAUUAUUGAGUUUCAUGUCCUUAAAGAACAUCUAAAAUUGAUAUUGCAGAGGCUUAUGAAAUUGACCUUGAUGCCAUUUUUUUUUUAGCCUAAAGCUAUUAUGUUUCAAACUCAAUUCAAUUUUUCAUUACAUUUAAAUUAUAUUUUGAAACUCAAAUUGUAAAAAGAAAUCAUAUUCAGAAUUUUAUCUUUUCUUGUAAGGUAAAAAUUAUGUCAAGAAACAGAAGAGGUAAAAAACAGAAAACAAAUAAAUCAGCUUAAUGUUUGUUUUCUAUAUUUGUUUUUAAAGAACGAGUAUUGGAUAUUUCGAUAUACAUAAUAUAGAGAAUUUCUGUAGGGUUUAAAAAUAAUUAUCCCUCAUUUUCUCUCACUUUAUUUAUUUUUGAAAUUUUUAUUAAUUUUUAUUUUAUUUUUAAUUUUAUAAUGUUCUAAAAUUUUAAAAAUAAUUUAUUUUUUUACCAUUUUAUAUAUUAUCAAAAUUAAAUUGAGUAAAAAUAUAAACCUUAAAAAAGACUAAAAUAACAAUUAUAUUAAUUAAAAGAAUGGUAACAAUGGAGUAUGUAAGAAAUUGUCCAAGAGUUAAAUCCAAAAUGUAAAUUCAACAACACAAGUUAUUUACUACAACACCAAUAACUAUANNNNNNNNNNNNNNNNNNNNNNNNNNNNNNNNNNNNNNNNNNNNNNNNNNNNNNNNNNNNNNNNNNNNNNNNNNNNNNNNNNNNNNNNNNNNNNNNNNNNGCUCCUAAUGCCUCUGAAGGUCUUGCCAUGGAUGGUCCAAGUGCUGGGUUGCUACUGCCAACAUCAGAACUAGUUGGAGAAGAAGCUGUCAGAAAUGAGAUUUGGGAAUGUUUGAUGCAGGAGGAGGUAAGCAAGAUUGGGGUUCGGGGGAUGGGCAUAAAAAAUUAUUAAAAUAGAUCAUUGCUAAUUCUCUCUUUUCUUAAUCGGUAAGUUUCUCUCUUCAAAUCCUUUUAUUUCUUUAUUGAAUCCAUCGCAUAUCAUUUGCAAACCGAUUUCUGUACAGUUUGUUUGUUCAAUUUUUCUUUUUCCAGUUUUUUUCUUGAUUUAGAUGGAAGAUUCUUUUGUCGCAUUUGAAGAGUUUCUAAAAAUUUUAGGGUUUUCCUAAAUCUAACUUUCUUGACACCACGUGCGCGUAUAAAUUUCUUUCGUGGAGAUUAUUUAUCAUGUUUGUGUGUUUGGUCUCUUGAGGUUGAGCUGUUUUUAUUUUCAAAAAUAAAUAUUUAUUUUCUUUUGCAUUUAUUUCUAAUAUCACCAUAAAUUGUCUAGGGUUGUGGAUUUUGGGGAUUUUGGGUUUUGGGUGAUCUAAUUUGGGGAUUUUGAGUAAGGGUUUUGAUUUUGGGGAUUUUGAUUUUAGGAAUUUUUAUUUAGGGUUUUUAAUUUUGAAGAUUUUGGGGAUUUCUCACACCGCCCUCCUCAUCAGCUUCAAAGCCAACAAAUCUACAUCUAAGCUCAUGCAAAAAGUCACCAGAACCCAUGCUUGAAACCUCAGGUCACUUCCGCCAUGCGGAUUGCAUCAAACUGAUCGAUGACUCUAUCAAAGAGCUCCAAAAAUCUAUAUGUAAAUUUUUUUCAUAUCAGAUGCUCCAACUUUGUGCCCAUGAGUCAUGAGUGAUCUUCAAACCUAGGUUAAUGCUGCCCUAACGGAUGAAGAUACUUGCAUGGAUGGAUUCUCAAGCAGGGCCAUGAAUGGGUAUGCAAAGAUGAUGGUGAGGAAACGAAUUAUUAAGAUCACACGUUUGACGAGCAAUGUUUUGGCUCUCAUUAAUAACUAUGCUUCAUCUCAGAUCCUUCAUUGAUUUUCUUGAGAAAACUUUGAUGGCAAGGAAAGUAUUGUGUUUCAUGGAUUUAUGUUCAAUAUAGGAUUUUAUGUUUUGGCUCUCAUUAAUAACUAUGGUUCAUCUCAACUCUAUGUUUGUGGUUCUUGAUUUUUGCAAUUGUAUCAAUUUGAAUAUGAAAUUUGUGUUCGUGUAUGUUUAGGGUUUUUAUUAUUUUUUUAAUAAUUUUAAAAUCAUUUGCUGACGUGGUAUAUAAAAGAAAAUAAUGUUAUGUUAGUAUUUAAAUUCAUUUGGACUGUCAUGUCAGAGGUUAAUGUUGACCAUUAGACAACUAACGGCCACAUCAGCCUCUAUGUUAAAAAUAAACCAAUUUGUUAGAAAUUUAAAUUUUGCACUAUAAAAUUAAUUUUUAAAAUUAACUAUUCAAUUUGUAAUUGAUUUUAUUAAAUUAAAAUAUUCACUAAUGUUUGAAAAUGUUCUCCAUGUUAAUUAUACACUUGAUUGUUUUUUUUUUAAAUUAUUUAAGAAUUCAGUUAAAUGGUAAUCAAUUUAUAUUAAAAUAUCAGUUUUAUUGGUUGUAUUAUUUCAUUAGUGUUCUUAUAAUAUUAUUUCAUUUUUAUUUAUAGACACCAACUUCAAAAUCAAAAGAGGAUUAAUUCACUAGAAGAUAUGGCUCAUACUGUAAACAAUAAAUAAGAUAUUAUAAAUUGAUAUCAUUAAAAUUUAAAUAAUAUACAAAGAGUAGCAAAAUAAAUUGAAAACAUAUUAUAUGAUCUAAAUGAACUAUAAUAAAAGGAUUAUAUAUUUCCUAUCAAUCCUACUAUAUUGUCUUUUAUAAAUAAUUUCCUAUCAAGCAAGUUGACAGCUAAAGGGUGCAAAUUUGACUUUGCUAAAUUCUCUAGCAUCAAAGAGGCAAGAUAUAUUGCAAACAAGACAUAAACCAAUAUCAACAUGGUGAUUCCAAAAUUCAAAACACACUAAACCCCUACUUUUGUAUGAUAGAGAAAAUAUGAUGUACAAAUUUAUAGUCAUGGAAUGUAUUAGGUGCAUUGAAGAUAAUUCAGUGUUAGAAUCAAAGAAAUUUAUCGUUAUUUUUGUGAAUUGUAAAAUUGUGCAUCAACUGGGAAAAAUGUUUGUCUUCCAUUACAAGAAUUUCUUUAAAGUUAAUAGUUUGAGAGAUAAUUUUAAGGAGGAAUUGGAAGGCAUUGCUAUAAAGAGAAUCUGAAGAAAGUAAUUUCGUUUUGAGUUUCAAGUGAAAGGAAUGAAAGAAAGGUUGCUUAAAUAAAUACAGGAUUGGAUAUUGAGUUGUUUUGAAUAGUUGGAGCGAAGGACACAUGGACCAUAUGAAAUUCAAGUCUACCAAAGUAAUGCAAAUCAGAUUCCUCUUUGGAAAUGACAACUUUUCAAAACAUUGUCAAUCUACCUUGAAAGGUGGCAUCUGUGAAAGAAUCAAUCAUGAAAUAUUAAAAUUAUACUAAAACGACUACAAAGAUUUAUUUCCCCUAUAAAUAAAUGUUUUCUUUUCUUCCUUAAAAAUUAACAUGAUUUUAUCUUAAUAUACAUAUAUAUAUAUAUAUAUAUAUAUAUAUAUAUUUACGUCUCAAAAUAGCCUUCUAAAAUAUUUAUUUUAAAAAAUAAUUUAUAUAAUACAUAUAACAAUUAAUUAUAAACUUAUUUUGAUAUGAUGUCAAAAUUAAAUAUUAUAAUGGUCCUUUAUCACAUUCAACACUAACUUUUAUUUUAUAAUUUUUAAAAAAAGUUAAACUAAUAACAUAAAAAAUUUAAACUAAAGUUUUUAAAAGAAUUUAGGUUAAACUACACCAUUAGUCACUCAAAAAAGGUCCAAUUUUCAUUUUGGUCACUUAACUAAAAUAAGAUACAAUUUGGUCACUAAUGUUUCUAGAAAAAUAUUUUGGUCACCUGACUGUUAAGUUGCGCUUACUUUGGCUGGUAUGAUAACAAUUUUUGUCACAUCCCAGAAACCAAGUUAGUAGAAAUUGGGUUAGUGAAACCAAGAGUGGUCACGUUCUGUUUUUGAGUUAAGAUUGUGAAAAUUAUGUUAAGUAAAUUUAUUUGGUUUAGUGGUUAAGUGCUUUGGAUGUGUCUAAGGUCUUGCGUUCAAUUUUUUUCCCUUAAAUUUUCAUUAUUUUUGUCCUAACUUCCAUCUCUGAACAUCUAGCUUAUAUAUUAUUUUUUCUCAAUUGAUGAUAAGAAUGAGUUUACUAGUUUAGUGGUAAGGCUUUAGUUUACUUAGAGGUCUUGUGUUUGAAUCUUAUGUAUGUAAAGUUGAAUUAUUUUUGUUUUUAAACUCUGAGAAAUUUUUUUUAUAAGGAUAACUAAUCAAAUUGAGUGGGGAAAAUUUCCCCAAAAUUCUCCUCAUUCUGUUGCUCACUUCUUCCCACAUUGUUCACUUUUUCUUGUCCCUUUUCUUUUUACAUUUGAUUUCUUCCUCUUUUUUUUUUUUUUGCUUUAGUAGUUUUGCUACCUUCCUUUCUCAUCUUUGCUCUACUAUUUUUCUUUUGUGUUAUUCUAUUGGUACGCUGUUGAAUCUCUGUUAUUCCUUCGGGUAAGUGUUGGUUACUUGUUUUAUAUAAAUGUGGUGUUGGGUUAAUCUUUCAAGUGAUUGAUGGUUUCAAUUUUGAUCUUUGCAAUGUGUUGUUAGGAGAAGAUCGACAGACUCUUGAAUUGUCUCUAGCGAUUUAAGUGCGGGAAAGGGCUGUUGUUUUUGCAAGGGUAAGUGAUUAAAGUUUUCAAUUGGAGGUUGAUUCGGUUGCUUAGGCUAACUGUUUAGCAUUUGCGAUUGAAUUAGUGACUUGGAUUUAGCAUAUUACUAAUAAUUCUUACGUUAUAAAAUGUCAGUUUAGGUACUGAAAUCCUCGUAGUGGUGUUAGCAUCGAAAAUCAACUAGGUGUGUAACGAAAAUAUCAAAAAUAACAAACGACACGAUGUUGAAAAACCCACUAUCGACGUCACACAACCAUGUGCCAGGUUAUGUGGGUCAUACGGGCUGGGUUAUUUGGGCCGUGUGGGCUACAUGGGUGUGUGUUAGGCUAUGUGCUAGGCCAUGUAGGCCACACGGGUUGGGCAGUUACGUCAUGUGGGCCCAUUUUUUGUAAAAUUCUGUCAAGGUUGUAUUUGAAGUGCGAUUUGAAAUUAGUCACUUUGUAGGUUCCGAAAUGUGUUAUGUAUGCAUUCUGGAUACGAAAUUUGAUAUUUUGUUUCUAUUAAUGUGGUUUUUCAAGCAUAUUAUUCAAUAUUGACAUUGUACAUGUAACAUUCAAGAGCAUGUCUGUGGUAUAGUUUAUGCUUCUGAUCUGUAAUUUGAGAAUCUAUUUAAGCAUGAUCCAUUUAUGUGCAUCUGAGUAUGUAAAAUGUUUUGACAUGUGCAUUGGGGUGGAAUGAUGAUGUGGUGGAGGAAGUGUUUUGGCAGUUUAACUGCAUGCUGAUAUUUAUAAGCCAUCGUUGUUGGGCAACUCGGGAUAACUUAAUUUGUGGUUUAACCACAUAUCUAAUAUGGGUGGCUUAACUAGACUUAUUGAUUUUGGCAGAAUACCGUAUUAUUUUUGGCAGCAUGAUUGCCUAUUCUAAAAAGUGAUAUAUGCUCACUUAUUGGUGUGACGGAUGGAUGGGCUCCUUAUAACACCCCUUACCCGAGACCAUUGUUGGAAUCGAGCACGAAGCGUUACCUAACUUAACUUACUAAUUCAGAGCAUAAAAAUUUUCUUUUAAAAUUAAUUCAAUCACAUUUAAUCAAUAUGUUCCUAAAAAGGAUCCUCGAGACCCUAAAACAUGCAAUGAAAUCGAUUCGGGUCCAAACCAGGAACAUUUAAAAUUUUUCGAUUACUUAAACAAGUCAAAAUGAUUUAUUUCACUAUCCACAAUAAAAUGUCCACCUGCAUAAUAGUCACUAAAUUUUUUAUAACUCGAGUUACGAAACUCGAAUUUAGAUCCGUCAAUUUUCCCUGAAACUAGACUCAUAUAUCUUCUUUACUUACUCUCUUACUCGUUUACUUACUUGCCUGCUUAAACAAUUCAUGUUUAUAACUUACUCAUUCCUUGCUGAAAUUUCUUUUCUCAACUGAUAACUGAGAUACUCUUAAUCUUAUUAACUCACCUGAACUUGUCUAUUAGGCUUUUACCUGAACUUUCAUGUAACAUCGUCUAUUUACUAGCCCGUUGAAUCACUUGGAAUACUAAGGAUACUCGGGUCUCCUGUCUGAAUAUUAUAGCCAAAGCUAUGUCCCAGACAUAGUCUUCCAUGAGAUGUUUCUUGUAUUGCCAAUGCCAUAUCCCAGAUAUGGUCUUACAUGAGAGUUCUCAUAUAGGUGCCAUUGACAUCUCCCAGACAUGGUCUUAUGGGGGACCUCUCAUCUUAGUGCCAAUGCAAUGUCCCAUCAAGGUCUUAAAUGGGACCUCUCAUCUUGGUGCCAACGCCAUGUCCCAGACAUGGUCUUACAUGGGAUCUCAUUCCCCAAAUGUCAUGACAUUUGUAUCCAUUACAUUCCCAAUGUUUCAACGGGGCUUUUAUCACUAAUUCUCUGUCAUCUAAUACUUGAGUCAACAUUAGAUAUUUUCAUGAAAUAAAUACAUAAUUGCUGAAAAAUAACAGCAUUAAUAAUUAUUAUUAAAAUAUUGCAUUUAUUUACCGUAAACUUACAUCGGUACAAAAUAUGAUCAAAUCUAGCACUUUAGUCCUCAACAUUUUUCUUUCCCCGAUCUAACUCCAAAUUUAGUUCUUCUUGAUCUAUAAUAGCAAAUUUAGCUUAUUUAAUACUCACAUUCAUCAAAACAGUCCUUGACUUGAACUUUAACAAAAUUAAGUUUUUCCUUAAACUUUUGCAUAUUUACACUUUUGUCCCAAAGCUCGGAAAUUAAACUUCAUCCCUUAUUCUUAUGUUUUAUGACAUGCUGAACAUUUUUCCCUUCUAUGGAAAUAUCAAAUUCUCAAUCUAACACUUACUUAUGAACAUUAGGUAUUUUUACCGAUUAUGUCAAUUUACUCGUUUUUACUUAAAAUCGGCUAGCAAAAGUUGUUUAACAUAGUUCCAAGCUUCAUACUCUACCAUAAAACAUCAACAUAAACAAAUUUCACCUAUGGUUAUUUUUCCAAAUAUGAACCCUAGGUUAAAUUAUUGCUAGAAUAAGCUAAAUCAAGUUACCGGAACUCUAAAAACGUAAAGAACAUUAAAAACGGGGCUAGAACGAACUUACAAGCGAGCUUGGAAGCUUGAAAAAAACCCUAUUCAUGGUUUCCCCUUGUGAAAUUCGGCCAUGGGGUUGAAGAUGGACAAAAAAUUGGCUUUUAAUUUUGUUUUUAAUUCAUUUUAAUAACAAAAUGACCAAAAUGCCCUUAAUGAAAAACUUUGGAAACAUGUCUAACCAUGUCCAUUUUUGUCCACCAACUUAACCAAUGGUCUAAUUACCAUAUAAGGACCUCCAAUUGAAAAUUUCAUAACAAUUGGACACCUCUAACAUGUAGAACUCAACUUUUGCACUUUUUACAAUUUAGUCUUUUUGAAUAAAUUGGGUGCCCAAAUGUCAAACUUUUCAAACGAAAUUUUCACAAAAUCAUUUCGUGAAAUCGUAGACCAUAAAAAUAUAAUAAAAAUAAAUUUUCUCAUGUUAAAUUUGUGGUCCCGAAAUCACUAUUUCGACUAGGCCCAAAAUCGGGAUGUUACACUCUUAUAGUCCUAUUUGGUGUGUAUUAGUGGGACAGAAAUGGUGUGUAGUGGAUGGAGGUAGGAUCUAUUUCUAUGUCUGUAUUUGCAUCUGUAUUUGUAUAUGCAUCUGAUUUUGUAUAUGAGAUUGCAUCUCUAUCUAAAACUGAAAUUAUUUAUGUAAUUGAAUUGUAUCUAUUUCUGUAACUAUUACUGUAUUUGAGUCUAUUCUGCCUGUUUGGGUUGAGUUACACACUAAGCCUAUAAGCUCACCCAAGUUCUUUGUGUAACACCCCUAGCCCGUAUCCGUCACCGAAUUAGGGUUAUGAGGCAUUACUGUACGAAUCACAAUUCAGAACAGAGUUUUGCUACAUUUAUUGCUUCUUAAUUUAAACUCAUCAGAACACUUAUUCCAUUCGAUUUUAAACUUAAAAUUUCUAUACUAAUAUCAUAAUUAUAUUUAAGAUUAUUCGAUUAUAUAUAUACAUGUGUCAUUACGCAACAUAUACCAACAUACAUGAUAACAAAUUUUUCAUAAGCUAAUCCUCAAACAUAACCUUUUUAUAGUCUAAGCAUAUUCACAUAUUAAAAUCGAUCAUCAUCCAUACAAAAAUACAACUUUGAUUAACCAUUAUGGCCGAAUAUACUAAUGAUUAGCAUCAACCAUGAUGUGCAUUUAAGUUCAAACAAUAUGAACCAUAUCACAUAAUUAAGUAUCACUCAUUUAAGUAGCAUUGCACACAUUUAAAAUAACAUGAUUUAAAAUUGAACAUAUUUCUCCAUCAAUUAUAAAACCAUGCGCAUAUGACCUUGUUAUCUUAAGUAAAUUUGGGCACAAAUAACAAUUAAGAUUACACAUCAUUCGCAUGCCAAUAUAUAUGCAUUAGAUCGUGCCAAAAAUUUCAUUCAUACCACAAGCUAAGUUAUUCCACAAUUAGACAAUCAUUAUAACCUAUAAUACAUAAUAUAUUUAUUUAAAUGUUAUAAAUCAAAUAUCAUGCUUAUCAUUUUAGCAUCAUAUCCUUAGCCUUAUAAACAUAUUCAUUUUAAUUAUCAACUAAAACAAUCAUAUGACAUAUUCAUAUUUAUCUUUUACCAACCAUACCUAAUUAACCAAUCAUUCAAGCAUGAUAUAUAUGCAUACAUUACCAAUACAAACCGAAUCAAAAUAACCUAUACACAUUCGAACUAUAAUCAUCCUUUUACCCCACUACUAAGCCGAAUUAUAAAUAUACAUCAAACAUUACAAACAUUUAUAUAUUCGGUAUUAAUCUUGCUAAUUUAAUCUAUAAGCAUAUACUAAGUGCACACACAUAUAUGACAUGCAUAAUACUUAAUUCAUAUAUUAAAAUUUUAUAUAUAUCAUUUCUCAUUUUCCAACUCAAAUUCAUGUACUCAUUUAUAGCAUAAAAUACACUUCAAAAACAGACCUAAAUCAUGACUGAAAAUAUAUAUAUUACUUUUGGUACAAGCUUAAUCCAUGACUUAGUUCAAUCGAUCAUUAACAAAACAUAUUAAACAAGUCACACAUAAUCAUACCAUGACCGAAUCUAAAUAACUUAAGAAUCAAAGAAUCUAUUAUAAUCAUAGGCAUAGAAACUAAGCUUAAUCAAAAGAAAUAAGCCAUUUUUGCAUGGCUUAAUAUUAUAACCCAAAAAUCUAGCAUUUCAGCUAUGCUAUACAUGCCAUAAGAUCGAAUUUAAUCUUAACAAAAUACCAAAAGGAGUCGAUAGUGUGAUAGCCUUCUUCGGUGAUCCCUGAGCUCGUAACAAACUUCCAAAAUCUAUAAAACGAAGAGUAAACAUGCACACAGUAAGCUUCCACAGCUUAGUAAGUCAUAAACGAACAUUAAUCAUAUGAACAUUAACACUAAAUCAAAUAGCCAAGUCAAUCCAAACCUUAGUUAAAUAUACAUAUAUCACACUCACAAGUUUAUAUGUUACCCAAAAUAAAUUGGCAGUUAUCAUCAUAUAACUAAAUGCACAAAUACUCAUAAACAUAUAUAAUUAUCACUUUUAAAUAUUGCAACGAUAUCAUUAUGCCAAAUCACUUAUAAUAUUACAAAUACACCAAUAGACCGAAUCACUUAUAUGCUCAAUUAUGCUAACACAUAAUUCAUAUCUUACAUAGCUAUAAAUCAUCAAUUCAAAUAUACAACUUACCUUAAUUUCAUAACAUAGUAUGAAUACAUACUUGAACCUUUUAAUUUGAUUUCACAUUCUAUCUUUACUUCACAUUGCCCCAUGAACCAUUUGGAACAAAAAGGAUACGCGGAUAUUCAGAAGGCUCGCACAAUGCCAACGUCCUAGACAUGGUCUUACAUGUAAUCACAUACCGAUGCAACUGUCCCAGACGUCGUCUUACAUGUAAACACAAGUCGAUGCCAACGUCCCAGACGUGGUCUUACACGAAAACACAUAUCGAAAAUCCUAUGUCAUGACAUAAGUAUCCUAUCUAUUCCUAGGGUUCGUACGGGACUUCCAGACAUUGAUUAUCGAUCAAAUCAAACUCAAAAUAAAUCCCUCUUCCAAGAUCAUAUUCGGCCAAUCAUUUAAUAAACCAAAUAAUUAAUUUAUCACAUAUUAUUUACAUAUUCAUUAAUUUAACAACAUUUAAAAGCUUAUUGACUUACCUCGGAUGUUGUCGUACGAUAUAAUUGACUAUUCGAUUACUUUCGAUUACCCCCGAUCUAAUUUCAUUUUCUUUCGUUCUUGAUCUAAAUAAAUUCAAAUUUAACUAAUUUAAUUACACAUUCAUUCAAUUUAAUCCAAAAACACAUAAAUGAGAAAAUUACCAUUUUGCCCCUGACAUUUUACACUUUUUUGUAAUUUAGUCCCUAUUGCAUAAAACACAAAAUACACAAAAUUUGCAUAUACCAUAGCUAGGCCGAAUCUUCUUAUAGUCCCUCUAAGUCCACACAUUUUAUUCAUUUCACAUUUUAAUCUCUAAAAAUAUUGUUUUUGCAAUUUAGCCCUAAUUACUCAAUUUCAUCAAAAAUUCCAAUACAAAACAUAUUAAUCUAAAACAUAUCUUUCAUUAUUCAUCAUCAAAUAUCACAUAACACAAAUGUUCAUCAAUGGCACAACUCAAAAUAUUCAUCAAAAUAAAAAAAAUCAAACAUGGACCGGAAAGUAUUCGAAGCAACGAUCUUAAAAACGUAAAAAUUAUCAAAAACCAAACAGAGAACUAACCUUAAUCAAGCUUCAAAAUGGCCGAAUAUUGCUUGGCUUCUUUUCUUUUUCUUUUGCAUGAAUUCGGCUAAGGAAGAUGAUAAUAACCUUAAUUUUUUUUAUGUUUUUAUCUAACAUAUAUUAUAAUAUAUUUUUAAUUUACUAAUAUAACCUUAUAUAAAUAAAUAUAACUUAUAUAUAUUUUAAGGUUAACAUUGUCCUUAGCUGUCCACUAAUACUAGCUAUGGCAUAAUUUCAACAUAAGUGCGUCAUAUUAUAAAGACAAGUUCAAUUAGGCAAUCACACAUUUAACUAUCAAAUUUUUAUUUUACGCGAUUAAGCCAUUUUCUUUAAUCAAUCAUUCAAACAAUAAAAUUUAAACACGAAAAUUUCACACAAUCAAAUUCACACAUUAUAAACGCACAAAAUAAUAUUAAAAUAUUUUUUGACUCAGAUUUGUGGUUCCAAAACUACUAUUCCGAUUAGGGUCAAAAUCGGGCUGUUACACUUUGACUUCUCAGGUAAUCAGCAUACUUAGGACCAAACGACGUGCAGAAGCUCAUAUUGGAUUCUCAGUUAUUUAAUUAUGAUGGUUCAUGUUUUUAAAUUAUUCUGGACUUUCUAGAUUUUUUGGACGGUUGUAAAUCUGUUUCUGUAUUUUGCUUUACAUUUUGGUUUGCUUAGUUAAAUUUAGUAAUUAUUACUUAAAACUACAAAGUUUUGUGUUUUGCAAAUUAAGUCACGAUUUUCGAAAUUUAAUACUCUGAAAUUUCCGCUGCAAAAUAAAGUAAUCAUUUAAGUGUUUUUCUAUAAUAAAUUAAAUAGUUUCAAUGAGUGUUUUCUUAAAAACUGCAAAGUGAUUUGUCAGAAUUAAUAUUGUCAAAACAUACGAUUUCAAAUUCAAUUUCUAGGUUUUUUAAAUAAGCUAAUGUAAUUCCUCCAAAUUUGGCCAUAACAUCUAGGUCUUGUUUGGGAUGUUACAAUUUUAGUCCUUAAUUUUUAUAUUUUUAUCAAAUUGACCCUUAUUUUAUAUAAAAAAUUAUAAAAAAAACUCAAAAUCAUUUAUAAAAUAGAAAAUGUAUAUAAAAUUCUAGAAAAAUAAAAUCUUGAAUAUGUUGUUGAAGAACUAAAUUGUAUGAGAAAUAAAGAAAAGUAUCAUUCAAUAGAAUCCAAUAACAAACUUGGCACAUAACAAAAUAAAAAGUUAGAUCAUUACAUACUUCCUCAAUGUGUCUCGAAACCAAAUUAGUAGAAUUAUCUAGUUGAGUUUCAUGCUCUUGAAGAACAUUUAGAACCAGUAUUACAGAGGCUUAUGAAAUCAACCCGGAAGUCAUUUUUUUAGUCAAAAGAUUAAAAAAUAUCCCACAAAUUUUUUUUCAAACUCAAUUCAAGAUUUAAUUAUAUUUAAAUUAUUUUCCAUAACCCAAAUUGUAAAAACAAAUUAUGUUUCUUCUUCCAUGGUCGAGUUGGGCUUGGACAAGGUUUUUAUGUCUUGAGCCGUUACAACUUGACUUCAAUUUAAAUAAUAAAAGUUAUUUUUAAAAUUCAAAUUUAAUUAAUAAUAUAAAAAUGUUUUUUUAAUAUUUUAUUAUUUUCUAAACUCGCAAAUGGACUUUUUGGAUUGACCAAGCAAAGCUAGAAAUGGGUUAGGCUAGAAAAAAUAUUAGAUUAUUUAUAAGAGUAUAUCAAGGAGUCUAAUAAUUACAAUUUUUUUGGAAGGUCUUAAUAACACUAGAAAUCUUAUCACAUGCGUAUGCAUGUAGAAAUCACGUAUGUAUAACACAGACUGUGUUUAAAAAUAACAUACAAUGAAUACUGAAAAGUAUAAUUUGGAACUAAUUAAUAAUAACACGUGAAAUAUGUAUGAUAUUAAAAUAAAAUUAGAUUAAAUUGAGAGUAAAACAAAAUCUAAACACAAAAACACAUCAUAUUAAUAAUACUAAAUAAAUACAAAUGUUUAUCAUUGUUUUGUCUUCAAUCCCGAGUUGGUGAUGCUAAAUCAAUAACAUUAUUUACAUACACAAAUAUAUAAAAACUUAGAACACAAAUGUUUAUCUGUUAUAAAGCAUGUAUGACAUGGACAUUUCUGACAUUUGUUAAUUUUGCAAGUGCAUUAGGAUGAGAUUUGUGUUUACGGAGGAUGUGUGGGAGUUUAAUUCAUUUGCCAUAUUUAGUGGCUCAACCGCACGUAUUUUUGCAUUUGGCGAUGAAUCACCUAAUGAUUUGGCAGUUAGACUGCGAAUAUUUUGAAAUGUUUCAUACUGGCACUAAGCGGUGUGUAGGGUCUGAUAGGUAUUUAAUACCCUAUAUGGUGUGUAGAAAUGGUCGAAGAUGGUGUGUAACGGAUCGGUUUAGGAUUGUAAUCUACACCUGAUAUGUUCUGAUUCUGUUUCUGUAUACGAUAUAUGUCUAAUUGACUUCCGAAAGCAUGUUUGAAAAUUAUAUCUUAUAUUUUUACUCUUAUAAGUUACACAUUGAGUUUGUAAGCUCACUCUCAAUUUCUCUUAUUCUUAGGUAAUCCUUAGACUUAGAUGGGUCGAUGCAACUGGAGUUCGAUUAAUUAUCUACUUGUUAUAUUUGUUAUUUUAAUAUGGUUUAUUCUGUUUUUGUUUUGGACUAUUUUUAAGUUUAGGUUUAGUUUCGUUUUAUUUAUUUAAACAUUUUUAAUUGGUUUAAAUUUGAUCUACAAAAUGUUAAAUUAUAUAGCAACAAAUCGUGUUUUCAAAAUCGGACUCAACUAAGAAUUUUCGCUGCAAACGUAAGUGUUUUAUGAAUAAAUAAUCGACAAAUUUAUCGAAAUGGUUAAGAACGAUAUUUUCCUCAAAUAAAAUCAAAUUUUACUUAAUAAGAGCUAGCAUUGUUUUAUAAGUUGAACAGAUUCUGGGUUUUUAAAUAAAUUGUAGUAAUAUCUCCAGAUCUGGCUAUAACGUCUAGGCCAGGUUUGGGGUGUUACAGAGCCUAUAAGCUCACCCAAUGUUUCUAACUUCUCAAUUAAUCAACAUAUUUAGGACCAGACGACGUGCAAGAGAUCAGAUUGAGUUCUCAAUUAUUUAAGUAUGAUGGUUCAUGUUUUUAAAUUAUUCUGGACAUUCUGAUUUUUUGGGGGGGGUUUGUAAAUCUUUUUUCAGAUUUUGCUUUGCUUAGUUGGAUUUAGUAAUUAUUACUUAAAACUGCAAGAUUUUGUGUUUUACAAAUUAAGUCAUGGUUUUCAAAUUUUAGUACUCUAAAAUUUCCACUACAAAAUAAAGUAAUCACUUAAAUGUUUUUCUAUAACAAAAUAAAUAGUUUUAAUGAUUGUUUUCUUAAAAACUGAAAAGUGAUUUUCUAGAAUUAAUAUUAUCAAAACACACAAUUUCAAAUUUAUUUUCUGGGUUUUUAAACAAGUUAAUCUAAUUUCUCCAGAUUUGACCAUAACGUAUAAACCAAGUUUGUGGCGUUACAAUUUUUGUCCUCAAUUUAUAUAUAUAUUUAUCAAUCUAACCCUGAUUUUAUAUAAAAAAAUUAAAAUCAUUUAUAAAAUAGAAAAAUGUGUAUAAAAUUCUAGAAAAAUAAAAUCUUGAAUAUGUUGUUGAAGAACUAAAAUGUAUGAGAAAUAAAGAAAAUAUCAUUCAAUAGAAUCCAAUAACAAUAAAGAAACAAAACGAAAUAAAAAAGUUCAGUUUCAUGCUCUUGAAGAACGUCUAGGACUAAUAUUAUAGAGACUUAUAAAAUCGACCCGGCUGUCAUUUUUUUGGUCAAAAGAUUACAAAAUAUACCACAAAUUUUUUUUCAAACUCAGUUCAAAUUUUAAUUACAUUUAAAUUAUUUUUCAAAACCGAAAUUGUAAGAACAAAAUGUGUUUCUUCUUCCAUGGUUGGUUGAGUUGAGCUUAGACAAGGUUUUUAUGUCACGAGCUGUUCGAACUCCAAUUCAAUUUAAAUAAUAAAAAUCUUUUUAAAUAUUAAAUUUAAUUAAGAGUAUAAAAAUAUUUUUGAACAUUUUAUUAUUUUUUGAACUCUCAAAUGGACUUUUCAAAGUAGACGGAUUUCUUAUUCGUCUUUUUAUACAUGUAAUUAUUAAUUAUUUUCUCUUUCUUCUUCUCCUUCACACACUUUCCCAUUAAUUCCUAUCACAAUUUUGCUUAUUUCUAUUUUCACCUUUUUCUUCACUCUUUUUAUUUUCUUUUCAUCUCCAAGGUCUAUCACUAAUUUUCAAGCAUCCAGUCAAGGUAAUUUCCUUUCAUUUGCUUCAUUCAUGACUAUACAAUGAUUGUUUUUUUAUUAUCAGCUACUGUUAUAGCAGCUUGCUUUGUAAGAUGGUCAAGAUAAUAAGAUCUGCGGCAAUGGUUUCCUCUAGUGAUUAUCAACAGUUUUAGAUUUUAAGACAGGAUGAUCAGCAGACAUAAUCUACUAUAGAUACAGAUUAAUACGAAAAGAGCUAUGCUUUGUAAGAUAGUCAAGGUAAUAAGAUCUGAAGCAAUGAUUUCCUCUACUGAUUAUCAAUUUUAAGACAGGAUGAUCAGCAGACAUAGUAUACUAUAGAUACAAAUUAACUCGAAAAGAGCUACCCAGAAGCAAUAUAAUGUUGAAAUCUCAUGCUGAUGAACAUUUUACCUCUUCAUAUUCUGUAAUGAACUCUUGCACACUUGAAUCUAGCAUGUUGUAUAGUUUGAGGGGUUGAUUCUGGAUAUACAAUGGUGACCAGGAUUUCAUCAUGUUUCUGUCUGCCACCCAUCCAUAGCUCCAUCUAAUAGACGCCAUUGCUUGAAACUUGCAUUCAUAAUUUCCUUUUCACGCUUACACCGACAUAUCAAUACUUCAUAAAAUAUCCAACUCAUUCACAGAUUUUCAUUCUCUGCUACUGUUAUAUAUGAUUGCAUUACAGGGACAUAGCAAUGGAGUACGUAGAGCCUGUUGUAGGCAUUGCAAAUUGUCUCGGAACUCCUGUUUGUAAAUAUUUGCAAUAUCACAGAAAGCUGAACGAUUAUGUGAGAAACUUCAAGAGGAUCAGAGAUGAAUUGAAUUGCAAAAUGGAAGAUAUAGAGCUGCAAUUGAAAGCAGAGCUUCUUCGUCCUUUGGGGAAGAUACCAAAGAAGGGAGUUGAAAAUUGGUUGAAAGAUGUGAAAGAGAUGAUUGCGGAAGCACAGGAUGUGGAAAAUAAAGUCAGGAACGGAAGAUAUCUCUGUCGUGCUUGCAACGGGAAGCUGGUUGAUGAAAAGACUCUAGAAAUGAAGGGAUUUCUUGAUAAAGCUCCUAAUGCCUCUGAAGGUCUUGCCAUGGAUGGUCCAAGAGCUGGGUUGCCACUGCCAACAUCAGAACUAGUUGGAGAGGAAGCUCUCAGAAAUUUGAUUUGGGGAUGUUUGAUGCAGGAGGAGGUGAGCAAGAUUGGGGUUUGGGGGAUGGGCGGUGUGGGUAAAACCACUAUCAUGAAGCACAUCCACAAUGAUCUUUUGAAACAACAAAGAUUCGAAAGGGUAAUCUGGGUUACCAUAUCAAAGGAGUUCAAUGUAAUGAAGGUACAAGAUAAUAUUGCAAGUGCGUUGGAGUCGAAGGAAUAUUUAGACAAAGAAGAGGACAAGCUCAGACGAGCUGCAAUCUUGUCAGAAAUGCUGAAGAACGCAGGAAAGCAUGUUCUAAUCCUAGAUGAUGUGUGGGAUAAAGUCUCUCUAGAGGAAGUUGGGAUCCCCGAGCCAAGUGGCAGCAAUGGCUGCAAGUUGGUGUUGACAAGCCGUUCGGAGCAUGUCUGUAAGUAUAUGGGUUGUAAGGUGAUAAAAGUGAAGCCCCUUUCAGAAGAAGAGGCAUUGAUACUAUUCUUGAAUAAAGUUGGACCUAACAUAGUUCAAAGUCCAACUAUAAUGCCUACUUUGAAGCUUGUUGUCCUCGAAUGUGCGGGUCUACCUCUUACAAUUGUCGUGGUAGCCGGUACCAUGAAAGGAGAAGAUAACCCUCUUAUUUGGAAAAAUGCACUCGGGGAAUUAAAAGAGAGAAUAGGGAAAGUUGAAGGAGUGGAAGCUGAGGUAAUCGAGCGCUUGAAAUUUAGCUUCGACCACUUAAAGGACGAGAAUGUGAAAUAUUGUUUCUUACAUUGCGCAUUAUAUCCCGAAGAUUUUGAAAUUGAAAAGGAUGAACUAAUUGAGUGUUGGAUUGAAGAGGGAUUCAUAGAUGAUAUGCGUACAAGACAAGAAAUGAAAGGCAAGGGCCAUGUUAUUUUGAAGAAGUUAGAAGAUAAUUGCUUGUUGGAAAAUGUCUCGAGUGGAAAAAUAAAAAUGCAUGAUGCAGUGAGAGACUUGGCAUUGUCGAUCACAAGAAUGAGUCCUCGAUAUAUGAUACAAGCAGGUUUGCAAUUAGAAGAGUUACCAGAAAAGGAGCAAUGGAGUCCGGAUAUUGAGAAAGUGUCACUUAUGUAUAACUCCAUAUCAGAAAUUUCCAUAGAUGUGCUGCCCACAAAAUGUCAACUGCUCACAACUUUGUUAUCGCAGCGUAACCCUAUAAAGAAGAUCUCAUAUUCUUUCUUCAUAAACAUGCCUUGUCUUAGUGUUCUCAAUUUGUCCUCUACGAAGAUCAAAAGUUUACCAAAUUCCAUCUCUGAACUAAAGAACCUCACAACAUUGUUGCUUCGUGGCUGUUAUGAAUUAAGAGAUCUGCCAUGUCUUUCGAUGCUUCAAGAAUUGAAGAAGUUGGAUCUUUCUGCGACUAAAAUUGAGGAAGUCCCUGAAGGAAUGGAUAUGCUAAUAAAGCUAAGAUAUCUUGAUCUUGAAGUGCUCACUCUGAAAGAGAUACCCGCUGGACUUUUACCAAAACUCGUUCACCUUCAGCACUUGGGUUUUCAUGUGAACAAUGAAAAAACAAGUCUAAAAGCAGAGGAGAUGGAACCAUUGAAGAAGUUGGGGUGCUUAACCGGAUGUUUCGAAGACAUCAAUGAAUUGAAUAAGUUCAUCUCCUCAAUGCAACAAAGUAAGAAAAAUCUCAUCAAGUACUCUUUACAGGUGGGCUUAGCUAAGUUCCUUCAUAGAAGAGAUAAAAGAGUAACAAUUGCAGGAAUCCAGAAUUGGGAAGGUGAGUUAAUUAUGCACCCAAUUGAAAUUCAAGAGUUGAAUAUUGUUAAGUGCGACUAUUUGAGAAGCUUAGUCGAUGACAAUUCUUCCUUCAAAAAUGCGAUUGACUUGAGGGUUUGUAGGAUUUGGGGGUGUGAAGGGAUAGAGUGUGUUGUUUCCCUGUCCUCUUUUGCCUCUUCUUCCGCUCAUCCAUUUCAGAGCCUGGAGAUGUUGGAUCUUAAACAUCUGCCAAAGUUGAGUGCCCUUAUUAUGAAAGAUGCAGGAAUUGGUUCAGCAACAACAUCAACAUUGGCUCCGUCUGCCUGCUUUUCCCAUCUUAAGAAAUUUUAUGUAGUGAGAUGCUCAAGUAUGAAGACGUUGCUUCCACAUUGGUUGCUUCCAAACAUCCAAAACCUGGAAGAAAUUUGGGUGUCAGAAUGUGAUGAGAUAGUAGAAAUAUUGGGAGCAGCAACAUCAGAAGUUGAAGAAGAAGGGAGUGAUGCAUUAAUCAAAUUCCAUCUUCCCAAAUUGAUAAAGUUGGAAUUGUGGAGAUUACCAAAUUUGAAGAGCAUUUGCAGCAAAAGUAGAGUGAUGGUUUGUGACUCUCUCCAACUUAUCCGGGUUUUAGGAUAUUGUACUAAACUGAAGAGAAUUCCUCCAUUUGUUCCCCUUGUUGGCAAUGGGCAGCCAUUUGCAUAUGCUCCACCUUCUCUUACCAUCAGGUCAUGGAAAGAAUGGUGGGAAUUGUUGGAGUGGGAUGACCAUCCAAACUUUAAAAAUGUUCUUCAACCCCUUUGGAAGGAAGAAAGGUAUGAACCAUUUAUAGUUUAGUUUAUUUAUUUUUAUUUUUAUAAAUCUAAUUUCUCCAUAUUAAUAAAAUUUCAGGGGUAUUUGGAGACGUCGAAGAAGAGAAAGAUGAAAGGGUUGGUGGGAAAAAAGGAGGGGGGAGGAUAGUGCAAAAGAGAGGAGAAAAGGAAUGAUGGAAGGAAGAGGUAAAAACCAAAUAAAUUAGCUUCAUAUUUUUUCUAUGUUUGUUUUGAAAGAAUGAGUAUUGAAUAUGGAUAAAAUAGAGAAAUUUGGUAGGGUUUAAAAAUAUAAUAUAUAAUUUAAAUAUCAAUUAUUCAAAAUAAUGGUAUUUUAGAUAGCAAAGGUAUUGAAAAUUUAAAGUGAUUAAUUACCUUUUUAUCAUUAUAAAUAAAUACCAUAAUUUCUUGUUAAAUAAAAUAAAAAAAUAUCAUUACUUCUUCUUUCAACAAUCAUUCUAUUCUAAAAAUAAAAAUUACCUUUUUUAUCAAUAUAAAUAAAUACCAUAAUUUCUUUUUAUUCUGGAAAAAAAUUUGAAAAUUUAUGUUGUUUUCUUGAAAAUUUAUCAAUUUAUAUUGUUUUUUACAAAUAGAAAGGAAAACGCGUCUUAUAGUUCUGAUCGUCCAUAGAAAACAUGAGACGCGUUUUAUUCUCUUUCCUAAAAAGCGCUUUGUAGGAGCAACUAAGGACAAUGAACCACGACGUUCAUGUCUUUUGUCAAUUGUGCAUAAUUUUGAUUGGUACAAUAACACAUUUAGCCCUUGAUGUUUACAUACUUUUUUAGUUUGGUCUUGAUUCUAAAAAAAAGCAACAAAUUCAGUCUCAUCAUUUACACAUUUACAAAAAUAUAACGGGCUAAAUUUGUUAUCAUAUCAAUCAAAUUUAUGUAAAAUUGAUGAAAAAUAUUAAUAUUGUGAUUAAUUGCUCACUUUCGAAAUUAGUAGGGAUUAAAUUGCUUCGAUUUGUUUAGAGGGACCAAGUUGCCGAAUAUCAUAAUUGAAAGGGAUUAGAGAGGUUAUUUUACCUAGUUUAAUAAUUAAAUGGCAUGUUAAAUAUUAUGUGACAUAAUUUAAAAUAAAAAUUUGAAAAAAAAAAAGGAAGAUUGUAAAAAUAGUUGUUUUAAAAAUCAUGGUUUUGAAGUUUUUACAAAUUUUUUAUUCAUUUUUUUAAAUUUCAGUUUUAUUUAAUUUUAGUUUCUUUAAAAUUUUCAUUUUAAAAUUAGUAGUAAAAUUUAACGUGUCAUUUAAUGAUUUUAAUAGUAAAAUGACAUGAUUAAUAUAACAUCAAUAGUUUAUAAAUGUAAUUAGAUAAGUUUGAAGUUCGAAAAUAGAUUUAAAAUAAUGGUCAUAAUUUAGGGGUGGUUGAUGUAAUUAACUCAUUUCUAAUGGUACUUAUAAUUAAGUCUGUCUGCCACCAAUCCAUAGCUCCAUCUAAUAAACGCCAUUGCUUGAAACUUGCAUUCAUGUUUCACUUUCAAUCAUUUUCGUGUCCACCUUCAACCAUCAGCCAUCACUCACCAUUGCUUAAGCUAUUUUGCAUUUUAGACCAUAAAUUACUGAGUUGAAAACUCUAGUGUCCUUCUGCAGCCUUUUUUGGUCCAGGCUGGGCUCAAAAAUUUGGGUCGACCUUGAAUAAAACAUUUAAUCCCAUAUUUCAUAUUAGGCCAAGCUUGAGCAAAAAUAACAGUUAGCAAUAUCUUGUCUAAGCCUGAGCCAAAUCCGGCCCAUGAGAUAAAGCAUUCAGAUUGAACUACCGGUAACAUUAUGAGUUUUUGGUCCAUCCUUCAUGGGGAUGCAAAGAACAAAAUUAACUAACUUUUGCCACUAUAGAAUGUUUGUUCAACUAAAUAAAAUAAAGAUUGCCCUAUAACUCUAGUUCCAUUCAAGUUAAAACUUCUUCAGGCAAGAUAAUAGUAACAUAAUGCUAAAAGAACCAGCACAACCACCCCAGCAGGAGCUGCCCAUAUCCAGUAGUUCAUCGACUCGGUUCUUUUGGUUCGAUUCCUGUACCUACUAGUAUUCUCCUUUGGUACUUUACCCUUCAUUGAAACGGUAGCAGAAACAGGUGCAUCAGUAUUAACAUCGACCUUCUCGGGUUCUGAAUCUUGUGCCACAGCUUCAAUCAGUUCCUCGGGAUUCACAGCAUUUGUCGAUCCUGCCACCUUCUUCUUAGCUCUCUUUUCACGCUCCUGAAAAAAAGAUCGAAAGAGUUUCAGUUUCAACCCACAAACUAAUAACCGAUAAAGCGAAACCAGAUAAGGAAGCAAAUGAUUUCCUUGAGCUUCUUUUCAGCUUCCAUUUGAGCUCUUCUAGCUGCUUUGGCUGCUGCUUUUUCAGCCAACUUCUUUUUUCUUUCCAUGGCUUGCUUUGCUUUCGCUAUUUCCUCUUCUCUCCAGUUCUUUCAGUUUUGCUGCAUCGACUUCCUUGUUCUUUUGCAAUUUUCCGGAUACCAAAAUUUCCUCUGCUACAACACUAAUAUCUGACAAAGGAUUCGACUCCAUUGCUAUAGUCUCGGCAUCUUUUGGGGCCUUUUUGGCUAGUUUAGUAUCUGGUUGGGGACCUGAUUUGGCCUCUUCCUUUGGUUGUCUUACACUAGGUCUCAGAAUUGUUUCGGUUUCAGAAUCCACUGGUUUCUCGGUGCAACCAGUGGUUUCUCAUCAGGAUUCCUUAUCCGACCAUCCCGACUCAAUAGCCGAUUGUCCAGGGAUGGCAGAAUUCUUUUCUCAUAAUCAUCCCUGAAGAAUUUAUUGCCAUUCCAGAGAGCCAUAAACUUCUCAACCUAAAAGGAAUAUAAAAGAUAAGUGAGCGGCUAAAUAUAAAGCAAAUGAGAUACAUUGGAAGUAACAUUAACAAGCAGUCUCAACAAACCUCCACAAUUGAUAACUCCUCAAGAGCCUUUAUAUCUUUCUGUGCAGCAAGCAGUUUGGCGUUGUGUACAAUGGUACGGCUCUGGUAAAAGUGAGAAUUCUGAAAUUUUGAGAAAGAAAGCAAUUAAAACGAAUCAUUAGUAACAUCAUGCACAGGAAUAUUGGAAGUAGACAUAAUAUGUAUCAUUUAAUAUCUUAAGUGAUACUAGUUAUUCAUGCAUAAAUGAAAAUGUUCCGACAUGGUCAAGUAUUAUACGAAACAGAUAUCUGAAGCAAAGAAAAGGCGAUACCCCCUGAUCACUUUGUUUCCUCAGCUCCUGAAUGUUUUCAAAAGCUUUGUCCCUCUUCAGGGUCACAGCUUUCAGCUCAUUUUGUAAAGACUAGAUUUUAGUCUCAGUUUCAUCCAAUUUAUCUUUAAUUUGCUUUUUUUUUUUUUGGACCAGACUGCAUGCUGCUCCUUCCUUACUCCAUUCAAAUCAACACCCAUAAGCUACAAUAAACAAAUAUAGCAUUUUUUUUUAGUGUAACACAAUGGUGCUCGAUAUUCACAGAAAAAAAGAGGAGCAAACCCCGAUGGAUAAAGCAGAAAAUAGAAUUAUGUUACUUUAACUUGAUCUUGAAUGUCUUCUUUCUGGCCUAAUGAAUCUUGAAUCUUUGAUCUCAUUGCAGCAUUAGCAAUAACUUUCUCGCGGGUUCCCUCCAGGUGUUUGAUUUCUUCAAGGAUUCGCUUCUCCUCGCUCAACGAGAUGCUUUCAUGCUGAAUGCGAUAUGGCAAGCUAUGGAUCUGCAAUUCAUAAAUUCCAUUGAAGUGACUAAAGGAGAAAAAGAAAAGCAUUAACUGCGGCAGAAAACAAUGAAUAAAUCUAAAUGCAGUCAAAGUUUAUAGAAGUAUCAUACAAUAAAAUCGAGCUCUUCCUCAGAUGCACAUAAACUAAGUCGAUUAUCAACAUCUUUAUUAUUGCGAAGCUUGCCUAAAGCCUGCUGCAGUGGUUCUAUUUCCCUUUUUUUCUCAUCUAAAAUCGUCUUAAAUUGCUCAAAAUCAACAUUCAGCGCUCUCACUUGCGAAAGCCUCUCUGAUCGUUCUGCCUGCAUUAGCAUAAAGAUAAUCACAAUUUAGCCAACUGACAGCGCCAUUAUUUUUUACUUCUUUCACAUUUUUUCUCAAAUUCUGAAGGCAAACACAACAAUAAUGAAUCAUUAUACCAAUAGCAUAUCUGUAAGUCUCAUUACAUUUCAAGGACAUAAAUUUCAAACAUUCAAAUAAAUGCUUCCGGGUUUAAUUCCCCUACAUUCAUCAUAUUACAAUAAGCACACCGUAAUGACAUAAUGAUAGGGCUAAUAAUUAUCUUAAAAGUAUGACAAUUAAUGGCUACCAUGCUAUACAUCUAAUUGAAAUUAAUAACUUUUCACUCACCCUUUUUGCUUUUAAUUCAUCGGUAAGCUUAAACCUGGCUUUAUUCCACUUUUGUAUCUCUUUAUCAGCCUGAUCAAGUUUGGCUUUUAUAGCCGGAUCUUCGUAGAAGCGAUACCUAAUAAAAUGAAAAGAGCGGAUCUGCUUAGGUGCAGGCCACUCGUCGACCGCAUCCUUCAGAAAGUCGGGAUCGGAUGCACCAUUCUCUUCUUCCUUAUCUGGUUCCUCACUAUGUGAAUCAACUUGAAUGGGGUUAUUAUAAACUGGAUCCUUAUCCAGUUUCCCAUUUUCAUGAAGAAAUGAUUUGUCUACUUCAGUCACUUUAUCAAUAGACAAUUGUGCCAGGUCUGAAUCAACAUCCUUUACACCCAUUAAACACAAAUUUGAGCUACCUGAAAACAUGCAAAAACAAAGAUUAUGAUACCAUAUAACAACAAAUAUAAAUAUAAAAUAUUAUUUCAUUCAUAAAAUAAAAAUUUUAAAACCAGACACCUGAUAGACAUGUAUAAAACAAUAUAUAUUAAAUAAAUAAAUUUUAAAGAACAAUUAAUGUAGCCAAUACAAUUUGAAAGUCAUUCCUUUAGCUAAUUUUCUCAUUAAUCAGAUCAAAAGAGUGAACAAACAGUAGAAUUGCAAAAAUAUAUGUAUAUAUUCUAAAUAAAUGAUAAACUAUAUUGGAGAAAAACAAUAAUCAGAUAAAAUCUAGAUCAAAAACUAAAUUAUAAGUACAUUAGCUCAUGCUAUAACAAAAGAUCAAGCCUUUAUCCGUCAAGAAAAUUAACAUGCAAAAUCAUAUGACACUAAUGGAAAAGAAGGGAAAAAAAACCCAGAAAUUUACAAACAUGAGAUAAAAUGAAAAACAAAAAAAAAACCCUAGAAAUAAAAACACGAGAAAUAAUUAUGUAGUUUGUAAGGCCAGAAAGCUUACAUUUUUAAAAUGAAAAUGUCAAAAUAGGAUGUUUUUGUUGUCGAGAGAGGCAUAGAUACAAAGGUUCUGAGGUUCUGGAUAAAAAAAAAAACUUCAACUUUUUUUAUUUUACAUUGGCGUAAUGCCCAAAUUUUAUGAAUUCUAGUUGUUAAACAGGUAUGAUGGUUAAGUGCCUUGAAUGUUUGCUUUAGGUCUUGGAUUCAAUGCUUUUUUUUUUGUUAAAUUUUCCCUAUUUAUUAUGGUAUUAUGUUCAACUUGAGCUUUAGGGCUUCUCUUAUUUUCAAUGAUGAAUCUACUGAUUCAGUGGUAAGAUUUUAGCUUAUCACCAAUUAAAUUUUAUAAAAUUUGGUAAGUGGAAUUUAGAUUAACAUAAAUAUUUUUAUUUAUUUAUUUUAAUUUAAUUUUACUAAAUCUCUAUUUUCACUCAUUGUUUCAACCGUUCACACUCUCACCCCACUUCGUACGCUAAUUUCUUUAUUUCCCUAUUCUGCAGUUUUAUCUUCUUUUCUCUUCCUUCUUUCUUCUCUUUGAUUGUUCCUGAAUACUACCGUUUAUUUUGUGAGUUCUAUCACUUGGAUCGUAUUCUGUUUGAAGUGUAAGUUUCAUUUGGUUACUUUUGUUCUUUUCCCAUUAAUAGUUUAGUUUUAUUUCGUUUCUUGAACAAGUUGAGUUUGCGUUGGUGUUUUAUGUUCAUUAUCAUGAUUAGUAUUUUUGUGGUUCUCGAUUAGGCAAAAGGUGUGAGAAUCCUAACCCUCCAGCAAAGUAGUCACAAUUUCCGACGUUGUUUUGGAGAAUUAAGUAUUCAAAUUCUAUUUUAGGGGCUGAAAUUUUGAUUCAACGAUGUUAUUUUGGAUAAGUAUUGUUAGUUAAUCUGUGUGGUUUGAUGAAUUUAUAGGAUUCGUGAGUUCCAAUUGAGCGGUUGAUCAAAUCAUCAAUAGGUGUAUGAAAUUAACCUGAAAACUCAAUCGAAACUCGAGAAAAUUAAGGGCCACACGACUUUGUGGGUAUUUUGGCCAAUUUUAAGCCCCAAUUAGGGGCCAAUUAAAGGACUCAAAUAUUGGGUCCAUAGCCAUCAUAUAAGCCCAAAAAAAUGUAAGUUUUAGUACGUAUAUAUACAUGGCUAAGCUUAGGAGGUAUGUUAAGUAGGUUGUAUAUAAAUCAUAUGCUAUGUUUUGUUCCUUAUAAAAAUAUGUGUAUGCAUGUCAUACGACUUAUGAUAUAUGUAUUUAUGAUAUUAUAAUUAUGAUUAUGCCUAUGUUUUGGGAUGGGUUAUGAUAUGAUGGAGGAAGUGUUAUAUGAUAGUUUUUAUCGCAAUUAUUGCUGCUAGACUAUAAAAUUUCUAUCUAACAGCUCAGUUGCAUAUUUAUGAGUGACAUACCGCCACAUAUUGGUGUGAUUGGAUGGACGGACUCUUGUAGUCCUAAUUGGUGAUAUUGCUUGGACGGAGAUGGUAUGUAGCAAUUGGGGGUAUGAUAUGAUAUGAUAUGGGAUAUGAUACAAUAAGAUAAGAUAUGAAACAUGCUAUAACAUGAUAUAAAAACCGAUAUGAUAUAAGAUAUGCUUUGAUAUGUUAUGAUACAUUCUGAUUUAUAUAUAUACUACAAUGUGUGGGUCAAAUCACACACUGGAUGUUAAGCUCACACGUUUGUUUAUUUUGUUUCAGGUGAUCUUCAGACCUAGGAGUGGACAAUGACUCUAGAGCUCGUAUUUCACUCUUUCGAUUUAAGUAUGCAUUGGACUCUCUUUUGUUUAUAUGGACCUUUUGAACUUUUGGAUAUUUUAAAUUUAUUUGGGACGCUAAAAAUUAUUUUGGCAUUUAUUUUUCAAAAGUUUUAACUUUUACCGAUACUUAAAUCAAGAUAACUAAAAAUAAACCAUAGUUAUAAGGUAAAUUUGCAAUAAUGCAUUCUGCUGCAAGUUUUAAGGUCAAUUUGCUAUAAUGUUGUCCACUGCAAGUUUAAUUGAAAUUUGCUAAGAUGUUUUAUCUCACAAACAGAGUAAGUAAAUUGAAUACAUUUUGGUAAAAUUAACAAAUAUGGCUUUCUUCAAUGUACUCACGGGUUUUCAAAAAUGGUACAUCUUCAACGGGUUAAUCAAACUUUUUUUCUUUUGACUUAAAUAGUUUUUACCAAAAUAAAGUAAUAUUGUUUUCACACGUAAUGUAAUCUCCACAAUCUGACUGUAACAUCUAGGCCAUGUUUGGGAUGUUAGAAUUAGAGUUUUAAAAAAACAAUUACUUUUUCUCUUAGAAGUUAAUGUCAUUGUAGGGUUUGAUGAGUUAUCUUCAACUUUAAUAGUUAAGCUUCCAAAGUCUAUGAUCCUAUUUAAAUAUAUAAAAAAAUUCUUUAUAUUUAAAAGAUGUUCUUAUAAGGAAACAAAGAUGUUAUAUAUGAUUGUUGCAUGCAAUUAUAUUAUUUUAUGAUUCAGGUUAUAUAUGAUUGUUGUCAUGACAUAUAAGCAUUUAAUUAAUAUUUUAAAGUUUUAAAAAUAAUAAUAAAUAAUUUUAAAUUUUAAAAAAUAAGUUAUAUAUUUUUAAAACCUUAAAAAUUAUUUAAAAACUAAUGUAUCAUCCAUAACAAAUCAUACAUCAUUAACACAUAUUGGGGCAUGGGAAGCUUUUAAAAAAUUGAACUCAAAGAGUGCUGGUUCAUCAAGGCAUGGCAAGUAAGUGAUAGUUGAAGCAAUUUGUGUCAUGAUUACCUGUAUUUCUUUCAUAAUUUCUUUAUCACUCUGUUCCCCUGACACACUGCAAAAUCUCUUACAUUUCAAAUUAACUGAUGUGAAGUAAAACAUUAAAGCAGAAGAGGAUCAACUAUUACCCUCACUAUCUAUUUCAAUUCUAAAAUUCCACCUCUCCUCUCCAACACCUCAUUGGUAGCCUUACUCAUCAUAACCAACACAACCCUAAACUUGAGUUGUCAUAUUCAAAUAUUUAUUUGCACCCUAAGCAAUAGUUUUAGAACAAUUAAAUUUGCAUAAAAUAACAAGUUUUUUACUUGACGUUAAGACUGAGUUAUUAUUCAUUGACACUGCUUUAGAACACUUAUGGUAAUAGUUUUAGUCUUUCAACUUCAUCAAUUAAUCUUUUAAAGUUAUGUGUUGCGAUUGCAGUCAAAGACCAGCUAAAAUUUUAAUUACGGUAAGUGUAUUUAUUAAUUAAAGGUAUAGUUACGGUGAACAAAGAUAUCGUUCCCACAAAGACUAAAAGUAUUAGUAAUUAUUGUCUUUCUAUUAUUUAACUGACAAAUUGGAGUGAUUGAUUAAAGCUAAAAUUAACUAAAGAACACAACAAAGAGCAUAUCAGAACAAUAAAGUAUUAACAACCAAUAAGUGAGACAAUACCUAGGAAAGAAUCCACCUAAACUUCAUCUGUCAUGAUCGAUCUAAAUUACACAAUUUCUUUGUAUCUUAAUACGGGGAAAUCCCUAAAUUAUGCUAAAAAUUUUAGCUUUUCUCUCCCAAAAGCAUUAUUGGUGCUUAAUUACUUUUUCACCCCUCCAAUAACAUAGUAUUUUCCUUUUUUUUUCUUGGUGCUUAAUUACAAAUGUGUUAAAAUCAUUAAUUAAAAAUAAAAAUAUUUUUUAAAAUACUAAUUACAAAUAUUUAAUGGUUAUAUUUAAAUAUUUAAAAUAUAAUUUAUAUAUUCUAAUUAAAUUUUAUAAAUAAUUAAUAUUUAUUGCUUAAAAAUAUUUAAAAUUUAUAUUUCAUAUAUUAAAAUAUUAACAAGUUAUAAUAUUUUUUAUAUUAUUACUAAAAUAUAAUAAUAUUAAUUAAUUUAAAUAUUAUUUAAAUGCAUAUUUGUUACUUGAUAAUAAAUGUCUAAAAUGGAUAUUUUAUUUAUCAAAAACACGUUUAGACAGUAAUGCUAAACACUCAAAUUUUAAACCAAACUUUUCAAAAGCACUUCUCAAAAACACUUUUCAAAAACACUUUUCUACAGCACUUUUCAAAAGCAAUGAAGAACUGGCCCUUAAACUGAUGAAGUUAAAUAUCAUUUAAAGAAAUGGCGCCGUUUAGAGAAAUUUUAAGACAGUUGCAACGUUUUGCAUACAAACGCCGCUAUUAAUGCCACAUUUGCGGCUUUUUAAGAAAAAACGCCACUAAAAAUUAAAGUACUAAAGAGAAACGACAUCGUUUUAUUAAACUUUAAUGCAUAGUUCUGACGUUUUCUGAAAAACGCCACUAAAAAUUAAUUACCUGAAGCGAAACGUUGAUGUUUUGAGAAACAUUAAUACAUCAUUGCGGCGUUUUCCAGAAAAAAGCCACUAAAAGAUUACAUUCAUGUUUUGAAACGGCGCCGUUUUGAAAAUUUUAAUUCAUAUUUACAGCGUUUUCAUGAAAAACGCCACAACGAAAAUUUAAUCCCUAAACUGAAACGACGCCGUAUCGAAAAAUUUUAAUACAUAUUUGCGGCGUUUUUUAUCCAAAAGCCGGUAAUGUCUACCUUUUGCGGCGUUUUUUCUGAAAACGCCACUAAGAAAUUAAAUUCUUCUAUUAAUUUGGUAGGGUUUAAAAAUAUAAUAUAAUUUAAAUAUUAAUUAUUCAAAAUAAUGGUAUUUUAGAUAGCCAAGGUAUUGAAAUUUUAAAGUGAUAAAUUACCUUUUUAUCAUUAUAAAUAAAUACCAUAAUUUCUUUUUAUGCUGAAUUUUUUUUUGAAAAUUUAUCAAUUUAUAUUUUUUGUACAAAUAGAAAGGAAAACGCGUCUUAUAGGACAUGUUUUCUCUGAUCUUCCAGAGAAAACAUGAGACGCGUUUUAUUCUCUUUCCUAAAAAGCGCUUUGUAGGAGUAACUAAGGACAAUUAAUCACGACAUUUAUGUCUUUGGCAAUUGUGCAUAAUUUUGAUUGGUACAAUAACACAUUUAGUCCUUGAUGUUUGUAUAUUUUGUUAGUUUGGUCUUGAUUCAAAAAAAAAUUAACAAAUUCAGUCUCAACAUUUACACAUUUACAAAAAUAUGACGGGCUCAAUUUGUUAUCAUAUCAAUCAAAUUUAUGUAAAAUUGAUGAAAAACAUUAAUAUUGUAAUUAAUGGCUCACUUUCGAAAUUGGUAGGGAUUAAAUUGAUUCGAUUUGUUUAGAGGGACCAAGUUGCCGAAUAUCAAAAUUGAAAGGGACUAGAGAGGUCGUUUUACCUAGUUUAAUAAUUAAAUGAUAUGUUAAAUCUUAUGUGACAUAAUUUAAAAUGAAAAUUAAAAAAAAUUGUAAAAAUAGUUGUUUUAAAAAUCAUGGUUUUGAAGUUUUUACAAAAAUUUUAUUGUUCGUUUUUUUUUAAAUUUCAGUUUUAUUUAAUUUUAGUUUCUGUAAAAUUUUCAUUUUAAAAUUAGCUAUAUAAAAUUUAACGUGUCAUUUAAUUAUAAUAUCAAUAGUUUAGAAAUGUAAUUAGAUCAGUUUGAAGUUUGAAAAUAGAUUUAAAAUAAUGGUCAUAAUUUAGGGGUGGUUGAUGCAAUUAACUCAUUUCUAAUGGUCAUAAUUUAGGACAAAGUGAGAGUGGAAAGCAGAGUUAAAAUAUGACCCAAAGACUAACCUUUUUCUAAGUCGUCUCCUAUCAUAAUUGCAUAAUAAAUGGAUGGGGCCAUUACCAAACGAUGAAGCAAAAGAAAUGGCCUUCAUGUCCACCUUCAACCAUCAGCCAUCACUCACCAUUGCUUAAGCUAUUUUGCAGUUUAGACCAUAAAUUACUGAGUUGAAAACUGUAGUGUCGUUCUGCAGCCUUUAUUGGUCCAGGCAGGGCAGGCUGGGCUCAAAAAUUUGGGUCGACCUUGAAUAAAACAUUUAAACCCAUAUUUCAUAUUAGGCCGAGCUUGAGCAAAAAUAACAAUUAGCAAUACCUUGUCUAAGCCUGGGCCAAAUCCGGCCUAUCAGAUAAAGCAUUCAGACUGAACUACCGGUAACAUUAUGAGUUUCUGGUCCAUCCUUCAUGGGGAUGCAAAGAACAAAAUUAACUAACUUUUGCCACUAUAGAAUGUUUGUUCAACUAAAUAAAAUAAAGAUUGUCCUAUAACUCUAGUUCCAUUCAAGUUAAAACUUCUUCAGGCAAGAUAAUAGUAACAUAAUGCUAAAAGAACCAGCACAACCACCACAGCAGGAGCUGCCCGUAUCCAAUAGUUCAUCGACUUCUUACGUUUCAGGAUGGCUUUUGGGAGGGACUCAGUUCUUUUGGUUCGAUUCCUGUACCUACUAGUAUUCUCCUUUGGUACUUUACCCUUCAUUGAAACGGUAGCAGGAACAGGUGCAUCAGUAUUAACAUCGACCUUCUCGGGUUCUGAAUCUUGUGCCUCAAUCAGUUCCUCGGGAUUUACAGCAUUUGUUGAUCCUGCCACCUUCUUCUUAGCUCUCUUUUCACGCUCCUGAAAAAAAGGAUUGAAAGAGUUUCAGUUUCAACCCACAAACUAAUAACCGAUAAAGUGAAACCAGAUAAGGAAGCAAAUGAUUCCUUGAGCUUCUUUUCAGCUUCCAUUUGAGCUCUUUUAGCUGCUUUGGCUGCUUCUUUUUCAGCCAACUUCUUUUUUCUUUCCAUGGCUUGCUUUGCUUUCGCUAUUUCCUCUUCUCUCUUCAAUUCUUUCAGUUUUGCUACAUCGACUUCCUUGUUCUUUUGCAAUUUUCCGGAUACCAAAAUUUCCUCUGCUACAACACUAAUGUCUGACAAAGGAUUCGACUCCAGUGCUAUAGUCUCGGGCUCUCGGCAUCUUUUGGGGCCUUUUUGGCUAGUUUAGUAUCUGUUUGGGGACCUGAUUUGGCCUCUUCCUUUGGUUGUCUUACACUAGGUCUCAGAAUUGUUUCGGUUUCAGAAUCCACUGGUUUCUCGGGUGCAACCAGUGGUUUCUCAUCAGGAUUCCUUAUCCGACCAUCCCGACUCAAUAGCCGACUGUCCAGGGAUGGCAGAAUUCUUUUCUCAAAAUCAUCCCUGAAGGCUUUAUUGCCAUUCCAGAGAGCCAUAAACUUCUCAACCUAAAAGGAAUAUAAAAGAUAAGUGAGCGGUUAAUUAUAAAGCAAAUGAGAUACAUUGGAAGUAACAUGAACAAGCAGUCUCAACAAACCUCCACAAUUGAUAACUCCUCAAGAGCCUUUAUAUCUUUCUGUGCAGCAAGUAGUUUGGCGUUGUGUACAGUGGUACGGCUCUGGUAAAAGUGAGAAUUCUGAAAUUUUGAGAAAGAAAGUGAUUAAAACGAUUCAUUAGUAACAUCAUGCACAGGAAUAUUGGAAGUAGAAAUAAUAUAUAUCAUUUAAUAUCUUAAGUGACACUAGUUAUUCAUGCAUAAAUGAAAAUGUUCCGACAUGGUCAAGUAUAUAUAUGAAACAAAUAUCUUAAGAGUUGAAGCAAAUAAAAGGCGAUACCCCCUGAUCACUUUGUUUCCUCAGCUCCUGAAUGUUUUCAAAAGCUUUGUCCCUCUUCAGGGUCACAGCUUUCAGCUCAUUUUGCAAAGACUCGAUUUUAGUCUCAGUUUCAUCCAAUUUAUCUUUAAUUUGGUUUUUUUUUGGACCAGACUGCAUGCUGCUCCUUCCUUACUCCAUUCAAAUCAACACCCAUAAGCACAAUGGUGCUCUAUAUUCACAGAUAAGAAGAGAAACAAACUCCGAUGGAUAAAGGCAGAAAAUAGAAUUAUCUUACUUUAACUUGAUCAUCAAUGUCUUCUUUCUGGCCUAAUGAAUCUUGAAUCUUUGAUCUCAUUGCAACAUUAGCAAUAACUUUCUCACGGGUUCCCUCAAAGUGUUUGAUUUCUUUAAGGAUUCGCUUCUCAUCACUCAACGAGAUGCUUUCAUGCUGAAUGCGAUAUUGCAAGCUAUGGAUCUGCAAUUCAUAAAUUCCAUUGAAGUGACUAAAGGAGAAAAAGAAAAGCAUUAACUGCGGCAGAAAACAAUGAAUAAAUCUAAAUGCAGUCAAAGUUUAUAGAAGUAUCAUACAAUAAAAUCGAGCUCUUCCUCAGAUGCACAGAAACUAAGUCGAUUAUCAACAUCUUUAUUAUUGCGAAGCUUGCCUAAAAUUAAGGGUCACACGACUAUAUGGGUAUUUUGGCCAAUUUUAAGCCUCAAUUAGGGGCCGAUUAAAGGACUCAAAUAUUGGGUCCAUAGCCAUCAUAUAAGCCCAAAAAAAUGUAAGUUUUAGUACGUAUAUAUACAUGGCUAAGCUUAGGAGGUAUGUUAAGUAGGUUGUAUAUAAAUCAUAUGCUAUGUUAUGUUCCUUAUAGAAAUAUGUGUAUGCAUGUCAUACGACUUAUGAUAUAUGUAUUUAUGAUAUUAUAAUUAUGAUUAUGCCUAUGUUUUGGGAUGGGUUAUGAUAUGAUGGAGGAAGUAUUAUAUGGUAGUUUUUACUACAACUAUGGCGAUUAGACCAUAAAAUGUCUAUCUGACAACUUAGUUGCAUAUUUAUGAGUGGCAUAUCGUCACAUAUUGGUGUGAUUGGAUGGAUGGACUCUUAUAGUCCUAGUUGGUGAUAUUGCUUGGACAGAGAUGGCAUGUAACAGUUGGAGGUAUGAUAUCAUAUGAUAUGAGAUAUGAUAGGAUAAUAUAAGAUAUAAAACAUGUUAUAGCAUGAUAUGAAAAUCGAUAUGAUAUAAGAUAUGCUCCGAUAUGCUAUGAUACAUUCUGAUUUUUAUAUAUACUACGAUGUGUGGUUCAAAUCACAUACUGGAUGUUAAGCUCACACCUUUGUUAAUUCUGUUUUAGGUGAUCUUCAAAGUUAGGAUUGGACGAUGACUAUAGAGCUCGUAUGUCACUCUUUCGGUUUAAGUAUGCACUGGACUCUCUUUUGUUUAUAUGGACUUUUUGGACUUUUGGACAUUUUAAAUUUGUUUGGGAUGCUAAAAAUUAUUUUGGCAUUUAUUUUUCAAAAGUUUUAACUUUUACCGAUACUUAAAUCAAGGCAAUUAAAAAUAAACCACAAUUAUAAGGUCAAUUUGCUAUAAUGCUUUCCGCUACAAGUUUUAAGGUCAAUUUGCUAUAAUGCUGUCCGCUGCAAGUUUUAUUGAAAUUUUCUAAGAUAGUUUAUCUCACAAACAAAGUAAGUAAAUUAAAUACAUUUUGGUAAAAUUAACAAAUAUGGCUUUCUUCAAUGUACUCAUGGGUUUUCAAAAAUGGUACAUCUUCAACGGGUUAAUCAAACUUGUUUUCUUUUGAGUUAAAUAGUUUUUUCCAAAAUGAAGUAAUAUUGUUUUAAAAAAUAAUUACUUUUUCUUUUACAAGUUAAUGUCAUUGUAGGGUUUGAUGGGUUAUCUUCAACUUUAACAGUUAAGCUUCCAAAGUCAAUGAUCCUAUUUAAAUAUAUAAAAAAUCUUUAUAUUUAAAAGAUGUUCUUAUAAGAAAACAAAGAUGUUAUAUAUGAUUGUUGCAUGCAAUUAUAUUAUUUUAUGAUUCGGGUUAUAUCUGAUUGUUGUCAUGACAUAUAAGCAUUUAGUUAAUAUUUUAAAAUUUUAAAAAAUAAUAAUAAAUAUUUUUAAUAAUUUUAAAUUUUUAAAAAUAAGUUAUAUAUAUUUAAAACCUUAAAAAUUAUUUAAAAACUAAUGUAUCAUCCAUAACAAAUCAUACAUCAUUAACACAUAUUGGGGCAUUAGAAAGCUUUUAAAAAAUUGAACUCAAGUAGUGCUCUACAUGGUUCAUCAAGGCAUGGCAAGUAAGUGAUAGUUGAAGCAAUUUGUAUCAUGAUUGCCUGUAUUUCUCUCAUAAUUUCUUUGUCACUCUGUACCCAUGAUGUAACACCCCUAUACCAUGUUCGACUUAAGGACCCUGAUAUAGGAAUAUUACAUUUGGUGCCAAAUUAAUUCUUGGCUAAUUACUAAUAUAAUUGAACACAAAACUAAUACUUAGAACAUACCUAAUAUAUUUCAUGAAUUUCAUCAAUAAUCAUUUCAUAAAAUCAUUAUUUCAUAUAUUUCAUUUAUACAUCUCAAUUCAAUAACUUAUCCUAUUUCAUAAAAUUUAUCCUUAUCUAUUUCUUGAACCAUAAUUCUUACCCUUUCACAUAUGUCAUAUCAUUCAGAUUUAGUUUUAUCAGUAACUUUAUUUUAUGUGCCCCUAUUAACUUGACUCGGACUUGGCGGGUACACGGAUUCCAACCAAACACAUCAGUAAACAGUAAUCAGUAACGGUAGCAGUAACAGUAACAAUAUUCAACACACAAAGUGCUGAAUCUGUAACAGUAACAGUAACAGUAUUCGACACACAAAGUGCCGAAUCGAUAACAGUAACAGUAACAGUAACAGUAUUCGACACAUAAAGUGUCGAAUCAGUAAUCAGUAACAGUAACAGUAGUCGGCACAUAAGUACCUAAUCAGUAAGCCGGCAAAUACCCUGUACUCUUCCAUAUCCUAUUGCAUGCCAACUAUAUCUGACUAGCCCGACUACUUAAUAGGGCAUUUAAUUUACUUUUCAGUACUAUUUCCAUCUUAGUUCAGUAUCAAUUAUAAUUCCUUAUUUCAAUAAGUUUCACAGUAUUGCAGUAAUUCAUUACUUCAGGAUUUUCACAGUUCAAUGCAGUACACAUAACAGUAUUCAGUAUUCUAUAAUUCAGUUCAGUAUUAGUCUCACAUAUAAAUUUCCACUUUCUCAAUUUCAAUUCCAAUAAAAUCCAUAUCACUCACCAAUUUCAAUAUUCCAGUUCAAUUCAAUAAUUCAAUUCAAACCAUUUCACUUUCUAUUCAAUAAUCACAUUUCAAUUCAAAUUCACUUUCCACUUUCUAAUCUACCAAUACAUAUUCCAGAUAUUCACAUGUAAUCAUACUUCGAUUCAAUUCAAACCACUUUUCAGUCGAUACUCAAUUCACGUAUUCACACUUAUUCAUACUUUAAUUCACUUUUAUUCAAUUCUGUACAAUUAGAUAAUUCAUUUUUAGUGAAGAGUGGUCGGAACUGUCAGACAGCGAAACAGGGGAAAUUUUAAAGAAUAAAAUGUACUAUUUGGCUAAACAAAAAAUUUUGGAAUUUUUAUGGUAAGAAGAUAUGUGAGUCUAGUUUCAGAAAAAAUUAACAGAUCUUAAUUUGGACUUCUGUAGCUCCGGAUAAAAAUAAUUUAGUGACCCUGACUCGGAUAAACAGUUUUGAAUAUACAUGUGAGUGAAUAGUGAAAUUAUAGUUAAUAUUGUUUAAGUGUGUUAUACACAUUAAGGAUGUGGAAUGGAGAGGAGGAGGAGGAAAAUUGGAAAAUAUAUGAAUGAUUUGUGUAUAAUUGGUCAUGUGUUUGAUUAUAAUUGAUAAACGAUGAAAUAGAAAUGAUGCUUAUAUUUGUGCAUCAUUGGUCAUGGUUUAAGCUCAUGUGUGAAAAUAAAGUUUCAUAGUAUGUGUGUAUGGUAUAUUCGGUAUAUGAUUUGGCAAGAAAUAAUGUCAUGAAUGGUUUAUCAUGUGGUUAGUUCCAAAAAGAGUUAUGUUUAAAUACACUAGCUUGUAACUAUGGUUGAAUGAUAUGUUUAUAUCUUGUGUGAUGCGCAUAGGAAACAAGUGUGGAAAGAUAAUGAAAUAGUAAGUUCAUAUGGCUGAAAUUUAAUGGUUAAAUGUUAAUUUCAUGAAUUAUAUGAUGCAUGAUGAGAUAUAUUUAUUGUUGAAAUAUGAGAAUCUUUGAAAUGUAUAUGGACUGAAAAGUAAUUAGUGAUUUGAAAUUUGAUUGGAAAAUGAAUAAAUAAAUAUAUAUAUAUAUGUAUAUAAAUAAAGUGUGGAAACAUUCACUUUCUAUUCAAUUCUUUCAAUAAAAUCAGCAUAUGAACAAUUUAAAACUCUAAUGCCAAGAUAAAUCAUCAUAUACUUCCAGCAUGUAUUCAUAGCAACUUUCAACUUCUUACAUAGAAUCAAAAACCAAUGAAUUUAACAAGUGGGCCUAGUUGUAAAAGUCACAAAAACAUAAAAAUUUCAAGAAAUAAUCAAGAAUUGAACUUACUUGCAGUAAAAAUAUGAAGAACCAGCUUGAAGAAACCCUUCUAUGGUGUUUUAGCUGAUGAGAAUGCAGAAAAAUGAAGAGAAAUCUAGAUAAUUCCACUUUGGUCCUAACUUUAUUAAGCAAAUUUUGCCCUUAAUUCUCCUUACUUUCUUGCUAAUUUCAUUCCUUUACCGUCCAGCCCAAAUAGAACUUGGGUCCAUUUUCCUUUUAAGUCAUCUUCCUUUUAUCAUUUAAGCUAUUUAAUCAUUUCCUAAAAUUUUGCAUUUGUUACAAUUUAGUCCUUUUUAUUCAAUUAAUUAUCAGAACUUUAAAAUUUCUUGACGAAACUUUAAUACUAACUUUUUAACACUCCAUAAAUAUUUAUAAAAAUAUUUAUGGCUCGGUUUAAAAUCUCCGAGGUCUCAAUACCUCGUUUUUUAUUCUAAUUAUUUUAAUAUUUAUUUCUAGUGCACUAUUCACUAUUUCAAAAUUUUUCCUAACUUCACAUUUAACUUAUAUUCACUAAAUUAAUAAUAUUUUCUACUCAUUUGUCGAAUUUAGUGAUCUCGAAUCACCGUUUCGACACCUUUGAAAAUUCAGGCCAUUACAUUUUUCCUCGUCGGAUUUGUGGUCUCGAAACCACUAUUUCGACUAGACCCAAAAUCAGGUUGUUACACGUGACACCCUGCAAAAUCUCCUACAUUUCAAAUUAAUUGAUGUCAGGUAAAACAUUAAAGCAUAAGAGGAUAAACUAUUACCCUCACUAUCUGUUUCAACGCUAUAAUUCCACCUCUCCUCUCCAACACCUCAUUGGUAGCCUUACUCAUCAUAACCAACACAGCCCUUUCUUUUAUCUCGCCACAUAAAAUAAAUUCAAAAUAAUUUUUAAAUUUUAAAAUAUUUAUAAAAUUUCAAAAUUUAUAUUUAAAAAAUUAUAAAUAUUUAAAAAUUCUAAAAAUAUAUAAAUAAAGUUGAAAUUUUAAAAUAUUCUAAAAUAAUAAUUUUAGCACUUAAGUAAGUUAAUUAAUGAUUCAAAUUUAUCAAUAUUUAUUUAAGUUUUUAAAUAUAUAUGGUUUUAAAUCUAGAUGAAAGAUUUUAAUUUGACAUGUUUAAUUUUUUAAGUUAACUCAAACAAUUUCACUUUAUUUGAAUUUCAUUUCAUUCGAUUUGAUUUGAAAAAAUUUCAUAUCAAGUUAAGAUGAUAAAAUAAAACCUGUAAACUCGAUUAACUCAAAAUGUUUUCACUGAAUUGUGAGGUAAUUGAUCAUUUUCUUAGUAAAAACUGUAAUAUAUAUGCUGAACAAAGUAAGGGUGCCUGAACUUGAGUUGUCAUAUUUAAAUAUUUAUUUGCUCAACAUUUACUUGAUUGUAUACAUUAUAUUUGCACCCUAAGCAAUAGUUUUAGAACAAUUAAAUUUGCAUAAAAUAACAACUUUUUUAUUUGACGUUAAGACUGAGUUGUUAUUCAUUGACACCGUUUUAGAACACUUAUAGUAAUAGUUUUAGUCUUUCAACUUCAUCAAUUAAUCUAUUAAAGUUAUGUGUUGCAAUUGCAGUUGUAAACCAAUUAAAAUUUUAAUUACGGUAAGUGCAUUUAUUAAUUAAUGGUAUAGUUACGCUGAGCAAAGAUAUCAUUUCCACGAAGAUUAAAAGUAUUAGUAAUUACCGUCUUUUUAUUAUUUAACCGACAAAUUGGAGUAAUUGAUUAAAGCUAAAAUUAACUAAAUUAAUUAAUUAAAGAACACAACAAAGGACAUAUCAGAAAAAUAAACUAUUAAUGACCAAUAAGCGAGAUAAUACCUAGGAAAGAAUCCACCUAAACUUCAUCUGUCAUUAUCAAUCUAAAUCACACAAUUUCUUCACUUUGUAUCUUAAUACGGAGAAAUCCCUAAAUUAUGCUAAUAUCUCUCUUCAAGACUAAGAGCAACUGAUUCUAGAUUAAUUAAUUGGAAUUUCUUUCUAAUUAAAACCCCUAUUAUCACAUUAACUCGAUCUAUAGAUCCUUCUAUUAGAUUUGACUCUAAUCCGGUAGAUUUAUGUCAUCUUAUUUUUAGGAUUACAUGUAACUCCACUUACCUAUGUUAGAUAUACUCUUAAACAAUGUCUAUUCCUCCUAUGAUUUAAGCACAUAAAACAUGGACCAAUAGUCUAGAAAUAUUAAACCAUGAAUUAAGCACACAUAAUUGAGAACAAGAUUUAAGUAUUUGUUGCAUAAAAAUAGAAAUCAAAUAAUAGAAUUCAUCCUAAGGUUCAGCUCCCUAGGUAUUUGGAAAAAAAUAGUUCAUAUAGUAAAUAAAAACAUCUCAAAGAUAGAAUAACUAUAAGGAAUAAAGAAACUCAUAAUAAACUUCAAAGAAAUCAAAAGGAGAAUUUCAAUUUUGAUGGAAAUAUGCUUCAAAGUCGGCUUCAAUGGUAUUUUUCGAGUUGUUUUCUUCAAUAUUAUAUGACGACUCACUCCCCUCUUCUUAUCUUUUUCAUAUAUGUCUUAGAAUGCUCGAAAAACUUACAAAUUAUGCUCGAAAAACUUACAAAUUACGAUUUUUUGCGUCUUUAGAGUGCAAUUGUUCUUUCCACACGGUUUGACACAUUGUUGUGUAGCAACUCAUAUGGUUCACUCGGCCGUAUGGAAUGGCCUAGCCCGUGUGGCUCCUGAAACUUGUUCUAAUUUUCUAAUUUUCGCUCUUUUUUCUUCUAAAUGCUCUCCUAAGUAUAGAGACGUGAAUUUAAAGGAUUGGAAGCAUAAAAUUCACCAUUAACAUCGAAUAAUCACCCAAAAACACAUUAAGAAUGAGAUUAAAACAUGUUACUUUUAGAACAUAUAAUGUAUAUAUAUGCAUGUCUUCUUAGAUCAUUUGCUAUUAAAAAAAAAAUUAGAACAAAUCUUCGGUGAGGAAAAUUUUGAACACACGAAUGAAACUCGCAUAGAAAAUGAAAAAAUGUGACAAGGCUUUAAGACGUGUAUCAAACCACUAUCUUUAAAGUUAUAUCCGCUGUCACCUAUAUUCAGCGUUCAAAAGAAUUUCAAGCAAAUUAACCUUGAGAAUACAAUGAAGCCGAUGACUAUUUGUGUUUUGUACUAAUGUAAAUAAUUUACUAAACACUGAGCAAUGUAUAACAAGAAAGUCAAUUUUUACAAAGAAUUUUUGCAGUAGCUCUUUAUAAAAAAAAUCUAAUAAUCUGGAAAAUGAGGAAGAAUAGGAUGAAUAUUAAAACUUGUUGGUGUGAUUUCCAAAUGAAAUACAAUUCCUAUUUAUAGGAAUUUUUAUGUCUUUCAUAGAGACAUUUUGGUCAAUCACUUUAAUAGCUUUUGGGGUGAUAAAAAUUCUAAUUUCACUUUGCACCUAAAAUGAUUUUUUUGGUAAUUUUCUUACCGAGUUGGGACUCAAUUGAUGGUUGACGCCAACUCAGUAAAAAGCUUUAACACAAUAUAGAUAAAAAAAGUUUUAAACUAAAAUUUUUAAAAGAAUUUAGGGUAAACUACAACAAUCAUUCAACUAUAGGUAAGUUUUUGUUUUAAUCACUUAACUAAAAAAAUUACAAUUUGAUCACUAAUGCUUUCGAAAUUGUUUUUCUUUUUUGUCACCCAAUUGUUAACUCAUACUUGUUUUAGUUGAUAUAAUAACAAUUUUAGUCCUCAAUUUUUAUAUUUUCUAUCAAUUUUACUCUGAUUUUGUAUAAAAUCAUAAUAAAACUCACAAUUAUUUAUAAAUAAAAAAAUGUAUAUAAAAAUUCUAGAAAAGUAAAAUCUUGAAUGUAUUGUUUCAUAACUAAAUUGGAUGAGAAAUAAAGAAAAUCAUCAUUCAAUAACAUCUGAUAACAAAUUAAAAUAAAAACAAAACAAAACAAAAAAGUUAGAUUAUUAUAUGUUUCCUUAAUAUUUCUCGAAACCAAAUUAGUAGUAUUAUCAAGUUGAGUUUCAUGCCCUUGAAGAACAUCUAGAACUGAUAUUACAAACACUUAUGAAAUUGACAUUGAUGCCAUAUUUUUAAUUAAAAGAGUACAAAAUAUACCAUGAUUUUUCUUUUUCAAAUUCAAUUCAAAAUUUCAUUACAUUUUUUUUUCAAAACUCAAAUUGUAAAAUGAAAAUAUAUUCAGAAAUUUAUCUUUUCUUAUAAUGUAAAAGCUAUAUCAAGUAAUUGAUGAGAUAAAAAAGCAUAGAACAAAUAAAUUUGCUUAAUAGUUUUUUCUAUGUUUGUUUUUAAAAUAAUGAGUAUUGAAUAUUUCAAUAUAGAUAAUAUAGAGAAAUUUUGUAAGGUUUAAAAAUAAUUAUCCCUAAUUUUCUCACUUUAUUUAUUUUUAAAAUUUUUAUUUUACUUUUAUUUAUUUUUUAAUUUUAUAAUGUUCUAAAAUUUUAAAAAUAAUUUCAACUUUUAAAUAACAUCCGAUAACAAAUUAAAAUCAAAUCAAAACAAAACAAAAAACGUUAAAUUAUUAUAUGUUUCCUGAAUAUUUCUCGAAACCAAAUUAGUAGUAUUAUCAAGUUGAGUUUCAUGCCCUUGAAAAACAUCUAGAACUGAUAUUACAAAUACUUAUGAAAUUGACCUUGAUGCCAUAUUUUUAGUCAAAAGAAUACAAAAUAUACCAUAAUUUUUCUUUUCCAAACUCAAUUCCAAAUUUCAUUACAUUAGAAAUUAUAUUCAGAAUUUUAUCUUUUCUUAUAAUAUUUGCUUAAUAUUUUUUCUAUGUUUGUUUUUAAAGAAUGAGUAUUGAAUAUAGAUAAUGUAGAGAAAUUUUGUAGGGUUUAAAAAUAAUUAUCCUGAAUUUUCUCACUUUAUUUUUUUUAAUUUUAUAAUGUUUUAAAAUUUUAAAAAUAAUUUUUAACUUUUUACCAUUUUAUAUAUUAUCAAAAUCAAAUUUACUAAAAGUAUACAAAUUAAGGACUAAAACUGUCAUUAAAUCAAUUAAAAGUUCCAUGCCAACAAUGUCCAUGUCAAUUAAACCAAGACUUAAUCCACAAUAACUACAUAUAUUUUUUGUUAUACCUAUUAAUACAAGUCAUUUACUAGUAUAUUAGACAUUCUUAUACCCUGCUUUCCCAUACUUUCCUAUUAUUUUCAUCAUGAUGAUGAUGAUUGUUGACACCAUUUUUUUGAUAAAACAGGGUCGACUUGGGUUUUGUAAAAUGAAAACAAAAAUGAGAGUCGCCACCAAUCUUUUUUGAUGAGGUGUGAUCGGGUCACCGAACUUUUAAUAAACGAUUUAAUUUUUAUUAAAACAAUGAUUUUGGUCCACGUAAUUCAGAAAAAUGGGUUCGGGGGUCGGUUACGCACGAGGAAGGAUUAGCACCCUCGAUAUGCCCAAAAUUGGUACCUAAUUGAUUACUUAGUGUCCUAGUGUCGAAAAUUGAAAACUUUGAAGAGUUUUAAAAAUACGAUCCUUAAAAGAAACUCUGAUAACAUGAAUUGAAAUAUAAGAUUCUCUUGUUCCGAAGGAAUAUCACAUCCAGCACGUUAGGACACGAUACUUUAAACCAUCGAAACCAAGAUCACCUUAUAGUUUAAUGAAACCAUACUUCGAAGUUUUAAGAGGAUAUUUGGCUAUUUAGUCGAACGAGAAAUUGAAACCCAGCACGUUAGGGCACGUUUUCUCGAGUUUCCAAACACAAAAUAUCGCCUUAUUUAGAAAAUCUUAAAAGGAUAUUUGGCUAUUUGGUCGAACGAGAAAUCGAAACCCAGCGCGUUAGGGCACAUUUUCUCGAUUUUCCAAACAUGAAAUAUUGCCUUAUUUAGAAAAACCUUCCUUUUAAUGUUUGGUGUUAAUAUGCAUGACAAAACAAUAAUGAAUACGACAAGAUAAGCAUAGUAAUGGAGUACGUAGAACCUGUUGUUGGCAUUGCAAAUUGUCUCGGCACUCCUGUUUGUAAAUAUUUGCGAUAUCGCAGAAAGCUGAACGAUUAUGUGAGAAACUUCAAGAGGACCAGAGAUGAAUUGAAUUGCAAAAUGGAAGAUAUAGAGCUGCAAUUGAAAGCAGAGCUUCUUCGUCCUCUGGGGAAGAUACCGAAGAAGGGAGUUGAAAAUUGGUUGAAAGCUGUGAAAGAGAUGAUUAGGGUAGCACAAGUUGUUGAAAACAACGUCAGUAACGGGAGAUAUUUCUGUCGUGCUUGCAACGGGAAGCUGGUUGAUGAAAAGACUCGAGAAAUGAAGGAAUUUCUUGAUAACGCUCCUAAUGCCUCUGAAGGUCUUGCCAUGGAUGGUCCAAGUGCUGGGUUGCCACUGUCAACAUCAGAACUAGUUGGAGAAGAAGCUGUCAGAAAUGAGAUUUGGGCAUGUUUGAUGCAGGAGGAGGUGAGCAAGAUUGGAUUUUGGGGGAUGGGCGGUGUAGGUAAAACCAUUAUCAUGAAGCACAUCCACAAUGAUCUUUUGGAACAACAAAGAUUCGAAAGGGUAAUCUGGGUUACCAUAUCAAAGGAGUUCAAUGUAAUGAAGGUACAAGAUAAUAUUGCAAGUGAGUUGGAGGCGAAGGAAUUUUUAGACAAAGAAGAGGACAAGCUCAGACGAGCAGCAAUCUUGUCAGAAAAGCUGAAGAAGGCAGGAAAGCAUGUUCUAAUCCUAGAUGAUGUGUGGGAUAAAGUUUCUCUAGAGGAAGUUGGGAUCCUCGAGCCGAGUGGCAGCAAUGGCUGCAAGUUGGUGUUAACAACCCGUUCGGAGCAUGUCUGUAUAUUGGUUGUAAGGUGAUAAAAGUGAAGCCCCUUUUAGAAGAAGAGGCAUUGAUACUAUUCUUGAAUAAAGUUGGACCUAACAUAGUUCCAAAAUACUUCUAGCAGCGCUUGUAAGCCUUAAAAAAUAUCGCUAAAAGUCUGUUUUGCAGUAGUGCAGUGACCAAAACUAAAAUACUCAUAGUUUAGUAACUAAUAGUUAAUAGUGUAACUUUUUUUAAUAAAAUAAAAAAUUUACCUUAAUUUUGUAUUAAAAAACUUAAAAUUAUUUAUAAAAUAGAAAAUGUAUAUUAUUCAACAUAGGGAUUCUUUUCCAAAUCAUACAGAAAAUAAUUAAUUACGGAAAUAGUAUGAAAAAUAAAUUAAUUACAAAAAUAAGACAUUUGUUACGAUGUUCUGCUGGUGUCACCUGGCAUAUUGGCAACAUCAGACUAAAAUGUGAGAACAAAAAAUAUUCAAAGACUUGAUAUGUAAAUUUCUCAUUUUGAUUGACCGUUGAAAAUAAGCUCUAAGGUUGUUGUGUGGCAGUGUGGCGGCACAAAAUCUUAAAUAGGGUUAAUUUUUUUGUAAACUCUCAUUGUUUAUUAUUUUGUUUUUAUUCCUCUUUAACACCAAAACUAAAAAGUUUUCUUACCCAUUGGUCCAGUUUAAAUUAUGUCUGGCAUAACAGUUAACAUUAUUGAUAGUAAUUUCCCUUUUUAAACAUUUUCCUUCUAAAAGACUUCAUUUCUUUUAAAAUAUAUAUGUAGUUCCCAAAAUAACCUUAUAUUCAUAUUUAUAAUUAAAACAUUUAAGUUAUAAACUUAUUUUGAUAUGAUAUAGAAUCAAAUAUUAUUUUUUUGAAUUUCUGAAAAUUUAAAUAUCAAAAUAUGUUUUAAAUCUUUAUAUUCUUCUUAUAUUUUAAAUUUAAUCUCUAUUUAUUUUUAAGAAUUUAGUCUCUUUAUUUUUUGGAUUUAAAAAUUUAGGUCUAGUUAUUAAAAACAUUAAAAUUAUUUUGUUAAAUUCGCUGGUAGGACAAGUUAAAAUUAAAAAAAAAAAUUCUUAUUUGGUAGCCAUGUAAUAAAAAAUAAUGACAAUCCAAAUAACUUGAAUUUAACAGAGAAUUUUAACAAUGUUGUCAAUUCUUAAAAAUUUACAUCAAUAGUUUAAUUAGAUACGAUGUUUAGACUAAUUAAUGACAUUAAAAAAAUUGAAGUACCAAAUUAUGUCAAACAUUAAGACAUAGAGAUUAAAUUUCCAAUUUGGGCAUAUUAUAAGGACUAAAAUUGAAAACUAACUAUUGUUAUAUAAUUUCAAAAAGAAAAAUCAAUAAUUUAGUCGAAAUGAAGUAUUUAAAUUGACCAAAAAGUUGAGGUAUCACAUUAUGUUAAAAAUUAAAAUUAAAAUAUUAAAAUUUAAUUUUAAGCUGAAUAUAAGAAUCAAAACUAAAAUUUGAUAUAUAAUUUCGAAAAAGAAAUAAUAAAUUGUGUAUUUGGAUAUGUAUAUGUCAAUAAAUCCGAAUGAAACAUUUAAUGAUAUUAUAAAAAUUAAAGUACAAAAUUAUGUUAUAAAUUAGUAAUCUUAAAGUAAAUCUCUUAAAAUAUCAUACUUUACUCACUUUUAUUUCCCUCAGUAAAGAAGGUUAGAUGCAUAAAUUGUUUGACCAUUAAUUUUGUUCUUUUUUCCUUUUUGAAACAAAACAUAGUUUUCAAAUUUGUAAGCUUCAAGUAAAUAUCUUAAAAUGAUUUACUUCCCUCACUUAAAAGGUUAGAUGCAUGAAUUGUUUGACCAUUUUUAUUUUUAUUUUGUCCCUCAUUUAAAAUAUAUUAAAUUCUUUAUCACUCAAAUAACAGUAAGAGUAAACUAGAGGUGAUCAUGGGUUGGGCUACUCGGCCCGGCCCGACAGCCCGCCCGAAAAAUGGGAGGAUUCGGGUAAAAAUAUAGGCUCGAAAUAUGGAUUUGGGCAAAAUAAUAAGGCCGUUUUUACAGAAUAUUGGGAAUUUACCUCCAAUCUUCAUGCAUAAUUUCCUGUUCUUUCGCCAUCCUAAUAUCAAUCUUAUGGUUCUUCACCGAGCCCAUAUUGAUCUUCCUUCAACAAGACGCCGAAAUCUCGAAAAUGGCGGCGUUUUACAUCAAAUAUCUCAUCCCAGGCUUAUUUGCUUACGGAUUGGUACAAAACAUACUGAGAUUCCUUCAGUCGCAAAGUAUUUUAAUGCCUCUGGUGUGGUUUUCGGUUCUGCUAUUGGCACUUCAUUUAGGCAUCGUUUACACAUUGGUUAAUUGGACGGAUCUGGGUUUCAAAGGAGCUCCAUUGGCAGCUUCGAUUUCGCUGUGGAUUUCACUUGUUUUGUUAUCGUCUUAUGUGGUUUUGGCCCAGAGAUUUGAGGAAACAUGGCCGGGAUUGUCGUCGGAAACGUUUCGUUUGGUCUUCGCGAACCUGAAAUUUGGCAUCCCUUCUGCGGCAAUGGUUUGGUGAGUUCAUUUUUUCCAAAUUAAGUUAUAAAAUUUUGAAGAGUCAAACAAAAUUUGUCAUUGUAUUAUUUUAUAAUUUUGCAUUUUUUAAAGGACUAAACUUCUAAAUUUAUUAUUUUUGGGUUAAAGACUUAAGUCUAAUUAUUUUGAGUUGGGUUAAAUCUCAAAAUUAUACAUUGACUUUGAUUUAACGUGUAAUUGUAUAUAUGACCUUUAAUUUAGUACAAUUAUACGAGUGAAACUUUAAUUUUGGUUCAAAUAUAUAUUUGAAACUUUAAUUUUAAUUUAAUCAUACACAUUUAAAGAAAUAAACUUAUUUAUUUUUAUAUUGAAUAAAUAUAAUUAUUUAUGCAUGCGAUAUAUAAACAUAAAAUGAUGUUAUAUUAAUAAUGGUAUUAAUAAUUUACAAGAAUUGGAUCAAAUCAGAAUUUUAAAAUUUCAUGUAUACAAUUGCACAUUAAACCAUAGUUUGUGUAUAAUUUUGGUACAUAUCCUUUUUGAGUUUGAUUCAAAAGUAAGCAUUUGAUUAUUUUAAUCGGUAUAAUAUUUUUUUUUCUAAUUUAACCGACUUAAUUGGUCUUAAUAUAAAAUAACCGAACCGAUCGAUUAAGAUAUUGUUAACCGAUUUAAUGAAACUGACUAAGAUGUCAUUAAUUAGGUUUGGGUCGAUUUUCGGGUUGGGUUAGGUUAGAUAAUUGGAUUUUAAGUUUGGGUAAUUUAAAUUAUAUCAAAUAUUACAAAUAUAUUUAAAAUAAUUUAAAAAUAAUACAUAGAUAAAUAUAAGUCAGUUAAGUUGAUCAAUUCAAUAAAUUUAGUAAUCGGUACUCCACUGUCCAAAUCGACAAAACUGAAUUAAUUAAAAUUAAUUAAAUCAUCAAUUAAGUCGAUUAAAUCAAUCAUAACUGAAUAAUACUCUUUUCUAAUUUGAGUUAUUUGGAUUUUGUGGUCAAAUUUUAAGUCGGAACAAUUAGAAGUAAGUUCUUUUGAAUUCAAAUUAGUCUAAAUUAGAGCCAUUUUCAUUUCGGAUUUGAAUUUAACUUUUAAAAAUAAUAAUGCGAACUAAAUUAAAAUUUAGAUAAUUUUUUAAAAUUGUUUUGAGCAAUUUGGAAUAUUGGGCAUUCGAGCUUCUGGUACUCUUAGCAGGAUUGAUGCCUAAUUCAAAAGUAACUACUUCCUUGAUUGCCAUGUGGUAAGAUUGCCUUCAGGGGUGAAUCCAAAAAAUUUUGUUGAGGGGAUCGAAAUGAAAUUUUGAUUUUUAAUAGUCUAUAUCUUUAUAAUUUUUAAAGGAUUAAAUUAAUUUUUAUAAUUUUAGGGGAUUAAAGAAUAAUUUUAUCUUUAUUAAUUUAAAAUUUUAUUUUAGGGAGCCAAGCCGCCCAUGGAUUCUCAUCAGCUUCCACUUUUAUAAUUUUCACUGGAUCCAUUUAAAGAUUUUAAAAUUAAUGGGAUUUGAGUAAAAUAUUUUGUUUCAGUGUGAAUACAAAAUCAAUUGCUUACAUGAUUACUCACGGACUUAGUGCUGCAGCAAGGUGAGUUCAAUUUUAUUAUUAUCUUAAUUAGUUUACGGAUUUUAUGCUAAUUUUAUUGAAACAGCACUAGGGUUUCGAAUGAAUUGGGGGCUGAGAAUCCGAGGAAGGCAAAGACCGCCAUGGCUGUGUCACUCAAGCUUUCAAUCCUUCUGGCUUGCAUUAGCAUUUGGGCAUAACAGCUUCCUCAGAUUGAAUACAAGAAGGUGUCUUGUAUUGGUUGAUAGAAGCUCCCUUUGAUACAUAAAAGUCCAUAACCGCAUCAAAUGUUCCAUGCUUUACCACUCUUAACUCUAAUGCUGCAAUUUUAUUAGCCUCUCUAAGGCACUUAUAUGUGAAAUCCAAUGAUUCUUCUUCUAUGGAGCAGCAUUGUUCCAUUAUCUUGGCAUCAAGUUUUAGGCAUCUAUUCCUUUCUUUGAACUUGAGUUCCCAAAACAAUACAUACCGGCCUGGUAUCGAUGAAGUCUCCGCAUAGCUACUGAAUGUCAUCAGUACGAAACCAAGUGGUUCACGAUGGCGUUUUGCGUUCCUGAUGGCCUUCAAGAGGUCUGCCUCGCUUGGUUUGUCCAUAUCAAUACUCAAAACAGUAUUCCGUCGUUCGACAAAUUGGAACUGCAGAGAGUUGUUAUGGAAACCGGUUAACUUGAGAACGUCUCCAACUCGGUAUCGAUACAGGCCUGGAAAGACAAUUAAGACACUUUAUUACCAAAAGAAAUCUAAUAUUUCAAAUCUAAAACAGGAAAUGAGAAAUAUUACCCGUCAAAGUUGUGACGACAACCUCGUAAUAUUGACCAAGUUUCACAUUUGCAAAAUCAACAGGUUCAACAUUUCCAUUUACAUUUGUCAUUUCCGACAACCAUUGGCUUGAAACACCAUCAAGAUUGGAUUCUCGAGCCUUCUCUUCCCAAUCUUUAUCCACAGGGAGAAACUCAAAGUAUGCCAUGUUGAUAGAACAAGAUCCUCAUUCCACAUAUUCAUAUUUGUGUCAAUCAAAUCAACAACCUAAUUAAUACCGUUGACUCGUUGUGACUCCACCAGAAAUGGUCGAUCACUAGAGCGCCAUGACUUGUCACAAACUAAAAUCUCAUUCUUGUUCCCCAUCAACCAACUACAACCUUUGACAAGUAGGCCUUUUGUCGCCCAGAUGCUCCUCCUAAUAAAAGAAGGUUUGCUCCCUAAUGUCGACAGUAGGAAAUCAUCACGCAAAAAAUAUUUUUCCUUGAGAACCCUUGCCAUUCACAAAAAUGAUCCCCAUUUAAAUUUUUCUUAGUAAAAAUGUUAAUAAGAGGAUUAUAAGACAUAUUUGAACUGAAAAAAAUAAAGAUUCAUUAAUUACUAUCUUUGUAUUAAGUAAAUAUUUUCAUUUCAGCAACAUAUCAAGAAUGCAGUAUGAUGCAUGCGUCUUGUAUUAAAAUCUUGAUAAUAUUUUUUUUUAUUGCUACGAUCAUUCUCACACCCAUCAAUCAUGUCGCUUUGGGGUCUCAUGAUUAACUAGUAAGAACAUGGAAUCAGUUCAUGAAUCUUAAUUCUCAAGACUCCACAGGAACCAACGAUCGUUUAACGUUUAGCCAUUGCCUCUAGCUUAAAUAUCGUUUUUUGGGAAACUAUUUCAUAAGAAGUUCUUAAGUAUGUAACUAUUGACUCAACACCCAUCAUGAACAUGCUUUCAUUUGUGAGUCAUCUUGGGACAAUUUCACUAAGAUUCAUGCACAACUACUUAUCCUGAAAAGUAAAUCUCAUCUAGUGAACCCAAAUGAUAAAGUUUAUCUUGGGACAAUUUUUUUUUCUUUCAAUUAUCAUGUUACCAUUUAAGGGCCAUCAAUGGAGGUCGUAGGUCUUGUUAAAUGACCAUCUCCCACUCAAUAUUUUAAAAUAAUAUGAAAGGUUUUUUAUCUCAUAUUUAAAGAAUGAUCAUACAAUAGUCCUAGUGACAUUCUUAGAUUAUGACAAUUUUACAAUAUUCAAGAUUUUUGAAAAAGCGCCGCGAAUUCUUGGGGCUUUAGCAACAUUUUUGAAAAAGCGACGCUAAUUCUCUAUUUUUAGCGGCGUUUUUGAAGAAGCGCUGUGAAUGCUCUAUUUUUAGCGGCGUUUUUAAAAAAGCGUCGCAAUAAACAUUUUAUCUGUCUAUUUAUUAUUUAAUUGGUUUAUUUAUAUUAAUUAAAAUUAAAAUUAUUUUUAAUUGAAUAGUUAAAAUCUUCAGAAAAAAUAAUGACAUGUAGAAAUAAUUUAAAAUAAAAAACAUAGAAAAAUAUUUGUUAAAAAUGGAAAAAUUAAAAUACUAUUAUUUAAAAUAAUUUUAAAGUUUUUUGGGUACAUUACUAAUUUUUUUAAUUUAUAUAUUAAAUAAUUUCUUAUAUAAUCGUAAAAGAGAUAGUAUUUGUCAAAACCUUUUUUUUUGUGAAAAUGGGAUCGACUUGGAUUUUAAAAAUGAAUACGAACAUGGGAGUCACCACCGAUCUUUUAUUGAGUUGUAAUCGGAUCACCUUAAAAAUGAUUUUGGUCUACAAGUUUCAGAAAAAAUGAGUUCAGGAGUCAAUUACGUACGAUGAAGGAUUAGCACCCUCGUAACGCCCAAAAUUGGUACCGAAUUGAUUAUUUAAUGUCUUAAAUUCGAAUGUUGAAAAUUCGAAAAGAUUGAAAAGCGAUUCCCCUUUAAAAAAUCUUUAUUGAAAUUUAUUAUUUUGAAAACUAAAAAAAUCAGUCUUCUUGCUUCAAUGAAGAAAUCGAAACCCCGUAAGUUGGGGCACAACUCCUUGAAGUUUCAAAGACGACACACGAGUUUGCCUUUAUUUAAAAACCUGGUCUCGAGAUAACAGGAUGUUGUAUCCAAUAAGUUAGGACACAACAUUUUGAAUCUUCGAGAUAAGCUUUAAUUUGGAAUCUUUGCUUUAAUUGAAAAAGGAAUACUCGGUUACUUAAAUUCAACGAGGAAGAUUGAGGCCCAGUAAGUUAGGGCACAAUCUUCUCGAGAACCUUGGAUACCGAGUCUUAUUUUAUAAAUCCUUGAAUGAAAAAUGUAAGGUGAUUAAAUGACAAUAUGCAACGCGAAAGGAUAAUUUGUAAAUAAAUUAUACAUUAAUCAAAUGAAUGGUAGAUAAAUACAAGCAAGUAAUACACAUAGCAACAAUAAUCUCAUGUAAAUACCCACAUUGGCUAAUAAGUGGAAACUAAUUAAAAUCAAGCAAUUUUACAUAAACACUAACGAAAUAUACAAAUUUAAGCAUAAUUUAAGAAAUAAAUAUAAUAUAUAUAUUAAAAUAUUAAAAUAAAUUAACAAUAUUGAAAUAAGUUGAAAUGAAUUAAAGAUGUUAAAAUAUUUGAAAGAAAUAAAAUAUCUAUAUAAUAAUUAGAAUGAAACUCAAGGAAAAUUUUAUCAUAGAAUCUAACCUAUGAUUAAGAAGAAAAAUCAAGGUAAAGCUUGUGGUUUUUUUGUCUUUCCGUUCCUUCUCUAUCCACGGUACGGGUUUCAGAAAAAGAGCUUCGCUCGCUCUUGCUAUUAAAGUCGGGUUAGUUUCCUCUUUGAUCUUCUAAUUUUCCUUCUUUGAUUCGUGUUUUUUUUGUGUUAAACUGUCUGCAAUUUUGUUUGUUUUUGGAGAAAUCUGGGAUUAUUGUUGUACUUUCUGAAACUGAUCUAUUAUUGAUGGAAGUCAACCCUUACAGUUGUUAGUGAUAAACACAUAAAUUUGAAUGUUGAUAAAUUAUUGAAUUAUUAAUUUCUGUUAAUUUAUUGCAUAUAAUCAUUGAAUUAUUUAUUUUUACUAAUUAAUUAUAUAUAAAUAAUUAGAUAGUUGAUUUUCGAGCAAUAGUAUUUGAUUGGCUCAUUUUUGGUAUGGCAAUGUAAAGAGAUUAAUAAUUGUACUUUUUUUAAAAAGUUUUUCCCCUGACCAACUAUAAAAUUAAAGUUAAUCAAUUGAAAUAGAUGUAGAUCAGAAGGUAUUUAAGCUGCUGCAAUGAGUAGUAUGUUUAGUUUACUAGAGUUUCUUUGGACUUUGGUUUGAUUCAAUUAUCAAAUUUUUCGCUCAGCAUUUGAUUGGUCAGGACUCGAGUUUUCAAAGUUCCUCAAUCAUUUUCUUCCUUUUUUUCAGAAUCAUAUUUGCUUUUUUGCUUGAAUCUUGACUUUAUAGUCAAUUUGGUGGGUCGGGUUUCUUGAAGCUUUAAGGUUGUAUGGUCGUGGCUAGUGCCAAAUAGAAGGUAAGUGCGCAAUGAGUUGAACUGAUUUACUUAUCUUUGCCAUGUUCACUAUGGUUUGAACAAUUUAAGUUACUCUUAUUUUCAUGCAGAGCAUGUAGGCACUAAAUCUGCAAUUCAAAUUCGAAGCCAUGCUCAAAAGUUUUUCUCUAAGGCUCAUUGCUUUGAGUUCAUUACAAGAUUUCCUUGAUUAAGUAAAUGUAUUAUAUCUUUUAUUACCAAGAUUUACUUGAUUAAGAAAAUGCAUUGUAUGUUUUAUUACCUUGCAUAUGUAUUAUUUAUUUUAGUUUUGAUUCUAAAUUUUUAUUUUUACUUUAAUAUUUACGCUAACUUAGAGUUCUAACUUUUGGAUUUUAAUUGUGUUAUUAAUUUAUUAUUUUAAAUUCUAAAUUUAAAUUCAUUCAUUUUUAUAUUUAGUUUUAAAGUUAAAAUAUUUGUAGUAAAUUUAAUUUAAAUAAUAUUUUUUAUUUAUCCUUAAAACAUAAUAUAAUAUUUAUCAUAGAAAUAAAUAUUAUUUGAUAAAAAUGAUUUUUUUUAAAGAUAUGUUUUUAGCGGCGUUUGUGUGAAAAGCGUCGCUAAAGGUCUAUCCAUGUUCUUUAGCAGUGAUUGUGGUAAAGCGCCACUAAAAGUCAUGAUCUAUAGUGGCACUUAUAAUAAAAACGUCGCUAAAGGUCAUGUUCUUUAGUGGCGUUUGUGGUAAAAUGCCGCUAAAGGUCAUGCUCUUUAGCGGCGUUUUUGUCAAAAGUCCCGCUAAAGGUCAUGUUCUUUAGCAGCAUUUUUUCAUAUAAACGCCACUAAAACUAGCGACGUUACAAGCACGGCUAAAAGUCUGUUUUGCUGUAGUGGUCUCGAUUCCUUCUUAAUGCUACAUCGGUUUGAAGAUCUACGUUAAUAGUCGAUCAACAAUAAUGAAUGUCACUAACCAAGCUAAGAGGGUUCGAUCAAGGGGUGAGAAAUAAUGAUGACAAGAUGAGACUUAGAUGGGGCAGCAAUGCAGAAAUUAUGAAGGCAACAAAAACUUCAAUGUGCAACAACAGGAGAAGGAGAAAUGGACAUCAAUGGAAAAUAAAAAAUGGCAGAAGCUUCUAAACAAAAUAUUGAUAUUAAAAAGGCAAUGAUUCAGCCAAAUAAAUUGGAGAAGGGAUAGGCAAAGGGGCAACACAAAUAGAAAAUAAAACUUGUGUUUUAGGUUGCAAUAAUGGUGGGUUAUGAGAGAAAAUUGGAGAAUAAUGGAGAGGAAAAAUGAAGGGGACGACAAUAGCUUGAGAAAAAUAAAUAAAAUAGGCUAAACAUAAAAUAAAAUGCAAUUUAUACGUAGGUUAAAAAGGGCUUGGAAGGCAACAAGGUUUUAAGGAGCAGAAACGUUGAAAAAAUAAAAAUUUACAAGGGAAAGGAAUUAAACUCAAGUCUUAAGGUCAAUUUCACUAACUCUUUACCACUAGGCCAAUUAAUCAUUCUUUUCAUAAACGCUCAAACAAAACCUUAAAAAUUAGGGCAAGACAACUCUCAGUUCACUAAAUCUAUUUCUUCUGACCCAAUUUUUGGGACAUGACAAAACUAUUAGUAAGUUUAUGUUUAGUUUUAGUUACUUAACUUCAAAAGGUUACAAAAUGGUCAAUAAACUAUUCAAAAGUUUUCAUUUAAGUCAUUGGUUUGUUAAGGUUUUUUUUUUAAGUUUGACUAAUGAGCUCCAAGCGAUGAUUCGACGAUUGAUGUAGUGAAUCUAUACCCAUUAAUGAGUGGAACAUAUCUUAGAUCCAAGUUAACCUGCCAUUUAGUAUAGGAGAUUGGAGAAAAAAAGUCGUUCGAAUUUUGGUUCACAGAUUUGUGACAUUCAAAACUGUUUCAUGAAUAUAAAUUAUGUUGUAAAAGAGAAGGGAAAUGUGAGCUUUCAAUUGAUACAAACGGUGCAAACAAAGGUCAUAUAGUAACAAUUUUAAAAGUCUGAUGACUUAAAUGAAAAUUUUUGUAUAGUUCAGUGAUCAUUUUAUAAUUUUAAUAAGUAUACUUACAUUUGUCUUUAGAAUUUGCAAAACAAAUAGAAAAUUCACUUUAAAUGUAUAAAAAUGAAUAAAGAAAACUCACCUUCAUUUCUGAUAGCAAAUAAGAAAUAUGAAAAAAAAACUCUACCACUUUAAUAUUAAAUCUACCACUUUUCCCUUAGAUAUGCAAUUGCAAUGGGUGAUUUUGGGAAACUAAACCAAAGGCCUAUCUUAAGGCUUGCUAAACUUCAUCAGAUACUAUAAAUCAACUGUACAAGGAAAGAUUUCUUAUGUGGAAUUAAUUAAUCAUCUAUAAGAAUUAUCUCAACAUCUGUAGAAAAGAAAAUUAAAAUAUCUGAAUUUUUUUCUCAAGAAACAAAUAGAAAAAGUAAAUGGAAUAUAAGGGUUUUAAAGUUGAGGAAGGGAAAGAGUGGUGAAAAAAAUUGUUUACUGUUAGUGUCAAACAAGAAAAAGAAAAUUGGGUUGAAGGAAGAAGAAGAAAAAGAAAGAAGGAAAAGAAAAGGAACAUAAAAAAAAUGUUGUAAAUUUAACGGGGUUAAACUUAGGGAUCGGUUUAGUUGAUGGAAAAAAAGUUCGAGACAAAAAAACAUAAAUAUCAAUUUGAGAGAAGUGGAUAAGUUCAGAUACUAAUUUAAUAUUUAACUGUUAUAAAUAUUAUAGAUUAAGUUACCAGCAGUGGGCUUGACUUGCGAUUGAUAUAGAGGUGGCCCACUUUGUUUGUCGAAAACUUACAUUUUCAGCUAUAGCAAGUCUCAACCGCACAACCAAGUCCAAACGUAUUAAAAUUAAAAUUUGAAAAUUUAAUAAUAUUUUUUCUCCCAAUAAAAUAAUAAAUACAUGUAUCAUUCAAAAUGGAAGUAGGCAAUUGGAAAAAAAUAAGAGUGGGAACAUAUUUAUGAGAAAUGGGCAACCGCGUUUUGGGUUGGGUCCUAGACUUUUUCUUAAUUUGUUUGAACACUCCUAACAGGUAACAGCUCUUGAGGGGCCAAGCCGAUAGGCAUCGUGUUUGACCCAAUGAAAUUUCUGGCUUACAAAACUCAACCAAUUUUACAAUCACUCAACUAAAUGAAGUUUUUUGGUUUAAUCAUUUUUUUUAUAUGAUGAUCCAAGGCAUCGAAUUAGAGCCUUCGGUAAAAGUAAAGAAAAUUUCAAAGUAAAAAAUAAUUUUCAAGAAAUGGGGCCUUAAGAUGUGGACUGCAAAGCUGCGUAGGGGAUGGGAUAAUAAGGCAAAUUAGAGAGCAAAAGUUGGAAGCAAGGUUUAAUGGUGGUGGCCCCCCUCAUUUUGGGCAUAUGUUUCAGCACUUAUCCAUUUUCAGACAAGGAAAUUAUUUAAUAAAGAAAAAGAAAAAUGGUGCACAUGGGAGCAUUUUCAAGCCCACCUUUGAGUUAUGAAAGACUGGGGUAGGUGGAAGUAAUUAACGGGCAAAGUGGGGUUAAGAAGGGUAAUUAAGAAAUGGUGCAGUGGAUGGAGUUAGAAUGAAGAGGAUACUCACGGGCAAGACAGGGGGUUUGGUUUUCUCAGCAAAAACACGUGUGAAGAUGUGGAAUUGUCAAGCUUUUUGAAUUAUUUUACAUAAGGACAAAGCAGAUAGAGAUAAAUCUGCUCAUGAUGAAUCACCCACAUGAAAAAUGUCAAAUAUUAUUUGAUUGGCUGGAAGGACCACUUCACCCAUAUCUUCGUACUUGCUUGGUUGAUCAAAGGUUAAAAGGAGAGGAUGGCCCUGAAAUUCAGAAAAGAAUCGGUUCCCUUCCCCUUUCCCCUGCAAUUCCUAUUGUUUUGUUUUCUUGAUUUCCAAAUCCAUGUAGUAAUAAAUGAAAAAAAGAAGAUCCACACAGACAAUACCCUGUACAAUAUCUACUUUGCUUUUAAGCGCGUUCUAUCUUCGUCCUUAAUAACUCUUAUUUAUUCACAGUUUAAACCCCCAGAUUCUGGUUCGAUUUCAGUAUCAUUCUUAGUCCAUUUAUUUUAUUUUUUAUUUUAAAAACUCUUUUAUUAUUAUUUGUUUUAAGUUUUUUUAUUUAUCAUUUAUUGUAAACUGUUUUACAUGCUAUUUAUUUAAUUCUUUUAAUAUGUUAUUCAUUUUAAACCAUUAUAUGUACAUAAUCUUUUAAAUUCCUAUAUAUGUAUUUUUUUUUAAAAAUGUUGUAUGUCGUUUAUUUAUUUGUUUUAAACUAUUAUUAUUCACUUUAAGUUUUUAUAUACUGUUUAUUUGAAGCCUUUUAUUAUUUAUUUUUGAAUUGUUCUUGUAAAUUAUUUAUUUUAAAUUAUUAUUUGCUUUAAACUGUUUUGCAUAAUAUUUUGUUUUGUUUUCUUCAAUUGUUAAUGUUAGUAUUACAACUAACAUACAUUGUGUGAUUAUUGCCAUCAUGUGUACUAUAAUUAGCUUUUUCGUGUUUUAAUAUUAUUGUCUUUCAUCAAUGUAACAUUUUAUUCAUAAAUCGUUAUUUCAUGUUAUACAUUAUCAUUCCAUUUCAUUUCAUCACUUCGAAAGUUGCGUUCAAUUUUUAUAUACCCAUAAUAAACCGUUCUAUUUUAUACCAAAUAAAACAAAUGCACCUCGUUCAAGUAUUGUACUCACUAUGAUUCAAAAAAGGGAAAAGUUUUUUAAUAAGGCAAUAUUUCGCGUUUUGGAGAUUCGAGAAAUUGUACACUAAUUUACGGGGUUUCAAUUUUCUCGUUAAAUCUAAAUAGCAAAAUAUCUUUUUAAAUUUCAAGAUAUACAAUAAAAAUUAAAGGCAAGCUUAUUCUCUAAAGUUCCAAAUAUCGUGUCCUAACUUACGGGACAUGACAUUUCGUUACCUCGAGACAAGUGGGUCUUUAACUCUCUUUUCGAUUUAUUCAAGCGUUUUUUUUAUUAACAUUAAUAAAAAAGGGAUCGUAUUUUAAAAUAUUUUCAAAAUUUUAACUUUCGACAUUAAGACAUUAAUUAAUCAACUAGGUACCAAUUUUGGGAGUAUCGAGGUUGCUAUUCAUUCCUCGUGCGUAACCGACUCCCGAACCCAUUUUUUGGAUUUUGUAGACUAAAAAUUACCGUUUUAGUAAAUUUAACUUUUAUUAAAAUGAUUAAAUUAUAAGGUGAUCUGAUCACACCUAAAUAAAAAGGAUUGGUGGCGACUCCAUUUUCGUGAUGCAUUAUUCUAAAAAGUGAUGCAUUAAUUAUAUCUUUUAUCUUUUAUAUAUUGUUUCGAUUAAUACCUAAAUUAUUUGUACGAAAAAAAAUCAAAAUGAAAUGCAACAUGUUCUGAACUUUUAUUAAAGCUCAUCUUUUUGUUGAAGAUACCUCAAUCCAUGAUUUCAACAUUGGAAUUUUUGAAAGUCCCUAGUAAUAGUAUGAAUUAUGAAAUUUCAAAAAAGCAUAUUCUUAUUUAUUGUUAAUUUCAAGGUAUUUUUAAUAGCUAUACUUACAUUUGUCUUUAGAAAAUAGAAAAUUCACUUUAAAUGUAUAAAAAUGAAUAAAGAAAACUCAUCUUCAUUUCUGACAGAAAAUAAGAAACAUGAAAAAAAAACUAAAAAAGAAAUACAUAUUUUCUUGAAAGACGCUUCAAAUGAAACAAAUAUGAAAAACAUAGUUGUAAGAGUGUUCAAUUACUUUAUCGAUCGGUCAACCAAAUCAAAUUAGUAUUAACUAAAUCAAAAUUAUCAUGAAAAAGUGAAAAAGUCAUAAUUUAGGGGUGGUUGAUGCAAUUAACUCAUUUCUAAUGGUGCUAAUACUUAAGUCUGCUAUGGGACAAAGUGAAAAAGUGGAAAGCAGAGUUAAAAUAUGACCCAAACACUCACCUUUUUCUAAGUCGUCUCCUAUCAUAGUUGCAAAAUAAAUGGAUAGCAGUAAACCAAAUCCUUUGCUACUAAACCAAGAAAACCCAGUUGUCUUAAGAGUUCAUAUUUGUGAAGGUUUCUUAACAUUUUAGUGCAACCUUGAUUUUUAUUUUUAUUUAUUUCCUUUCCCUUAAAGAGAAAAAAAGAUCUUCAAGUUUUUUUUCUUUUUUAUUCUUCAGUUUUGCUUACUUUCUUUUGCUCCCAAAAACCAAAAAAAAAUAUCCCUUCAAAUCCCAUUUGAUGGUUUUGAAGUAGCAACGAUCUUCUCAGCACCUAGUCUAGUUUGAUUUUGAAGUUCCCAAGUGAGGUCAAUGUAUUUAUGUAUGCUUAAUUUCUAUAUUUUCGGUUUUUUUAUAUAUAAAUUUGUUAUAUAUUUCUUCAUCUAAUAUUAUGUUUUUAUGUUUUUCUUGAACUAAAUCAGAGCAAAAUAGACUGUUUGGAUUUGCUCUUUUUUUCCACACUCAAAUUCUUGGAAUCAUUACUUCAUUUUGAAGGGGUAAGUGGGUAUGUUUCUUAUGUUUUCCAUCAUUAUAUGCAUAAUAUUAAAUGGAUACCAAGCAGUACCAACAUCAAUAAUUUAGAUCCCCAUUUUGUAUAAAAUUAUUAAAAAAAACUCACAAUUAUUUAUAAAUAGAAAAAUGUAUAUAAAAAUUCUAGAAAAAUAAAAUCUAUGUUGUUUCAUAACUAAAUUGGAUGAGAAAUAAAGAAAAUCACCAUUCAAUAACAUCCGAUAACAAAUUAAAAUCAAAACAAAACAAAACAAAAAAUGUUAGAUUAUUAUAUGUUUCCUGAAUAUUUCUCGAAACCAAAUUAGUAGUAUUAUCAAGCUGAGUUUCAUGCCCUUGAAGAGUAUCUAGAACUGAUAUUACAAAUACUUAUGAAAUUGACCUUGAUGCCAUAUUUUUAGUCAAAAGAAUACAAAAUAUACCAUAAUUUUUCUUUUCCAAACUCAAUUCGAAAUUUCAUUACAUUUUAAUUGUUUUCAGAAUUUUAUCUUUUCUUAUAAAGUAAAAGCUGUCAAGUAAUGAAGAUGUAAAAAACAAAUGAAUUUGCUUAAUAUUUUUUCUGUGUUUGUUUUUAAAGAAUGAGUAUUGAAGUAAUAGAUAAUAUAGAGAAAUUUUCUUCCUUUUUUCUAUGUCAGGACUCGGGUCUUUAAAGUUCCUCAAUUAUUUUCUUCCUUCUUUUCAGAAUUAGAUUUUCUCUUUUUGCUUGAAUCUUGAUUUUAUAGUCAAUUUGGUGGGUUAGGUUUCUUGAAGCUUUAAGGUUGUAUGGUCUUGACUAGCGCCAAAUAAAAGGUAAAUGCACAAUGAGUUGAAUUGAUUUACUUAUCUUUACCAUGUUCACUAUGGUUUGAAUAUUUUAAGUUACUCUUAUUUUCAUGCAGAGUUUUUAUAUUUUUCUUUUCAAACUCAAUUCAAAAUUCCAUUACAUUUUAUUUUUUUUUUCAAAACCCAAAUUGUAAAAUGAAAAUAUAUUCAAAAAUUUAUCUUUUCUUAUAAUGUAAAAGCUAUGUCAAGUAAUUGAUGAGGUAAAAAAGUAUAGAACAAAUAAAUUUGCUUCAUAGUUUUUUCUAUAUGUUUGUUUUUAAAAUAAUGAGUAUUGAAUAUUUCAAUAUAGAUAAUAUAGAGAAAUUUUGUAGGGUUUAAAAAUAAUUAUCCCUAAUUUUCUCACUUUAUUUAUUUUUAAAAUUUUUAUUUUACUUUUAUUUAUUUUUUAAUUUUAUAAUGUUCUAAAAUUUUAAAAAUAAUUUCAACUUUUUAUCAUUUUAUAUAUUAUCAAAAUGAAAUUCACCGAAAGUAUAAAAAUUUAGGACUAAAAUUUUUAUUAAAUCAUUUAAAAAGUUCCACUUAAUAGUUGAGUGACAAAAAAAUAAUAAUUUCAAAAACAUUAGUGGUGAAAUUGUAAUUGUUUUUAAUUGAGUGAUUAAAACAAAAAUUAGUAAUAGUUUAAUGACUAAUAAUGUAGCUUUUUUUUUUUGGGUACAACGAUAACUCGAAAUUUGGUUAUUCCUAAAAAGGGUGAACAUCCGAUCAUAUUUAUUCACAUAUUACAAACAUCCAUAUGCAAGCUCAUCUUUUUAUCUUUUAUAUAUUAUUUCGAUUGAUACUUAAAUUAUUUGUACGAAAAAAAAAAUCAAAAUGAAAUGCAACAUGUUCUGAACUUUUAUUAAAGCUCAUCUUUUUGUUGAAGAUACCCCAAUCCAUGAUUUCAACAUUGGAAUUUUUGAAAGUCCCUAGUAAUAGUAUGAAUUAUGAAAUUUCAAAAAACCAUAUUCUUAUUUAUUGUUAAUUUCAAGCUAAUUUUAAUAGCUAUACUUACAUUUGUCUUUAAAAAAUAGAAAAUUCACUUUAAAUGUAUAAAAAUGAAUAAAGAAAACUCAUCUUCAUUUCUGACAGCAAAUAAGAAAUAUGAAAAAAAAAAACUAAAAAAGAGAUACAUAUUUUCUUGAUAGACGCUUCAAAUGAAACAAAUAUGAAAAACAUAGUUGUAGGAGUGUUCAAUUGCUUAAUCGAUCCGUUAACCAAAUCGAAUUAGUAUUAACUGAAUUAGUAUUAACUAAAUCGAAAUUAUCAUGAAAAAACUCAAACUUAUAAAUCCCUAUCCCCAAAAAAAAAAAAUUGAAGCAUCCAGAAAAUACAUCAAGCAUUGAACUAAAAAAGAACAUAUCACUAUUCAUAGUUGUAGAGGAGGAUUAGACACUGCUGCUAACGAUGGGUGAAGAAAUAUGCCAACCAAAGACAUAUUGUUGUGUCUGGUGGGGUUAUUCAACCUAUACCAAAAACAUGUUAUUUCAACAUUACAAUGAAAAUUUUGAUACAGUGAUAAUAUAAUGAAAUAAAUUUUAUCAUGUUAUGAAUAAGAAUUCAUAAGGGGAAUUUCUAUUGCAUUCUAUAUUUUUCAUAAUCUUUACAGGUAGUAUACUCCACUAUAUAUAGAAAGAUUAGACUCUUCAUAUUCUAAUACAUAAAUAAGAAAAAGGGGUUAUAAGGAGAUGAAAGUUUAAAAAUUAAAGAAAAUGAAAGAUUAAAGUCAAGAGAGAUGAAAGGUAAAAGGUUGAACAUCCACUUAAUAAUAUUAAUAAUAAAUAUUUUAAAUGUAGCAAAAGUCAUAAAAAUAAUAGAAACACCGCUCCAAAUGAACCAAUUCCACUCAAGCAAUUACUAAAACUUCAAGGAAAACAUGAGAGCAUAGAUUAAUUAUUUUUUAAUAAGUUAAUUGCACCAAAUAUUUUUAAAUUAUUACCUGCAUUCUAAAUUAAUUCACUUUCGAAAUAUUGUGAGUAAUUGCUCACUUUCGAAAUUGGUAGGGAUUAAAUUGUUUCGAUUUUUUUAAAGAGACCAAUUUACUGAAUAUCAAAAUUGAGAGGGACUAGAGAGGUCAUUUUAUCUAGUUUAGUAAUUAAAUGACAUGUUAAAUCUUAUGUGAUAUAAUUUAAAAUGACAAUUUUAAAAAUUGUGGAAAUAUUUGUUUUAAAAAUCUUGGUUUUGAAGUUUUUACAAAAUUUUUAUUGUUCAUUUUUUUUAAAAUUUCAAUUUUAUUUAAUUUUAGUUUCUUUAAAAUUUUCAUUUUAAAAUUAGCUAGAUAAUGAUUUUAAUAAUAAAUGGCCUGAUUAAUAUAACACCAACAGUUUAGAAAUGUAAUUAGAUAAGUUUGCAGUUUGAAAAUAGAUUUAAAAUAAUGGUCAUAAUUUAGGGGUGUUUGUUGCAAUUAACUCAUUUCUAAUGGUGCUAAUAAUUAAGUCUGCUAUAGGACAAAGUGAAAUAGUGGAAAGCAGAGUUAAAAUAUGACCCAAAGAUAUGGAUGGGGCCAUUACCAACAUCAAUAAUUUAGAUCCCGAUUUUGUAUAAAAUUAUUUAAAAAAAAACUCACAAUUAUUUAUAAAUAGAAAAAUGUAUACAAAAAUUCUAAAAAGUAAAAUCUUGAAUAUGUUGUUUCAUAACUAAAUUGUAUGAGAAAUAAAGAAAAUCAGCAUUUAAUAACACCCGAUAACAAAUUAAAAUCAAAACAAAACAAAACAAGUUAGAUUAUUAUAUGUCUCCUGAAUAUUUCUCGAAACUAAAUUAGUAGUGAGUUUCAUGCCCUUGAACAACAUCUAGAACUGAUAUUACAAAUACUUAUGAAAUUAACCUUGAUGCCAUAUUUUUAGUUAAAAGAGUACAAAAUAUAGCAUGAUUUUUCUUUUCAAACUCAAUUCAAAAUUUCAUUACAUUUUAAUUUUUUUUUUCAAAACCCAAAUUGUAAAAUGAAAAUAUAUUCAAAAAUUUAUCUUUUCUUAUAAUGUAAAAGCUAUGUCAAGUAAUUGAUGAGGUAAAAAAGCAUAGAACAAAUAAAUUUGCUUCAUAGUUUUUUCUAUGUUUGUUUUCAAAACAAUGAGUAUUGAAUAUUUCAAUAUAGAUAAUAUAGAGAAAUUUUGUAGGGUUUAAAAAUAAUUAUCCCUAAUUUUCUCACUUUAUUUAUUUUUAAAAUUUUUAUUUUACUUUUAUUUAUUUUUUAAUUUUAUAAUGUUCUAAAAUUUUAAAAAUAAUUUCAACUUUUUAUCAUUUUAUAUAUUAUCAAAAUGAAAUUCACCGAAAGUAUAAAAAUUUAGAACUAAAAUUUUUAUUAAAUCAUUUAAAAAGUUCCACUUAACAGUUGAGUGACAAAAAAAUAAUAAUUUCAAAAACAUUAGUGGUGAAAUUGUAAUUGUUUUUAAUUGAGUGAUUAAAACAAAAAUUAGCAAUAGUUUAAUGACUAAUAAUGUAGUUUUUUUUUUGGGUACAACGAUAACUCGGAAUUUGGUUAUUCCUAAAAAGGGUGAACAUCCGAUCAUAUUUAUUCACUUAUUACAAACAUCCAUAUGCAAGCAAUUCUCCCGAAUUAAAAUCAAAUUUUAAUAUCAACAACUUCAACAACUCAUAAAUAGGAAGAUAAUAUGUUUCGGUACACUUAAAACCACAUCCUUCUAUAUUGACAGCAAUUAUUAUGACAAUGAAGCUAAGACUUUAUUCACAAUACCUAUAUAUUUUUGUUAUACCUAAUUAAAGUCAUUUACCAGUAUAUUAGACAUUCUUAUACCCUACUUUCCCAUACUUUCCCAUUAUUAUCGUGAUGAUGAUGAUGUAACACCCCCUAACCCCAAACCGUCACCGGAACAGGGUUAUAGAGUAUUACCAGACAUAUCGGAUAACUUAUAACUAAUUCACAAAUAAAUAACAGACAUAGCAUACUUUAAUCAAAUAUGUCAUAUUAGUUCCAUUUCAUACUUAUAAUCAAUUUAAAACAUCGUUCUAAAACCACAAUCACAAAACUCUUAUACUUAACCUAUAUAUCACUUAGGUACAUGCCACAUUAUCAAAACAAAAGUACAUCACCAAAAUUUCUCUGAGGUCGGGAUUACUCUGGAUGCUGGACCGAGCACUGGCUUCCUACUAACCUGCGCACGGAAACAACCGUAUUGUCACUUUCGAACUGGNNNNNNNNNNNNNNNNNNNNNNNNNNNNNNNNNNNNNNNNNNNNNNNNNNNNNNNNNNNNNNNNNNNNNNNNNNNNNNNNNNNNNNNNNNNNNNNNNNNNAACUUUGAGAUAAAUCUGACGCGAUCUGCUCCACUACAACUUUAGAGAGAUGAGAUCUGCGGUUUUACUCCAUACCAUUACAACUUCAAGGAGAUAGGAAUUCUGGCUUCAAUGUACUCCACUGUAACCUCAAGGAGGUAAAAUCUGCCAUCCUCGAUCUACUCCACUACCGUCUAGGGAGAUAAGUUUUAUUAUCUUUAAUCUAUUCCACUGGUGCCCAGUGAGAUAGAAUUACUGGCUUCAAUAUACUCUAUUGUAACCUCAGGGAGGUAAAAUCCGCCAUCCUUGAUCUGCUUCAUUACUGCUUAGGGAGAUAAGAUCUGUUAUCUUUGAUCUACUUCACGCCAAUACAUGAAGACAAGAUCUGCUUUCUUCGAUCUGCUUCGCCACCAGUAUGGGAAGACAAGAUCUGGUAUCUUCGAUCUACUUCACGCCAAUACAUGAAGACAAGAUCUGCUUUCUUCGAUCUAUUUCACCACCAGUAUGGGAAGACAAGAUCUGCUAUCUUUGAUCUACUUCACUCCAAUACAUGAAGAUAAGAUCUGUUUUCUUCGAUCUACUUUGCCACCAGUAUGGGAAGACAAGAUCUACUAUCUUUGAUCUACUUCACGCCAAUACAUGAAGACAAGAUAUGUUUUCUUUGACCUACUUCGCCACCAGUAUGGGAAGACAAGAUCUGCUAUCUUUGAUCUACUUCACGCCAAUACAUGAAGACAAGAUCUGCUAUCUUUGAUCUACUUCACACCAAUACAUGAAGACAAGAUCCGUUUUCUUUGAUCUACUUCACGCCAAUACAUGAAGACAAGAUCUGCUAUCUUUGAUCUACCUCACGCCAAUUCAUAAAAAUAAGAUCUGCUGCUUUUCAACCUGCUCCACUGUUGCUCAAGGAGAUAAGGCUUUAUGAUUUCACCGAUCUGUUCUCUGUGGAACAUGGCCUGUAUCAUUCAAUUUAUGAACCUAAUUAUGUCUAGUGAAUAGGAUGUCAUGAUCAAAUGAAUCAAAUACUCCUAACUGGACAUGUAUGAAUGACAUUUGAAUGAAUGCAAAAUGUCAUUUUUCGAGAAUGAUCCCUCCUUAUCACUUAGGUUAUCAUUACUCAAAGUUUAUCAAAGUUUUAUUGCCAAUGUGCUAUAACGCCUCUUACUCGGCUGACGUCUCCAAAGAAACACUUGACCAGAUUGCCCCCACUGUAAACCUCCAAGUUUGAUCCACUAGGAUGCAAAAUUUACAUUAUCUUUCUCCCGUUGUAACCCAAGAGUAAAAGAUUUGGCCUUUUCUCAAUCCUCUGUUAUCACAAUUUAAGGAUAAAGGAUGUGAAACUUUUUGGUCUCUUACACCAUUCUCAGGGUGUCACACAAAAUGCUCAUGAAAAAAUGAAGAAUUUUCCUCUCCAAGAACAGCUUCUUCUUAUUAUUCGAUGAUCAUUGCUUGCUUGUUCAUUGAAGCUUUAUCACCAACACGGCAUCUUGCCAUUUUGUUUAAUCAAUACUUUAGACAAGAAAAUUCAAAGGGAUAGUCUUAAUUUAGACUCUUCUUUAUCAAAUUUCCAACCUUUGAACCUGGUACGUUUUAGAUAAUAGUUAUGUUUGAGGUUCCUAUAUUAUUUAGAAGCUUCUAGACUAAUAUGCAAAACUUCCCUUGUGAAGGUUUUAUUGGUCCAUUAAUUAUUAUUCUAAUGCAACACACUUGCAAAGAGAACAAAAUGAUGGAUAAAAUUGAAUUGGUUCUGAGCAUAGCUCGAAAUGAAAUAAAUUAUCAAAGAUAAUAAAGAUGGAUAACAAAGACAUUGAUUCAGGAAUGCGUAUUUUUGGAAAUAAAUGAAGCGUUCCAAGUAUAACAAAGUAUAAGGAUUAGGUACCUCAGAUAUCGCAGCUUGAACUUCUCUGUACAGACUUUCUGAAGACCAUUCUGAGUUUAACACGUGUUUAGGAGAUCGAUACCCCAGGAUGUCGCCUACACUUUCCUAUUGAUUCAGGUAUAGAAAGAUCAUUGCAUGCCCCAUUCUGGUCAUAUUUGAGCUGCUCUGAUAACUUCAAGCGCCAUUUUGAUCAACAUUUGAGCCGCCAUUUUCGGGUUUUCAACUCAAAUCCCCUUUGGUCUAAGGUGCCAUUUGCGGGUUUUCACCUUGGCCUCUCCAUUUCUUUUUCUCUUCUCUUUUUUGACUCAAGGCUCCCUUUGUAGGGUUUCACCCUGGGUUUUUUUUUAAGCGGAGUAUUUCCUGACUGAAUCCGAGUUUGCAGGACUUUGCAAGUUUAUUAUCUAUCUCCCUCAAAAUCAAAGCUCAUUUAGAAAAGACCUUCUCUAUAACACAAGGUUCUUCCCAAUUUGGCAUUCGUUAUAUUUUUUGUAGAGUGAGGAUCUUCUUCGGCAUUAGGUCACCAUCGUGGAAUUCUCUUGGACAAACCUUUUACUAUAGGCUCGCAUAAUUCAUUUCUUGGUACAUCUGACCCUGAUGAAUAGUUUCUAGCCUUUUUCUUUAACUAGGUUCAACUAAUUGUACCGGGAUUGGAUUUUCAUCCUACUUCAACUCAGCCAAAACUUAAAGAGAAAGAAUUUCAACUUCAAUGAAAAUCGUGAUAAACUGGAAAGAGUGGCAUUGCCCCGCUAGAGUUUUCAUUGCACCAUUCAUGAUAUUCACCUUGAACAUACUGUAAAAUUUUGAUAUCGUGCUAUUGUUCAGAUUGCAAUGACAUCACUUAAAACGGGCACAUCCUGGUAUGACCAUGCGAAGCCAUCUUUGAAUGCUUGAAGUAACUCAACAUCGUUUUGCUUUGUUUUUUCGGUCAUGCAUGUUCCCUCAAGGUCACAACCUCUAUUGUCUCAUUUAUUUCUCUUAUUGCUUUACCAUCAUCAACAAGUCAGGAGAUAAGCUACAAUUUAUGACAUCUUCAAAGUCAUAAGAUCCCUCUAAAUACAUGGCUCACUCAAAAAGGGAUUUUGAGUCCGUAGUAGCGUCACUCAUGUCAUUGAUAUCUAGGAACCCAUAGUAAAUACCAAAAAAUGUACAAAAGAAUGUAUGAAUAAUAUGAAUGAAUGAACAAAUGGUUUGGUAGAAAAAAAAUUCAUAAGAAUGAAAGAAGUGCAAAGAAUGAAAGAACAUUUACUCCAAGAUGAUUGCAAUAAUGUAUUUCAUUAAAAUAAUCAUGUUCGGACAUGAGCCAAUUUCACAAAGGCAUUCCUAUUGCUUUUAGGCUAAAAGCAACAAGCGUGUUCUGAAUAUUACUCUAACAGACCCUAAAUACUGUAGGGGUUUCCUCUGCAGUCCCAUUAUUUAUAACACCUCCCAGGCGAAUAUCUAACCAGAGCCCUUUUAAUUAUGUCUGCACAUAUGGCGUCGAUGUGAAAAUCUCACCACUUCCAUACAUUGUCCUCCCCCAUUAUCACUCGUGAUUAGGUAGCGGAUUUUCUGCACUAGACGAGUCACCAAACUUGACAAUACCCAUGUCGAUGAGUCUUUCAACUUGCUUCUUGAAGGUAGUGCAGUUCUCAAUCGAGUGUCCCAUAAUUUCUGCGUGGUAUUCACAUUGUGCAUUCGCAUCAUACCAUUUGGGAUACGGAGGUUGUAGAGGCUUCACAGGAAAAGGAGAAACAACACGUGCAUCAAACAAAUUCUAAUACAGUUCUCUAUAUGACACUGGAACUGGCGUAAAUUGGGGCCUCUCUGUGUUUUGUCCUGUACCAACUUCCUGUCUCAAUGGACCUUGUUGGUUAGCAGCCAUCUUUCUUGGCUGACUCACAGUAAAUGAUUUAAAGUAACCCGUGUUGUUCACCUCAUCUUCUCUUCUCCUUGAGACUGACCUCUUGUUACUCUCCUCUGCAUCAAUUUUCCCGCUUCUUAUAGCAUUUUCAAUCAUUUCACCAUUCAUAACUAUGUCAGAAAAAUUUUUGUGGCACUUCCUAACAUAUGUGAUGAACGGGGCUUUCAAUGUAUUUAUAAAAAGCAUCGUCAUUUCUUUCUCUAAGAGCAGUGGUUGAACUUGGACUGCGUCUUCCCUCCAUCUUUGUGUGUACUGCCUAAAGCUUUCGCUUGACUUCUUCUCCAUGUUUUGAAGGGUAAUUCUAUCAGGAGCCAUAUCUGUCACAUGACUAUACUGUUUCAUGAAUGCUUGUGCCAAGUCCUUCCAUGAACCAAUUGUGGUGCAGCUCAGUUGAUUGUACCACUUAGAUGCUGCCUCUGCUAGGCUAUCUUGGAAACAGUGUAUUAAUAGCUGGUCAUUAUUAACGUAUCCAGCCAUUCGCCUGUAGAACAUGGUGAUAUGAGCCUCUGGGCAAGUCGUCCCAUUGUACUUCUCGAUUUCCGGCAUCUUAAACUUAUGAGAGAGUACCAAAUCAGGAACUAAGUUCAGCUCUUUAGCGUCAAUCCCACGACAGCUUUCAGUGACUUCCAUUGCCCUGAAUUUCUCCUCGAGCCAUUUGCACAUUUCCUCUAGCUAUUUUGGUAACUCCUCCUUUAUUCUUUCCCUCUUGGCCACUUCAACAAAGUCAGGAAUGGUAGAGUUCACAGGGUUGUUUUCGGGAUUAGAACCCGAUCCAGCUUGAAAGUUCGAAAUACCAGCCCGAAACUGCUUAAGCAUGAUGGUGACAGUAGACUUACACGAGUAUUCAGCUUGAGUUCGCAUAUGUGGAGGGGUGAAACCUGGUGGAUAGAGAGGUUCAUCAUCAUUUCCCUCAUCGACAUUUGCCAUGGGGCCCUUUCCUUUAUCACUUCCCUUAGUUAUCAGUUGGGCUAACUUUGCCACUAUAUCUUCGUGGGAUUCUCACAUCUUCUCAGACAUCUCUUGUUUCAUCUUGUCUAACCGCUCCUGCACCUGUAGCUGAAGUCGGUCCUGCAUCUUCUUUUGACACUGUUCGAGUUUUUCCAAUCUCUGAUCCAUGUCUUUAAUCUUUGCUUGAGUGUUGUAACAAUGUUUGGUUGAUUGGUUGGUUUCCAGGUUAACUGAGCAGUGAUUUUAAUUAAUUAGGAUCAUUUAAAGGUGUCUAAUGCACAUGAUGUAAUGAAAUGCAAAUGCAUGAAAUGAAUGUAAAAAAAAACGUUGAUUCAGGUUCAAUUUUUUUACUAGAAAACUUCUUUAGAAAGUAAAUCUCUUUACACAAAGUGGAUAUAUAUAUACGGCUUCGUCCUCGAGCUCCAAGCGAAGACAACGACCAUUAAUAUGCAUCUUGCGAAUCUUCUAAUAAGCAUCUACUAGCUCUUUUUUACUUCAUCCAGGUUGCAACUCCUUGAUCCUAUGCUUGUGAGCUUCUUUAAAAAGGUUGGGAUGUUUGACGACUCUUGAAUAAUCUUUGCUAAUCUUGAAUCAACGCAGCAAAGUCGUAUACUCCUAUUGUUACACUUCUUGCAUCACGCUUUCUUGGACUAUAUUCGGAGAACCGUAUUAUCUUCCACUUUAUCAAGAAACCCGUUUUCCAUGACAAGCUCUCUAUUUAGCAACCGAACAUGAAUCAACACCUCUUUUCUAUGAUGAAAUGCAAUGCAGUCAAAAUGUCAUGCAACCAAAUCAAAACAUAACAAGUUAGUAUCAGGUAUAAACAUUAUAUCCAAUACAAUCAAGAAAUAAUAAAAACUCCUAGUCAGGAAUCUACUAAGGUUUAGAGUACUUCUACCUAGGGUAAGUUCCUAAAGCUCACUAUAUGAGGUUUAGUUUCUAGAGUAAGGGUACCCGAACCAGCAAAUUCCUCGAUCCUCACCCAUUAUAGGCUCAUGUGGAUCGAGUUCAGUUCAGGGGGAUGCAUUUUCCUAUGGCUGCACGGAGAUGAAAAUCUCACGAAGACAUAGGUACAGAUAUAUCCCGGAAGCGGUCCACUACCCUGCACGGAGGUGAAAACCUCACGAAGGACUAGUUUCUCGCUCCCACUUAAGGGGGUAACACUGACCAUGCAAUGCAAAAUGCAAAUACAGAUCACCCAACUUGAUUCAAUCAUGCAAAUGAUGAAAAUCAAUCAAUGCGAAAGGAAAUCAUGAUUUUUAAAAAACUUUUGACUUUCGAUAAAAAAGACAAAGCAUAAUCAAUUCAUGGCUCGACUCUCAAAUGUCCUCAGCGGAGUCGCCAAGCUGUCGAAACCGCUUUUUUGGAAACAAAAAAAUUUUAGUUUCGUCUUAAAAAUAAAAACUGGAGUCGCCACUGGUCCUUUAUUAAGGUGUGAUCGGCCCACCUUAAAAAUAAUUUUGGUCUGCGAAAUUUGAGAAAACAGGUUUAAUGGUGGUGGCCCCCCUCAUUUUGGGCAUAUGUUUCAGCACUUAUCCAUUUUCAGACAAGGAAAUUAUUUAAUAAAGAAAAAGAAAAAUGGUGCACAUGGGAGCAUUUUCAAGCCCACCUUUGAGUUAUGAAAGACUGGGGUAGAUGGAAGUAAUUAACGGGCAAAGUGGGGUUAAGAAGGGUAAUUAAGAAAUGGUGCAGUGGAUGGAGUUAGAAAGAAGAGGAUACUCACGGGCAAGAGACAGGGGGUUUGGUUUUCUCAGCAAAAACGCGUGUGAAGAUGUGGAAUUGUCAAGCUUUUUGAAUUAUUUGUCCCCAAAAAAUAUAGAUGUGAAGAAAACACAUGCACCUUGUCGAAACCGUUUUUUUAGAAACAAAAAAAUUUUAGUUUCGUCUUAAAAAUAAAAACUGGAGUCGCCACCGAUCCUUUAUUAAGGUGUGCGGCCCACCUUAAAAAUAAUUUUGGUCUGCGAAAUUUGAGAAAACAGGUUCGGGAGUUAGUUACGCACGAGGAAGGAUUAGCACCCUCGUAACGCCCAAAAUUGGUACCAAAUUGAUUUUUUUAAUGCCUUGGUNNNNNNNNNNNNNNNNNNNNNNNNNNNNNNNNNNNNNNNNNNNNNNNNNNNNNNNNNNNNNNNNNNNNNNNNNNNNNNNNNNNNNNNNNNNNNNNNNNNNCAUGGGAGCAUUUUCAAGCCCACCUUUGAGUUAUGAAAGACUGGGGUAGAUGGAAGUAAUUAACGGGCAAAGUGGGGUUAAGAAGGGUAAUUAAGAAAUGGUGCAGUGGAUGGAGUUAGAAAGAAGAGGAUACUCACGGGCAAGAGACAGGGGGUUUGGUUUUCUCAGCAAAAACGCGUGUGAAGAUGUGGAAUUGUCAAGCUUUUUGAAUUAUUUGUCCCCCAAAAAAUAUAGAUGUGAAGAAAACACAUGCACCUUGUCGAAACCGUUUUUUUAGAAACAAAAAAAUUUUAGUUUCGUCUUAAAAAUAAAAACUGGAGUCGCCACCGAUCCUUUAUUAAGGUGUGCGGCCCACCUUAAAAAUAAUUUUGGUCUGCGAAAUUUGAGAAAACAGGUUCGGGAGUUAGUUACGCACGAGGAAGGAUUAGCACCCUCGUAACGCCCAAAAUUGGUACCAAAUUGAUUUUUUUAAUGCCUUGGUGUCGAAAAUUUGAAAAGAUUUUAAAAUGAAACUUUUUAUUUCAUGAAUGAAUCAAAAUAAUAAGACAUUCUUAUUUCAAAGAAAUGAAACACCACACCCAGUGAGUUAGGGCACAAUGUUUUUAAAUUUUCAAAAUACCCGAAUAUUGCCUUUUGCUUUUGAAAAUUCUUAUUUCGAGAAAUCAAAAUAUAAGGACCAGUAAGUUAGGACCCAACAUUUUGAAUCCCCGAGAAUAAGCUUUUAUUUAAAAUUUGUGAAUUUAAUGCAAAAUGAAUACUUAGCGUUCUAAAUUCAUCGAAGAAUAAUCGCAAUCCAGUAAGUUAGGACACGGUCUUUCUUGAGAAUCAUGAACGCCAAAUACUUUGAAAAUUUAUAAAAUAUGAUGAUUUCAAUGUUUUGACAAAACCAAAAUAUGUCUUCUUUAAAAGCAAGAUAAAAUGUUAAUAAACAACAUGGAACACGUACUUUAAUUUAAAUUAUAAAUAUGCAUGUAUUUACAAAAUAUAUAUACAAAUACAAUACACAAGUAAAUUUGAAAAUAUGUGCAUGCGUAUGUUUAACACACAUAUACAAGUAUACAUAUAAAAAAACAUGUAUAGCAGAACUUAUAAUAAUCUCUAAAAAUAUGUACGUAUAUUUCAUAAAACAUGUAUAUGUACAAAAAAUAGGAAAAAUACAUAUGUAUUGUAAAAUAUAUAUAUUUAUUUAUUUAUAAAAACUAUGAAAACAAAAAAAAACAAAUAUAUAAAUUAUGCACGUAUUAAAAUAUGUAUAUGUAUGUGUACAUAUAUGAAUGCAAAUAACUAGAAGAACAAACUAAUAUAUGAAAAAAAAGAUAGGUAUAAAAGUAUGUGGAUAUGUAUGCAUUUUAAAAAAAUAAAAGAAAUGUAUAAGUAUAUAUAUAUAUAUAAUGUAAAAUAUAUGAGUAAAAAAAUAAAAAAAUAAAAGACGUAUGUAAAAUGCAUGCAUUUUAAGAAUAUAUAUAUAUUAUAUAAAGAAUUAUGCAUAUAUGUACUAUAUAUAAAAAAAUCGUAUAUGAAUAUAGAAAUAGUAAUAAAUGAUAAUAAAUAAUAUAGUAAUAAUUUUAAAAAUAAAAAUUUUAAAAAACGAAUUGCAACAAAAACAAAAUAGCCAAAAAAUGAAAUUAAAAUAGAACAUGGACCAAUUUGCAACACACGCAUUAUAUGAGGGGCCCAAAUGGAAACAAUCCGCCUCCUUAAAAUGCUGCGCUGCAAUGGGGACCGAUUUGAAAUGAGGAAAAAACAUUCGGGCCAAAUUAAAAAGAGAUAACUGGCUUAAUAAAACAUGGCGCAAAGGGGAAGGACUUAUUUCGAAAUUAUCCCAUUUAAGGUUGAUAUGCGUGAACCCCCAAAUAAACAGCGCCAUCCUUGCUCUGCUCUGUUUUAAGUUUAAAAAAAACAAAUUUAGGGAAAUAUUUUGCCUUUCCCUUUGAAGCAGAAACUGCUUCUUUUAGGGUUUCCUUAACCCUUUGGCCGCCGUUCAGCCCACGGCCUUCGUCGACGGAGAAGACGCCGGCCCGUCGACUCCGAUGACCAGGUAAGUUUCUUCCUCCUUUCUUUUUAUUUUCAAUGAAAAAUAAAACAAUAAAAAAGGCUAAAAGAAAAAAAAACAAAAUGAAACUCAAAAUGCUGAGAAAAUGAAAAAACACCUUUUGUAUUCGGAAAAGAAAAUUUGUUUGUUGAUAUUAAAUCUUUUUUAUUGAUUCUUCCCAAAAAUCUCCCCUUUUUACAGAUUUAAAUCACCCUUAUAUAGCCGAAAAUUAGAGAGGAAAAUAAUCAAAAAUCGAAUCUAUAUCUUUUCUGUUAUUUCCCCUUAUUUUCCUAUUAUUUUAUUGUUUCGUGGUUGUUUAUUGUUUGUUGCAGGAGCCAACUGGAGGAGAACGUGUGGGGAAGGCGCGCAAAGGGCGGCGAUGAACGUGGCUGCUGUUGAGGAUGGCGGCUGGUGGUUUUUUCUACUUAGGGCUUCUGUUAUUUUUGUUUUUGGGCUAGGUUUAGUUUAUUGGGUUUGGGCCCAGGCAUAUUUGGGACUAUUACACACCUCAUGAAAAAUGUCAAAUAUUAUUUGAUUGGCUGGAAGGACGCGGAUUGGCAAGGACCACUUCACCCAUAUCUUCAUACUUGCUUGGUUGAUCAAUGGUUAAAAGGAGAGGACGACCCUGAAAUUCAGAAAAGAAUCGGUUCCCUUCCCCUUUCCCCUGCAAUUCCUAUUGUUUUGUUUUCUUGAUUUCCAAAUCCUUGUAGUAAUAAAUGAAAAAAAGAAGAUCCACACAGACAAUACCCUGUACAAUAUCUACUUUGCUUUUAAGCGCGUUCUAUCUUCGUCCUUAAUAACUCUUAUUUAUUCACAGUUUAAACUCUCAGAUUCUGGUUCGAUUUCAGUAUCAUCCUUAGUCCAUUUAAUUUAUUUAUUAUUUUAGAAACUCUUUUAUUAUUAUUUGUUUUAAGUUUUUUUAUUUAUCAUUUAUUGUAAACUGUUUUACAUGCUAUUUAUUUAAUUCUUUUAAUAUGUUAUUCAUUUUAAACCAUUAUAUGUACAUAAUCUUUUAAAUUCCUAUAUAUGUAUUUUUUUUAAAUGUUGUAUGUCUUUUAUUUAUUUGUUUUAAACUAUUAUUAUUCACUUUAAGUUUUUAUAUACUGUUUAUUUUGAAGCCUUUUAUUAUUUAUUUUUGAAUUGUUCUUGUAAAUUAUUUAUUUUAAAUUAUUAUUUGCUUUAAACUGUUUUGCAUAAUAUUUUGUUUUGUUUUCUUCGAUUGUUAAUGUUAGUAUUAAAAACGAUAUACAUUGUGUGAUUAUUGCCGUCAUGUGUACUAUAAUUAGCUUCUUCGUGUUUUCAUAUUAUUGUCUUUCAUCAAUGUAACAUUUUAUUCAUAAAUCGUUAUUUCAUGUUAUACAUUAUCAUUCCAUUUCAUUUCAUCACUUCGAAAGUUGCGUUCAAUUUUUAUAUACCCAUAAUAAACCGUUCUAUUUUAUCACAAAUAAAACAAAUGCACCUCGUUCAAGAAUUGUACUCGCUAUGAUUCAAAAAAAGGGAAAAGUUUUUUAAUAACGCAAUAUUUCGCGUUUUGGAGAUUCGAAAAAUUGUACCCUAACUUACGGGGUUUCAAUUUUCUCGUUAAAUCUAAAUAGCAAAAUAUCUUUUUAAAUUUCAAGAUAUACGAGAUUUCAAUAAAAAUUAAAGGCAAGCUUAUUCUCUAAGGUUCCAAAUAUCGUGUCCUAACUUACGGGACAUGACAUUUCGUUACCUCGAGACAAGUGGGUCUUUAACUCUCUUUUCAAUUUAUUCAAGCGUUUUUUUAUUAGCAUUAACAAAAAAAGGAUCGUAUUUUAAAAUAUUUUCAAAAUUUUAACUUUUGACAUUAAGACAUUAAUUAAUCAACUAGGUACCAAUUUUGGGCGUAUCGAGGGUGCUAAUCAUUCCUCGUGCGUAACCGACUCCAGAACCCAUUUUCUGGAUUUUGUAGACUAAAAAUUACCGUUUUAGUAUAUUUAAAAUUUUAUUAAAAUGAUUAAAUUAUAAGGUGAUCUGAUCACACCUAAAUAAAAAGGAUUGGUGGCGACUCCAUUUUCGUUUUUAAAUAAAAAGUUGACCCUUUUUUCAAAAAAAUGGUUUCGACAACCCUUAUGUCCGUUUUCGGAUCACAAGAAUUCUAUGAAUUAAAAAAAUAAUCCUACAUGGAGAUGAUAGUCCAUGGUCUAUUUCCUAAGAACCACAACAUUAACAAAGCAAACAAUUAGAUAACAAAUAUAUAAUAUCGCAUUCAUUCCUACAUAUAACACAAAAAUAUGUAUAAGAUCUAAAGAAUGUCACUUUCUAUGUAAUCAAAUCAUUCAAGAAGUGAAUUUUAUUUUGAUUAUCUGUUUAUACUUAUCGAUAGAGCAAAACCUGGUUCUGAUACUAAUUGUUCAAAAAUGAGUUUUUGAAAAUGCAGCAAAAAUCAAUUUAGGGAAAAGCCUAAGUUUAAAAAAAUUCUAAAAUAAGAAUUUAGUUGUGAUAUCUAAAGUAAUAAACACUUAAUAAAAAUUGUACCUUUUCGAUUCGUCUAUGAUGAAUGCUUCAUUGAGUAGUCUUUUCUAUUAUCCUCAAACUCACGUUUGCCGAGUCACAAUAACAUUAAACAAGUGCAACAACUAAACCAAUGCUGAUAGCACUUAAAGGCAAUGGUUGAAGCAAACAACAAUUGAAAAAAAAAUGAAAGAAUCGGUGUUGCAAAUUUUUAAGAUUAGCACAAUGGCCACAAGGUAAUUGACGGCUAUAAUAAAGGGUUGAUCGACAAAUGCACAGCAGGCUAAAACAACAAGAAAUUGAAGCUAAUCAGCACCCAAAUAACAGGCAACACAUUUAGAUGGCAAACAGUAGAAGGUUAAGCAACAAAAUUGAAGCAAAUUAAAUAGCAAGUCAGUAACAAAAGGAACCAGUAGCAGCUAAUUGGAAGUUGAUUGAUAAGUAUUUGGUAAAACAACGUUAUUUGACCAACAUGCAAAAUAGUACACAUGCAUACACCACUCACAAUUGAUUUGAAUCCCACACCUCAAUUACAAUCCAUAGAACAUUAACAAUUGACCGGAGCACCACUACAACUCGGAUUCGUCUCGAUUCCUUCUUAACGCUACACCGGUUUGAAGAUUUGCGUUAAUAGUCGAUCAACAAUAAUGAAUGCUCACUAACCAAGCUAAGAGGGUUCGGUCAAGGGGUGAGAAAUAAUGAUGACAAGGGCAACAAAAACUUCAAUGUGCGACUACAGGAGAAGGAGAAAUGGACAUCAAUGGAGAAUCAAAAAUGGCAGAAAAUUCUAAACAAAAUAUUGAUAUUAAAAAGGCAAGGAUUCAGCCAAAUAAAUUGGAGAAGUGAUAGGCAAAAGGGCAGCACAAAUAGAAAAUAAAACUUGUGUUUUAGGUUGCAAUAAUGGUGGAUUAUGAGAGAAAAUUGAAGAAUAAUGGAGAGGAAAAAUGAAGGGGACGACAAUAGCUUGAGAAAAAUAAAUAAAAUAGGCUAAACAUAAAAUAAAAUGCAAUUUAUACCGAGGUUAAAAAGGGCUUGGAAGGCAACAAGGUUUUGGGGAGCAAAAACAUUGAAAAAAUAAAAGUUUGCAAGGGAAGGGAAUCAAACUCAAGUCUUAAGGUCAAUUUCACUAACUCUUUACCAGUAUGCCAAUUACUUAUCCUUUUUAUAAAUGCUCAAACAAAACCUUAAAAAUUAGGGCAAGACAACUUUCAGUUCACUAACCCGAUUUCUUCCGACUCAAUUCCUUCUGACCCAAUUUUUGGGACAUGACAAAACUAUUAGUAAGUUUAUGUUUCGUUUUAGUCACUUAACUUCAAAAUGCUACAAAAUGGUCAAUAAACUAUUCAAAAGUUUUCAUUUAAGUCAUUGGUUUGUUAAGUUUUUUUUUUUUUAAGUUUGAUUAAUGAGCUCCAAGCGAUGAUUCGACGAUUGAUGUAGAGAAUCUAUACCCAUUGACGAGUGGAACAUAUCUUAGAUCCAAGCUAACCUGCCAUUUAGUGUAGGAGAUUGGAGAAAAAAAGUUGUUCGAAUUUUGGUUCACAAAUUUGUGACGUUCAAAACUGUUUCAUGAAUAUAAAUUAUGUUGUAAAAGAGAAGAGAAAUGUAAGCUUUUAAUUGAUACAAACGGUGCAAACAAAGGUCAUAUAGUAACAAUUUUAAAAGCCUGAUGACUUAAAUGAAAAUUUUUGUAUAAUUCAGUAAUCAUUUUAUAAUUUUUUAAAAUUAACUAAAACAUAAACUUAUUAAUAAUUUAAUAACCUCAAUUGCCAUUUACCCAUAAAACUAUUGAGACCAUUCUAAAAAGUGAUGCAUUAAUUAUAUCUUUUAUCUUUUAUAUAUUGUUUCGAUUAAUACCUAAAUUAUUUGUACGAGAAAAAAAUCAAAAUGAAAUGCAACAUGUUCUGAACUUUUAUUAAAGCUCAUCUUUUUGUUGAAGAUACCCCAAUCCAUGAUUUCAACAUUGGAAUUUUUGAAAGUCCCUAGUAAUAGUAUGAAUUAUGAAAUUUCAAAAAACCAUAUUCUUAUUUAUUGUUAAUUUCAAGCUAAUUUUAAUAGCUAUACUUACAUCUGUCUUUAGAAUUUGCAAAACAAAUAGAAAGUUCACUUUAAAUGUAUAAAAAUGAAUAAACAAAACUCACCUUCAUUUCUGAUAGCAAAUAAGAAAUAUGAAAAAAAAAAACAAAAAAAGAAAUACAUAUUUUCUUUGAAGACGCUUCAAAUGAAACAAAUAUGAAAAACAUAGUUGUAGGAGUGUUUAAUUGCUUAAUCGAUCCGUUAACCAAAUCGAAUUAGUAUUAACUGAAUUAGUAUUAACUAAAUCGAAAUUAUCAUGAAAAAAUUCAAACUUAUAAAUCCCUAUCCCGAAAAAAAAAACUGAAGCAUCCAGAAAAUACAUCAAGCAUUGAACUAAAAAAGAACAUAUCACUAUUCAUAGUUGUAGAGGAGGAUUAGACACUGCUGCUAGUCAUGGGUGAAGAAAUAUGCCAACCAAAGACAUAUUGUUGUGUCUGGCGGGGUUAUUCUACCUAUACCAAAAACAUGUUAUUUCAGCAUUACAAUGAAAAUUUUGAUACAGUGACAAUUAAAUGAAAUAAAUUUUAUCAUGUUACGAAUAAAAAUUCAUAAGAGGAAUUUCUAUUGCAUUCUAUAUUUUUCAUAAUCUUUACAGGUAGUAUACUCUACUAUAUAUAGAAAGAUUAGACUCUUCAUAUUCUAAGACAUAAAUAAGAAAAAGGGGUUAUAAAGAGAUGAAAGUUUAAAGAUUAAAGAAAAUGAAAGAUUAAGGUCAAGAGAGAUGAAAGGUGAAAGGUUGAACAUCCACUUAAUAAUAUUAAUAAUAAAUAUUUUAAAUGUAACAAAAAUCAUAAAAAUAAUAGAAACACCGCUCCAAAUGAACCAAUUCUACUCAAGCAAUUACUGAAACUUAAAGGAAAACGUGAGAGCAUAGAUUAAUUAUUUUUUAAUAAGUUAAUUUCACCAAAUAUUUUAAAUUAUUACCCGCAUUCUAAAUUAAUUCACUUUUGAAAUAUUGUGAUUAAUUGCUCACUUUCGAAAUUAGUAGGGAUUAAAUUGUUUCGAUUUUUUAGAGGGACCAAUUUGCUGAAUAUCAAAAUUGAGAGGGACUAGAGAGGUUGUUUUACCUAGUUUAAUAAUUAAAUGACAUGUUAAAUCUUAUGUGACAUAAUUUAAAAUGAAAAUUUAAAAAAAAAUUGUAGAAAUAGUUGUUUUAAAAAUCUUGGUUUUGAAGUUUUUACAAAAAUUUUAUUGUUCAUUUUUUAAAAUUUUCAGUUUUAUUUAAUUUUAGUUUGUUUAAAAUUUUCAUUUUAAAAUUAGCUAUAUAAAAUUUAACAUGUCAUUUAAUAAUUUUAAUAAUAAAAUGAUCUGAUUAAUAUAACAUCAAUAAUUUAGAAAUGUAAUUAGAUCAGCUUGAAGUUUGAAAAUAGAUUUAAAAUAAUGGUCAAACUUUAGGGGUGGUUGAUGAAUUAACUCAUUUCUAAUGGAGCUAAUAAUUAAGACUGCUAUAGGACAAAGUGAGAAAGUGGAAAGCAGAGUGAAAAUAUGACCCAAAGACUCACCUUUUUCUAAGUCGUCUCCUAUCAUAAUUGCAUAAUAAAUGGAUGGGGCCAUUACCAACAUCAAUAAUUUAGAUCCCGAUUUUGUAUAAAAUUAUUAAAAAAAACUCACAAUUAUUCAUAAAUAGAAAAAUGUAUAUAAAAAUUCUAGAAAAAUAAAAUCUUGAACACGUUGUUUCCUAACUAAAUUGUAUGAGAAAUAAAGAAAAUUAUCAUUCAAUAACAUUCGAUAACAAAUUAAAAUCAAAACAAAACAAAACAAAAAAACGUUAGAUUAUUAUAUGUUUCCUGAAUAUUUCUCGAAACUAAAUUAGUAGUAUUAUCAAGUUGAGUUUCAUGCCCUUGAAGAACAUCUAAAACUGAUAUUACAAUUACUUAUGAAAUUGACCUUGAUGCCAUAUUUUUAGUUAAAAGAGUACAAAAUAUACCAUCAUUUUUCUUUUUCAAACUCAAUUCAAAAUUUCAUUACAUUUUAAUUUUUUUUUCAAAACCCAAAUUGUAAAAUGAAAAUAUAUUCAGAAAUUUAUCUUUUCUUAUAAUGUAAAAGCUAUGUCAAGUAAUUGAUGAGGUAAAAAAGCAUAGAACAAAUAAAUUUGCUUCAUAGUUUUUUCUAUGUUUGUUUUUAAAAUAAUGAGUAUUGAAUAUUUCAAUAUAGAUAACAUAGAGAAAUUUUGUAGGGUUUAAAAAUAAUUAUCCCCUAAUUUUCUCACUUUAUUUAUUUUUAAAAUUUUUAUUUUACUUUUAUUUAUUUUUUAAUUUUAUAAUGUUCUAAAAUUUUAAAAAUAAUUUCAACUUUUUAUCAUUUUAUAUAUUAUCAAAACAAAAUUCACCGAAAAAUUUUAGGACUAAAAUUUUUAUUAAAUCAUUUAAAAAGUUUCACUUAACAGUUGAGUGACAAAAAAAUAAUAAUUUCAAAAAAAUUAGUGGUGAAAUUGUAGUGAUUAAAACAAAAAUUAGCAAUAGCUUAGUGGCUAAUAGACCUGUCCAUGGGCCGGGCGGCCCGCCCAAAAUAUGGGAGGGUUUGGGUAAAAAUAUAGGCCCGAAAUAUGGGCUUGGGAAAAAUUUUAGGCCCGUUUAAAAAAUGGGCCGGGCCUCGGGUAAGAUUUUUUGGGCCCGGGCCCGGCCCGAAAAAUAUUAAAUAUAUAUUUUUUAUUUUUAAAAUAUAAUAGUUUUUUAUUUUAAGUUUAUUUACUUUCAUUUCCUUAACUAGUGUUACAAAAUAAUAAUAAUAAAACAUCAAGUUUGUUUUACUAAUCAAAUGUUAGAUUUUGUUACAACAAUUAAUACAAUUAAUACAAUUAAUAAUUUGAUAAAUUUAGUAAUCAAAUGUUAGAUUUUAUUACAACAAUUAAUACAAUUAAUACAAUUAAUAUUUUGAUAAAUUUACUAAUCAAAUGUUAGAUUUUAUUACAACAAUUAAUACAAUUAACAAUUAAUAAUUUGAUAAUUUUACUAACAAUUAAUUUUAAUAACAAUUAGUUUUAAUUUUAUUAAAAAAAUAAUUUUAAUUUUAAUUUUAAUUAAAAACGGGCCGGGCCGGGCCGGGCUCGGGCCCCAUAUUUUUUCUUCGGGCCGGGCCUGGGCAAAAUCUCAGGCCCAUAUUUCGGGCCGGGCCCGGGCCUAGUAAACGGGCUGAAAUUUUUUGUGGGCCCAGCCCGAACCCAGCCCGGCCCGGCCCAUGGACAGGUCUAGUGGCUAAUAAUGUAACUUUUUUUUGGUACAAUGAUAAUUCGAAAUUUGGCUAUUCCUAAAAAAGGUGAACAUCCAAUCAUAUUUAUUCACAUAUUACAAACAUCCAUAUGUAACCAAUUCUCCCAAAUUAAAAUCAAAUUUUAAUAUCAACAACUUUAACAACUCAUAAAUAGGAAGAUAAUAUGUUUCGGUACACUUGAAACCACAUCCUUCUACAUUAACAACAAUUACUAUGACAAUGAAGCUAAGACUCAAUUCAUAAUACCAAUAUAUUUUUGUUAUACCUAAUAAAGUUAUUUACCAGUAUAUUAGACAGUCUUAUACCCUAGUUUCCCAUACUUUCCCCUUAUUAUCGUGAUGAUGAUGAUGAUGAUGUUACAAUUGAGCACCAAGAUCACUGUAAUACUUGUUUUAAUUGGUAUAAUAAUAAUAAUUUAUUCCUAUUUUUUUUAUAUAUUUUCUAUCAAUUUGACUCUGAUUUUGUAUAAAAUUAUUAAAAAAAACUCAAAAUUUUAAAAAUAAAAAAAUGUUUAUAAAAAUUCUAGAAAAAUAAAAUCUUGAAUAUGUUGUUGAAUAACUAAAUUGUACGAGAAAUAAAGCAAAUUACCAUUCAAUAAAAUAUGAUAACAAAUUAAAAACAGAACAAAACCAAAAAAAGCUUCCUCAAUGUUUCUCGAAACCAAAUUAGUAAUAUUAUCAAGUUGAGUUUCAUGCCCUUGAAGAACAUCUAGAACUCAUAUUACCAAGGCUUAUGAAAUUGAUCCUAAUGCCAUUUUUUUAGUCAAGAUAUAUAACAAAAUUUCCUUUUUCAAACUUAAUUCAAUUUUUCAUUGCAUUUAAAUUAUUUUUCAAAACUCAAAUUAUAAAAUUAAAUUAUAUUUAGAGAACAAAUUUAUAAUGUAAAAACUAUGUCAAGGAACAGAGAACAAAUAAUUUUACUUAAUGUUUUUUCUACGUUUUUUACUAAAGAAUUUGUAUUGGAUAUUUCGAUACAAAUAAUAUAGAGAAAUUUUGUAGUGCCCAAAAACAAUUCUCUCUCAUUUUCUCACUUUAUUUAUUUUUGAAAUUUUUAUCUACUUUUAUUUAAUUUUUUAUUUUAUAAUGUUCUAAAAUUUUAAAAAUAAUUUUAAUUUUUUACCAUUUUAUAUAUUUUCAAAUUCAAAUUGACUGAAAGUAUAAAAUUUGAGGAUUAAAAUUGUUAUUAUAUCAAUUAAAAAAGUGUCACUUAACAUUUGAGUGACAAAAAAAAAACAAUUUCAAAAACAUUAGUGAUGAAAUUGUAACCUUUUUAAUUAAGUGACCAAAAAAAAAAUACCCAUAGUUUAGUGACUAAUAGUGUAGNNNNNNNNNNNNNNNNNNNNNNNNNNNNNNNNNNNNNNNNNNNNNNNNNNNNNNNNNNNNNNNNNNNNNNNNNNNNNNNNNNNNNNNNNNNNNNNNNNNNAAAACUCAAAAUUAUUUAUAAAAUAGAAAAAUGUAUAUUAUUCAACAUAGGGAUUCUUUACCCAAAUCAUAUAAAAAUAAUUAAUUAUGAAAAUGGUAUGGAAAAUAAAUUAAUUACAAAAAUAAGGCAUUUGGUACAAUGUUCUGCUGGUGUCGCCUAACAUAUUGGUAGCACCAGAUUAAAAUGUGAUGAUCUAAAAUAUUCAAAGACUUGAUAUGUAAAUUUCUCAUUUUGAUUGACUGUUGAAAAUAAGCUAUAAGAGUGAUGUGUGAUAGUGUCGCGGCACAAAAUCUUAAAUAAGAUUAAUUUCCUUGUAAACCCUCAUUAUUUAUUAUUUUAUUGUUAUUCUCCUUCAACACCAAAAUCAGAAAGGUUUCUUACCAAUUAAUCUAGGUCAAAUUAUAUUGGCAUAAAAGUUAACACUAUUGAUAGUAAUUUUCUUUGGCUCAUAUUAUAUCUAAGAAACUAUAAAUUUAACUAAUAAUUAUAAUUUAUAUAUAGUAAAUAUUNNNNNNNNNNNNNNNNNNNNNNNNNNNNNNNNNNNNNNNNNNNNNNNNNNNNNNNNNNNNNNNNNNNNNNNNNNNNNNNNNNNNNNNNNNNNNNNNNNNNNNNNNNNNNNNNNNNNNNNNNNNNNNNNNNNNNNNNNNNNNNNNNNNNNNNNNNNNNNNNNNNNNNNNNNNNNNNNNNNNNNNNNNNNNNNNNNNNNNNNNNNNNNNNNNNNNNNNNNNNNNNNNNNNNNNNNNNNNNNNNNNNNNNNNNNNNNNNNNNNNNNNNNNNNNNNNNNNNNNNNNNNNNNNNNNNNNNNNNNNNNNNNNNNNNNNNNNNNNNNNNNNNNNNNNNNNNNNNNNNNNNNNNNNNNNNNNNNNNNNNNNNNNNNNNNNNNNNNNNNNNNNNNNNNNNNNNNNNNNNNNNNNNNNNNNNNNNNNNNNNNNNNNNNNNNNNNNNNNNNNNNNNNNNNNNNNNNNNNNNNNNNNNNNNNNNNNNNNNNNNNNNNNNNNNNNNNNNNNNNNNNNNNNNNNNNNNNNNNNNNNNNNNNNNNNNNNNNNNNNNNNNNNNNNNNNNNNNNNNNNNNNNNNNNNNNNNNNNNNNNNNNNNNNNNNNNNNNNNNNNNNNNNNNNNNNNNNNNNNNNNNNNNNNNNNNNNNNNNNNNNNNNNNNNNNNNNNNNNNNNNNNNNNNNNNNNUUUCAUCAUGUUUCUGUCUGCCACCCAUCCAUAGCUCCAUCUAAUAAACGCCAUUGCUUGAAACUUGCAUUCAUGUUUCCUUUUCAUGGUUACACAGACAUAUCAAUACUUCAUCCAAUACAUUCAAAGAUUUUCAUUAUCUGCUACUGUUAUAUAUGAUUGCAUUGCAGGGACAUAGCAAUGGAGUACGUAGAGCCUGUUGCUGCCAUUGCAAAUUGUCUCGGAAGUCCUGUUUGUAAAUAUUUGCAAUAUCACAGAAAGCUGAACGAUUAUGUGAGAAACUUCAAGAGGAUCAGAGAUAAAUUGAAUUGCAAAAUGGAAGAUAUAGAGCUGCAAUUGAAAGCAGAGCUUCUUCGUCCUCUGGGGAAGAUACCGAAGAAGGGAGUUGAAAAUUGGUUGAAAGAUGUGAAAGAGAUGAUUAGGGAAACACAAGUUGUUGAAAACAAAGUCAGUAAUGGGAGAUAUCUCUGUCGUGCUUGCAACGGGAAGCUGGUUGAUAAAAAGUCUCGACAAAUGCAGGAAUAUCUUGAUAAAACUCCUAAAGCCUCUGAAGGUCUUGCCGUGGAUGGUCCAAGUUCUGGGUUGCCACUGGAAACAUCAGAACUAGUUGGAGAGGAAGCUGUCAGAAAAGAGAUUUGGGCAUGUUUGAUGCAGGAGGAGGUAAGCAAGAUUGGGGUUUGGGGGAUGGGCGGCGUGGGUAAAUCGACCAUCAUGAAGCACAUCCACAAUGAUCUUUUGAAAGAACAACGAUUUGAAAGGGUGGUUUGGGUUACUAUAUCAAAGGAGUUUAAUAUUGUGAAGUUACAAAAUGAUAUUGCAAGUGCAUNNNNNNNNNNNNNNNNNNNNNNNNNNNNNNNNNNNNNNNNNNNNNNNNNNNNNNNNNNNNNNNNNNNNNNNNNNNNNNNNNNNNNNNNNNNNNNNNNNNNNNNNNNNNNNNNNNNNNNNNNNNNNNNNNNNNNNNNNNNNNNNNNNNNNNNNNNNNNNNNNNNNNNNNNNNNNNNNNNNNNNNNNNNNNNNNNNNNNNNNNNNNNNNNNNNNNNNNNNNNNNNNNNNNNNNNNNNNNNNNNNNNNNNNNNNNNNNNNNNNNNNNNNNNNNNNNNNNNNNNNNNNNNNNNNNNNNNNNNNNNNNNNNNNNNNNNNNNNNNNNNNNNNNNNNNNNNNNNNNNNNNNNNNNNNNNNNNNNNNNNNNNNNNNNNNNNNNNNNNNNNNNNNNNNNNNNNNNNNNNNNNNNNNNNNNNNNNNNNNNNNNNNNNNNNNNNNNNNNNNNNNNNNNNNNNNNNNNNNNNNNNNNNNNNNNNNNNNNNNNNNNNNNNNNNNNNNNNNNNNNNNNNNNNNNNNNNNNNNNNNNNNNNNNNNNNNNNNNNNNNNNNNNNNNNNNNNNNNNNNNNNNNNNNNNNNNNNNNNNNNNNNNNNNNNNNNNNNNNNNNNNNNNNNNNNNNNNNNNNNNNNNNNNNNNNNNNNNNNNNNNNNNNNNNNNNNNNNNNNNNNNNNNNNNNNNNNNNNNNNNNNNNNNNNNNNNNNNNNNNNNNNNNNNNNNNNNNNNNNNNNNNNNNNNNNNNNNNNNNNNNNNNNNNNNNNNNNNNNNNNNNNNNNNNNNNNNNNNNNNNNNNNNNNNNNNNNNNNNNNNNNNNNNNNNNNNNNNNNNNNNNNNNNNNNNNNNNNNNNNNNNNNNNNNNNNNNNNNNNNNNNNNNNNNNNNNNNNNNNNNNNNNNNNNNNNNNNNNNNNNNNNNNNNNNNACCAUAAUUUCAUCAUGUUUCUGUCUGCCACCCAUCCAUAGCUCCAUCUAAUAAACGCCAUUGCUUGAAACUUGCAUUCAUGUUUCCUUUUCAUGCUUACACUCACAUAUCAAUACUUCAUCCAAUACAUUCACAAAUUUUCAUUGAUUUUAUUUGUUUUUUUUUUGUUUUUUUUAUUUUUAUUUUACUUUUUUUCCAUUUAUUAUCUUUUGAAUUAUAUUUUUAUUUUUAUGAUUAUUUCUAGUUGAGUUGUAACAUUUUAACCUUCUUCACUAUUUGUGUUUAUUUUCUUAUUAGUUUGGUCAAAACCAUGCAUUCCAUUUUCAAUUGCCUACAAUUCCGAUUUUCACUAUUAUGGUAAUUUCAUACAUAUUUAGGAUAGUUUCAAUUUUCUCCCUCUCUUAUGAUAUUUUAUCUUUUUAAUUAACCCUUAGUAAAUCCCAUUGAGCCUAACACACCAUUACUUGAUUUACCUAUUAAUGUUAACUUAUAACUCAUUUUUUCGUUGAGACUUUUUUCCGUUUUAUUCACUCCCUUUUUGUCGAGAUUUGAUUUGGUUAGUUUCUUAGCUAUGCUCUUUUGGUUGAUUUACUAAAUUAUUUCUUAUUGUUCUUGUAAAAAAAAGAUUGAAAAGAAAAAAAUAUAUUUAUUAUUAAUUAGUUUUAUUUGUUGAUUGAGAAUAAUUAAAUUCAUAUUUUGAGAAUAAGUUGGUUUUUGUUCAUGAAUAGUUUAAAUUACAUUGGUAAAAAACAAAACUUGCUUGUACAAGUGUCCAAGCUGUUAAAUCAGCUUAAUGACAACCUAAAUGACUACUAAAAACAGCUAAGUACAUCAUUAAACCUUAGCUGAACAAAAAAUGAAUACAAACAACUUGUAAAAGAGAGAGUCAACUAAUACAAAAGCUUUUCAAUCGAGUUACACCUUGGACAUUAGCAUGCAGCUACUGUAAUGUUUGGUUACUUGCAUGCUGCAGUUGUGUUGCUUGGUUUCUUGCAUGCUGCUGCUGUGUUGCCACCUUUUAACAGUAAUGAACUGUUGCACACUUGAAUUUAGCAUUUUAUAUACACCGAGAGCCUAAUUCUGGUGACCAGAAUUUCAUGAUCAUGUUUCUGUCUGCCACCCAUCCAUAGCUCCAUCUAAUAAACGCCAUUGCUUGAAACUUGCAUUCAUGUUUCCUUUUCAUGGUUACACAGACAUAUCAAUACUUCAUCCAAUACAUUCAAAGAUUUUCAUUAUCUGCUACUGUUAUAUAUGAUUGCAUUGCAGGGACAUAGCAAUGGAGUACGUAGAGCCUGUUGCUGCCAUUGCAAAUUGUCUCGGAAGUCCUGUUUGUAAAUAUUUGCAAUAUCACAGAAAGCUGAACGAUUAUGUGAGAAACUUCAAGAGGAUCAGAGAUAAAUUGAAUUGCAAAAUGGAAGAUAUAGAGCUGCAAUUGAAAGCAGAGCUUCUUCGUCCUCUGGGGAAGAUACCGAAGAAGGGAGUUGAAAAUUGGUUGAAAGAUNNNNNNNNNNNNNNNNNNNNNNNNNNNNNNNNNNNNNNNNNNNNNNNNNNNNNNNNNNNNNNNNNNNNNNNNNNNNNNNNNNNNNNNNNNNNNNNNNNNNUCCUAAUGCCAUUUUUUUAGUCAAGAUAUAUAACAAAAUUUCCUUUUUCAAACUUAAUUCAAUUUUUCAUUGCAUUUAAAUUAUUUUUCAAAACUCAAAUUAUAAAAUUAAAUUAUAUUUAGAGAACAAAUUUAUAAUGUAAAAACUAUGUCAAGGAACAGAGAACAAAUAAUUUUACUUAAUGUUUUUUCUACGUUUUUUACUAAAGAAUUUGUAUUGGAUAUUUCGAUACAAAUAAUAUAGAGAAAUUUUGUAGUGCCCAAAAACAAUUCUCUCUCAUUUUCUCACUUUAUUUAUUUUUGAAAUUUUUAUCUACUUUUAUUUAAUUUUUUAUUUUAUAAUGUUCUAAAAUUUUAAAAAUAAUUUUAAUUUUUUACCAUUUUAUAUAUUUUCAAAUUCAAAUUGACUGAAAGUAUAAAAUUUGAGGAUUAAAAUUGUUAUUAUAUCAAUUAAAAAAGUGUCACUUAACAUUUGAGUGACAAAAAAAAAACAAUUUCAAAAACAUUAGUGAUGAAAUUGUAACCUUUUUAAUUAAGUGACCAAAAAAAAAAUACCCAUAGUUUAGUGACUAAUAGUGUAGCCUUUUUUUGGUAAAAUGAAAAUUUGACCCUGAUUUUGUAUUAAAAAAACUCAAAAUUAUUUAUAAAAUAGAAAAAUGUAUAUUAUUCAACAUAGGGAUUCUUUACCCAAAUCAUAUAAAAAUAAUUAAUUAUGAAAAUGGUAUGGAAAAUAAAUUAAUUACAAAAAUAAGGCAUUUGGUACAAUGUUCUGCUGGUGUCGCCUAACAUAUUGGUAGCACCAGAUUAAAAUGUGAUGAUCUAAAAUAUUCAAAGACUUGAUAUGUAAAUUUCUCAUUUUGAUUGACUGUUGAAAAUAAGCUAUAAGAGUGAUGUGUGAUAGUGUCGCGGCACAAAAUCUUAAAUAAGAUUAAUUUCCUUGUAAACCCUCAUUAUUUAUUAUUUUAUUGUUAUUCUCCUUCAACACCAAAAUCAGAAAGGUUUCUUACCAAUUAAUCUAGGUCAAAUUAUAUUGGCAUAAAAGUUAACACUAUUGAUAGUAAUUUUCUUUGGCUCAUAUUAUAUCUAAGAAACUAUAAAUUUAACUAAUAAUUAUAAUUUAUAUAUAGUAAAUAUUUUUUAAAGUUUUUAUAAUUAUAAUUUUAUAUGGUGCCCUUAAAUUAAAUUGAUAAUAAGAAUAUGUGUAAUGGCAAAUAGCAAAGAAAAAAGCUAAAAGAAAAAGUAAUAAAAAUAGGAUUUCAUCCUAAUAAUUCUGCCUUUGUACGGAUCCUACCAGAGGCUUCAUAAUUUGCCUGUUUUUGUUGGAUCUUUCAGCAAGCAAAAAAAAGCAAAACCAAAAUGGAAGCAAAAGAAAACUAAAAAUGAAAAAAACUUCAAAAAAUUGUAACUGAAAAGUCAUUAUAAUUUCAUUCAAAUUUUGAAUAUAUGAGGGUUACAAACAAUUUGACAGUUACCUACUGAUUUUAACUGCUCCUACUUAAUACUUACUAAAAAUAUAGCAACUUGUAUACAAAAGAAAGUUGGCAUACCAGCUAUUACAUCAAUCAAUCUUUCCUACUAACUUAGCUAACACAUUACAAAGAUUUGGACUAAGUUCUGUAAGAACAAAAUAUUCAAAACAUAACUCUAUAACAGAACCAACUCAAUUUCUUUACUUCAAAACAGUAUGGCAGCUCAAUUGUCCAAUUUGCUACUACUGGUCUUUGAUCAGUUUGCUGCUGUUGGUUCUCUGUUGCACUGCAGGCCACGGUUUCAACACUCCUCCUUGGACUGUAUGCAACAGACACCAAUCUUUUCUUUCAAGGCAUUAAAUCGGUUAGCUCCCAAUGGUUUAGUUAAAAUGUCAGCUAACUGAAUCUCUGAACUACAAUGAACUAAGCUAACCUCCCUCAAUUGCUCAACUUCUCUAACAAAAUGGAAUUUGAUUUUGAAGUGUUUAGUCUUACCAUGGAAGACUGGAUUCUUGGCUAUGGCCACAGCUGAUUGAUUAUCCACACUAAUCUCAGUAGGCUGAGUUUGAUUUUCAUUCAAAUCAUCCAAAAUCUUCCUAAGCCAAAUGGCUUGAUUUACUGCUGCUGCAGCUGAGAUAUACUCAGCCUCUGCUGUAGACUGUGCAACAGUUUGUUGCUUCUUUGAACUCCAGUUGAAAACACUCGAGCCUAAAGUAAAGAAGUAACCUGAAGUGCUCCUCAUGUCAUCAACUGACCCUGCCCAAUCGCUAUCAGAAUAGCCUGCAAGUUUCAGCUCCUUUGUCCUCCAAAACUUUACACCAGCAUCGAUGGUUCCUUUGACAUACCUUAACACUCUUUUUGCUGCCUUCAGAUGUGCCACAUUACUGCAGUGCAUAAAUCUUGAAAGUAGACUAACAACAUAGACAAUGUCUGGUCUAGUUGCUGUUAAAUAAAGCAAGCAGCCAAUUAAGCUUCUAUAUGCUUUCUCAUCUACUCGAUCAUGCUCACUUGUACUUGACAAUUUUUCCCCCAAUGCAAUUGGUGUAGUGACUGAUUUGUAUAUAAAAUUUGACCCUGAUUUUGUAUUAAAAAAACCCAAAAUUAUUUAUAAAAUAGAAAAAUGUAUAUUAUUCAACAUAGGGAUUCUUUACCCAAAUCAUAUAAAAAAUAAUUAAUUAUGAAAAUGGUAUGGAAAAUAAAUUAAUUACAAAAAAAGGCAUUUGGUACAAUGUUCUGCUAGUGUCGCCUAACAUAUUGGUAGCACCAGAUUAAAAUGUGAUGACCUAAAAUAUUCAAAGACUUGAUAUGUAAAUUUCUCAUUUUGAUUGGCUGUUGAAAUUAAGCUAUAAGAGUGAUGUGUGAUAGUGCAGCGGCACAAAAUCUUAAAUAGGAUUAAUUUCUUUGUAAACCCUCAUUAUUUAUUAUUUUAUUGUUAUUCUCCUUCAACACCAAAAUCAAAAAGGUUUCUUACCAAUUAAUCUAGGUCAAAUUAUGUCUGGCAUAAAAGUUAACACUAUUGAUAGUAAUUUUCUUUGGCUCAUAUUAUAUCUAAGAAACUAUAAAUUUAACUAAUAAUUAUAAUUUAUAUAUAGUAAAUAUUUUUUAAAGUUUUUCUAAUUAUAAUUUUAUAUGGUGCCCUUAAAUUAAAUUGAUAAUAAGAAUAUGUGUAAUGGCAGACAGCAAAGAAAAAAGCUAAAAGAAAAAGUAAUAAAAAUAGGAUUUCAUGCUAAUAAUUCUGCCUUUGUACGGAUCCUACCAGAGACUUCAUAAUUUGCCUGUUUUUAUCUUCACUUUCUUCUUAUUUCUUCUUCNNNNNNNNNNNNNNNNNNNNNNNNNNNNNNNNNNNNNNNNNNNNNNNNNNNNNNNNNNNNNNNNNNNNNNNNNNNNNNNNNNNNNNNNNNNNNNNNNNNNNNNNNNNNNNNNNNNNNNNNNNNNNNNNNNNNNNNNNNNNNNNNNNNNNNNNNNNNNNNNNNNNNNNNNNNNNNNNNNNNNNNNNNNNNNNNNNNNNNNNNNNNNNNNNNNNNNNNNNNNNNNNNNNNNNNNNNNNNNNNNNNNNNNNNNNNNNNNNNNNNNNNNNNNNNNNNNNNNNNNNNNNNNNNNNNNNNNNNNNNNNNNNNNNNNNNNNNNNNNNNNNNNNNNNNNNNNNNNNNNNNNNNNNNNNNNNNNNNNNNNNNNNNNNNNNNNNNNNNNNNNNNNNNNNNNNNNNNNNNNNNNNNNNNNNNNNNNNNNNNNNNNNNNNNNNNNNNNNNNNNNNNNNNNNNNNNNNNNNNNNNNNNNNNNNNNNNNNNNNNNNNNNNNNNNNNNNNNNNNNNNNNNNNNNNNNNNNNNNNNNNNNNNNNNNNNNNNNNNNNNNNNNNNNNNNNNNNNNNNNNNNNNNNNNNNNNNNNNNNNNNNNNNNNNNNNNNNNNNNNNNNNNNNNNNNNNNNNNNNNNNNNNNNNNNNNNNNNNNNNNNNNNNNNNNNNNNNNNNNNNNNNNNNNNNNNNNNNNNNNNNNNNNNNNNNNNNNNNNNNNNNNNNNNNNNNNNNNNNNNNNNNNNNNNNNNNNNNNNNNNNNNNNNNNNNNNNNNNNNNNNNNNNNNNNNNNNNNNNNNNNNNNNNNNNNNNNNNNNNNNNNNNNNNNNNNNNNNNNNNNNNNNNNNNNNNNNNNNNNNNNNNNNNNNNNNNNNNNNNNNNNNNNNNNNNNNNNNNNNNNNNNNNNNNNNNNNNNNNNNNNNNNNNNNNNNNNNNNNNNNNNNNNNNNNNNNNNNNNNNNNNNNNNNNNNNNNNNNNNNNNNNNNNNNNNNNNNNNNNNNNNNNNNNNNNNNNNNNNNNNNNNNNNNNNNNNNNNNNNNNNNNNNNNNNNNNNNNNNNNNNNNNNNNNNNNNNNNNNNNNNNNNNNNNNNNNNNNNNNNNNNNNNNNNNNNNNNNNNNNNNNNNNNNNNNNNNNNNNNNNNNNNNNNNNNNNNNNNNNNNNNNNNNNNNNNNNNNNNNNNNNNNNNNNNNNNNNNNNNNNNNNNNNNNNNNNNNNNNNNNNNNNNNNNNNNNNNNNNNNNNNNNNNNNNNNNNNNNNNNNNNNNNNNNNNNNNNNNNNNNNNNNNNNNNNNNNNNNNNNNNNNNNNNNNNNNNNNNNNNNNNNNNNNNNNNNNNNNNNNNNNNNNNNNNNNNNNNNNNNNNNNNNNNNNNNNNNNNNNNNNNNNNNNNNNNNNNNNNNNNNNNNNNNNNNNNNNNNNNNNNNNNNNNNNNNNNNNNNNNNNNNNNNNNNNNNNNNNNNNNNNNNNNNNNNNNNNNNNNNNNNNNNNNNNNNNNNNNNNNNNNNNNNNNNNNNNNNNNNNNNNNNNNNNNNNNNNNNNNNNNNNNNNNNNNNNNNNNNNNNNNNNNNNNNNNNNNNNNNNNNNNNNNNNNNNNNNNNNNNNNNNNNNNNNNNNNNNNNNNNNNNNNNNNNNNNNNNNNNNNNNNNNNNNNNNNNNNNNNNNNNNNNNNNNNNNNNNNNNNNNNNNNNNNNNNNNNNNNNNNNNNNNNNNNNNNNNNNNNNNNNNNNNNNNNNNNNNNNNNNNNNNNNNNNNNNNNNNNNNNNNNNNNNNNNNNNNNNNNNNNNNNNNNNNNNNNNNNNNNNNNNNNNNNNNNNNNNNNNNNNNNNNNNNNNNNNNNNNNNNNNNNNNNNNNNNNNNNNNNNNNNNNNNNNNNNNNNNNNNNNNNNNNNNNNNNNNNNNNNNNNNNNNNNNNNNNNNNNNNNNNNNNNNNNNNNNNNNNNNNNNNNNNNNNNNNNNNNNNNNNNNNNNNNNNNNNNNNNNNNNNNNNNNNNNNNNNNNNNNNNNNNNNNNNNNNNNNNNNNNNNNNNNNNNNNNNNNNNNNNNNNNNNNNNNNNNNNNNNNNNNNNNNNNNNNNNNNNNNNNNNNNNNNNNNNNNNNNNNNNNNNNNNNNNNNNNNNNNNNNNNNNNNNNNNNNNNNNNNNNNNNNNNNNNNNNNNNNNNNNNNNNNNNNNNNNNNNNNNNNNNNNNNNNNNNNNNNNNNNNNNNNNNNNNNNNNNNNNNNNNNNNNNNNNNNNNNNNNNNNNNNNNNNNNNNNNNNNNNNNNNNNNNNNNNNNNNNNNNNNNNNNNNNNNNNNNNNNNNNNNNNNNNNNNNNNNNNNNNNNNNNNNNNNNNNNNNNNNNNNNNNNNNNNNNNNNNNNNNNNNNNNNNNNNNNNNNNNNNNNNNNNNNNNNNACAACAUUGUUGUUUUGUGGCUGUCGAGGAUUAAGAGAUCUGCCAAGUCUUUCGAUGCUUCAAGAAUUGAAGAAGUUGGAUCUAAGUCGGACUAAAAUUGAGGAAGUCCCUGAAGGAAUGGAUAUGCUGAUAAUGCUAAGAUAUCUUGAUCUUAGAGUGCGCACUCUGAAAGAGAUACCCGCUGGACUUAUAUCAAAACUCGUUCACCUUCAGCACUUGAGUUUUGAUGUGGACAGUGAAAAAACAAGUCUAAAAGCAGAGGAGAUGGAACCAUUGAAGAAGUUGGAGUACUUUACCGGACGUUUCGAAGACAUCAGUGAAUUCAAUAAGUUCAUCUCCUCAAUGCAACAAAGUAAAAAAAAUCUCAUCAACUACCAUUUACAGGUGGGCUCAGAUGAUGCGGGUGGUGCAAGAGAUAAAAGAGAUAAAAGAGUAACAAUUGCAGGAGUCCAGAAUUGGGAAGGUGAGUUAAUUAUGCACCCAAUUGAAAUUCAAGAGUUGUAUAUUUUAAAGUGCGACUAUUUGAGAAGCUUAGUCAAUGACAAUUCUUCCUUCAAAAAUGCGAUUGACUUGAGGGAUUGUAGGAUUCGGGGGUGUGAAGGGAUAGAGUGUGUUGUUUCCCUGUCCUUUUCUGCCUCUUCUUCCGCUCAUCCAUUUCAGAGCCUCCAGGUGUUGGAUCUUCAAUUUCUGCCAAAGUUGAGUGCCCUUAUUAUGAAAGAUGAAGGAAUUGGUUCAGCAACAACAUCAACAUUGGUUCCGUCUGCCACCUUUUCCCAUCUUAAGGAAAUUACGAUAUACAGCUGCUCAAGUAUGAAGACGUUGCUUCCACAUUGGUUGCUUCCAAACCUCCAAAACUUGGAAAAAAUACGCGUGGAGUAUUGUAGUCAGCUAGUAGAAAUAUUGGGAGCAGCAACAUCAGAAGUUGAAGAAAAAGGGAGUGAUGCAUUAAUCAAAUUCCAUCUUCCCAAAUUGAGGUAGUUGUUAUUCUGGGAUUUACCAAACUUGAAGAGCAUAUGCAGCAAAAGUGGAGUGAUGGUUUGUGAUUCUCUCCAACUUAUCCAAGUUGUUGGAGAUUGUGAUAAACUGAAGAGAAUUCCACCAUUUGUUCCCCUUGUUGGCAAUGGGCAGCCAUUUGCAUAUGCUCCACCUUCUCUUACCAUCUGGUCAUUGAAAAAAUGGUGGAAAUCGUUGGAGUGGGAUGACCAUCCAAACUUUAAAAAUGUUCUUCAACCCCUUUGGGAGCUUUUAAGGUAUGAACCAUUUAUAGUUUAGUUUAUUUUAUAAAGCUAAUUUCUCCAUUUUAAAACCAUUUCAUGUUAUAUUUUAUUUUUGUUUGAAGAUGAUGUGGCCUCCAUUGGUGCGAAAGAAGUAGAAGAGAGUAGCAGGGCGGAUGAUGGUGCAAAAGAGAGGAUAAAAAAGGUGGGAAUAAAAGGAAUGAUGGAGCAUUGAGGAAUUGAGCAGCCACCAUAAUAAUCGACUCCUUUUCCAUUUUAAUAACAAAUAAUUUUAUUGUAUUUUUAUAUAAAACAAUUAAAUUAUAGACUUAUUUUAAUAUGGCGUAGAAUCAAAUAUUAUUAUGGUCUAUUAUUUAAAAAAUCUUUAUAUGUUCUUAAAUGGAGAUGUUAUUUUUAAAAUUAUUUGUCUUUAAAAUUAUUAAACUUAUUAUUCUUCUAUCAAUCAUUUAUGCAUUUUUUUUUACUAACGAUUCUAAUAAAAGUUUUAACAUUCAAAAGCAUAUAAGUUGAAAUAAAUUUUUUUUCAAAUUUAAAAUAUGCAACUUAAAAAAGUACUCCAUUAUUUUCAUAAAAUAAUAUCAAAUUAUGACUACCUUUAAAGUAUAAUUUAUUGGAUAAACUACACCGUAGGUCAUUCUAAACUAGUAUUAUUUCUAUUUUGGUCACUCUAUAAUUGCUCAAAUUAGUCACUGACAUGACUUUUUUUUUUACUUUUGACUAAAGCCAGGGACUUUGCUAUAAUUAGCCCAAAACAUUUGUUUUUGUUUAUUUGCAACAUAAGAACCACAUAUCCUUGUCACCACUCAUCCCUUGCUUUCCAUCUCUAUUGCUCCUCACUGCACCAUAAAAACCACGUUUCAUCACUGUAUAGCCCAAAUUUCGCCCGGGCCCAAUAACAGUCCAGAUUACAAAAAACAAAAUAGCAGGCCCAAACCCGGAGCCCAAAACAAGGCCCAACUGGCCCAACCCGCUCAAAGCUAAGCUAGGGUUUCAGAAGAGAAACCCUAGCGCCGCACCUAAGGUCUUUAGACCUUUAGUCUUCCGGCGCCGCCUUCACCAGCACUGUCACGCCACCACCUCACGUCCCAUCGCCACUUGCCUGCAACACCAGAGAAGGAAAUGACAAGAAAAAAUAAUAAUAAUAGAAUACAAGUUGUAAAUGGCUAUAAAGCUAUAACAGAAAUCAAAAAAAGGGGGGACCGAACUUCAUUCUUGUAACGGGGGGGUUUCUUUUUUUGUUAACGUUUUCAGAAAUAAAAAGCAAAAAAAAAAGAGUUUAAAGGUGAUUGUCGGUUCCCUUUUAUUUUCGUUUUCUUCUCAGAUAUUUUAAUUUUUUUUGUUUAUUUAUUUAUAUAAACAUAUAAUAUAAAGAGAAAAGUGCAAAAAAAAAUACCUUUCUUGAAUUUUCUGGCCAACGUGUACGGUGGCAGGCGCGGCGGCGUCAACGGCGACCCUCCAUGCCGGAUUCUGGGCUGAGGGAGGGAGAGAGAAACUUGAGAGGUUUUUUUUCAGUUUUUUUUAGAAGGAGAAGAAGAAAAUGAAGAUUUUAAAAAAAUUUUGGGUUUAAAUCACCCUCACAAAACGACGCCGUUUUGGCCCUGACCCGCGUGGUGACCCGACCCAGGGGGAGGAUCCGCGCAUUUUCUUCAAAGGGAUUAUUUUCGCAAAUAGUCCCUUUGAUUUUGUAGCACUUUCAUGGAAGUUUUUCGCUUAUUUGCAAUUUGGCCAUAAAGUUUUAUUUUGGAUUCAUUUUAGUCCUCAUCUAAGCGCAGCGUUUUGNNNNNNNNNNNNNNNNNNNNNNNNNNNNNNNNNNNNNNNNNNNNNNNNNNNNNNNNNNNNNNNNNNNNNNNNNNNNNNNNNNNNNNNNNNNNNNNNNNNNNNNNNNNNNNNNNNNNNNNNNNNNNNNNNNNNNNNNNNNNNNNNNNNNNNNNNNNNNNNNNNNNNNNNNNNNNNNNNNNNNNNNNNNNNNNNNNNNNNNNNNNNNNNNNNNNNNNNNNNNNNNNNNNNNNNNNNNNNNCAUGAAAUUUUUAAAUAUAUUUGUUUUAAUAUAUUAUUAUUAUACAAUUGUUUUUAUAUACAUAUACGUAUAUAUAUAUAUUUAACUUAUUUAAUAUACCUACUCAAUUUUAUAUGCAUAUAUAUAUGUUUUUAUAUAUAUUAAAAUACGUAUGUUGUUUAUAUAUAUUAUGUCAUUUCAUUUUCCACAUAUGUAUAUAUCUUUUCAUCUAUAUGCAUAUAUUCCUAUAUUUUGCAAUAUUUAUGUAUACCUUUCUUAUAAUAUAUAUGUACAUAUUUUAAUUUAUGUCCAUAUACAUAUAUAUACACAUAUAUAUUUCUUUGUUUUUUUAUUGUAUUUACUCUUUAUUUAUUUCAUUUUCAUUAUUUAUUUUGAAUGAAUGAUUUAAUUUUAUUCGUUUUUAUGUUUUACUUGUUUGGAUGUUGUAGGUUCGAUCUUAUUUUAUAUUGUUGCUAUAAUACUUUUGCGUGCAUUAUAAUUUUACCAUGCAUAACAACAAUGUAAUUUGCUUUCGCAUUUCCGUUACGAUUUUCGUGUUUUAUUAUACUUUAUUUAACAAAAUUUGUUUUGAAUAAAUAAUAUUUCGUGUAUAGAUUCGAGAGGAUCGUACCCUAACUUACUGGGUUUCGAUUUUCACGAUAAAUCUAAAUGCACGAAUCUUUUUAAAUUCGAAUUUUAAAUGAUCUCGGGAUUAAAAAUCGCGUCCUAACUUACUGGUCGUGAUUUCGUUUUUUAAAUCCGAGAUGGAUAAAAUAUUUUUAAAAUAAGCAUUUUUUAUUCGCGUAUCGGGAACUCGAGACAUUGUGUCCUAACUCACUGGAUAUGAUUCUCUUUCUCGAACAACGUAAAAUAUGCUUCUUUUCUAUUUUUCUAUUAUUUUAAUACAAGGAUCGUAUUUUUAAAAUUCUUCAAAGUUCUCAAUUUUCGACAUUAAGACAUUAAGUAAUCAACUAGGUACCAAUUUUGGGCAUAUUGAGGGUGCUAAUCCUUCCUCGUGCGUAAUCGAUUCUCGAACCCGUUUUUUUGGAUUUCGUGGACCAAAAUCGUUGUUUUAAUAAAAAAAAUAAAAUUGUUUAUUAAAAACAACCAGUUUUCAAGGUGAUCCAAUCAUACCUCAUCAAAAAGGAUUAGUGGCGACUCCCGUUUUAUUCGUUUUCGUCAAAACCCAAGUCGACCCCGUUUUUCAUCCAAAAAAUGGUGUCAACAAUCACAAUGGUGUACAAAGAGUGUUGGUUGUGUUUUGACUAUCGUACAAAUUAGUGUAGAAAUACAACCGGACAAACUUCCGAGCGGAUACUAUUGGGAAACUGUAGGUGAAGCUGGAGCGAAAAACACAAGCCGUCAUGUAAGGACCUACAGCUAUCGUUGGAUCUUGCAUGGCGACUGGGGAUAUGACAGAUUUUUCCAACAUGGAACUUGGAUCCAAUAUCUGGAGUCCAUUUUCACUUGAUCACUUGAUCAAGUGAUUUUUUAUUUUUGGGGCUCUCCGGACUGUUGGUUUUUAUUUUGGUUUUGGAUGCGGUUUUUUAUUCUUUCAUUGCAUUGUAUUAGUCAUUCAACCAUGAGUAAGUUUUCAUUUUGAUCAUUUAACUAAAAAAAGUUACAAUUUAGUCACUAAUAUUUUGGAAAUUGUUUUUUUAUCACUUAAGGGGUACUUGUUUUAAUUGGAAUAAUAAUAAUUUUAGUCCUCUUUUUUUUAUAGUUUCUAUCAAUUUGACUCUGAUUUUGUAUAAAAUUAUUAAAAAAAACUCAAUAUUUUAAAAAUAGAAAAAUGUUUAUAAAAAUUCUAGAAAAAUAAAAUCUUGAAUAUGUUGUUGAAUAACUAAAUUGUAUGAGAAAUAAACCAAAUUACCAUUCAAUAAAAUCCGAUAACAAAUUAAAAACAGAACAAAACCAAAAAAAAGCUUCCUCAAUGUUUUUCGAAACCAAAUUAGUAAUAUUAUUAUCAAGUUAAGUUUCAUGCCCUUGAAGAACACCUAGAACUCAUAUUACCAAGGCUUAUGAAUGACCCUAAUGCCCUUUUUUUAGUCAAAAGAAUACAAAAUAUACAACAAAAUUUCUUUUUUCAAACUUAAUUCAAUUUUUCAUUACAUUUAAAUUAUUUUUCAAAACUCAAAUUAUAAAAAUUAAUUAUAUUAAAAAAAUUUAUAACGUAAAAGCUAUGUCAAGAAACAGAGAACAAAUAAUUUUGCUUAAUGUUUUUUUCUAUGUUUUUUUACUAAAGAAUGGAUAUUGGAUAUUUCGAUACAGAUAAUAUAGAGAAAUUUUGUACGGCUUAAAAAUAAUUAUCUCUCAUUUUCUCUCACUUUAUUUAUUUUUAAAAUUUUUAUCUACUUUUAUUUUUGAAGCUUUAAAAAUAAGUCAUUUACCAUCCAUAAAACUACAAAAGUGAAGUUCAUAUAAGACAAACGAAAGCACGAUUCAUCAAUAUACCAAGUAAAAAAAGUUAAGUCAAGAGUUAGAUUCAGUUCAAUGAUACCAUCCACAGUAUGACACUUAAAGGUAUCCAUCCACAGUAAAGGCACCCUUCUACCCAGAGGUGAAACUAGGAAACUUUUUUAGGGGACGAAAUUAAAUUGUAAUUUAAAAAAAAUAUAAUUUUACCAUUUUAAUAGCCUAUAUCUUUAUAAUUUUUAAAAUAUUAAAUCAAAUUUUUAUAUUUUUAAGGCGGCAAAGUGCAAUUUUACCUUUAUUCAUUUAAAAUGUUAAAAAUUUUAAAAGAGACUAAAUGAAAAUUUUUCUAUUUUAAGAGGCCGGCACCUGCCACCACCCAGGUUCGCCCUUGCUUUCACCAAGGGUUUAUUUUCAUUCCACUAAAGGUUCAUUGAUCGAGCGGUGGCUUGCCUUAUUACAUUAGCAUAAUCCUGAAUAGUUUCUAUCGCCUUUAAGGUGAACUUAAUUUCAAACGAUUGCUUUAUCUUCAAGGUUAACAUAAUUUUAAAUACUCAUAAACGAUUGCAAUGCCUACAAUACCAGCAAAAUUUUAAAUAUUUGUGAAUUACAACAAUUUUUGUAAAAAAAAAAAAUACAAGCAAAUUUUCCUAAAUCUAAUUGACCUGUUCAAGACACAAAGAUUCGAACAUGUAAGAUCUGAUAUUACAUCAGAUUUUCGAAAAACAAAGACUGGCUUAAACUAAAAGAAAAAAAACUCUAGAUAAUGAUUUUUUUUAAAAUUAAGAUGAGAGGAAGGAAUUAUCGACAACUUAACAACACAAGUCAUUUACUUACUAGAACACUAUAAUUAGUUAAUUAAAAAUUUAGCUAUAGCUAGUUGGCUGUUAGGAUUUGUUAAAUUAGUGCCAUUGUACAUCUUUUAAAUUAAUGUUAUCUUACAUCUAUUAAAUCUUUAACUUUUUCCACUUUCAUCUUACUCUAAUUUCAACAUUUCAUUACCACUCUCCAUUAUUUAUACCUCCUCUUGCAAGGGCAGCUGCAGGUUUCAGAGAUGCCAUAAAUAAGGAUUUCAUAGCUCAAGAACUUGACAAUGACAGGGAAGAUGACUAAGAAGAAGAAGGGGUUGCUAUGGGAAGAUAGGGUUCACUGAUGGGUUGUCACAGUCUUCUUCUCAAGUAAAGAAAUCCAAGCUCAGUUUGUCGGAUGCAUUUAACCGCAAUCAAAAGGGAGUCAUUGCAGACAUAAUCAGCUUAUGGUACCAAUCUUAAGAACCAAAACAUCAACUUACUAUACUAUGAUGAAGGAUUUUAUAACAACGUCAGAGGGAAUCUAAGGGAUAACAUCUGAAGGAAAUUCAGAUUGUUAAACACAAAAUUUGAAAUUCAUGGCAGAUUAGGUAUCUGAUCAGCUGAACCGCUAAAGCGAUUGAAAGCUUGGUAGAUUAUUAUGUUCCGAUGCUACAAAUUCAACUUUGGUUUCCUUACUUCAUUAGACAGUUUCAUUAUAGUUUGCCUAUGUGUAGAAAGCUUAGGAUACGACACAAAAUAUGCAUAACAUUCUAUCCAACAUUAGAACGGUACAAAAAAAAGUUAGUUAUUAUGAUGGAAAUGUCAUCCUUGUUCCUCUUAACAGCUUCCUUAGUUAGGUGCUUUGCUGCAGAUCGAGCAUCCUUAAUGCCUUUGAUAGCAUCGACAGCUUCUUGGUAACGGACCAUUAAAUCUCAGGUUCAACAUGUAGGUUCAAUAAAAGAAAAAUGUGAUUAGAUAGGGCUUACCUUCCAUAAACCAUCACUAGCCAAUAUUUUAAGGUCGGUAUCAUCGUCGGUUGUUUCAAUGCUCACAUCUGGCUCCGAAGUAAGAUGUUUCUUUAAACUCUUGUCACCAAAUGAUCUUGCCACCGCCAGCUGACCAUCAACACGCGCGACAUCCCCUGAAACAAAAACAAUAUCAGGAAAAGAUGGUGUAACCUUGAGCGUCAUCCCCAAAAGAUCAGGCACCCAUUACCUGGAAUCCAAUAUAUAUUUUUUUGGACCCAUAUCAUGGUUUCAAACAGGUCAUUAGAAAAUUUUGUAAAACCUUAAAAAGAAUAACCAGUACCACACUAAGGUAUCUCUUGUUCUUAAAAAGAAUAAACAGUUCAUUGAAUAACUAAAUUGUAUGAGAAAUAAAGCAAAUUACCAUUCAAUAAAAUCCGAGAACAAAUUAAAAACAGAAUAAAACCAAAAAAAGCUUCCUCAUUGUUUCUCGAAAUCAAAUUAGUAAUAUUAUCAAGUUGAGUUUCAUGCCCUUGAAGAACAUCUAGAACUUAUAUUACCAAGGCUUAUGAAAUUGAUCCUAAUGCCAUUUUUUUAGUCAAAAGAAUACAAGAUAUAUAACAAAAUUUCCUUUUUCAAACUUAAUUCAAGUUUUCAUUACAUUUAAAUUAUUUUUCAAAACUCAAAUUAUUAAAAUAAAUUAUAUUUAGAAACAAAAUUUUAUAACGUAAAAGCUAUGUCAAGAAACAUAGAACAAAUAAUUUUGCUUAAUGUUUUUCUACGUUUUUUAACUAAAGAACGUGUAUUGGAUAUUUCGAUACAGAUAAUAUAAAGAAAUUUUGUACGGCUUAAAAACAAUUAUCUCUCAUUUUCUCUCACUUUAUUUAUUUUUGAAUAUUUUAUCUACUUUUAUUUAAUUUUUUAUUUUAUAAUGUUCUAAAAUUUUUUUUAAAAAUUAAUUUUUACCACUUUAUAUAUUAUCAAGAUCAAAUUGACUGAAAGUAUAAAAUUUGAGGAUUAAAAUUGUUAUUAUAUCAAUUAAAAAAGUGUCACUUAACAUUUGAGUGACAAAAAAAAUAAUUUCAAAAACAUUAGUGAUGAAAUUGUAACUCUUUUAAUUAAGUGACCAAAACAAAAAUACCCAUAGUUUAGUGACUAAUAGUGUAGCCUUUUUUUGGUAAAAUGAAAAUUUGACCCUAAUUUUAUAUAAAAAAAACUCAAAAUUAUUUAUAAAAUAGAAAAAUGCAUAUUAUUCAACAUAGGGUUUUUUAUCCAAAUCAUACAAAAAUAAUAAUUAAUGACGAAAAUGAUAUGGAAAAUAAAUUAAUUACAAAAACAAGUCAUUUGUUACGAUGUUCUGCUGGUGUUGUCUGACAUAUUGGCAACACCAGACUAAAAUGUGAUGACCAAAAAUAUUCAAAGACUUGAUAUGUAAAUUUCUCAUUUUGAUUAUCUGUUGAAAAUAAGCUCUAAGGGUGUUGUGUGACAGUGUGACGGCACAAAAUCUUAAAUAGUUUUAAUACUUGCAAAAUCAAUACUUCAUCCAAUACAUUCACAAAUUUUCAUUGGUUUUAUUUGUUUUGUUUUAGCUUCUUCUUUUUUUAAUUGUUUUAUUUUUAUUUUACUUUUUUUCCAUUUAUUAUCUUUUGAAUUAUAAUUUUAUUUGUAUGGUUGUUUCUAAAGUUGUAACCUUUUAAUCUUCUUCACUAUUUGUGUUUAGUUUCUUGUUAGUUUGCUCAAAACUAUGCACUACACCUUCAAUUGCCUACAAUUCCAGUUUUGCAAUUAUAUAUAUAUUGAGGUAGUUUCAAUUUUCUCCCUCUCUUAUGAUAUUCUACUUAGUUUGUGUUUAUAUCUGGUUGUACAUUGAGCACAAUGUACAUUUUAAGUGUGGGGAGGUUAUUUAUAUAAUUAUUAGAAAAUUCUUGAAUUAUUUGUGGUACUUAAGUAAUUUUCUCAUGCUUCCAUUAGAAUGAAUUUUUAUCGAUUUGAGAUUUUUAUUGAUAUUGUUUUGGAUUAAUUUGUAGAUACUUGUGUAUUGGUUGAUUUAAACUUUAAGACAUAAGAGAAUCAAGCACGAUAAGUUAUUUUUUAAAAAACAAAUUUCAGUUGUUUCCCUAAAUUUAAUAUUAUUUUGAAGUUUGAGAUUUGCAAGUUUGACGUCAAAAACUAUGAUUUUUUUUUUUUUGAGAUUUUGAGAUUUUCAGCCACUAAGUCAGGUAAUAAGACUGAAGCUAUGAUUUCCUCUGCUGAUUAUCAACAGUUUUAGAUUUCAAGACUGGAUGAUCAGCAGACAUAAUCUACUUUAGAUAGAAAUUAAUACCAAAAGAGCUACCCAGAAGCAAUAUAAUGUUGAAAUCCCAAACUGUUGAACAUUUUACCUCUUUAAUGUUAAAACUCAUUGCUAAUACAACUCAUUGACUUGUAUAUUUAAUUUCAAGUUGUAUAUUCAAUACUGACAACUUCAACGAUGCAAAUGAUUUAGUAAUGGGGUGCGAAUAACUAUACCUAAUGCAACUCCUUUACUUGUAUAUUUAAUUUCAGGUUGUAACUUAUAAUUAUGCAUUUUUAUACCCUGCCAACUAUUAUUAUUAAAUAUUAUUUAUUGCCAUCUUCAAUGAUUUUGUUUUGAUGUCCAACGUCUAUCACAACAUUUCAAGCAUCCUGUCAAGGUAAUUUUCUUUCAUUUGCUUAAUCCAUCACAUGCUUUUCUUUGCUUGAUUCAUGACUUUGCAAUGAUUGUUUCUGAUUAUCUGCUACUCUUAGCCGCUAGCUUUGUAAGACAGUCAACUUCACUGCUUCAUUUUCAGUUCUAUUCUCUCGACACUUUUCAGCCACUAAGUCUGGUAAUAAGAUCUGAAGCUAUGAUUUCCUCUACUGAUUAUCAACAGUUUUAGAUUUCAAGACAAGAUGAUCAGCAGACAUAUUCUACUCUAGAUUGAAAUUAAUACAGAAAGAGCUACCCAGAAGCAAUAUAAUGUUGAAAUCUCAAACGGUUAACAUUUUAGCUCUUAAUAUUCUGUAAUGAACUGUUGCACACUUGAAUCUAGCAUUUUAUAUACAUCGAGAGCUUAAUUCUGGUGACCAGAAUUUCAUCAUGUUUCUGUCUGCCACCCAUCCAUAGCUCCAUCUAAUAAACGCCAUUGCUUGAAACUUGCAUUCAUGUUUUCCUUUUCAUGCUUACACUGACAUAUCAAUACCUCAUAAAUUAUUCAAUUCAUUCACAGAUUUUCAUUCUCUGCUACUGUUAUAUAUGAUUGCAUUGCAAGGACAUAGCAAUGGAGUACGUAGAGCCUGUUGUCGGCAUUGCAAAUUGUCUCGGAACUCCUGUUUGUAAAUAUUUGCAAUAUUACAGAAAGCUGAACGAUUAUGUUAGAAACUUCAAGAGGAUCAGAGAUGAAUUGAAUUGCAAAAUGGAAGAUAUAGAGCUGCAAUUGAAAGCAGAGCUUCUUCGUCCUCUGGGGAAGAUACCGAAGAAGGGAGUUGGAAAUUGGUUGAAAGAUGCGAAAGAGAUGAUUAGGGAAGCACAAGUUGUUGAAAACAAAGUCAGUAAUGGGAGAUAUCUCUGUCGUGCUUGCAACGGGAAACUGGUUGAUGAAAAGUCUCGAGAAAUGCAGGAAUAUCUUGAUAAAGCUUCUAAAGCCUCUGAAGGUCUUGCCAUGGAUGGUCCAAGUGCUGGGUUGCCACUGGAAACAUCAGAACUAGUUGGAGAGGAAGCUGUCAGAAAAGAGAUUUGGGCAUGUUUGAUGCAGGAGGAGGUAAGCAAGAUUGGGGUUUGGGGGAUGGGUGGCGUGGGUAAAUCGACCAUCAUGAAGCACAUCCACAAUGAUCUUUUGAAAGAACAACGAUUUGAAAGGGUGGUUUGGGUUACUAUAUCAAAGGAGUUCAAUAUUGUGAAGUUACAAAAUGAUAUUGCAAGUGCAUUGAAUGGAAAGAUGCCCGAAGAAGCAAACAAGGUCAGACGAGCAGCAAUCUUGUCCGAAAUGCUGAAGAGAGCAGGAAAACAUGUUCUAAUCCUAGAUGAUGUGUGGAGUGAAGUCUCGUUGGAAGAAAUUGGGAUCCCUAAGCCAAGUAGCAGCAAUGGGUACAAGUUGGUGUUGACAACCCGUGUGGAGCAAGUUUGUAAGUCUAUUGGCUGUAAGGUAAUAAAAGUGAAGCCCCUUUCAGAAGAAGAGGCAUUGAUACUAUUCUUGAGUGAAGUUGGACCUAACAUAGUGCAAAAUCAAACUUUAAUGCCAACUUUGAAGCUUGUUGUCAAGGAAUGUGCAGGUCUGCCUCUUACAAUUGUCGUCAUAGCUGGUACAUUGAGAGGAGAAGAUGACCCUCUUAUUUGGAAAAACACACUCAGGGAAUUGAAAGAGCCAAUAGGGAAAGUGAAAGAAGGGGAAGAUAAAGUGAUCGAGAGUUUGAAAGUUAGCUUCAAUCACUUAAAAGACGAGAAAAUGAAGCAUUGUUUCUUACAUUGCGCAUUAUAUCUUGAAGAUUUUCAAAUUUGGAAGGAUGGGCUAAUUGAGUGCUGGAUUGAGGAGGGAUUCAUAGAUGAUAUGCGUACAAGACAAGAAAUGAAAGAUAAGGGACAUGUUAUUUUGAAGAAAUUAGAAGAUAAUUGCUUGUUGGAAAAUGUCUCGUGUGAAAAAGUGAAAAUGCAUGAUGCAGUGAGAGACAUGGCAUUGUCGAUCACAAGAAUGAAUCCUCGAUAUAUGAUACAAGCAGGUUCGCAAUUAGAAGAGUUACCAGAAAAGGAGCAAUGGAGUCCGAAUAUUGAGAAAGUGUCACUUAUGUAUAACUCCAUAUCAGAAAUUUCCAUAGAUGUGCUGCCCACAAAAUGUCAACUGCUCACAACCUUGUUAUUGCAGCAUAACCCUAUAAAGAAGAUCCCAUGUUCUUUCUUCAUAAACAUGCCCUGUCUUUGUGUCCUAAAUUUGUCCUAUACGGAGAUCAAGAGUUUACCAAAUUCCAUCUCUGAACUAAAGAACCUCACAACAUUGUUGCUUUGUGAUUGUGAAGAAUUAAGAGAUCUACCAUGUCUUUCGAUGCUUCAAGAGUUGAAGAAGUUGGAUCUAAGUUGGACUAAAAUUGAGGAAGUCCCUGAAGGAAUGGAUAUGCUGAUAAAGCUAAGAUAUCUUGAUCUUAGAGUGCCCACUCUGAAAGAGAUACCCGCUGGACUUUUACCAAAACUCGUUCACCUUCAGCGCUUGAGUUUUGAUGUGGACAAUGAAAAAACAAGUCUAAAAGCAGAGGAGAUGGAACCAUUGAAGAAGUUGGAGUGCUUUACCGGCCGUUUUGAAGACAUCAAUGAAUUCAAUAAGUUCAUCUCCUCAAUGCAACAAAGUAAGAAAAAUCUCAUCAAGUACCAUUUACAGGUGGGCUCAUCUUUUAUGCUUGCUACAAGAGAUAAAACAGUAACAGUUGGAGGAGUCAAGAAUUGGGAAGGUGAGUUAAUUAUGCACCCAAUUGAAAUUCAACAGUUGAAUAUUUUAAGUUGCGACUAUUUGAGAAACAUAGUCGAUGAUAAUUCUUCCUUCAAAAAUGAGAUUGACUUGAGGGUUUGUAGGAUUUGGUGGUGUGAAGGGAUAGAGUGUGUUGUUUCCCUGUCCUCUUUUGCCUCUUCUUCCGCUCAUCCAUUUCAGAGCCUCGAGGUGUUAGAUCUUGGUGAUCUGCCAAAGUUGAGUGCCCUUAUUAUGAAAGAUGCAGGAAUUGGUUUAGCAACAACAUCAACAUCGGCUCCGUCUGCCACCUUUUCCCAUCUUAAGGAAAUUAGGAUAUACAAAUGCUUAAGUAUGAAGACGUUGCUUCCACAUUGGUUGCUUCCAAACCUCCAAAACCUGGAAGAAAUACAUGUGGGUGCUUGUAGUCAGCUAGUAGAAAUAUUGGGAGCAGCAACAUCAGAAGUUGAAGAAAAAGGGAGUGAUGCAUUAAUCAAAUUCCAUCUUCCCAAAUUGAGAGAACUGGAAUUGUGGGUAUUACCAAAUUUGAAGAGCAUAUGCAGCAAAAGUGGAGUGAUGGUUUGUGAUUCUCUCGAGUUAAUCGUUGUUGUUGAGUGUGAUAAACUGAAGAGAAUUCCUCCAUUUAUUCCCCUUGUUGGCAAUGGGCAGCCAUUUGCAUGUGCUCCACCUUCUCUUACCAUCAGGUCAAGCACAGAAUGGUGGGAAUCAUUGGAGUGGGAUGACCAUCCAAACUUUAAAAAUGUUCUUCGCUUCAACCCCCUGUGGAGGAUAAAAGGUAUGAACCAUUUAUGGUUUUGUUUAUUUUUUUAUUUUGAUAAAUCUAAUUUCUCCAUAUUAAUAAAAUUUGGUGUAUAACUGUGAUGAUGUUGAAGAGAAAGAUAAAAGGGUUGGUGGCAAAGAAGUAGGGGGGAGGAUAGUGCAAAAGAGAGGAGAAAAGGAAUGUUGGAAGGAAGAGGUUAAGAGGCAAAGGUAAAUAAGAAAUCAAACUGCCUCUACUUUUUAAAUAUUUUCCCUCUCUUAUCAUUCCUUCUAUUCUCUUAUUCUUCUCUAAUAUAUAUAUAUAUACUUGCCAAAAUAACCUUCUAAAUAUUUAUUAUUAAAAUAUUUAUAGUAAUCAAAAUGAUUUAAGGUGAGACAAAACCUACUUCUCUGGAGUUGCAGUGAAGCGGAUUAAAGGUCUAAUGCCUAACGUUACAGUGGAGUAGACUUAAACCACAAAUCUCACCCCCCUGAAGUUGCUGUGAAGAAGAUUAAAGCUACAAGUCAGAUCUUUCUGAAGUGCAGUGGAGUGGAUUGAAGCAACAAGACAUAGUGAAUUGGAAUGAAGCUACUUGAGGAAGAGAAGCACCAGAACAAGUCAAGAAUCGGCGAGGCCGGGCAAAAUAGGCCUUUCUUAGUCUUUGCUCUGUUGUCGUUACACGACAACGAGCAAAGAGGGGCAGCUGUACAGGCCCAUUUUAGACCCAACUAGACUAACCCAAAUAAAAGACCCAAUACCCAAUUAUAACCAACAGGCCCAACACCAAUUUACAAAACCCUAGCCCAAAUCAGAAAACAAUAAAAAGGGUAACCCUAACCCUAGGUGCGCCGCACCUAGGGUCGGCCACUUGCUCUGCCCAGCGCCGCAGCUCUGUCACGGCCACUUGCUCUGCCAUCGCCGCACGUCCCACGUCACCCACUUGCGCCAUCAAAUCAUCUGCAAGAAGAAGACAAACACGCAAACAGAAAACAGAAAGAAGAAAAUCGAAAAUAAAUCAUGAAAAUUUCGGUUAUAAAAACUGAGAUCUAAAAAAAAACGGGGGCUUUUUCUUCUUUUAUUUUGACCUUUUGUAUUUUUUCCCAAAAAAAUUAAAAAAAAAAAGCAAAAAGUCGAUCAAAGGUGAUUUUUUUUUCGCAUCUCUCUUUUUCAUAUUCGUCUUCUUUUUUACAUACAUACACACACAUAAAUAUAUUAAAGGCAGUUUAUAUUUGCGAAAAAAAUAAAUUUUUACCUUUUUCGAGUUUUCUGGCCACCGCGUGCAGUGGUCGGCGUGGCACCGGUACGGAGAGCCGAUGGUCGACGCGGCGGGGACCUUAGAACCCCAAAGGGCUGAAUGCUACAGAGAAAAAGAAGAAAAUUUUUGGUUUUUUUAAAAAAAACAAGGGCUGAAAUGAAUUUUUUCAGAAAAGUUGGGUUUAAAUACCCAGAUUGAAACGGCGUCGUUUAAGGCAGGGGGAUCCGCGCGUCAAACCGACCCGACCCAGAGGAUCCGCGUGUUUUCAUUUUUUGGGAUAUUUACGCGCGCAGUCCCCGUGACUUUACAACGUGUUGCAUUUUGGCCCUUGUUUCGUUAUUUUCUGUUAUUUUAAUUUGGCCACAAAGUUUUAUUUUUGUUUCAAUUUAGUCCACUGUUGCGUUGCGUUUUGGGGGCUUCGGUUUAUUUGCAGUUUCGGUCCCCCCUCUUUCGCGCGCGUCACAUUUUGGUCCUUCCUUUUACUUUGUUUUUGAUUUUGCCCCAAAUCUUUGUUUUGGAAUUUAAAUUAGUCCCUUUUUUGUUAUUUUGUUAAUUAACUUAGUUAUUAUAAUAUUUUUAUAUCUCAGUAUUAUAUUAUUAUAUUAUGUUAUUAGUUUUGUAUUAUUAUUGUUAUUGUAUUUCUAUUCUAUUUAUUUAUCUAAGUUUAAAUAUCCAUGUUUUAAUUCAUAUACAUAUAUAUGUACAUAUACAUACUUAUAUAUUUUAUGUAUAUAUUAUAAUUUGUUUACAUAUCCACAUAUAUUUAUAUAUAUAUUUUUAUAUUUCAUGAUAGUUAUAUAUGUAUAUAUAUGUACAUGUUUACUUAUAUAUAUAUAUAUAUAUAUUAUAUAAUAAUUUUAGAAUACAUAUAUAUUUUUCAUAUUUUUAUAAAUUUAUGUACAUACACAAUUUUUUAUAACGUAUAUACUUAUAUUAUAUAUAUUUUUAUUUUAUUUUAUAAUCUAUAUACCUAUAUAUGUAAAUAUUUAUGCUUUUAUUUUUUUAAAUCCAUAUACACAUCUUUUAUUUAUUUUCUUCAUUUAUUUGUAUGUCCAUUAUUAUUAUUUAUUAUGCUUUAGAAUUUUUAUUUGUUUAUUGCUCGUUAUUGUACAUAUGUGAUUGAUUUUAUUUAUAUACAUGUGACUUCUUAUUUAUUUAUCUUUUGUUUUUGCUUGUAUUAUUUUUACUUACAUCAUUAUCAUUAUUAUUCCGUUACACCCAUUUUUAUUUAGAUUUCAAGAAAGAAAUUUUAAAAAUAUAAGUAAUAUUCGGUAUUUGGGAUCUUCGAGAGAAUCGAGCCCUAACGUAUUGGGUUCCACUUUUCUUCGUUGAAUCUAAAUAAUCGAGAUUACUUCUUUAAAAAUGAUAAAAGCUCAUUAUUGGGAAUUUAAUGCGUUGUGUCCUAACGUAUUGGAUAUGACACGUUAUUUUCUUGAGAUGAGGAUUUUUAUUAAAAUAACAAAGGCAAUAUUCAAUGUUUGGAAUUUGGAGAAAUUGUGCCCUAACGUAUUGAGUUGCGAUUUCCUCAUCUGACUUGAACAAUUGAAUAUCCUUUUUAAAUUUUAUCGUAUGAGUUUUUUUUAAGACAAACAUUUUUGGGAAGGUAAAAUAUCGUGCCCUAACGUAUUGGGUGUGAUGUUUUCUCUUUCUGAAAUGAGAGGGUCUUAACAAGUGACUUGUUCUAUAUAAGUUCUUUUUAUUUUAAUACAAGGAUCGUAUUUUUAAAAUUCUUUAAAAUUUUCAAUUUUCGACAUUAAGAUAUUAAGUAAUCAACUAGGUACCAAUUUUGGGCGUAUCGAGUGUGCUAAUCCUUCCUCGUGCGUAACCGACUCCCGAACCCAUUUUCUGAAUUUUGUGGACCAAACUUGUUGUUUUAAUAAAAUCAAACCGUUUAUUAAAAACAACCAGUUUUCAAGGUGAUCCAAUCACACCUCAUCAAAAAGGAUUGGUGGCGACUCCCGUUUUAUUCGUUUUCGUCAAAACCCAAGUCGACCCCGUUUUCCAUCCAAAAAAUAGUGUCAACACUGAGUAUGACUUAUAAUAUCUGAAUGUAUGUACUAUUAAUUGCAUAAUUGCAUGACAUAUUUUGUAUGUUGCAUUGCAUCCGGGUGGGUUAAUGAUAUUUGGAUGAAGUGUCUGAAAGGCUAUUAAGCCUGUUAUCUGGCAGCUUGGCUACAACCUUCUGAUUAUAUGCUGCAUUUCGGUACAGCAUGGUGUGCAAGGAUGGGUGGGUUGAUUUAAUCUCCACAUGGUGUGUAGGGUUGGACGGAGAUGGUGUGUAGAGGCUAGUGGGUAGGAUUCUGAUUUACUGUAUCUGCGUUUUGUAUCUUAUAUGAGCCAAGGCCCUAAUGUAUUUCCGAGACUGUAUCUGAACGGGCUAAGGUCCAAACUGAUUCUGUUGAUUAUCUAUAUGCAUGUUUUCUGUGAGGAUUACACACUGAGUUUGCGAAAACUCACCCUUUCUCUAUUUAAUCUGUACGGGUCGGUGCAACGGAGGACUCCACGGUGGCCACACGUAAAUUUCGGACUGUUUUCCGUUAAUGCCUAGAAUUUAUUACUUAUUUGGGGUUUUUGAUGUAUCUUCUGAACUAUGGAUUGGUUGGCUUUAAAUUUGGGAUUUUAUACUAUUUUUUUAUGGUUUUUUUUUAAACUACAACUCCACAAAACAUUGUUUUUUUUCUAAAAACUAAGAAUUUUCGUAAAUAGAAAUGAUUUUCCCUAAAUUAAUUGGUUACAAAAGUUUCCGCUAAGAGACAAAUUUUAAAGCAAAUCAACAAGUUUUUUUUCCGAAUUAAAUAAAAGCUAACUUACUGUAACGGUUUUUAAACUCGACAAUGACAUCGCCAGAUUCGGCCAUAACGUCUAGGCCGAGUUUGGGGUGUUACAAAAUUAAUCAUACUUCAUUGGAUUAUGAGAGUGAAUUUUAAUGAAAGAUAAUAUGUGAAGAAAGGAGAGAACUAAAAGGGAAAUUGCACCAAAAUAUAAAAAUAGAAAAACAAUGGCAGAUUGCUUCAAAUGCAAUAGACGCAAGAAUGUGCUAAAUUGUCUUUUUAAAUUCAAAGUGUGUAUUCAUGCCACAAUUAAAAACCUUUAUAUACCUAUCUCAGAGAACCAAUUUCACAUGAUUUUACUCCUAGAAUCAUGCUUAACAAGCAACCACUAAAUCAAAAUUUUCUAAAUAUAGAAUUUGUCAAAGUAAAAAAUCUAAUAAUUUUUAUCAGCCCAAAAAUAAUUUUGCAACUGUCAAUUCAACCCGCCAACUGGUUUUUUGUUCCAAUUUAGCUCGAUCUGUUUGUUUUUGAACUUCGACACUCCAAUUGUGUUCAUGAUAAAAUUCAGGCAAUAAAUCAUAAGUUUAGUAGAAUUCUAUUAAAAAGUUUACCAAAAUUGGGUAUAUUAAAUAUAUAAAAUUAACUUGCUAUCAGAUUUGGAACUAAUUAAUAAUAACAUAUGAAAUAUGUAUUAUAUAAAAAUAAAAAUUAGAAUAAAUUGUGAGCAAAACGAAAUCUAAACAAAAAAACACAUCAGAUUAAAAAUACUAAAUGAAUACAUUUAUUUAUCAUUGUUUUGUCUUCAAUCCUGAGUUGGUGUUGUGUUUAUUUGUGACACUAACUCAAUAACAUUUUUUAAUAAAUAAAAAAUUAGAAUAUAUAUAUACUUAUUAAAGUUUAAAGUGAAAAGUAAAAAGUAAAAAUUGGUUUAGUUCAAAAGUUAAUGAAAAAUAUUUAUAUGCAUGGUGUCCUUGGUUCAAAUCUUGUAAUGGAUAAAUUUUUAUUGAUUUAUAAAUAUAUGAAAAGACGAAAACACCCUAAUAAUCAUAUAUCUUACUUUGCAAAUAAAAUCUUGAAUAUAUUGUUGAAUAGCUAAAUUGUAUGAGAAAUAAAAGCAAUUAUCAUUCAACAGAAUCCACUAUCAAUUUAAAAACAAAACAAAUCCAAAUUAGUAAUAUUAUCAAGUUGAGUUUCAUGUCUUUGAAGCACAUCUAGAACUGAUAUGAUAUAAGCUUAUGAAAUUGAACUUGAUGCCAUUUUUUAGUAUCAAGAAUACAAAAUAUACCACCAAAUUUUCUUUUUCAAACUCAAUUCAAAAUUUUAUUACAUUUAAAUUAUUUUUCAAAAAUCAAAUUAUAAAAAUAAAUUAUAUUUGCAAUUUUAUCCUUUCUAUAUUUCUUUUGAAGAAUGGAUAUUAGAUAUUUCGAUAUAGAUAAUAAAGAGAAAUUUUAGAGGUUUAAAAAUAAUUAUCCCUCAUUUUUUUAAUUUUUGAAAUGUUUAUUUACUGUUAUUUAAUUUUUAAUUUUAUAAUAUUCUGAAAUUUUAAAACAAUUUCAAAUUUGGGUACAAUGAUAAUUUGAAUUUCGGCUAUUUCUAAAAACAAUGAGCACCCCGUCAAUAAACGACAAUUUGGAUUUAAAAGUAGUGUAACUUAUAAAGGAAUUUAUAUGUACUUGAAUAGAUUGAUUCACAUUAUUCACGUCUUACAAACAUCAUAUGUAAGAACAACUAUAUUUUUUUGCAGGAUGCCGACUAGUAUAUUUAAUUUCAAGUUGUAACAUGUAAUUAGGCAUUCUCAUACCAUACUUUCCCAUUAAUAUGAUGCUGCUGCUGCUGAUGUUGUUAUUACAAUUGAGCACCAAGAUGACUGCAAAACUUGUUAGUAAUGUCCAGAAUGAAGGGAAAGGACAUGGCAGAUUAGUGAAUUAUUACAGAUUUAAAGAAGAAUCAAAUUGUAAAUCAGCUGAUAGAUACAACUACUGAGAAUCAAAUACCCAAAAUGCCAACUAUAAUGGCAGAAGCAAAGGAAAAGUAAAAAAAAGAUGGGAUUCCUUACUUAAUACUUCUGCCUUUCUACCCACAACAUUCUUUCUUCUUUCACAAAAUUUCAACCUACUUUUCUUUCAUUUGCUUCUUUCAUUACAUGCUUUUCUUUGCUUAAUAGUUCUGCCUUUCUACCCACAACAUUCUUUCUUCUUCACUGUUUUUAUUUUGUUUUCAUCUCCAAGGUCUAUCACCAAAUUUCAAGCAUCCCGUCAAAGGUAAUUUUCUUUCAUUUGCUUCAUUCAUGACAUGCUUUUCUUUGCUUCAUUCAUGACUAUGCAAUGAUUGUUUUUUGUUAUCUGCUAGCUUUGUAAGAUAGUCAAGGAAGUCAACUUCACUGCUUCAUUUUCAGUUCUAAUCUCUCGACACAUUUCAGCCAUUAAGUCAGGUAAUAAGGCAAUGAUUUCCUCUACUGAUUAUCAACAGUUUUAGAUUUUAAGACAGGAUAGGAUGACCGGCAAACAUAAUCUAGCAUACAUAGGAAUCUCAAACUUUUGAACAUUUUAGCUCUUAAUAUUCCGUAAUGAACUGUUGCACACUUGAAUCUAGCAUUUUAUAUACAUUGAGAGGUUAACUCUGGUGACCAGAUGUAAGCAAUUCUCCCGAAUUAAAAUCAAAUUUUAAAAUCAACAACUUCAACAACUCAUAAAUAGGAAGAUAAUAUGUUUCGGUACACUUGAAACCACAUCCUUCUACAUUGACAACAAUUACUAUGACAAUGAAGCUAAGACUCAAUUCACAAUACUUAUAUAUUUUUGUUAUACCUAAUUAAAGUCAUUUACCAGUAUAUUAGACAUUCUUAUACCCUAGUUUCCCAUACUUUCCCAUUAUUAUCGUGAUGAUGAUGAUGAUGUUAUAAUUGAGCACCAAGAUCACUGUAAUACUUGUUUUAAUUGGUAUAAAAAUAAUUUUAGUCCUCUUUUCUUUUAUAUUUUCUAUCAAUUUGACUCUAAUUUUACAUAAAAUUAUUAAAAAAACUCAUAAUUUUAAAAAUAAAAAAAUGUUUAUAAAAAUUCUAGAAAAAUAAAAUCUUGAAUAUUUUGUUGAAUAACUAAAUUGUACGAGAAAUAAAGCAAAUUAUCAUUCAAUAAAAUCUGAUAACAAAUUAAAAACAGAACAAAACCAAAAAAAAGCUUCCUCUCAAUGUUUCUCGAAACCAAAUUAGUAAUAUUAUCAAGUUGAGUUUCAUGCCCUUGAAGAACAUCUAGAACUCAUAUUACCAAGGCUUAUGAAAUUGACCCUAAUGUCAUUUUUUUAGUCAAGAUAUAUAACAAAAUUUCCUUUUUCAAACUUAAUUCAAUUUUUCAUUACAUUUAAAUUAUUUUUCAAAACUCAAAUUAUAAAAAUAAAUUAUAUUUAGAAAAAAAUUUAUAACAUAAAAGCUAUGUCAAGGAACAAAGAACAAAUAAUUUUACUUAAAUUUUUUUCUACGUUUUUUACUAUAGAAUGUGUAUUGGAUACUUCGAUACAAAUAAUAUAGAGAAAUUUUGUAGGGCCCAAAAACAAUUAUCUCUCAUUUUCUCACUUUAUUUAUUUUUAAAGUUUUUAUCUACUUUUUUUUAAUUUUUUAUUUUAUAAUGUUCUAAAAUUUUAAAAAUAAUUUUAAUUUUUUACCAUUUUAUAUAUUUUCAAGAUCAAAUUGACUAAAAGUAUAAAAUUUGAGGAUUAAAAUUGUUAUUUUAUCAAUUAACGAAGUGUCACUUAACAUUUGAGUGACAAAAAAAACAAUUUUAAAAACAUUAGUGAUGAAAUUGUAACUUUUUAAUUAAGUGACCAAAAAAAAAAUACCCAUAGUUUAGUGACUAAUAGUGUAGCCUUUUUUUGGUAAAAUGAAAAUUUGACCCGAUCUUGUAUAAAAGAAAACUCAAAAUUAUUUAUAAAAUAGAAAAAUGUAUAUUAUUCAACAUAGGGAUUUUUUUACCCAAAUCAUAUAAAAAACAAUUAGUUAUGAAAAUGGUAUGGAAAAUAAAUUAAUUACAAAAAUAAGGCAUUUGGUACAAUGUUCUGCUGGUGUUGCCUGACAUAUUGGUAGCACUAGAUUAAAAUGUGAUGACCUAAAAUAUUCAAUGACUUGAUGUAACGCCCAAAAAUUUUAAUUUUGGGUAUUGUGAUUGUGUAACAUAAAUAUUUGUCAGCUUUAAUGGUUAUGUGUUCUAAAAGUGUUUGAGAGGUCCUAAGUUUAAGUCAAGAUUUGGGCAAAUUUUAAUAUGUAAAUUUCAAAAAUAUUCAAAGACUUGAUAUGUAAAUCUCUCAUUUUGAUUGGCUCUUGAAAAUAAGCUCUAAAGAUGUUGUGUGACAGUGUGGUGGCACAAAAUCUUAAAUACGGUUAAUUUCUUUGUAAACUACCAUUGUUUAUUAUUUUGUUUUUAUCCCCCUUCGACACCAAAAUUACAAAGGUUUCAUCCAAUUCAAAUUAUGUCUAGCAUAACCGUUAACAUUGUUGAUUGUAAUUUUCUUUGGCUCAUAUAUAUAUAUAUAUAUAUAUAUAUAAUAAAAUUUUUCUAAAAUUUUUAUAAUUAUAAUUUUAUACGAUACUGUAAAUUAAAUUGAUAAUAAGAAUAAUUAUAAUGCUAUCUAUAACGGCAGACAGCAAAGAAAAAGUAAUAAAAAUAGGAUUCCUUACUAAUAAUUCUGCCUCUGUGGAUCCUAGCAGAGACUUCAUAAUCUCCCUGUUUUUAUCUUCACUUUCUUCUUACUUCUUCACUGCUUUUAAUUUGUUUCGAUGUCCAAGGUCUAUCACAAAUUUUCAAGCAUCCAGCCAAGGUAAUUUUCUUUCAUUUGCUUAAUUCAUCACAUGCUUUUCUUUGCUUUUGAUUAUCUGCUACUGUUAUAGCAGCUAGCUUUGUAAGAUUGUCAAGGAACUCAACUUCACUGCUUCCUUCUCAGUUCUAAUCUCUCAACACUUUCUAGCCACUAAGUCAGGUAAUAAGAUCUGAAGCAAUGAUUUCCUCUACUGAUUAUCAACAGUUUUAGAUUUUAAGAGUGGAUGACCAGCAGACAUAAUCUACUAUAGCUAGAAAUUAAUACAAAAAGAACUACCCAGAAGCAAUAUAAUGUUGAAAUCUCAAACUGUCAACAUUUUAACUCUUAAUAUUCUGUAAUGAACUCUUGCACACUUGAAUCUAGCAUUUUAUAUACAUCGAGAGCUUGAUUCUGGUGACCAGAAUUUCAUCAUGUUUCUGUCUGCCACCCAUCCAUAGCUUCAUCUAAUAGACGCCAUUUCUUGAAACUUGCAUUCAUGUUUUCCUUUUCAUGCUUACACUGACAUAUCAAUACUUCAUAAAAUAUCCAAUUCAUUCACAGAUUUUCAUUCUCUGCUACUGUUAUAUAUGAUUGCAUUGCAGGGACAUAGCAAUGGAGUACGUAGAGCCUGUUGUCGGCAUUGCAAAUUGUCUCGGAAAUCCUGUUUGUAAAUAUUUGCAAUAUCACAGAAAGCUGAACGAUUAUGUGAGAAACUUCAAGAGGAUCAGAGAUGAUUUGAAUUGCAAAAUGGAAGAUAUAAAGCUGCAAUUGAAAGCAGAGCUUCUUAGUCCUCUGGGGAAGAUACCAAAGCAGGGAGUUGAAAAUUGGUUGAAAGCUGUGAAAGAGAUGAUUAGGGAAGCACAAGUUGUUGAAAACAAAGUCAGUAACGGGAGAUAUCUCUGUCGUGCUUGCAACGGGAAGCUGGUUGAUGAAAAGACUCGAGAAAUGAAGGAAUUUCUUAAUAACGCUCCUAAUGCCUCUGAAGGUCUUGCCAUGGAUGGUCCAAGUGCUGGGUUGCCACUGCCAACAUCAGAACUAGUUGGAGAAGAAGCUGUCAGAAAUGAGAUUUGGGCAUGUUUGAUGCAGGAGGAGGUGAGCAAGAUUGGGGUUUGGGGGAUGGGCGGUGUGGGUAAAACCACUAUCAUAAAGCACAUCCACAAUGAUCUUUUGAAAGAACAAAGAUUCGAAAGGGUAAUCUGGGUUACCAUAUCAAAGGAGUUCAAUGUCAUGAAGGUACAAGAUGAUAUUGCAGAUGCUUUGAAGUUGAAGGAAGGUUGGCCCAGAGGAGACAAGCUCAGACGAGCAGCAAUCUUGUCAGAAAUGCUGAAGAACGCAGGAAAGCAUGUUCUAAUCCUAGAUGAUAUGUGGGAUAAAGUCUCUCUAGAGGAAGUUGGGAUCCCCGAGCCAAGUGGUAGCAAUGGCUGCAAGUUGGUGUUGACAACCCGUUCGGAGCAUGUCUGUAAGUAUAUGGGUUGUAAGGUGAUAAAAGUGAAGCCACUUUCAGAAGAAGAGGCAUUGAUACUAUUCUUGAAUAAAGUUGGACCUAACAUAGUUCAAAGUCCAACUAUAAUGCCUACUUUGAAGCUUGUUGUCAACGAAUGUGCGGGUCUACCUCUUACAAUUGUCGUGGUAGCUGGUACCAUGAAAGGAGAAGAUAACCCUCGUAUUUGGAAAAAUGCACUCAAAGAAUUGAAAGAGAGAAUAGGGAAAGUGGAAGGAGUGGAAGCUGAGGUAAUCGAGCGCUUGAAAUUUAGCUUCGAUCACUUAAAGGACGAGAAAGUGAAAUAUUGUUUCUUACAUUGCGCAUUAUAUCCCGAAGAUUUUGGAAUUGAAAAGGAUGAACUAAUUGAGUGCUGGAUUGAAGAGGGAUUCAUAGAUGAUAUGACUACAAGACAAGAAAUGAAAGAUAAGGGCCAUGUUAUUUUGAAGAAAUUAGAAGUUAAUUGCUUGUUGGAAAAUGUCUCGAGUGAAAGAGUAAAAAUGCAUGAUGCAGUGAGAGACAUGGCAUUGUCGAUCACAAGAAUGAAUCCUCGAUACAUGAUACAAGCAGGUUUGCAAUUAGAAGAGUUACCAGAAAAGGUGCAGUGGAGUCCGGAUAUUGAGAAAGUGUCACUUAUGUAUAACUCCAUAUCAGAAGUUUCCAUAGAUGUGCUGCCUACAAAAUGCCAACUGCUCACAACCUUGUUAUUGGGGAACAACCCUAUAAAGAAGAUCUCAAUUUCUUUCUUCACAAACAUGCCUUGUCUUAGUGUUCUCAAUUUGUCCUAUACGAAGAUCAAAAGUUUACCAAAUUCCAUCUCUGAACUAAAGAACCUCACAACAUUGUUGCUUUGUGGUUGUUUUGAAUUAAGAGAUCUACCAUGUCUUUCGAUGCUUCAAGAAUUGAAGAAGUUGGAUCUAAGUCGGACUAAAAUUGAGGAAGUCCCUGAAGGAAUGGAUAUGCUGAUAAAGCUAAGAUAUCUUGGUCUUCAAGUGUUCAGUCUGAAAGAGAUACCCGCUGGACUAUUACCAAAACUCGUUCACCUUCAGCACUUGAGUUUUGAAGUGGACAAUGAAAAAACAAGUCUAAAAGCAGAGGAGAUGGAACCAUUGAAGAAGUUGGAGUGCUUUACCGGACGUUUCGAAGACAUCAAUGAAUUCAAUAAGUUCAUCUCCUCAUUGCAACAAAGUAAGAAAAAUCUCAUCAAGUACUCUUUACAUGUGGGCUUAUCUUAUAAGAAAAUUUUCAUGAAGUACAUCUUACCUAUUUCCCUUUAUAGAAGAGAUAAAAGAUUAACAAUUGCAGGAGUCCAG
rnacentral:lncRNA from 1 species